rnacentral:lncRNA from 1 species
UUUAAGAGACAUCUUUUAAGGUUUGACAUAUUAAUAUUUAGAUAAAAAAUAUGCCUCUAAUUACAGAGAUCUUCCCGCCGUCUAUACUCAGUUUCGUAUAUUGUCAGCUAGGAGGGUAAAUUAGUAAAAGCGCAUUUAAAAUUGAAAUAAGUAAAAAGCUAAUUUGAAGAUAAGCCCACUGAAACACUCAAAAAAUCCCGAUGAAAAUCAGUUACCACUAACUAGAGGAUGGAUGAAUGCUUGCUCUCUUUCAUCAACCUAACUCAUCACAAAACCAUUUUCUCUUUCAAUCAACCGAGGCCCACAUGCACUCCUCAUCUCUAAAUGCUUUGAAGAUGAAAAAAAUCAGAUUUUUAUUGCCAAGUUCCGCAACUUUAGCUUAGAUUUAUUAACAAGAAAAGCAUCGAUGGUGGCCUAAGGGUGGUGUCAGGUGAAAAUAGCUGACUAUUCGGCGUCGGACAUGACUGUUAUUGACUUGAAUUCAAAGAAGGUUAGUCUUUGAAACAAUUUUGGAUUUAAUUUUUUUUUUGUUUUAAUAUGUUUUAUAUUUUAAAAUAAAAUUGAAAUUUUAUUUCAUUUUAAUCAUAGAUUGUUUUUUUUUUGUUUGAAAAUGAAAAUGGGCUGAAGUGUUGGAGAACAGUUGGCAUUGUGUUGUUCAUAAAAAAAAAAGAUAUCAAAUUGUUGAUGUAUUAGAGAAGAUGCAUGUUGUUUGUUACUUUCAGACCGUAGCUAUUUGGAUUUUUCAAGUUAAGAGCUAAUCAUAACAUAUGUGUUGGAAAUUAGUGAUUUUUAUGUGACUUCUUUGUCAAAUGAAAAUGGGUUAGCACUGUUAUGAAGAAUAUGGAUGCUAUUUGGAGGAAUUAACUUCUUAACAUGUGCUUGAACUAAAAAUACCAAUGCAUAUUAGAAAUUAGUGAAGUUAUAUGCAUUAAUAAUAUUGGAAAUAAGGGUUUGUUUGUGAUGCUUUAAAGAAGCUGAAAAGGGUAUUGCUUGUGCUCCUUAAUAUGGAGAAUUUUUAGUUGCUUGAUAAAAAAAGCAUUAGUGACAAAUAAAAUGAAGAAAUUUUGGAUGAUGUUUGUGUAAAAGAUUUAAAUUAUUUAUUUUAUUGAAGCUGUACUGUGUUUUUAUUUGUGAUUUAACCAUUAAAACGGCUCUGUAACAUUGAUUAGAGGCUGCAUGUGCUCUUUUUAUAAAAAAAGUAGUGGCAUUCCUAAGUGGAGUAAUGAGAUGCUAAGAUGGGAAUGUAUGAAUAUUUAAUUUUGUUCUUGCUUUAAACUAUGACUAUAAAUCCUAAGUCUUCUAAAAUGAAACUCAAUUAUGCUUUUAAGAUGUAAAAAGGCAUCAUUGCCAUUUUUAAGUGACUUUGAUAAUGCUUCAAAUGGAAGUUCGCAUUGGUUUGUCAAAAUCUUUUGUUAAGCAGGGUGAAAUGAUUCAAUUUGCAUUGAAUAUGCGAAAGUUUCUAAGCGAAUAACUUGUGGUCUCAUGUUAUUUUUUUUCAGAUGAUGCUCUAGUGGAGGUCGAAAAGGAAAAGAGAGUCUUUGUUAAAAAAAAAAAAAGCAGGGAACAAAUAUGCCUUUCUAUAAUUGUCUUCCUUUUAACAUGUAUGUCAGGAUUGGUGUGCAUAAAUGGCCUUUAUUGACUAAAUAAUAUAAUCAUGAACAAGUAAAAAUAUAAUUUUUUUUAGUACUUUUCCUACUGAUCAUAUGUGAAUUGAAUCAAUUGUGUUGAAAAUGUUGAUCAAGGCAAAAAAGCUCUCAGCCUUUGCUACAUUCGAAAAUAGCAAGAAGGAAUUUUGUAAGCCCAAUUGAAAAAGAUUGAGGUAACCUGUCUCUUCUUAUUCUAGAUUCUUUUUUUUUUCUUUGUUUUACUUCCCAUUUCAUCUUCAACAAAUCUAGUAAUUGGCAGGAAAUAAUUGGAAGGAAAGAAGGCUGAAUAUGCUGAAAAUCUAAAAAAUAAGGCAGCUAUACGUCACAAAGAAAUAGAAGAGAAAAGGGCAACGGUUGAAGUUAGUGGUGGAGAUUGAAUUCUUAAGUUAAAGGAGAUGGUUGAAAAAAUCGGUGUAACUAAGAGCAUUUUAAUGAUCAAUGGAAUUAAACAAAUGUUAACAAUAGGUUGUUGUCUAUUAGAUAUACCAAAUUUGACUUUGAACUGUUGUAUUAUGUUAAAUUUCUAAAUUUUAUUUCACUGUAUAGUAUCGCUAGCCCUAGUUUCCCUACGAUAUUUUUUUUUUACAAUUGAUGAAUAUUUGAUGUCAAAUUUUUAUUUCCCAAGAGUGGUAAAGUGUAAUGAUUAAUUUGAUAUUUAGUACUACUAAAUUUUUAAAUUUUAGUUCACUGUAUACUAUCGCUAGCCCUAGUUUCCUAGUAAUUUUUUUUACUUUUAACAAUUGAUGAAUAUUUGAUGUCAAAUCUUUGUUUCCCAAGUGUGUUAAAGUGUGAUGAUUAAUUUGAUAGUUAGCAAUAAGGCUGUUUAGGUCUUUUCUCAAAUCAAGGGUAAUUUUUACAUAUCACUAGUCAACUAACAUUCAAGGAAACUGAGUACAGACAGUAGGGGAGGUCUCUGUAAUUAUGAUUAUACUUUCUAUUUAAGUGUCAAUAUGUCAAAUCUCCGAGGAGGUCCCUAAAAAUUAUCCAAAAGAAAUCGAGACUUUGAGCUGGUUUGGAACAAAUUAUAUUUUCAAUUGAAAUUGAAAAGAAGAAAAAAAAAUAUAUAAGAGAGGUUUUAUAAGAUUAAUGAAGGGGUUCCAAUAAUCCAAUAUUUUCACAAUUUUUUCUUUUAAGUUUUAUUCAUCACCCCAUAGGCCCAAUUUAUUUUCGUUAUUAUGUAGGUGUGGUGUUACUAGAAAUCAAAUGUUGCCUUUUUUUCUUUUUCUUUUUUUCCUCUCCUCUCCUCACUUAUGGUGGAAUGUGGAGAAUUAAACAAAACCAAUAUCCUAAUAUAUAAUUAAUAUUUUGAAAUGACCCGCCCCGAAUCCCCCUAAGCAAGUCUAUCUAGUCUCAUCAAAACAGACUUGAUAAAAAUUCUAUUAGUAAAGAUUCUGCCAAAAAUUCGGCAGAAUCUCCUUUAUAUAUAUAACACUCCCAAUCUAUAAAUAUGAAUAUAACACUCCCAAUACAAUUCAAUAUACAACAAACUCCAGUGAUUAACAUCCUCAACUAAAAUGCUGAGUUUUAUAUCUCCAGAGUCUCAAAAGAUAAUAUUAUAACUAAUAUUAAUAUAUCAGUUUAUUCUUAAUCCCAAAAGAAUAGUAUAACAAAAUUAUACAAUCCCAACAGAACGAGAUAACCAAGAUGUCCUAACAAAAACAUUUAUAUCUUCUAACACCAUCACGUGGCCAAGACUCAAAAUAUAUUUACAGUCGCUGGGUCGGUCUGGUGUACCUGCAACCUCCUGGUGAGGGAGGGAAAAUAUAAUAAAAACGAGGUGAGUUUAAAACUUAGUGAGAUCAGUGAGUGGAUAGUAGUUUUGAAAAUUAAUUCUUACUUUAAAAGAAAUAAUCAUAUCAUUUCCAAACACGAUUUCAUUAAACCAUAAGCGAGAAACCAGUAAUAAAUCAUUAAACAUUUAAAUCAGAUUACUAACCAUGGAAAUCAUAUCACAAUAUCAUAUAGAAUUCACAAAUCUGAAAAUCAUCGCCAAACAAGUACCCAGGGAAAUAAUCUCGUCAUAUCCGAAUCUCAACGGAUGGGCAAUGAUGUACUAUCUGGGUAACGUCACGCCCCGGAGCUACACGGAUAGAUAGGGAAAUCUCAUAUCUCAUCAUAUCUGUGCAUGCAUAAUCUAGUCCCCAAGGGACAAAAGCGCCCAAGCACACGGCCCAAAACCUCUGUGUGUACUCAGACGGGCCCCAAAGGCCUAUAUCUCAUUUGUAUCAUAUGUAUUAUUUGUAUCAUAUGUAUUAUUUGUAUCUCAAUAUCUGUCUGUAUCUCAUAUCAGUAUAUCUGUAAUCAUCAUACCGCAUGCAUAUGGCCCCAAAAGGCAAAAGCACCCAAACACACGGCCUAAAGCCUCUAUGUGUCAAAGGCCUCUCAUCUCAUCUCAUCUGUAUCACUGUAUCUGGAGGGAAGGGUACUGUCUAAUGAUUUCAAAAACAAUCAUUAUACUCAUUCACAUACCUCUUAACCAUAUUUUAAAUCAUACCACAUUUGAAUCCACUUUUCUUAUCUUUAAAAUACUAUCAUGCUUAUUCAAAGUCGAUACGCAAAAUCAUUAACCAAACAUUUUAAUAAAAUAUCAAUGCGUGAAUAAAAUCCAUUUCGAGAAAUCAUUAAAUCAGAACAUUUAAAAUACUUAUUUCGCAAACAUGCUUUACUAUCAUCGCUAACUAUGAAAAUAAGUUUUGUAUAUUCCACUCACAGUGACGGUGUUCACGGUCGGUUAUCGUCCACGUCCGCGGACCGGUUCUCGCUCGCAAAUCCUCCUAAAUUAAGGAAACGACAUAAUUAUUUUCCGUAAAUCGGAAUUAUGACUAAAUUUUAUGCAAUAAACUCGAAACGAACAUCUAUCCAUAAUUUACAACUCCUGUGUCCAUAAAAUUUCUAAAAUGCCCUUGAGUCCGUAGAUCAUUAACAUGCUCUGAAAUCGUAAAUCACCGAAUUACCCUCGGAAUCGUAAUUACACCCAAUCCUCAAUUCUAGGAAUUACUAAAAUAUCCACAGGCUCAGAAAUUACAAAAUUGCCCUCAUAGUGUGAAAUUACCAAAAUGCCCUUGCCGAUCAACGGUCACCGGAAUUUGGUCAACACUGGCUAGGAAGCUCAAAUCUUAAAGUUCCAAUCACGCUGAGUUCAAUGGUACCGACGGUGAGCUCCAACGCGCGGCAACGACGCCGGAAUCUAGCUCGGCAGCCGUGAAUUCCAAGAAUCGACCGGCGGCAAAACAGUGACUCUCGGUGCCUAUGAAUGGUCGGAAAUGGAAGAGGGAAUCGUGGGGAACAAAAUCCAACUGGUGGUGUCACCCAAAACCGGCGAAAAUCCCGGCGGAGUAAAGUGAAACAGUCGCGGGUUUCAAGCUUCGAUCUCCGGUGUUCCGGUUGGUUUUCGGCGGAGAGGAUGGCAUGGGAACGACGGUCGGCUUCUAAGCUUCAGAUUGGUACCAAGCUCGGCCAAAACGGUGGCCGGAAAUGGGAGAUAUGGCCGGGUCACGUUCGCAGGUCAGGUCGGGUUUUUUCGGGUCUGUAGUUGGGUUGGUUUGGUAGCUUCUCUCUCACUCUCUGUUACACGUGCAUAUGUUUCCUUUGUUUCUAGCUUAUUCUUUUACUUAUAAAAUCCUUAACCGCCUCAUUUUCAUUUUAAAUUCACAUAUGUUACAUAUUUAUUAACAGAUUUCAGAAAAAAUUAAUAUUUUAAAAUAUUGCAAACUGCCAAAAAGUCAAACUUUUAUUUGCUACAUAAAUAUAAUCUAUUUUAGAUAUCAAUAUCAAAUUUGUUAGGUUAAAUUCUAGGUUCAAAUCUUAGCAGGCAGAAGUUUGAGUUAAAUUGGUAAAUGAAUUAUUUUUUAAUUAAUUUCUUCUUUUUGAUUUUGAAAAAAACAUUCGAGAGAAAGAGAGGAAGUUGAAACUGAAGCCGAAUCAACUGGAGCAGCAUCAAGCAUCUUUUGAAAUUCUUCUACAUGCUGCUUUUUUUCAGCUUUUGUUUUCAAAUGUUAUUGAGGGCAAAUAAAGUCUGUAUGCUUGAUAUUGAACAUAAUUUUUAACAAAUAAAAACUAACACUGACGUUGUGCCAAAGAAUUUGUUUCUAGCUUAACUGGGCCCAUUUAGGAUAGCUAAGAUAGCUGCGCUGCCAAACAGGGCUUUGAUUUCAUUGCUAUAAGUAUUUAUCAAGUAUUUUUAAUAGAUUUUUUUGGGUGGGCUGAAUGGUUAAGUAAAUUAAUUAAAUGGUUUAAAUAAGGAUAUUUUUUUAUAUUUUAAAAAAUGUACGUAUUAAAAUUUUAUAUAUUAAAUAUACAAAAUAAUAGAAUGUUUAGAAUAAUUUUUAGACAGCAAGCAGCCCUACUCAUUUUAUUAAUCAAGACUUAAGUGUCACUAAACUAAACCUCCAUAUUCCAAAUCUAUAGAAAAAAACGAGAAAAGGUACCGAAUGCAAGCGAUCUGCUGUUCAUCAAUAUUAUCUGGUGCUGUUGCAGAUCAUUUUGUUAUUCUGGUCCAUCAAAGCAUCAAAACAAUUUGUCUGUGAAAACGAUUGUGGAAACGUGUAGAUGAUAUUCCCCUUUGGAAUUGGAGAAGGGUGCCACUUUGGUAAGAGUUAUCACGUAAUAUUCACUCUUCUGGCUCUCCCAAAGGUUUUCAUCCUAGUAUCAAGACGGAAUAUCGUACCGUUACUCCGUAACUAAAACUGGAGCAACAUUCCUAUAGUUUCUAUACACAGUGCUAUUGCCACAAGCAAUAAUAUUGCUAGAGCAGUCAAUAUAUAUGGUAGUCCUUUUACCUUUCCCUGGGGGCUCAAUAAAUUUACAGCCAUAGGCUGUGACAAUUAUGCAAUUAACCUGGACAAUGAUAAUGAUUCAGCUGUGCCUGUAUGUCUGCACUUGCGAUCCUUCUCAGAAAAGUGGUUGCUUUAUUUGUUCAGAGUAAAAUUUGGAAUGUAAAAAAUUCCAUCCAAAACUUUAUCAUCGAACAAUUUGUAUGAAUUCCUGUAAGGAAUACGUUGGCAUAUCACAGAAGCCCAAUUACAAAUACAUCCGCAAAAUAUCUACCAAAGAUAUUUCAGCAAGCUUGUCAAGUAGUGGGACAGGGAAUGGCUCUCUGUUCCUGAGGCAUGAAUUGACGUCCUGCCCAUCGUCCCCCUUUGCCUCCCCACCAUACAAAUAACAAAUGAAAAUUAGGCCAAUUAAAUUAAAGGCAAGACGGGAUGGAAAUAUGGAAUCGUUGAUUAUUAUACCCAUGACCCCUCUAAUUAAUGGUUCUUUCCCUUCGAUAUUAUUGUACGUGUUUGGAAGGAAACCUCCUCUAUCUUUUUUUCCAAUUAAGACUAUUGAAUGUCCAAUUAAUGUAAAUUGUUUUUGAACGUGUAGAGGAUAACAUGACAAUGCGGAGACAUUUAAAGUUGAUUGACAGAAUGAACAAAAUAUCCUAAAUAAUGAGGCUAAUUGAAAAAUUUUUAAAUUAACAAAACUAGAGUUUUAGAUCUUUUUAUAUAAUAACUUUAAAUAUAAUAAAAUUCUCUUAAUCUGAAUAAAAAAUCCAAAACAAAUAGUGCUCAAAUCUAUUAUUUAGGGAAAAAAAGAAAUUAGAAAAAAUAGAAGAAUAUCUUAAAAAUCGAAAAAUGAUAAGGAAAGAAAUAAUUUUUCAGGCUCAAGCAAGGCCCAAAAUGGCAUAAGCUUUGUAGGCUUGAUUUGUCUUCUCGCAAACUUUAAAACGAUAUAUUAUACACUCAAAACAGACACAUGUAGCCUAAGUUAUACCCUUUGGAAAGUACCCUUCUCAUCCCACACACCCAUCAUACAGUAGUCCCUCUCACUUGGAAAAGAACUUGCCCUCGAGUUUGACUUGUACAAUGCCUCAUCAUCUAGAUGAUAUUUAAAUAGAUUAGCCAUAUUGAAUGUGUAAGAGAUCUUCUAGUUGUCCGGCAGUUAGAGCACAUAAGCAUUAUUAUUAAUCUUCCUUGCCACACGAAACGGUCCAUACUUGAUGUGGACAUGCAUCACUUUCCCGUGUCGAUGCAUGUUCACAUCGACCUUGUACAUAGCGUUUGCAGCCUCCAAAUGAGCUCGUUCCUUGACAUGAAUCUGUAGAGCUCUUUUUACCACAUUAUUCACUAUUUUACUCCCUCCAGUUGCUAUGGGCAUGAUAGCUAAAUCAUAAACAUGGGGUAGGGAACAAGUGUAGACAAUCUCAAAAAGGGUCUUACCACCAUGUUAUUGAAAGCAAACUUGACUUGAGGCAAGAUAGUUUCCCAAUUCCGUUGCUUGUCACCACAAACAUAGUGCAACAUGUUAACCAGAGUGCGAUUAACCACAUCCAUUUGACCAUUUGUUUGCUAAUGAAAAGCACUACUAAAUUGUACUGAACUUAUCCUAGAGAUGAUGCCAAAACUUACUGAUAAACUUCACAUUCAUGUCAGAAGUAAUAGUCUUUAGCAUACCAUACAAACUUACCACUUCUUCAGAGAACAAAUGCGCAGCUAAAGCAGCAUCUUUAGUAUUCUUGCAAGCAAUAAAAUGCAUGAUCUUUGAAAACCUGUUGAUCACAACCUAUCAAUUUGUUCCCUUAGAAUUUCGAGGCAUAUAUAACUAAUUAGAAUUGAACAGAUACCCAUCUUGAAUAAGGAAAUCUUUUACAUUUUGAUGAUUAAUGCAUCGAUCUUAAAUAUGCGCAAAGUCUUCAUCCUUAGCGUACAACUCCUUCAAGCAUUCAAAACCAGUACCUUUAAUGACGAGAGUAGUAAAGUUGCUCGCCUACUGAGUGCAUCUGCUAUCUUAUUAUGUUGCCCAAAUUUAUACUUAACAAUAAAAGUGAACUUUUACGUAUAGCGCACCCAUCUUGCAUGCAUCUUGCUCAGAUAUUGCUGGUUAUUAAAGUACUUGAAUGCUUGAUGAUCACUAUAAAGUACGAACUCUUUAUGAAUCAAGUAAUGCUCCUAUGACUUCAACACCCUAAGGAUUUGAUAAAAUUCUUAGUCGUAAGUAGACCAUUUCUGUUAUAUUUUAUUUAACUUCUCACUCAUAUACCUAAGUAGUCGUCCCUCUUGAGAAAUAACAGCCCAAUACUAUUACCAUAAGCAUCACAUUCAACCUCAAACAACUUGAUGAAGUUUAGUAAGGCUAACACAGGAGUAGUAAAAAAAUUCUCUUUUAAUAAAACAAAACUGCACUCUGUAAUAAGUGGGGCUAUGUUACUAAAACUAUAAAUAAAUCUCUUAUAAAACAUCGUCAACCCAUGAAAACUCCUAACUUCACCCACUAUCUUCGGCAUAGGCCAUUCAUUAAUGGCUUGUAUCCUCGACUCAAUAACUCGAAUCCUAUCUACAUCAGUUAUAAAACUAUAAAUUCCACAUUACUCUACAGAAAGCUACACUUCUUUAGAUUAAUAUAAAGUUUAUUUUUUUUUUGCAACAUCUUUAUAAUCAUUCUCAAAUGUUCUAGGUGUGCCACUGCAUUAACAAAAUAAACUAAGAUAUUGUCAAAAUUCACCACAAUAAAUUUGCAGGAAAAAGACUUAAGAACUUGAUUCAUUAAGUGCAUAAAAGUGCUUAACACAUUAGACAACCGGAAUGGCAUAAAAUACCACUCAUACAGCCCUUUUUUUAAUUUUAAAUGUUGUCUUCCACUCACCAUCAGGCCUAAUUAUGAUAUUAUGAUAUUAUGAUAUCCAUUACACAAAUCUAUCUUUGAGAAAACCCGAGCAUCAUUUAGUUGAUCUAAUAACUCUUAAAACGUGGAAUAAGAAAUCGAUUCUUCACUAUAAUAUGGUUAAUUAGCAUACUAUCUGUAUAUAUAUGCCAACUCUCAUCCUUUUUCGAUACCAACAAAGCUAGUAUAGUACAUUAACUCAUGCUCUCAUGAAUGAAACCUUUCCCUAACAAUUCAUCAACCUACCCUUGUAAGAUCACAUGCUCGUGAGGGCUCAUACGAUAAUGAAGCAAGUUAGGUAAACUCGCACCAUAUCUCAUAAAGGUGGCAGCCCAUCCAACAACUUUAAUGGUCUAAUAUCAACAAACUCAAUUAAUAAUGGCUAUACUUUUUUCAAGAACAAUCUUCACCUUUAAUUCUUCUUUUUUCUCUAGCUUCUAGCAAUCAUCGCAAUCAUCCUCUUGAUGAUUUUUAACAACCUUAGUAUUCUUCUUGUUGUUCGUUAAAGGCAUCAACGAACCUUCUUGUUAUUUCACUAAAACUCAUACACAUUAUCCUCUCUUCUAUACUGUAUCAACAUCAAAUUACUAAAGUCUACCAAAUAAUAGAUGGCACACAUCCAUAUUCUUUACAUCGCUCAACACAUCACUCUUAUAAAUCUUCCCAAUGGAGAAAAGAACACGACGGUCCUUUAUUACUUGCAUUUUUGUCUCUCUAUUUAUCAAUCAUAUUCUGUUAGAUACUGGAUUUUUUUGGUUGAAAGUCCUAUCAUGUCAAAUAGCACCUUUGAAAAUAUGUUCUCGCUAUUGCCACUAUUAAUUAUAAUGUUGUACACCUUAUCGUUGAUAGUGCCACAUGUUUUAAAAAUCUUAUUGCGCUGAUUAUCCUCUUUAAAUUUUCAAUGAUAAUAAAAUCUUCUAUAUAAUACAAUUUAGUUUCUCCUUCAUUUGCUUUCAACUCUAAAGCUUCUUUGGCAUCCCCAUUCUCAACGUCGUUCAGCUCUGUCUUGCUGACUUUACCCUCUACUAAAUUCAAAAUUUUAAAAUGAUAGUUACUCGAUCGAUGGCCUAGCUCCCUACACUUCAAACACUUGUCCAGCAUAGGCUUCACUAUAAGUGAUUGUAUCUACUAUCUCAUCUUAUAUCUCUUGUUUUAAUCUGCCAAUAUAUUUCGUAACUAUUCAAAAUUCUGGCUCAUCCAUAUUAUUUUGAGUGUGUAGACAAUAAAAUUCGUUUAUAUAUUCAUUGACACUAUGAUUUCCUUACCUGCAGUUCUGAUAUUUAAAACUGCUGCCAGUAUUCUACUGGCAGGAAAUACUCUCUCAUCAUCCUUUGCAUUCCAGGCCACUAUUUGAUAAUUUUUUUUGCAACUUUUCUUUAAUUAUGUAUGUAUUGCCAUUAUGCAGAAGCUGGACAAGCUUAAUUCACUUCUCUUGAGGAAUCUCCAUAUACUCGAGAAAAUUAUCCACUUGUGAUAUCCAGUCUAAAAAUUUUUCAACAUGCAUCCCACCAAAAAAAUUCAGAAUAUUAACAUUAAUCUUGUAAUCUAAACUCUUUUUGGGCCCCUAUCAUCCUCCAUAUAUUUUUCUUCUUCUAAAUCGUUUCUUAGCUCCUUACGCACGUGUACUGGUAUUCAUCACGUAGGACCUAAAUUUUGAGGUACUACUUCAUGAUUGAUGCCUUGAGGUUUUAUUUCAUGACCGACCCCUUGAGGUAUCUCCAUGUAGUUGUAAUCUUCAGGUUGUACACCACGAUUGACUCUUUGAAGUUCUUCCUCGUGAUUAACUUUUUGUUGUUGACCUCUCUUUCUGUUUUUGUUCAAGGAAAACUUAAGACUCAUAAUUGUCUUGCUCUAUCACCACUAAUCCCGAGUUAUAAGCUUCCUCAAUUGCUUCCAAGGUUGCUUCUCGAGCCGCCCGUUUCACAGCCUCCACAGUCUUUGGCUACAUCCCUUUGUUAACAUGUAUGUGUCUAUAAUAAUGAUUUUGAUGAUAACAAACAAGAUUAAGAAUGAUUAAGUUUUUAAAAGCUCAAGUUAUUUUUCAUACAUUUUAAAUAAAUCAUUAUUUUCAUAUAAUAAAGGUUUUUUUUUCAAAGAAAACGUGAUUUCAUGAAAUUGGUUGUUUUUCAAGCUCAUGGUCUAAUUGAAAAAAUUUUGAGAACUUUGAAAUCAACAAGUAUUGCUUAAAAUUCUAAAAAUGGACUUGUUUGAAAAGUAUCAUAAAGUUUUGGGCCAUAGUACAAGUAUAUAAAAUUUUGGGGCAAAAAUAUAAUUUUAGAAAAUAGUUUCAUUGUAGCAGUCGCUGUAGCAAAUAGCUAGCUGUUUGGAAGAUAACAGCUAACUUACAUUGAACAGAAUUGAAGAUUAGUGUUUGUAUACUAACGGCAAACCGACUUCUUGAAAAUGGUAAAUCGACAUCUUCUUUGCAAGUUACUGGACGAUAAUGGCGAUCCGACAUUUCAAUAACGGUGAUCUGACAAUUUGAAAUUCUGUCUAAUGGUAACUUGCUCAAGUCAAAACGGCAAUCCAACUUCUAUUUAACGUUGAUCCAACUUCGAGUAAAUUAUCUCUAACGACUAUUCUUCAGCUCAAACUAUAAAAAGGCUCAUUUAAACACAAAUAAUAGUGAUUGCAACUACUAUCAAUGAGCCAUGUAGAUGCUGUGGUUCAAAACGAAAAUAGAAGAGUGUGGAGAUGUACCAGUAUUUAUGGCCAUCCAAAAUUGACCUAAAAGCACCAUACUUGAACUCUCUUGAAAAGGUUAGCAGCUCUCUCUUUUCACCCCUGGUGUUGCUUUGGAGACUUCAAUGAGAUUUUGUAUUUGCAUGAGAAAAAAAGAGGGAAUGAUAGAAACCGAAAUGUGAUAGCUGAUUUUAGAGAAGCUGUCCAAGCUUAGAAUUUGGUUGAUAUUGGGUAUCACGAGUAUCCUUAUACAUGGUUGAAUAGGAGAUUUGGCCCUCACCACAUAGAAGAGAGGCUAGAUAGAUUCCUGUGCAACAAGGAUUGGUGUGAUAAUUUUCAAGCGUCAACAACAAUUAAUCUGGUGAAUUGGGUUUCAGAUCACUACGCAGUUGUUUUUUAUUGUAAUGAGAGAGGUAGAAACAAAAGCUAGAGGAAACAACAUCCCACUCGAGAGCAUUACGAAGACACGUGGAGUCCCUAUAAAGACUGUAAGAGAAUAGUUAGUGAAGAAUGGGCUCACUAUGGAGAGAAAUCUUGGGAGAAUCUGGCGCAACAAUUCCAAAGGGUAGCUAAAAAUUCUUUAGCUCAGCUCAAGUUGUGGAGUAAAGAUGAGUUUGAAGGCAACCAAAAAAAAACAAGAAAAGCUUAUCAAACAGCUGGAGAACCUCAGACAGAGCAACGAUCAAAUGAGGGAAGGGCUGAAAUUAGAAGAAUUGAGAAUCAAAUUAAUAACAUGCUGAUUGAUAAAGAAGUCUAUUGGAAGUAAAGAUCAAGGGCUGAUUUGCUUAGAUAGGGAGAUAAAAACACCAAGUUCUUCCACUCCAAUGCUUCAGAUCGGGGGGUAGAAAACAAUCAAGGCCAAUGGACAGCGAAGCAGGAUGAAGUCGAGAGGGAGUUCUGCAAUUAGUUCCAAAGCUUAUUGACAUCAUCCAGCCCAACCUACAACCAAAUUUAAGCUGCCUUAGAGAAACUUCCAGCAAAGGUCACCCCAGAGAUAAACGCCUAUCUGGAAGAGCCUUUCAGUCUUGAGGAGAUUGUCAAAUCUCUAUCUCAGAUGCCGCCCACAAAAGCUCCAGGCCCUGAUGGACUUCCUGCUGCUUUUUUCCAAAAGCACUGGAAAUCAGUUCAUAAAGGAGUGGAAGAGACUUGUUUAUACAUCCUUAAUGAGCAAGGUAACCUCGCUCCUCUAAAUCAUACUUUCAUUGCUCUUAUUCCUAAGACAAACAAGCCAAGGAAAGUCUCUGAGUUUAGGCUAAUCAAUCUCUGCAAUGUAGUGUACAGAAUAGUUGCCAAAGUUAUUGCAAAUAGACUGAAACCAAUACUCUCCCAAAUUAUCUUCCCCACCCAGAAUGCCUUUAUUCCAAAUCGGAUAAUUACGGACAAUGUGAUAAUUGGCUAUGAAUGCAUGCAUAAGAUCAGAAGCAGUAGAGGGAAAAGAAAGGGUUUGGUAGCUCUAAAGUUGGAUAUGAGUAAGGCAUACGAUAGGAUUGAGUGGCCUUUUCUGAAGCUCACAAUGGCUAAGCUCGGCUUCUCUCAAAAGUGGGCAAAGUUGAUAAUGAACUACAUACAACAACAGCCACCUUCUCAGUCUUAAUCAACGGCAGUCCCAAAGGUUUUAUCCAACCUGAGAGAGGUCUGAGAUAGGGCUGUCCCCUUUCCUAUUAUUUAUUUAUUUUGUGUGCUGAGGUUUUCUCAAAUUUAUUGCUCCAAGCAGAGAAAAAUCAGCUGAUCAGGGGCUUGAGGUUUGCCAAAGAAGUCACAAUUUCUCACAUACUGUUUGCAUAUGAUAGCCUUAUCUUCUCAAGGGCUACAAAAUCCGAUUGCAGGCACUUGAAGAGAAUAUUUGACUGUUAUGCUAAAGCCUCUGGGCAGAUCUUUAAUUUUGAAAAGUCAUCUAUGGUGUUUAGUGGCAAAGUGCCGAACAACCAGAUUACAGCAAUCAAAGAUAUCCUCAACUUAAAGGUAGUCUUCAGCCAUGAAAAAUAUCUCGGCCUCCUAUCCAUGAUAGGCAGAAAGAAAACCAAUUUUUUCAAGGACAUCAAGCUGAAAAUCCUGAGUAAAAUUUCAAGCUGGUAUCACAAGAUGUUCUCAAGUGGUGGGAAUGAAACUCUUAUUAAAGCGGUAGCCCAAGCAGUCCCAGCCUAUGCCAUGAGCACAUUUAAGCUUCCAAAGAGCUUAUGUGAAGACAUACAAAGAGCCAUUGCAAAGUUCUGGUGGGGAUCUAAGGAGGAAAAACAAGGCAUCCAUUAGGCAAAAUAGAGCAGACUCAGCCGUGCAAAGAGUAGAGGGGGUAUGGGAUUUAGAGAUCUCUUCAGCUUUAAUCAAGCUUUGGUGGCCAAACAAGGCUAGAGGUUGAUGCAGUAUCCUAACUCUCUGGUUUCCAAAGUGCUGCAGGCACGAUAUUACAAAAACUCCACCUUCUUAAAUGCAAGCAUAUGAUCCAACCCAUCUUAUAUAUGGAGGAGUAUCAUAUGGGGGCGGCAAAUCAUCAAGGAAUGAGCUAGAUGGAGAAUAGGUAAUGGUAAAAAUAUUCGGAUUUACAAGAUUGCUGGAUUCCAAGACCAACCUCUUUCAAGCCGAUAUCUCUACCAAGCUUGUCUACAGAUGCUAUCGUGGCAGACUUGAUAAACGCAGAAAACCAAUGGGAUGUGGAAACAUUAAACCAGCACUUCAUGCCAUCAGAUGCCGAUUUGAUCUUGAAGAUCCAUUUGCCACAUAGGCAAUCCGAAGAUGAAUUAAUGUGGCAUUUUGAUAAGAAAUGAGAUUAUUCAGUGAAAAACGGCUACCAAAUAGCUUUAAAAAUAAAUCUUCCAGAAGAGCCUGGCUGCUCAGGAAGCAAUUCAAACCAAUGGAAAGGAAUAUGGUCUCUUGCUUUGUCCGAAAAGAUUAAAAUUUUCUUAUGGAGAGCUUCAAUAACCUGCUGCCAACAGCUGAGAAUUUGUGGAGGAGAAAAAUCAUUCAAGAUCCAAUUUUUCAAAGGUGCAGAAGGUCCAUUGAAUCAAUAAGUCAUGCGCUCCUAAUCUGUAAAUCAGCAAAGAAAAUCUGGAACCAUGCCCCUUUUCCAGUGAACAAACAUGAAUUUUAUUCCCAGGACAUCUUCACUAUCAUCCAGGACAUGAGCAUCAGAUUUAGGAAGGCUGAUAUAGAGCUAAUGGCAGCAUACUUGUGGGUUUCAUGGUAUGCAAGAAACAAGUUCUUGUUCGAUGGGAAGAACCUGAAGCCAAGCAUCUUAACAGCUAAGGCAUAAUCAACAGUGGAAGCAUACCAGAGGGUAAGGAAGAUAGGGCUUUCUCAUAUUAGCAAUACCAUCAACAAGAAGCAGGAAAGAUAGAUCCCCAUCCAGACAACUCUUUCAAAGUCAACGUUGAUGCAGCCAUAAACAGCAAGAACCAAACAGUGGGCAUAGGUGCAGUUAUCAGGGAUUCAAAAGGCAUUGUGAUAGUAGCAGGCAUCCAGUAGACCACGCUAAAAGGAGAAGUCAGCUUUGCCAAAGCAGAGGCUAUGAGGUGGGGUUUGCAGAUUGCAAAGGAAGCAGCCUUAUCGAAUCUAAUAGUUGAGACAGAUUGUCAAGAGGUGGCUGAGUUGGUUAACAACACAAAGGGCAGCAAAACUGAAAUUUUCUGGAUUGUGUCUGAUAUCCAAGACCAGAGAAAGUAUUUCCAGAAGACUACAGUGCAAUAUGUUCCUAGAUAUUGUAAUGCUUAUGCCCAUUCCUUAGCAAAAUUUGCGUUAGGAAGAAAAACAUCUGCGAUCUAGUUUUAUCCAUUACCAGCAGAGAUAAUGAAUGUAUUUGACAGUGUUGUUUGAAGUAAUGAAAGUCUUUACUUUCUUUUAAAAAAAAAAACUACUAUCAUUGAGCAAACUAUUGAGCAUACAACUUUCAUUGAGUUUUAAAUUCUUAUAUUCAUCUCAUUUACUAACAUUUUAAGAUUUCAUUUGUAAUCGAACACAAUGUGUGAGAGGGAUUUAUUUGUAAUCCCUUUUGUAAAAUUAAGUUGAGAGGUUAUAAGUAUUGGGAUACACUUGGGUUAAGAAAUUGGGGAUAAUCUCUUGUUGUAAAGGUCUAUUGGUAUCUUGGAAGUCAAUUGUAAAAAGUUAUUGAAGCCUUGGAGGCUUACUUAGUGAAAUCUUCAAGUCCGAUGAGCUUAGAGGCAUGGACAUAGGCACGGGUGGCCAAACCAAGUAAAAAUCACGUGUUUGCUCUCUCUUACCCUAUUUCCUUAUUUUUUAUUACACAUUAAUUUGUUUAUUUCAAAUUUGAUUGCCUUGUUUAAAUUGCAUUAAGUUUCUUAGUUGCUUAAAUUUUUUAGAAACUCAAUUCACCAUCCCUUUUGGGUUGUCUAGUUAGUAUUUCACCAUUGAUUAUCGUCUUCCGGGCAAUUGCUCCUAUGAUCGUGUGGUUGCACCAUAAUGAUAAGCGAACUUGCUUUGAUACUAAUUAAAGAUGCGGAAAUGUUUAAAUUUGAUUGAUAGAAGAAACAAAAGUUUCUAAAUGAUAAAAUUUAAAUGUCUGAAAUUAAUAAAAUUAGGGUUUUGGGCCCCUUUAUAUAAUAAUCCAAAAAAUUUUGAAUUUACCAAAUAGGUAAAUCUAAAAAAUUAUUUUAUAAUAAAAUUCUCCUAAUCUGAAUAAAAAAAUCUAAAACAAAUGGUGCCCAAAUCUAAGAUCUUAAAAAAAGAUAAAAAUCAUAAAAGAAAUAGAAAAAAAAAUAAGAAAAUAUCUUAAAACUAAAAAAACGACAAGGAAAGAAAUGGAUUUUUAGGCUCGAACACUGCCCAUGCAACAAUUCUAGUUUUGAUUCGUCUCGUCACAAGCUUCAAAAUAAUAUAUAAUAGGCCUAAUAUCUCAUUCGUCCUAUGCAUCCAUCCUACAUCAUAACAGCUUGAAGACUUGGGAGGGCCAACUUAAUUCAAAGUCAACACUAGCUUAUUACCUUGCGGGAUUUUUAAUUGUGAGGGGAAAAAACUGUUGAAAGAUGUUGGGUUUAAAGUUUAUAAAACUUUAAUUAUUUCAUAAAAUUGUUUUAUUUUUUAUUCGUCAUCACGUUGGGAUUAUCCCCAAUGGCCAAUUUUAUUUUCAUUUUUUUAUAGGUCAAUAAAUGCUACUAGAAAUUGAUUAUUACCUCUCUUUUUCUCAUUUAUUGAUGACUAUGAAGAAUUAGAUAAAACUCAUAAAUGACCUAAUAUAUAUAAUGAAUAUUUAGAUUUUGUUUCAUAUCCAUACGAUAUCUGGGAGUAUGACAUAGUCUCCAAAAAUAGCCAAAUAUUUCACAUCUAUCACAAGUGCUUUCUUGAAUAUUAUCUUGUGGCAGGUGUUUCAUCCUCAAUUUUUUUCCUUUUCUAUGGUUCUUAUAACCACCGUGAGGUCGACAAUAAUUUUUUUUUUCAUGACCUCAAUCUUAAUAAUAGCCAUGACCACAACCAUGACUACAUCUACGGGCAUAGUUAUGCCCACGACCAUGCCCAUUUUCAUCAUGAUCACAUAGACAACAUUUGCUCCAAGAACUUGUUUUGUAUCAAUAGGAUGGGCUUAAUAAUUGAAUAUUCUUUUCUACCAAAAGAAAGCAUGCAAUCAAAUCAGAAUAUUUUGUAUACCGACGAGCUCUAUAUUGUUGUUAUAGAACUGUAUUGGAAGGAUGAAAUUUUAUAAUUUUUUUUCAACAUAUCCCCAUCAGUAAUAUUUUCCCCACAUAGUUUUAAUUAUUUAGUAAUUUUGUACAAUGUAGAAUUAUAUGUGUUGGAGAAAAAUCAGUUUUUUAAAUUUUUAUAAAACAUUUUAAGAUCGCUCUCAUACAAUAUAUAAGAAUUUGUAAUCUAGAAAUCGUACCUUGAAAAUCCGAUUUGGCUUUUUCCACUGAAUUGAUUUAGGCUCCCAGAUCACGAUCCGUCACCACCACUCCUGUUAGAUCACGAUCCGUCACCACCACGCUUGUUAGAUCACGAACUGUUACCAAUGAUCUUCCAGGUUAUGAUUCAGGUUUGAUCUGCACUUGACGUGUGGGUGCCUUUAUCACUACCAAAGCAGCUAGCACGAGAAAAUUUUUCUCUCAACAAUAGAGAGAAAAAUCUUUUUCUCUGAUCUGUAUAAAGUAGCUGCUCCCCUUUUCUUUAGAGAAAAUAAACCUUUUUAUAUCUCCCUUUAGUGAAAACCCUAGACUCCAAAUAAUGAAAAUCAAAACUCACGUUACUUGCUUUUUCUAUAGGGGAUCCACCUUGUAAAAUAACAUAAGGCCCCUUACACACAAGCUAAUAAAAUAGAGCCUCCCACUAAAUGAUAUAUUUAGGUUUUUGACCCAAAUAACCAGUUAUCUUUUUUAUUAAUCCAGUAGUGGUGCAGUCAAUUAAAUGAGCUAACCAGGGGAUCAUUUGGGAACAUACAAUAGUGGCUAUAACAAUUAAGCAUGUAAUUAAAAUAGCCUAAUUUUUUAAUUCCAAAUCUACUCCACUAAAAGAUUGGAAUUGACCUCCAUAAUUGUAUACUCGAAUAAUAAUUCGUCCCAAGCCACAUUGAUUUCUUUACUGCACAAUCCUUUGUACCACAUCAUUAAUUAAAUCGAUAUCUCAACUGUCCAAUCAAUUUAAUUACAUCUUGUUCCUUAAUACUUACUGGUUUUCUCUAAUGAUCAUUUUCAACAUACUAAAUAUGUUGACACACUCUGGCUAGAGAAUUCUAUGAUCAAGUACCGAAAACCCAUCAAGAGAUAUGUUGUACAAAUUAUUGUUAAUUCAUAACUCCAAUCCUCAUAAUUGCUCCCACCAAGAUACCGGGUAAUCUUGACCACAAGUAUUUGUCGUGCCCAUUGGUAACUCAAAUGGAAUAACAAUUACAAUCAUGAAAUCGUAAUUAACUCAAGAUUAAGAUUACAGUAAAAUCAAUGCCUAUGAGAUUUAAUAAGUAUGACAGUUAUUACAAAGUUAAUUAAAUCUCAUAUGUGAUCAUGUUCAAUGUAGGCGUACUACAUCAAUAAAUUCAUACAUGAUUAAGACAAAUCAUUCAAUGAAUUCAUUACAGUCUAUACCUAAAUAAAGUGCCCAACUUUAUUUAUCAACUGCGAACUAAAUUUAUUUAAUCAUAAGAUAACUUGUAUUUAUGUCUUCUGUGAAUCCACAUAGUGAUCACAUAAAUACAUAUACUAUGAUUAAAUAGAUUUUAAUCAAAAUAUUAAUUUAAUUAAGAUAUUUGAAUAAAAUACCUCAUUUAUUUUAUUAAUUAGAAAAAUUAUUUAUUACAAUUAAAUAAACACAUAUGUUUUUAAAGAGCACAUUUUCCCAACAAUCUCCUAAUAGCUCUCAAAGCAUAUUUGGCAUCUCACGCAUGCCCAUGGAUUCUAAGUGCAAGUUAAAAGGUUUCCCAGGUAUGGCCUUAGUAAAAGGAUUUGCCAAGUUUUGCUCUGACGCAAUCUGAGUAACCUCCACAUCACCUCUCUGCACUAUAUCCCUUAUAAGAUGAUACUUCCUCUCAAUAUGUUUUGUUUCUUGUGGUUCCUUGGUUCCUUAGAUUGAGCUACUGUACCACUAUUAUCGCAAAGUAGUUUAAGGGGUGCAGUUAUAACAGGUACCACCUCAAGAUCUUGUAGGAACUUGCGGAGCCAUACAACUUCUUUUGCAGCUUCGGAUGCAGCCAUAUAUUCAGCUUCAGUUGUGGGGUCUGCGAUACAAGAUUGUUUCACACUCCUCCAACUAAUAGCUCCACUUCCCAAUGUAAACACAUAGCCGGAAGUUGAUUUUCUGGAAUCCUUAUCUGACAUAAAGUCAGAAUCAGUAUAACCCAUUGGAAUGAGUUCAUCACCAGAAUACACAAGCAUAUAAUUUUUAAUUCUUUUCAGAUACUUCAUUAUAUGCUUGACCGCAGACCAGUGUUUAGGUCCAGGAUUAGAUUGAUAUCUACUAACCAUCCUUAUUGCAAAACAAAUGUCUGGCCUAGUGCAAAGCAUGGCAUACAUGAGACUUCCCACAGCUUCUGCAUAGGGAGCUUGUCUCAUUUUCUCUAUCUCUUCAGAUGUUUUAGGUGAUUAAUCCUUAGAGAAUGUAAUUCCAUGUCUGAAUGGUAAUAAACCAGUCUUGGAAUUUUCCAUGCUAAAUCUAGCUAAUAUCUUAUCGAUAUAGACCGCUUGAGACAAGGCUAAAGUUUUAUUCUUCCGGUCUCGUACUAACUUGAUAUCAAGAAUAUAACUUGCCUCUCCUAGGUCUUUCAUAUCAAAUUGUUUUGCUAACCAACUCUUUGUUGUAGUCAAUACUCCUAUAUCAUUUCCAAUUAGGAGAAUAUCGUCUAUAUAAAGAAUUAGGAAGGCUACAUAUUUUUCUUGAAUCUUCUUGUACACACAUGGUUCAUCAAUGUUCUGAAUGAAUCCAAACGAUUUAAUCGCUUGAUCAAAUAUGAUGUUCCAUGACCGGGAUGCUUGCUUCAAUCUAUAAAUGGAUCUCUGCAACUUACAUACCAUGUGUUCUUGGCCUUUUUGUAUAAAUCCAUCUGGUUGCUGCAUAUAGAUGUUUUUUUCAAGAUGCCCGUUAAGAAAGGCAGUCUUGACAUCCAUUUGCCAAAUUUCAUAAUCUAGCACUGCAGCAAUAGAGAGCAGAAUCCUGAUGGAUUUAAGCAUAGCAACCGGAGAAAAAGUUUCCUCAUAAUCGAUUCCCUCUUUCUGAGUAAACCUUUUGGCUACCAAUCUUACUUUAAAUGUUUCCACCCUUCUGUCUACUUCUCUUUUUCUCUUGUAGAUCCACUUGCACCCUAUAGGUUUUACCCCAUUUGGUGCCUCAACAAGUUCCCAGACUUUAUUGGAAUACAUAGAUUCCAUUUCUUGAUUCAUGGCCUUUUUCCAAAAUUCAACAUCUCUAUCUAUUAGAGCUUCAUUGUAACUAGUGAGAUCUUGUACAUGUUCAUAUGAGAUAGCUGUAUAGGUUUCUCCCAAAAGUAUGUAUCUCAUAGGUAACCUAGUUACCCUCCCACUACGACGAGGUUCUAAAAGUGAUGGUUGUUCAGGGAUAAUCCUGUAUUGAUCAUCUGGUUGUUGAUGUUCUUCCUGUUCUGUAACAGGCGUUGAAAGCUGACCAUCAACUUGAUCACCUGACAGUUCUUCAAGUAUUACCUUACUCUUAGGUUUAAAGUUAUUCAUAUAGUCUUCCUCGAGGGAAGUGAAAUGUGUGCUCACGAUCACUUUCCUAUCUUGAUGACUAUAAAAUAAACCUCUCCUUGUUCCUUUGGGAUACCCCACAAACAUACAAAUCUCAGAACGUGAAUCCAUUUUGUCUGCCUUUGGUUUCAGUACAUGUGCUGGUGAUCCCUAAAUACGAACAUGUCGUAAACUUAGUUUGCGACCUGACCAUAAUUCUAUUAGGGUUUUAGGCACUAACUUAGAUGGAACUAAGUUCAAGAGGUAAACUGCAGUUUCUAGUGCUAGUCCCCAAAAAGAGAUUGGUAAUAACGAAUAACUAAGCAUAGAUCUCACCAUAUCCAAAAGAGUUCUAUUUCUUCUUUCAACUACCCCAUUUUGUUGUGGUGUUCCCGGGGCAAUCAACUGAGAUAUAAUCUCAUUUUCAACCAGAUACUCUUUGAAAUCUCCUGAGAGAAAUUCACCACCUCGAUCAAAUCGAAGUUUCUUUAUGUUCUUAUCUAAUUGCUUUUCUGUCUCAGCCUUAUACUCUUUGAAUUUCUCAAGAGCUUCAGACUUAUGAUGCAUCAGAUAAACAUAAUCGUAUCUCGAGUAAUCAUCAGUGAAAGUGAUGAAAUACUCAUAACCUCCUCGAACUUGUACAUUGAUUGGUCCAUAUACAUCUGUAUGAACUAAGUCAAGUGGUACUGUUGCACGUACUCCUUUGGCCGAGAAUGGCCUUUUGGUCAUUUUCCCUUCUAAAUAGGAUUCACAGAGUGGAAAUGAUUCAUUUUCUAAUGGACCCAAAAUCCCAUCUUUGAUCAUUCUCUGUAUCCUAUUUUGGUUUAUAUGACCCAAACGUAAAUGCCAGAGGUAACAUUGGUUGGAAGAAAUAUUUAUUUUCUUAGAUAAAUGUGUAUGCUCAUCAUUAUUUAUCACUGUGUCGUGCAUAGAAUGGAUCAUUGGACUUAAAUGAUAUAAAUUAUCUUCCAAUGUACCAGAACAAAUAAGUCUUUUAUUAUAAAAAAUAAAAACAGAGGAUCCAAAAUUUACAGUGUACCAUUGCUUUGACAAACAAGCUACUGAAAUUAAAUUCUUCUUUAUGUCUGGAACAUAAAGAAAAUUAUUCAAAAUUAAAGUCUCAUUAUUAAAAGAUAAUAAAACAGAUCCGGUCUUCACUGCUGACACGAACUAUCUUGUCCCUAACUGCAGCUUGACGCUUCCUUCACUUAUUUUCCUGGUUUCCUGAAACCAAUAAAGUGAAUUACAAAUAUGAUUAGUUGCUCCUGAAUCCAACACCCAAGUGUCAAUAGGAUUCUGAACUAAACAUGCCUCAAUUACAAAAAGAUUUCCCAUACCUGAUUUCACAAUCGUAGGGCAAUCCUUUUUCCAGUGACCUUUCUGUCCACACUUGAAGCAUUUGCCUUUUGGAAUUGACCUCCAUAAUUGUAUGCUCGAAUAAUAAUUCGUCCCAAGCCAUAUUGAUUUCUUUACUGCACAAUCAUUUGUACCACAUCAUUAAUUAAAUCGCUAUCUCAACUGUCCAAUCAAUUUAAUUACAUUUUGUUCCUUAAUACUUACUGGUUUUCUCUAAUGAUCAUUUUCAACAUACUAAAUAUGUUGCACACUCUGGCCAGAGAAUUCUAUGGUCAAGUGCCGAAAGUCCAUCAAUAGAUGUGUUGUACAAAUUCUAUAUUGUUAAUCCAUAACUCCAAUACUCAUAAUUGCUCCCACCAAGAUACCGGGUAAUCUUGACCACAAGUAUGUGUCGUGCCCAUUGGUAACUCAAAUGGAAUAACAAUUACAAUCAUGAAAUCAUAAUUAACUCAAGAUUAAGAUUACAGUAAAAUUAAUGCCUAUGAGAUUUAAUAAGUCUGACAGUUAUUACAAAGUUAAUUAAAUCUCAUAUGUGAUCCUAUUCAAUGUAGUCGUACUACAUCAAUAAAUUCAUACAUGAUUAAGACAAAUCAUUCACUGAAUUCAUUACAGUCUAUACCUAAAUAAAGUGCCCAACUUGAUUUAUCAACUGCGAGCUAAAUUUAUUUAAUCAUAAGAUAACUUGUAUUUAUGUCUUCUGUGAAUCCACAUGGUGAUCACAUAAAUACAUAUAAUAUGAUUAAAUGGAUUUUAGUCAAAAUAUUAAUUCAAUUAAGAUAUUUGAAUAAAAUACCUCAUUUAUUUUAUUAAUUAGAAAAAUUAUUUAUUACAAUUAAAUAAACACAUAUGCUUUUAAAGAGCACAUUUUCCCAACAAUAUGUUGGAUCAUAAACUUGAUCCAUACAACUUUGAAACGCAAAUGACUCUUGAUCUAGUUCAUGCAAGCUUCUUUGGGUAGUUAAGAUUUGGGGUGUUAAAUGUGGUAAUAUGGGAAGUAGAAUUUGUGGUGUUGAGUAUGUUGUUAGGUUUGGUUUGUGGUUAUGAUUUAUGUGGUAGUUAAGUCAACGUAUGGUUGUGAUUAAAUUGUAACAAGUAUAAAUAUCUACUCUCUCAGUUGGUUUAAGUAACAAGAAGUAGUAAAGCUUAUUAAUUGCAAAAGAGUCGUAAUUAAGGAGUUAUAUUGAGUUAAUAAGAAAAGAGUGUUUUGAGUGUUUGAUUAUUCAAAUUCUCUACUAUUAUGUUCAUGAACUGACUUAAAAUCCUACAACUUAAGGGCAUUCCAUUCAUUACAAGUAUUUGGAAGAAUUACUAACCUUAAAUUACUAUAUCUCUCAUCAAGCUAUUUCAUAUGACAUAUAUGUCCUUUAUAGGAAGAUAUCUUGUUUUGAGUGCUAGAUGGAGAUGGUGACAUUGAUAAAUCGUGGUCUUCUCUUGAUCUUGAAGAGAUGAGUCAUUAUUAUUUUUCAUUGUAUCACUAAGCAUCAAGAUAAAUUUCAGCAACAUCAAGUAUUUUUGGAAAUCCUUCUUGUUCUUGUUUUUUUAUUUCUUUUUUUUGUCAAGAUGACCAUUUUUUCCCCGAAUGUUAUCGAGGGCAAAUAAAGCAUAUAUGCUUAACAUUGAAUAUAUUUUUAUAAAUAAAAGCUAACACGAACGUUAUGCCAAAGAAUCUGUUUAUAGGUAAACUAGGCCCAUUUAGGAUAGUAGCGUUGCCGAACAAGGCUUUGAUUUGAUUACUGUAAGUAUAUACUAAAUAUUUUUAAUAGAAUUUUUGGUUGGGCUGAAUGGUUGAGUAAAAUAAUUCAAAUGGUUUAAGUAACGAUUUUUUUAAUAUUUUAAAGAGUGCACAUGUUUUUUUUUUUGAAAAGAAACUUCCAUUAAAUCGAAGAAGAGAAUAAAUACAUCAAUUGUGAAGGGUAAGAACCCAUCCAAACAACAUUUUCACAUUUCUCUAAUGCUAACUUAGAUAGAGAAUGGGCAAUGGCAUUACAAGAUCUAUGAGUAUAUUUAAUGCUAACUAGCUCAAAAUUCCUCAUUAAGUUUUGAAUCUUCAAAAUUAUCCAAAAGAUCUCAGAAUUGCCGCCUUGCUUGUUGUUAACUAACUUGACUACGCUUUGAGCGUCUGAUUCAACAAUUAAAGCCUUUGCACUUGCAUUCCUAGCAAUCUGUAAUCCCUAUUCCAAGGCUUCUGCUUCAGCAAAGGAAACAUCUCCAUGAAAUUUCCAAAUCUUGAUUGCAGCUGCUAUGACAUUCCCCCGAUCAUCUCGGAUUAUAGCUCCGAGCCCUGCAAGGUGCUUUUCUGAGUUUGUAGCAGCAUCCACAUUGACUUUAACAAAUCCACUUCGGGGGGGAUUCCAAAUUCACUAAGCCUGAACCUACUGAAUUUCAUUUUGAGCUUGCUCUGGUUUUUGAACUCUUUUGUAAGCCUCCAUUACUGCUUCAGCUUUAGCAACCAGAGCCUGGGGGUAAAGAGUGCACAUGUUAAAAUUUAAUAGAUUAGUGUACAAAAUAAUAGAAAAUGGAACUAUCGUACUCUUACUCCGAAACUGCAAUUAGAGUCAACAUUCCAGUAAUUUCUUUACACAGUACUAUAUUACAACAAGCAAUAAUAGAGCAAUAAUAGAGUAAUAAUAUAGUUACAAAUUCUUGUAUAAAUAUUUUUGUAUACAAAUUGAUGUAGCAUGAUUUAAUUGGUUGGAUUAAAUAUCUAUUAGUUUGAAUGAUUUGUUUUUAUUAUUUUCUAUUUUCACUUAACCAAUGAGUUAAUGUCAAAUUAAUUUAUGCAAAAUAAGUUUGUGUAAGAGUUUAUAACUAUAUCAACGCUCACAAUAAUAUUGCUAGAGGAGUUGACUAUUACUUUUCCCUGGAGGCAUAAUAAGUUUACAGCCAUAGGUUGUGACAAUUACGCAAUUAACCUGGAGAAUGUUAAUGAUUCAACUGUGCCUAUGUUUGCACUUGGGAUCCCACUCAGAAAAGUGGUUGCUACGAUUUCCUGUGCUCUAUUCCUCCAAGUAUUAGUAAAUUUUUCAAUGCAAAAUAUGAAUUUCUAUGAAGAAUCCGUUGGCAUUUCACAGAAGCCCAAUAACAAAUACAUCCUCAAAAUAUCCAUCAAAGAUAUUUCAACAAGCUAGUCAAGUAAUGGGACAGGGAAUGGCUCUGUUCCUCAGAAUGAAUUGACGUCCUGUCCAGUGUCCCCCGUUGGCUUCUCAUCACAGAGAUGAAAAUUGAAAUUAGGCCAAUUAGAUUAAAGGCAAGACGGAAUGGAAAUAUUGAACCGUUAAUUAUUAUAGCCAUGACCCCUCUAAUUAAUGGCCCUUUGCCUUUCAAUAUUAUUGUAGGUAUUUGCAAGGAAACCUCCUCUAUCUUUCUUCCAAUUAAGACUUCUUGUGUCCAAUUACUGUCGAUUCUUUUUGAACGUGUAAAGGAUAGCAUCUUGAAGACUUGAGAGGGCCAGCGUUUAUUCAAAGUCAAGUACAGGGACAGGAAAUGGCCCUGUUCCUGAAGUAUGAACUGACGUCCCGUCCGGUGUCCCCUUGCCUACUCAUCAUACAAACAAAAAUUGAAAUUAGGCCAUUUAGAAUAAAGAUAAGACGGAAUGGAAAUAUGGGAUCGUUAAUUAUUAUAGCUAUGACCCAUCUAAUUUGCAAAUGGUUCUUUCCCUUUCAAUAUUAUCGUACGUAUUUGCAAGGAAACCUCCUCUCCCUUUCUUCCAAUUAAGACUUCUUCUGUCCAAUUACUGUCAAUUCUUUUUGAACGUGUAGAGAGGAUAAUAACUUGAAGACUUGAGGGCGCCGGCGUUUAUUCAAAGUCAAGACUUAAUUAGCCUGCAGGACUCUUGAUGGUGAGGGGAAGAGAAAAAGAUGAAAGGCGCUGGGUAUAAGACAUAUAAAACUUCAAUUACUUCAUAAAAUUGUUUUAUUUUUCAUUCGUCGUCACGUUGGGGAUUACCGCAAAUGACCCAUUUUAUUUUCAUCUCUAUGUAGGUCAGUAGGGUCACUGGAAAUCAACUGUUGUCUCUUUUUUCUCACUUACUGAGGAAUUUGGACAAUUAAACAAAACACAUCAAUUACCUCAAAUAUAUGAUGAAUAUCUAGAUUUUUUCGAAUCCACAUGAAGUGUGGAAAUACGACAUUCUCUCCAAAAAUAACCAGAUAUUUCACAUCUAUUACAAAUAUUUUCUUGAAUAUUAUGUUGGCCAGAUAUUUUCUCCUCAUUUUUCUCUUUUCCAUCGAUAAUAAUUUUUUUCAUAACCUCAACCUUGAUAAAAGCCACGACCAUGGUUACAACUAUGUCCACAGUCAAUAAUAAUCUUGCUGAGAAAUUAUUUCUAAUUAAUUUUUUUGUGGUGCUUUUAAUGACACAACAUAAUAACCUUUUUUUAUCUUUAUUUUGUUCCCAAUAAAUCUCAAAACUCACAAAUUUGCACCAUUAUACAUAUGAUAUCUUUUUUCUUCCGUUUAUUAGCUUUAUAGAAUUUUGAUAUAAUACGUGCGUCGCACUCAUAACAUGUACGGCCUGGCGCAUUAGAUUAUUUUUCUAACUUUAUAUAAGUAAAGUAUCUCUCUUAGCGUACAAAUAUAAUUUGAUGCGACGUGGCGCACUGGUCGCACUAGAUGAGUGCUCUAACUUUGUUUAAGUAAAAGCGUCUCCCUUAUUGUGCAAGCAUAAUUUGUAGUGGUUCGGCCCCAAAAUGGCAAAAUUUAUCACUCCAUCGCCUCAAAUUUUAAAAUCCGCAACUAUUGGGCUGUGUGGCGGGCUCGCCAAAGUCACAACCCAACCUUUAUCAUGGGCCCUUUCCAAAGCUAACUUGCACUCUCCAUAUUCUUCCUCUAUUAAAUAAAACCGAAUAUGAUGCAUAUUAACAGACUCUCACCAUUCACGUAUUUUAUAAUGAAUCUCGCACCAAUUCUAAGUUUUCAUUUUUUUCCUACAAAGAAGAAACUUUGGAGUCUUAGGCCCCGUUUGGUACUGUUUUGCAAGUUAUGUUUUCGUUUUCAUUUUUAUAAUACACACAUAAAUCAUGUUUGGUGGAUUUAUUUCACAAAAUAAAUUACAAAACACAAAAUCCGGAUUCAAUAUUAUAACUAUACAACUGAAAACAAGUUAAACAUGUUCUCCAAAUUUUACAAACUAAAUCCAAAAAUGAAUUAAAAAACAACAAAAAAAUCGUGACCCUGCAGCCCUCACUUUUCUCUUCACUGCAGCCCUCACUCUCAAUCCAGUUCACUGCAGCUCCCUCUUUCCCCUCAAUUUUCUCAAUCUAGUUGCAGCAAAUCUCUCUCUUGGUCGCUCUUGGUGUGCUAGCCACUGCCGCAGCUCUUUCUCCGCCGUAACCGCUGCUGCUCCGACUCCGUCCAGCUGCUGCUACUUCGUCUUUGCUCUCUCGGAUCUGCACUUGCUCUCUUGGUUCUUUGCUCUCUCGGAUCUUCGUCUACUGCUACUUCGUUGUUGCUCACUCGGAUCUGCACUUGCCCAACCAUUGUUGCUCUCCCGGAUCUGUCACUUGCUGGUGGGCAGUUGAAGCAUGUUAUCGGAAGGCCAAUAUUUAAAACUGAUCAGAAAGAAGAUUGCAUUUCAAUGGCAGUUCUGUAUUCACCUCCAAGCAUCACUAGCAGCAGCAGCAGCAGCAUCACCUACAUUCCUGAGAAGGGAAAAACUAUUUCCCUUGGCCAACAAUUUAUGAUUGCAAUAUUUUUAACUCUUUUGUAUCACUUUUUGGUUUAUGUUUACAAAAAAUUCUGAUUCUGUCAAGAUUUUUAUUUUUUAUUUUUUCCUUUCAAUUGAUGAAAAUCACACACAUUCACGUCCAUCAAUCAUGAUCCACAUUGUCUAUUGCCCUUUUUUUUUUAAAAAAAAAGUAAAGCUUUCAUUAUCAUUUAGAAUAAAUUUGUAAACAUACUUUGCUCAUUAUAAAAUUAUUGUUAUUAAAUAAUUUAUUUUUUCAUUGUUUUAAAAUUAUUUUCAUUUUAUCAAUAGAAUUGAUUAUAUCAAAUAUUAGGAUUAAAAUAUAGUUAGGGUCCAUAAUUAAUAAAGACAUUUUAGUGGGGAUAAUAUAAGGAUCUUAAAGGAGUGUGAAAAGCAUUACUCUAAUUUUUUUAAAAGAAUAUAUACAGUAUAUGAAUAGGCAUAUAAAAUUAAAGCCAACACCAAAUACACAAUUAAAGCCCAAAUUAAAAAAAAAUGAAAAGACUCAAAUUCUCCACCAAUCCGCCUAAAAAGAUAAGAAAAUAAGGUCUUAAUCAAAAACACUACACUAGCAUACCAAAUAUCUGGGUGGGUAUUUCCGUGGUAAAUGAUUCCCAAAUCUUCAAGUUGUAAGCUGUCCGCAUUGAGUAACAAAUAACCAAGUUCAAAAAGCAAGUUCAGGCUUUUAGUUAUCAAUAUUAAUGCAAAAAGUCAUAGCAAUGCAACCUUUAUGCUGAUUACAUUACUGAAAUUGAGUGGGGGAUUAAUAGCAUGUACUGAAAAUUGUAUGUUAUAAUAUUGAAUCCGGAUUUUGUGUUUAUUAGCUAAAUAAUUAAUGUUAAUUCUUAAAAUUUAUUAUCGUGUAAUUUUUUUAUAUUAAAUUUGGUUAAAUUAUUUUGUUGUAUUUGUGUGUAUUAGGUAAAUAAUUAUUUUAUGACUAUAAAUAUAAUGUAAAUGAUUAGUAAAAACUGUUUUUAAAAAAAGCAUUACCAAACGCAUAUUCUCUGUUUUAAUCAUUUUCAACUGUGUCUACCAAACGCAUAUUACUGUUUUCAGUUUUAAAAUAUAGGAUACAGAAAAUGAUACCAGACGCAUAUUUAAAUUCGAAAUACAGUAACUGCAAAACACCAUUUUCAUUUUCGUUUUUAUUCUCAGAAAAUACAAAUUCAAAAACAAUACCAAACAGACCCUUAGUGACUGCCUAUUUUUUUUUCUUAUCUCGAGGAAAAGAAAAAUGCUAUAAUAACCUAUCAAAUUAUCCAUUAAACCUAUUUAUUAAAUAAAUCACCGAUUAAAAUUUAAAAAUUCAAAUUUUUAUCUAAACUUACGUAUUUCAUUUCAUCAAUAAAUAAAAUUGUGGACUUUUGCCUCUAGUGUCUUAUUUGGUAACAAUUUUUGACUCUAGAACCAAACAUGCAGAGUUUGAUGUUCAUUUUAUAAGGUAUAAAGUACUCAAUGGAGAAAUGGAAGUGGUAGAUAUAUACCAACAAAGCAUAAUAAGAUGGGAAACAUGUUGUGCGCAAAAUGCGGAAUCAAACGCACCGAAUAAUCACAGAAAGGACACAAGAAUUAUGUGGUUCAACAAUAUGCCUACGUCCACGGGAGUAAGAGAAAAAAUAAUUGUAUUAUUAACAAUUAUUUGAAUACAAAUUUGAGUAAAGAAACCUCACUUUCCCAGAACCCAAAUACACCCAAUACUCUCACACACACUCUACAAUUGCUCACACUCUCAGAACUCUCAAAAGCUUAGAAACUUAUAAGCUUAACAAAUUUUUAGGAUGCAAAAACCUCUAUGAAUGAAGCUCUAUUUAUAGUUAAGCUUCAUUGCAAAAAGUCUUAAAGUAGUUGGCAAAAGUCCUAUAAUUUGGUGCCGACUUGAAAAACAAAAGAAAUGCAUGUGGGUCACCUUUUCUUUUUCAACCAAUUUGAAUAAACUCACCAAAAAUCUUUGACUUUUUAACAAUUCUCCACCUCGUCAAAGAUUUGUCCAAAUAUGAGUCGACUACCAAUAAACCAUCAUUCUCAAAGUGAUCAUUCAAUAAGGAUCCAGAAUGGCUGUGUCGCUUUGACUGCCUACGUACCCAAAAUUUGGGAUCAAGCCAACCGUAGUUCAAAAUUCCCGAAUGACAUAACUUAAUACAAUCGAAGGAUUUGAAUUAGUUUUAAGCAAUGUUGAAACUUAACUCUAGAAACUACCUUCGUCAACAUAUCUGAUGGAUUAUCUUUGGUAUCGAUCUUUCUCAACAACACAACACCGCUCUCGAUAAUCUCCCUCACAUAAUGAUAUUUCACAUCUAUGUGCUUUGACCGAGCGUGAUAUGUUUGAUUAUUCGCAAGGAAUAUCGCACUUUGAUUAUCGCAGAAGACCGCAAUGUUCUCUUGGAUUAUUCCUAAUUCACCUAACAAGCUUUUCAACCAGAUAGCUUCUUUUACAGCUUCAGUUGCUACCAUAUACUCUGCUUCCGUAGUGGACAGAGCAAUUGUCGAUUGUAAAAUCGACCUCCAGCUAACCGGACCUCCAUCCAAUGUGAAUAAGUAGCCCGUUGUUGAUCUUCGCUUAUCUAGGUCUUCGGCGAAAUCAGAAUCACAAUACCCAACACAUUGUUGACCACAAUCCUUCUUGAACAAUAACCCAACAUCAACUGUCCCAUACAGAUAUCAGAGAAUCCACUUUACCACAAGCCAGUAAUUUUUACCCGAAUUGUGCAUGUAUCUACUAACUAUGCUCACUAAUUGAGAUAUAUCGGGCCUUGUGCAUACCAUAGCAUACAUAAGACUACUCACAACACUAGCAUAUGGAACACGAGCCAUGUAAUCACGCUCUUUUUGAGAUCUAGGAUAUGAAGAAGAGCUUAAUUUGAAAUGAGGAGCUAGAGGUGUACAUACUGGUUUAGUUUUGUCAUCCAUACCGAAUCUUUCUAGCACUUUUUUCAAAUAAGACUUUUAAGUCAACCAUACGCUCCCAUUCUUCUUGUCUCUACGAAUCUCCAUCCCAAGUAUUCUCUGUGCAUCACCCAAGUCUUUCAUCUCGAACUCAAAAGCCAGCUGCUUCUUUAAUCUUUCGAUCUCAUCUCUAUUCUUCGAAGCUAUAAGUAUAUUGUCGACAUAGAGUAACAAAUAGAUGAAAGCUCCAUCUAGUAGUUUUCUGAAGUAAACACAAUGAUCGUGUUCACUUCUGGUGAAUUUCUGCCCUUGUAUAAAUUGAUCAAAUCUUUUGUACCACUGCCUUGGCAAUUGCUUCAGUCCGUACAAAAAUUUAAUCAACUUACACAAAUGAUUCUCCUUUCCAGCAACUCUAAAACCACAAAGCUGAGUCAUAUAGAUUUCCUCCUCCAAAUCUCCAUGUAAGAACGUUGUCUUAACAUCUAAUUGAGCCAACUCUAACUCAUAUUCUGCAAUUAAGGCAAGUAGGAUACGAAUGCACGUAUGUUUUAUAAUUGGAGAGAAAACUUCAUUGUAGUCAAUACAUUCCUUUUGAGCAAAACCUUUUGCAAGGAGCCUUGCCUUGUAUUGAAGAGUUGAUUGAUUUAGAGAUCCUUGCUUCUUGGUGUAGACCCAUUUAUUGCCAAUACCCUUUUUCCCCUUUGGUAACUCCACAAGUUCCCAAGUCUGGUUUUGAUGGAGAGAUUUCAUCUCUUCUUCCACGGCUAACUUCCAUUGAUCACUUUCACUGCUGCAUAAUGCUUCACCGAAAGUGUUGGGGAUGUCAUCAUUAAUAACUGGAAGUGCAUAGGCUACUACCAUAUCUUUAAUAAGCCAUCCAGAUUUUUUUAUCUCUCUUUUUAGCCUCCUUGUUGCUAUAAAAUCAUCGUUUUCUACAUCAUCAAUUGUUUCUUCAUUUUGGGGGACAUCAGAAGAAAUAACCUCUUCUUCAACUCUAAGUGUCACCUCCAUAGUUGAACCAUUCUUUGAUGUAGAACUAACUGGUACAUAUGAAGUUACAUCAAACUCUACCUGCUGCAAUACCUCUUUGGUCUUGUUCUCCACUUGCUGAGAACUUGAAGCUUCAUCAAACGUGACAUCUCUACUACACACAAACUUUUUAUCUUCGAGAUCCCAAAGCUUGAAGCCCUUUACUCCAUCUUUGAAUCCCACAAAGAUAACUUUUCUAGCACGAGGAUCGAAUUUACCAUUUUUGACAUGAUAAUAAGUUGGACACUCGAAUAUACGAAGGGAAUCAUAGUUUUGUGCAUGUUUUCCAGACCACAUUUCCAUAGGAUUUUUACCUCCAAUUACAGCAGAAGGAAACCGGUUUAUUAAGUGACUUGCGUAGCUCACAGCUUCAGCCCAAAACUUUUUAUCUAAACCAGCAUUAGAUAACAUACACUGUACUUUCUCCAGCAAAGUACGAUUCAUACACUCAACCACACCGUUCUGUUGCGGAGUAUGUCUCACCGUGAAAUGUCUUUUAAUACCCUUAUUCUGGCAUACUUGCAAGAAUAGAUCAGAAGUAUAUUCACCCCCAUUAUCAGAUCGUAAUACUUUGAUCUUUCUAUCAGUUUGAGUCUCCACCAAUUUCUUCCAUUUCACAAAAAUCUCUAGAACCUCAUCCUUUGCUCGCAUGGUAUACACCCACACACGUCUAGAGAAAUCAUCAACAAAUGUAACAAAAUAAUAGUUUCCACCAAUUGAUGCAGUCUUGGUUGGUCCCCAUACAUCACUGUGAACAUAUUCAAAGAUCUCACGAGUAUCGUGAUUAGCCGUACCAAACUUGACCCUUAUUUUCUUGCCUACUACACCAUGCUCACAGAAAUUUAAUUUACAGGUUUUGGUACCUUUUAGAAGUUCAUACCUCAUCAGAGUUUUCAAAGACUUCUCUCAAGCAUGUCCUAGUAGAACAUGCCAUAACUUGGUGGUGUCACUGUGGGCCUCAGCAACAUUUGCUUCAUCAGUUGUACCUCCCUUCAAAUAGUACAAAUUGUGACGCCAAACUCCCUGCAGAAUGACUAUAGCCCUAUGUGCAAACUUCAUUGUGCCAUCUUCAAUAGUAACCUUGUAGCCUUUAGCUUCCAACGCACCCACAUAAAUUAGAUUUUUCUUUAAAGCUGGAACAAAUCUAAUCUCUUUAAGUUCUCUAAUCGUUCCAUCAAACAUUUUGAGCCGAAUUGUUCCUAUCCCCAUUGUACGACAAUGUUGAUCAUUCCUCAUCACAACAGCACCGGAUUCCAGAUUACGAAAAUCCGUAAACUAUUCUUUAAUAGGACACAAAUGAUAGGUUGCCCCAGUAUCAAGUAUCCACUCGCUCGAACUAGCCACGUAUGCUGCAGGAGUAAUAAUUAGUGAAUAAUCAAAGUCCUCAUCUUUUCGUGCCAUGUUUGUUGAUGCGGGUUUCUUCCCAUCUCUCUUUUGAGCUUUUGGACAAUUUUUCCUCCAAUGGCUUUUUUCAUGACAAAAGCCACACUCGUCUCGAGCUAUAUUUCUACUUCUCGAUUUAGAUCGAAAAUUCUUUCCACCAUGCUUAUUCUUUUUCUCCAUCGCCUAAUCUCUGCUCACCAAAGCUUCAGACGAUGCAUGUUCAUAAUUUUUAUCAUUAUUUCAAAUCUCUAAGUUAGUCAAUGCUGUGCAAACAUCUUUGAAGAUGAUCACACUUUUCCCAUAUAUCAAGGUAGUCACAAAAUGGCUAUAUUCCUCUGGUAGUGAGUGUAACAAAAUCAUAACCUUGACUUCAUCCUUAAUAUCUUCAUCAAGAUUCUUCAAAUCAGCAAGUAACUCUGGUAGUGUGUGAUGGUGCUAAGUCUUCACUUAGCCAGUCACUCAACAAUAUCUAGCGGAAGCAAAUAAAGUAACAAGCAUGCAAAGAUCCACAAUGGAGGUUUACGUAAGAGACUAAUUGAUGGUAUUCGAAGUCAGCAAAAAUAAAUACAUACUCUAAAUAAAUUGUGUAUAGUGAUUGAGUAGGGUCGUGUCCACAGAGAUUGGUAAUUAUUUAAAUCUUUUUAAAAUGAAAAAUGCAAAAUGGGGGAAUUGUUGACAAUAAUAAAAAUCAAAUUAAAAUAACAAGAAUGCAAAUUAAAAUUGUAAUUCAAAUUGGGAAAAGCUUUGGUUGAAGGAAUUAACUCAGCUUGAUUCGACUACUGAUCAUUGAUUCAAAUAUAAAUCAUUACUAUUAUGAAUAGACCAGUUAUAGCUACUGAGACCCUCUAAUAGCCAAUCUCUCCUUAACUAGUCGAUAACCAAGGUACGACCAUUGGUUAUUUCCCUAAUCAAUAGACAACCCUAGAUACGAUCAUAGGGUUUAAUCAAUUGACAGCCUGAAAAACCAGAGAGACCCAAAUCCUAAUCAACAAACGCAUACGAUGGUUCAUUUAAAUUAGAUUGUUUAUUCUCAUAACACAACGCACUGCUAUGCUAUUUUGUCACAAACAUUAAAAUCUUCAUACGAUGAAUCUUUUAAUUGACAAUAGAUUAAGUUGAUAAUUAAAUAGUGGCCAAUUAUCUAAUUAACAAACAUAAUCAUGACAAUAAUUUAGAGAAUGAACAAAUAUCCAAAAAGUAAUAAAACAAUUAAAGCAUAAGAAAGAUCUCACAGUAAUGAUGAAUCAAAGCUUUAUUAACCUUCAACCAGAAUAAUAGAUUUAGUUCUUCAUAGAGAGAAGAGAAAAAUUUAGAUCUAGAGUUUCUUUUUCUUCCCUCCUCUUGAAAAAUUCUCCUCCCCUUUGUUUUUCAUGUCUCCUUUCUCUUAUAGAGUUUUUCCAAAAAUAAAAUACUAAUAUCUAAAAUAUUAUCUAAAUAUUAAAUUCAAAAUUACAAAAAUAACCAAAAAGGUAAAACACGUUAAAAUAAAAACUGCAGGUCCUUAGUCGACAGCACGCGCCCAUGCCUUAUCAACAAAGUUCUUCUGAAGCUCAUAAUUUCUCUAGGAAAACAAUCAUCUUCAAACAUCAUCUUGUAGCUCAAUUUUAGCACCAAUCAAUAGAAUUGUACCUACAAAAAUAAAACAGAAGUAAAUCACUAUUAUUAAGUGCAAAACAUCGAUAUUAAAGGAAGUAAACAAUGCAAAAUUAGUGCAUAGAUUGCACUCUAACAAAUUCCCCCACACCAAGAUAAUGCUUGUCCUCAAGCAUAUAACUCAAGACUAAUCUCAAAUCUCCACUCAAUUCUCAUCUCAACUCAUCCAAAAACAAUCUUAAGCAAAUAUAUCUUAAGAAUUUAAGUCAAUCAACAUUCGAGAGACAAGGAUUUUAAAGCAUAGGAUCUCAUAAGCUAGUAUAAAAACAUUCAACCACCCAGAAAAUCCAUUCAAAAUUCAAGUGCAACAAGUUUUAAUAGCCCUCUCAUUGACUUCACUCCAUCUCAAAGUGUUUAGGGUAUCAUUUAUGCACUCCAAUCAAAUCAAAGAAUGCUAUUACCGUAAGCUUGCUCAUAUAUCACAUCUCAAUCCACAAAACAAGAAUUAAAUGCAAAAAUUUAAGGGUCUUAAAAAGGUUGUAACGGGGUUAAAUGGGUUGAAUGAAAAAUAAAGGUCUAUGAAAGAAAAAGAGGUCAAAAUGAGAAGAAUGAACUCAUUGAAUGAACCUUAUGAUAUCAAAAUGCUUAUUUCUACUCAAGUCGCCAAGAAUGUAAACACUUUUUUUUUCAUUCAUUUUUUUUUCAGUAAUGGUGAACCAAACAAAAGAAAUGAACCUUGCAUAAUUUAAUUCAAGCAUAAUGCUUGUUGAUCUAAUUGAGAAACUUUAAUUCAAGGUAGCAAGAGCAACAAAAUAUAUACAAAAUAUAUCCAAACAAUGAGUCCAAAAAUCUCCUUAAAUUGAGGCUCAAAAAGAAGGAAAAUGGGUAAGUAGUUGGAGAGAAUUAGAUGGGUAAAAAUAAUAAUAAUAAUAAAACAAGUGAAGAGAAUGCUUAAGGCUCAAACAAAGAUAACAAAUAAAGGUCUUCGGGUGGAGAAAAAGAAGAAAAAUGCGAAAAUAGAAAAAUGGAAAUUGGUUUGCCCUUAUCAUUUUAGUGCAUAAAAUCCCGUAAUGCAGCUUCAACAUGCAUAACAAAGCAAGUUCUAGCAUAAACAAACUAAGAUUGAUAUUCACAUAACAAAAAUAAUUAGAGCAAAGUGGUUGCUCAUAGGCUCAAAUCCUCACAAAGUUGGUAAAUUUGCCAUCAAAUCAUGUACACUCUUCAAAUGAAUCAACCAUCAAUAGUGGUGUAGAAUGAAAAGAAGAUAUGAGUGAUAUAUAAAAGGAAAGGUAAAAAGGAUAAGAAGCGAGAAAGAUAUAUGUAGUAAUAUAAAAAAUAAAAAUAGAUGUAAAUAAUUUGAAAUAGAUGGGAAAAGAGUAGUGAGAAAGAAAAGAAAAUUAAAAAUAAUAUAUGAAGCAUACUAACUCCAAAAUCAUUUAAGGAUGAACAGAGUGAAAAUAAUACUUUCAGACAUCAAUAUUGCAAAAAUCCCUCCCCCACACCAUGAACUCACAUUGUCCUCAAUGUAUGAUAAUCAAAGCUCACAUAAAGAAAUAAAGCGUAAGGAUACAAGAUUAAAGGCAAAACGUCCCUGAAUUGUGAGCUUUGAUCCACAUAACGUAUAUGGGCUUGGCGGAAAUGGUGGGAUAAAUCCCACACUCUCGAAGUAUGCGGCCAAAUUCUGCUCCAUCUUGUUCAGCUUGUGCUCCAUUUUCUCUAACUAAAUGCUCAAAGGUGGUGCAGAUGUAGAAGGAAUAGUUGGUGGGGCAGCAGUUUCGUCGUCAAACUUGUCAUCAGAGGUAGCACCACUCCUAGCAUAAAGCUUCUUUAGAAGUUGAGUGGGUCCUGGUUCAGUAAACUGAAAUCUCCCCUCCUUGAAUUCGACCACACCUGUUUUUUCAAACAAAGACAUAUCCAAAAAUUCCUUUUUGCAAGCAGGAUGUAAAUCAUUAUUGUUAGGAUCAAGCACACAUAAGUUUAUAGCUAACAGAGUAAUGUAUGGACCAAGAAAUAAAGUCCUAUACCUUUUAAGCACACUCUGAAAUUGAUCUGCUAACCAAAAACCUAGAUUAGGCCUCACAUAAUUUAACAUGCACCAGAUAAAAUAAAACUCAGUUUGAGAGAAAACUUCAGAGUAAUCUUUCUUUCAUAAAAAGUUAUAUGCUAAGAACCGAUGCACACAUUUCAAAAUAUGAUCACGUAAGAAAGAGCUCUUUGAUUUACUCGGGUCAUAGGCAUUGUGAUCAAAAGAUAAAUUACGCCAAAGACCAUAAGGCUCAAAAUUUUCUCUAAAAUCACAAGUUGUCCCUAAAGAUGCAUCAUUAGAAGAAUAAUCAUCAUCAAUGAAUCCUAAAGCUAGGUUAAAAUCUGUGAUAGAUUAUGAAAAAUUUCGUCCCAUUAACCUAAACUUUAUAACAUUCGGAGUAUGCAAAGUAAAAUUAUUUGGUAUAUUAAAUUGAAAAGUAGCAUAGAACUCCCUAAUCAACUCAACAUAACCGAAACAAUCAACAUCAACAAAAUUACGCAAACCAAUCUUAUCUAUCAAAGAAUUAAAAUUAUCUUUAACAUUCAAUUAUUCAAGAGUCGGGUAAUGAAUAUACUUAGCUGGAAGUAUUUUUCGCUUGGAAAUAUCUUUGUACUUUUCUUUCUUUUGUUGAGCCGUGAAUGUGAGGCACCCUCCGAGGUUGGAUUUAGCAAGUGGCAAAACACUCAUGCCUUUUCCAUGUUUCGAUCUUUGUCUCACGGCUCGGCGUGAAUUUGAAACUGUGUUCCAUGGGACCGUAGUGGGAGCAGCAGUCUUGGAUUUCUUUGCGACGGGUUUUGUUUUAGACGUUGAUGACUUGGAAGUUGAUGCUUUCCUCUUCGGCAUUGUUACAGUAAUUUCACUCACGGGUUUUGUUUGAAUGCGAAAAGCGGCGGUUCUUUGAACAGAGGAGAGUGAGGCUGUGCGAGUUGCUGGACGCGGCAAGGAUGUGCUGGAAACCGAUUGCAACGCGCUGGAAACACUGGUACAGUUGGUUGCUGGACUGGUUGUGCUGCUGGAGUGAGGAGAUGCGGCUGGUGCUGCGCUGCUGGUUGCUGGAGAUGCGGCUGCUGGAGUGAGGAGACGCGGCUGGGGACGCGAGACGUGGCUACUGACGGGAUGUUGGAUGCGGCUGCUGCUGGGAUGCCAGUCAUACGUUAGGGAUUAAAACCCUGAAAAAAAAACCUUUUUUCCGAUUAAUUUUUCAAAUAAAAUAAAAAAAAACCUUUUUUUUUCGAUUUUUUUGUAUCAAAUAAAAUAAAAAAAUAAAAUAUAUAAAAAAAACCUUUUUUAUUUUUUUAUUAUUGAAACUAAAAACUAAAAGAGACUUGAGACAUAAAAAAAAAUUCCAGAAGUACUUUUUUAAUAAGCAUAUGGGCAGCCCUUAAAACUAUUUUACUUUAAAAUCACAAAACUACUUAUUAGUAAAAACAUGGGCACGCCUAACCAAAAAUUUUCUUCUGGCCAAAAUAAGAAAAAACAUUAUUUAAACAAUCUGAAUCAAAAUUAAAACAAAUGAUAUAACAAAAAUCAAAAUAAAUAAAUCAUUUGGGUUGCCUUCCAAAAAGCGCAUUUGUUUUAUGUCUUUGGCUAGACACAUUCAUGCAUCAAUCUUCAUAAAUUGGACUCUCGAGAGCCACUUCCUCCACAAUAUACACCAAAAAACCUUUAUAAAAAGGUUUUAAGCGAUGUCCAUUAACCUUAAAAACUUUGUCAGAGGUUGGACUCCGAAUCUCAACUGCACCAUGAGGAAAAAUAUUAGUAACAAUAAAAGGUCCUACCCAACAAGAGCGUAAUUUACCAGGAAAAAGUUUAAGCUUAGAAUGAAAAAGAAGAACUUUUUGACCAACAAAGAACUCCUUUCUCAAAAUCAUUCUGUCAUGAAAUGUCUUCGUCUUUUCCUUGUAAAAUCGCGAACUCUCAUACGAUUUGUUUCGAAUCUCCUCCAACUCUUGCAGCUGCAACUUUCUCUGCUUUCCCGCUUCAUCCAUCCGCAUAUUGCAUUGUUUAACCGCCCAGUAUGCUCUGUGCUCAAGCUCUACAGGUAAAUGACAAGGAUUACCAAAUACUAAACGAUAAGGAGACAUACCUAUGAGAGUUUUGUACGUGGUGCGAUACACCCACAAUGCAUCAUCUAAUCGUAAGCUCCAAUCCUUUCGAUUUAGACCAACCGUCUUUUCAAGAAUAGACUUGAUUUCUUUGUUUGAUAUCUCAGCUUGUCCACUUGUUUGUGGAUGAUAGGCGGUAGUCACUCGGUGGGUAACAUGAUAUCUCUUAAACAAAGCCUCCACCACCCGAUUACAGAAAUGAGUGUCUCUAUCACUUAUCACUGCUCUCGGUACACCAAACCUGAGAAAAAUAUUAGACUCGACAAAAUCUACAACUUCAUCAUUGUUAGUCCGGGUGGCCUUAGCCUCUACCCACUUAGAAACGUAAUCCACUGCUAAAAGAAUGUAAGCAUUGCCAAAAGAUGAGAGAAAAGGUCCCAUAAAAUCAAUGCCCCACACAUCGAAUAUUUCACACACAAGAAUAAGGGUAAGUGGCAUUUGAUUCUUAUGACUUAAAUUGCCAGCCUUUUAACAAUUCUCACACGACUUACAAAACAUGUAUGAAUCAUAAAAUAAAGUAGGCCAAAAUAUACCACAUUCUAACACCUUAGAUGCUGUCCUUUUGGGACCAAAAUGACCACCACAUGCAUAUGAGUGACAAAACUGAAGAAUAAAAGUUAUUUCAAACUCAGAUACGCACCUUCUGAUGACUUGGUCAGAGCAAUGUUUCCACAAGUAAGGGUCAUCCCAAACAUAGUACUUAGCAUCGCUUUUAAUCUUAUCUUUUUGAGCCCUCGUCAGAUCACUAGGUAGAGUUCUUGUAACUAAGUAAUUGACAAUGUCAGCGUACCAAGGAACCAUACCUUGAGUUACAAAGAGAUGCUCAUUUGGAAAAUCAUCCUUCAAAGGUGUUACUUCUUCACUCGUGGUCAAUCUACUAAGGUGGUCUGCAACCAAGUUUUCUGCUCCUUUCUUGUCACGGAUCUCCAAGUUGAACUCUUGAAGUAGUAGGAUCUAGCGGACGAGUCUCGGUUUCGCUUCCUUCUUGGCGAGCAAAUAUUUGAGAGCUGCAUGGUCAGAAAAAAUAAUCACUUUAGUGCCCAAUAAAUAUGAACGGAAAUUUUCUAAAGCAAAAACCAUAGCCAAAAUUUCUUUUUCCGUUGUUGCGUAAUAUAUCACAUGAGCAGCUCUUCCAACCAUUUGUCGGAGAACAACACCAACAGCAUAGUUACUGGCGUCGCACAUUAUCUCACAAGGGAGGCUCCAGUCGGGUGGCUGUAUAAUUGGAGCUGAAGUCAAUAACUCCUUGAGCUUAUCAAAUACUACCUUGCAUGCUUCAUUAAAAUCAAACGUCACAUCUUUCUGAAGCAGCUUGCAUAGAGGCUGAGCUAUCUUCGAAAAAUCCUUGAUAAAACGUCGAUAGAAACUUGCGUGACCAAGGAAAAAACGAACUUCCCGCACACAUGUGGGAUAGGGUAAAGAUUUAAUAACAUUUAUCUUACCUUUAUCUAUCUCAAUUCUUCUAGCAGAGACUACAUGACUUAAAAUAAUGCCUUGAUCUACCAUAAAAUGACAUUUUUCAUAAUUCAAGAUAAGGUUUGUUUCAAUGCAUCUUUCAAGCACUUUCUUCAGAUUAUAGAGACAAUCAUCAAAAGAAUCAGCAUAGACAGUAAAAUCAUCCAUAAAUACCUCUAUAAUGUUCUCUACAUAGUCUAAAAAAAUACUGACCAUGCACCUCUGAAAAGUGGCGGGAGCGUUACAAAGACCCAAUGGCAUACGUCAGUAUGCAAAGGUUCCGAAAGGACAUGUAAAGGUAGUCUUCUUCUGAUCCUCAAGGGCAACUGGUAUCUGAUGAAAACCUGAAUAGCCAUCAAGACAACAAAAGUGAGAUUUUCUGCCAACCUUUCAAGCAUCUGAUGAAUAAAAGAAAUAGGAAAAUGAUCAUUCCUUGUGAGUGAAUUAAGCUUUCUAAAAUCAAUACAAACCCUCCACCCAUUCUGAACUCGGGUGGGUACUAACUCACCAUAAGAAUUCUCAACAAUUGUUAUAUCAGUUUUCUUCGGUACCACUUGUACCGAACUUACCCAUUUGCUAUCCGAAAUUGGAUAGAUUAUACCUGCAUUAAGAACUUUCAGAAUUUCUUUCUUCACUACUUCCAUCAUGAGUGGAUUCAAACGGCGUUGAGCUUGAAUCGAAGGUUUGGCAUCUUCCUCCAGCAGUAUUCUAUGCAUGCACGUGGAUGGACUUAUCCCUUUAAUAUCAGCAAUUGUCCACCCAAUAGCCUUUUUGUAAUCCUUCAACACUCUAAUAAGCUUUUCUUCCUCUAAAGUAUUAAGCUUUGAAGAGAUGAUCACCAGAAGUGUCUCACUAUCUCCUAGAAACAUGUACUUUAGAUGACUCGGCAGUGGUUUAAGCUCUAUUUUCGGUGCCUGCAAAAUAGAUGGAAGAAGUUUUACAUGAGAUAAAAGUAAUUCAAUAUAAGACAUAUGAUGAGUUAAAGUUCUCAAAGAAUUUAAUUCAUAAAUUGUCUCUUGCAAUACAGAAUUUAAAACAAACUCAUUUUCAUCAUUUUGCAAUCCUUUGAGGCCUAAACUGUUAUUUAAAGCAGCUAUCAAUGAAUCUUCAACAUCCAAAUAAAAAACUUCCUGCACUAUAGGGUUAAUAACAUCCACAGAAAAUACCGAAUGUUCCUCACGAGGAUAUUUCAUGGCAUAAUUCAUAUUGAACUCUAUAACCUCUCUAUCAAACUCCAUAGUGAGAGUGCCUUUAUGUACAUCCAUUUUAGUCCUAGCAGUCUUAAGAAAAGGUCUUCCUAGCAAAAUUAGGACAUAAUUAGAAGAGUUAUCCUCUUCCAUAUCAAGUACAUAAAAAUCAGUAGGAAAAACCAACUCAUUAACUUGUACUAAGACAUCUUCUAAUACCCCAUCAUGAUAUGCAUUAGACUUAUUAGCUAGUUGAAUUAUCACGCCAGUUUCUUUUAAUGGACCAACAUUCAAAGAUGAAUAAAUAGAAUGAGACAUGACAUUAAUAGAAGCUCCUAGAUCUAACAUAGCCUUUUCAACUCUAACACUACCAAUUUUGCAAGGGAUAGUAAACAUACCUAGAUCCUUGCACUUAGGAGGUAGUUUCUUUUGGAGAACUGCUGAAACAUUCUCCCCCAUGUGAACUCUUUCAUCUCCUCUUAAUUUUCUCUUGGAGGUGCACAGCUCCUUAAGGAAUUUAGCAUAUCGAGGUAUUUUUUUAUAGCAUCUAAUAAAGGAAUAUUUACCUCAACCUUGCGAAAUGUCUCAAGAAUGUCUUUCUCUUGUUCCUCCUUCUUGGAUUUUGCAAACUGGCUUGGAAAAAGAAGAGGUAUCACCACAAGUAGGGGUUUUGCUCUGGUGGGUUGAGCAUCUUGAGAUUUAGGCAUCAAUUCAUUCUUCUCAAGCUCAUCUUCUACAUGCUUUGUCACUUUCUUACUAGGCUCUUGCAACUCCUUCCCACUUUUAAGGAUGACAGCACUAGCGUUUUGCUUUGGAUUCACCUAAGAUUGUGAAGGCAAUCUCCCUGAUGCUUGAGACUCCAGGCGGCUUAUUGUAGUCGCCAAUUGACUAAUUUGGUUCUCCAAAUUCUAAAUGCUUGUUGUAGUUGCCUGAUAAAAUUGUUGAGUAUUAGUCCAAGUGAUUUAAUAAUUUCUUCAAGAGAUAUACCUGACUUGGAGUUUGACUGUGGAGGGGCUGGUUGUCUUGGUGAGUAUUGUUGUGGGAAUCCUGAUGGUCUAACUCCAUAGCUGAAGUUGGGAUGAUCCUUCCAUCCCGGAUUGUAUGUUUGUGCAUAAGGAUCAUACCUCCUCUGAGGCAUGCCUGGAAAUCCUCCAACUACAUUGGCUUGUUCAACGAGUUCUUCUUGAAGUGUCGGACACAUAUCAGUUGAAUGACCAUAUUAGAACAAAUGCCACAAGUCUUCACCUGUUGCACAUUACCUACAAUAAACUUUUUCACAAGAGAAGUAAGUUUAUCUAAACGUUGUUCAAUAGAAGAAAUAUUUACCUCAUUCACCUUCCUUAAAGUGGGAUCUUGCAUGCUGCCAAACUGUUGUGCAUUGGCAGCCAUAUUUAAGAUCAACUCCCUUACUUGAGUAGGGGUCUUGUUCACCAAUACACCUCCACUAGCAGCAUCUAUCAUACUCCUAUCCAUCAAUGACAGUCCUUCGUAAAAGUAUUGAAUAAGAAGUUGAUAAAAAAUCUGAUGCUGAGGACAACUAGCACACAAUUGUUUGAAUCGCUCCCAAUACUCAUACAAAGUCUCCCUAGGAAGUUGUCUGAUCCUAAAAAUAUCUUUUCUGAUGUUAGCAGCUCUUGAAGCAGAAAAGUACUUCUUAAGGAACUGCUUCUUCAAACCAUUCCACAUUGUAAUCGAUCCAGGAGGCAAGUAGUACAACCAGUCUUUAGCUAGCCCAUCUAAAAAGAAAGGAAAAUCACGCAGCUUAAUCUGCUCUUCAGUCACGCCUUGUGGCCUCAUACUUGAAUAGACAACAUGAAACUCCUUGAGAUGUUUAUGAGAAUCUUCACCGGCAAAACCAUGAAACUUGGGUAACAAAUGAAUAAGACCAGACUUUAAUUCAAAAUUUACCUCCAAGUCUACAUAUUGAAUGCAGAGUGGUUGCUGAUUCAAGUUUGGUUCAGCUAACUCUCUAAGAGUUCUUUCUACAAGUGUAACUCUAUCCAUCACUUGUUCUUCUGAAUCGCUAGAUGAUUCAACCAAAUCAGGCACCGUAUCUGUUUCAUAAAGCAAAGGCGACGAGGAUUGUUACUUAGCUCACUUCGUCUGCUGUCUCAGCUGGUGAGCUGUCUUCUUAAUUUCAGGAUCAAACGAAAGUGUACCUGUACGAGAAGUACGAACCAUACACCAAGUAAAACGUAAAAAGGAUUAAAUAAACGACACCAAUCCCCGGCAACGGCGCCAAAAUUUGAUGGUUGUCGAAGCCUGCAAAAAUAAAUAACUACUCUAAAUAAAUUGUGUAUAGUGAUUGAGCAGGGUCGUGUCCACAGAGAUUGAUAAUUAUUUAAAUCCUUUUAAAAUGAAAAAUGCAAAAUGGGGGAAUUGUUGACAAUAAUAAAAAUCAAAUUAAAAUAACAAGAAUGCAAAUUAAAAUUGUAAUUCAAAUUGGGAAAAGCUCUAGUUGAAGGAAUUAACUCAGCUUGAUUCGACUACUGAUCAUUGAUUCAAAUAUAAAUCAUUACUACUUAUGAAUAGACCGGUUAUAGCUACUGAGACCCUCUAAUAGCCAAUCUCUCCUUAACUAGUUGAUAGCCAAGGUACGACCAUUGGUUAUUUCCCUAAUCAAUAGACAACCCUAGAUACGAUCAUAGGGUUUAAUCAAUUGACAGUCUGAAAAACCAGAGAGACCCAAAUCUUAAUCAACAAACGCAUACGAUGAUUCAUUUAAAUUAGAUUAUUUAUUCUCAUAACACAACGCACUGCUAUGCUAUUUGUCACAAACAUUAAAAUCUUCAUACGAUGAAUCUUUUAAUUGACAAUAGAUUAAGCUGAUAAUUAAAUAGUGGCCAAUUAUCUAAUUAACAAACAUAAUCAUGACAAUAAUUUAGAGAAUAAACAAAUACCCAAAAAGUAAUAAAACAAUUAAAGCAUAAGAAAGAUCUCACAGUAAUGAUGAAUCAAAGCUUUAUUAACCUUCAACCAGAAUAAUAAGUUUAGUUCUUCAUAGAGAGAAGAGAAAAAUUUAGAUCUAGGGUUUCUUUUUCUUUCCUCCUCUAGAAAAAUUCUCAUCCCCUUUGUGUUUCAUGUCUCCUUUCUCUUAUAGAGUUUUUCCAAAAAUAAAAUACUAAUAUCUAAAAUAUUAUCUAAAUAUUAAAUUCAAAAUUACAAAAAUAACCAAAAAGGUAAAACACGUUAAAAUAAAAACUGCAGGUCCUUAGUCGACAGCACGCGUCCAUGCCUUAUCAACAAAGUUCUUCUGAAGCUCAUAAUUUCUCCAGGAAAACAAUCAUCCUCAAACAUCAUCUUAUAGCUUAAUUUUAGCACCAAUCAAUAGAAUUGCACCUACAAAAAUAAAAUACAAGUAAAUCACUAUUAUUAAGUGCAAAACAUUGAUAUUAAAGGAAGUAAACAAUGCAAAAGUAGUGCAUAGAUUGCACUCUAACACUAAUUCCACCAACAACAAAGAACUAAAACCACAAGGAUUAAAAUACACAAAAAUACACACAUUUGCUUUUUACGGAGGUCCCAACAGUGAAUUUUCUAUUUCUGUAAAUUUGAAAAGAUAACAAAUAACUCAGGGUUUUGCAUGCUCAAGGACACCACUCUAUUUACCAAAACUCAGGAUCCCCAAAACAUACUUUCCCAUCACUAUAUAUAAGGCGAGGAGGCACACUGCCCUCGUUCCAUCUCAAUUAUUUCUUCUAAUGUUUAGGCACUACUAAGCAUGUUGUGAGGAAGCACAUCUCCACUCCCCCUUGAGUAAAACAACCGCUACCCACUUAGCCUAGAAGUAAGGAUGUCAUGGAGUGUAACCGUCGCUGCCCACCUUUCUUGAUGAGUAACCGUCACAGCCUACUUCCUUUGCCCCCAUUUUCUAGGCAUGUUAUCCAAGGUCAUGCUCUCUCAUUAGUUACACCCACAACUACCUACUUCAUGCUUAAUUUUAGGUCUCAUUUUUAUUUAUAGCCAAUAAGCUCCACAUUCAACUGCCAUUGUUUGCACACAGAGUGCGUGCAAACGCCUCUUAUCUUUGCAUAGUUUGGCCCCUGUGCAUUCCCUAUUGUGAUACGCUACCUCUACAUACGUUUGCGCUACUGCCACGCGUCAUCCCGUGCGUCCUUUGGGCCCUAUGCGUCCUGCGGUCCUGCACCAUAUGCGUCCUACGUUCACGACCUACACGUCCACACACUUAUGAGAUGUUGCGUGCGUUGUCGAUGGCUUCAAACCCGACAUAAAUUUGAAGAGCUUGUCCUCAUCUAACUCGUUCUUAAUGUACAACAUUAGUGAACUGAAUUCCUUAAUGUAAUACCUCAUUAAUUCAUUAUGCCUUAGCUUUUUCUUCAAGCUUUCUCUCGCGAGCCAGCUAGUAUAUCCUGGUAGGAACUGACCCUUUAGUUUUCAUUUGAGUUUGUCCUAUAUUUCUAUUGCUGAUCACUGCACUUCAACAUCUUCUUAAAGUCUGCUCCAUAUCCCACAUAAAACUCUUCAACUCUUUGGCAUUCCGAGUCCCAUUAUAAGUCUUAGGUUUGGGCACCUUAACUUUCAAAAGUCCAUCCUUCGAACGAGAAGUGUUGUUUGCUGCCCGCUUCAACAACCCAACUUCCGUUUCGAGAUCCCCAAUGUCAACUUUCAGCACCUUCGCUAAUGCAGCAACAUCCUUAUCAUCUUAUUUAGCUUGUCCAAAAACUCAUUCACAAACUCUGUGCAAGUUAGUCUCACACUUGGUAUCUUGAUGGAGUUGAUUUCUUUGUUCUCAGCCAAACUCUCCAAGUCAGGUUGUAAAAUACCUACAAUUGCCUCCAAGUGCACUGACUUGUCCUUUGUUGAUGGCCUCAUCAUUUUGGUUUCUGUCAUUGUUAAUUUCUCCGAAAUUAUACAACUUUACUAUUGCACCGUAGCUUCCCUAAAACCACACAAUCAGCUGUUUGCAAACUAAUUUUAAUUGAAGCUUGCAAUCAAUUGCCACCUACAACAAGUUAUAAUCGUGCUUUGUAACUGAAUUCUGCAAACCCAACUAUGCCUUCUAAUAUUAGUUUCUUCUCAAAAUGAAGCAACCUUUUCUUUGAUACUAGUUGUCACCGAGACUUAUCUUAAGGAUGUGGCAACCCCACGUGAUGGUGUUAAGUCUCUGUUUAGCCAGCCACUCAACAAUGCUAACGAAAGCAAAUAAAGCAACAAGCAUGCAAAGACUCAUAAUGGAGGUCUUACAUGAAAGAUUGAUUCCACCAACAAAAGGAAACUAAAAUAGCGAGUAUUAAAGUUCACAAAAAUGCAUACUAUUUGCUUUUUACGAAGGUCCCAACCCCUAAAUUUUCUAUUUCUGCAAAUAAGAAAAGAUUACAAAUAGCUCAAGGGUUUUGUAUGCUCAACAACACUACUCUCUCUACCAAGACCUGGGAUCGCCAAGACAUACAUUCCCAUCACUAUAUAUACUAGUUUGCAAAUGACGCCCCCGUUUGCUAAGGCAAGGUGGAGCACAACCCUCGCACUACCUCAAUUCUUCUCCUAAAGUUUAGGCAUCAUUAAACAUGUUGUGAGGAAGCACAUCUCUACUCCCUCUCGAAUAAAGCAACCACUACUCGCUUAGCCUAGUUGUAAGGAUAUUAUAGAGUGUAACCAGCAGUGCCCACCUCUCUUGAUAAGUAACCACCACUGCCUACUUCUUUUACCCCUAUUUUCUACGCAUGUGAUCCAAGGCCAUGUUCUCCCAUUAGUUGCACCCACAACUACCCACUUCAUGUUUGAUUUUAGGUCCUACUUUCGAAGAAUUUGUAGCUAACAUGCUCUGCAUUCAACCACCACUGUCCCCACACAGUGAGUGCGCGAACGCCUCUUAUCUUCGCAUAGUUUGGCCCCCGUAUAUGUCCCACUGUGCUGCAAGUUUGUACGCAACCCCCGCAUGCAUUUGCGCUACUGCCUCGCGCCAUCCUGCAUUCUACCCACAUGGCCUGUGCGUGUCCUAUACGUCCCGCACGCCCCAUGCAUCCCCUGCCCGCAUGCCCCAUGCUUCCAGUGCUCGCACACCUGCAUUUCCAUGCGCUUAUGAGAUAUUGUGUGCAUUGCCACUGCAUGCCCUUGCGCACGCUUUCUCACUCUCUCUGUGCUUUUCCUUUAGCUUACGCUUGUUACCGUGCCCCAAUCUACGCAUUAGCCUUGCCUUACUUUCGUGUUUGCCUAGGAGCAUGCUCAUGUUGCUUCCACGCUUGGCAUAAGGCGACAAGCCAAGCCUAGGCAUUUGGUCAUCAUGACUCACGACAACGACACUCACCUACUAUACAAUGCAAAACCAAACAAACAAGUUACACCUCUCUAGUCACUAGUCUUGACGUACAAGUCUUUCAAUUCAUGUCUCAACUCUCCCUCAAACACUCCAUUCCAUACGUCAGUGUGUUUGAAAAAUAUGAGUUAUUUAAUGUUGUAUGAUAUUAAUUGGUUUUAUUAUUAAUUAUCAACUUAUUAUUUUUGCAAUUUGUUAUGACACAUAAAAGAUCAUAUUAUUCAAUAUCUCAAUUGAAUAUAUGAAGUGAGUAAGUAUAAUAUUACUCUUUCCAUAAUUGAUAAGUAAGGAUGGCAAAAAGACCAGACCCCGUCCUUGUCUGAUUAACCUAAUUUAAUUUUUAGGAUCUUUAAUUGAAUUUAAAGGGUCAAGGAUUAGGUUUCGGCCCGAUUACAUUCAAGUCUAGGUUAGGACUUUACUAAAAAUUCCUAACUCAACCUUUGACCCUUCAAUUAAUUUUCAAAAUUAAAAAAUAUAAUACUUAAAAAUUAAAGCACAUACACUACAAAUAUGGUCAGAACUCACUCCUCAAAUUAAUAGUAUUUUGUAUUCGAUUUAUUUACUUGUUAAUUUGGUUAGAUUUUUACAUGUUGUAUUUUCGUUAAAGCUAAAUAAAAAGUUAAUUUAUUAAAUUCCUUACAACCAAAUUUAUCAUAAAAUGGAACAAUAAUAGUACAAUAUAAUUAAUAAAGAAUGAAGAGUUGGAGUCUUACUCUAAAAAAGUAUCUAAAAAUUAAAAAGGUUAUUGCAAGGUGCGGAUAAAGCCCAAGGCUGAACCUGACCUGAAAAAGGUUGACCCUGGCCCAACCCUCAGUUUUGAGGAUCAAACUUUUGAAAACUAAGACCCUUUAUUUUUAAUCAUAGGGGCAAGGCUAGGGGUUGGCCAAGCUUGAGCUCAACUAGAUCGAUUGCCAAACUUAUUGAUAAGAAAAUAAUUAAUAGAGUUGUGAUAUUUGACCCUUCGUUGUAUCUCACCAGCCCCCACUAAUUACUUUUAUAUAAUAUUAUUUUAUCUUUGUAUGAAAUAAUUUAAAAGGGUAAAUGACUUUUAAGUGCACCCACAUGAUAAUUUUCAUUAAUAUAUAAUUUAAGUAAUCUAUUUUCUUAAACCUUAAUUUCUUUAAAUUUUUUAAAUUAUUAUUUCUUCUUAAAUAUUGUAUACUUUACUUUUGGAAGAAAUUAAUUUAUAGCACUCAAUAGAAGAUGAUGAAGAAAUAUUUUUUUUUAUGGUUAUGGUAAUGAUGGAUAAAUCUUUAAAGAGAGAGAGAGAGAAAGAGAAAGAGAUUAUAGUGAUUUUGAGAUUUUGAGAUUUUUUUUUCUUUUUGAAGUAGAUUUUAUAAAUUUCAUUCGGUGGGUGCUUGGAAAAAAAGAUAAAAAAAUCAUAAUAAAGAUAAAUUUGCGAUUCAAUGGAGUAAUAGACAAAAAUUAGUUUAAAAUUUUUAAUAACGUUAACUGAAAAGGGAUUGGUAAAAGGGUCAGGCUACAGUGCAACGGGUGGUACCGUGCCACAGUUUCACCAGCCGUUGGGUUCACUCAAAUGCGUGGGGUCUACUUGAAUAAGUGGGAAUCCAACGGUUGGGUGCAACUGUGGCACGGUACCACAGUUGCACCACAAUUUUAUCCUUGGUAAAAUAUAAUAAGAGGGUCAAAUCUACCACUCUAAUUAGUAUCGUUUUACUCAAAAGUUUUGCUUAAAAGUUUUACUUAUAAAUUUUGGAUUUUGACCAGCUUUAAAUAUAAAAAAAAAAUUGAGAAAAAGUUACUUUAAAAUAUCCAUACAUCAUCCCAAAAAGUUGUACCCAAAAAAAAAAAAAGGCCCAUUCUGGUUAAAUUCAAAAUUAAAAACCCGGCCCGUUUCCCCACUUAAGACCCUCCUAGCAGUUUUAAAAUUUUUUCCCAGCGAAGAAUAGAAGUGAUGGCAGCUGCUCUAGCUUCCGACGCAUCGCAAUGGGAAUUUAGCUGGUUUUAAUUCUCUCUCUUAGCUAUUUCUGUUUCUUUAUUUAACAUUGUGAUAUAUAUUUAUUAUGCUAGAGGUUCUACUAAGUCUCCCUUUACUGGGACUUUUCUCAUCUUGGGAAAUGUUAAUUUUGCCUUAUUUAUUCAAUAUUGUUAUCUUCCACUGUCAAUAAAUUUUAUGCUUUGGUUGGUUAUUCAAUGUGGGUUUGUUCCAUUUUGUUCUUACGCUGUUUGUAUAAAUAUUGAAGGUUUGUUUUUGAAGAUGGCUUUCAGUUAAUUGCCUUCAAAGCUUUAUUUCCUAAAAGAGGAAAGAAAAAUAUACCAAAAUGUUUAAUUUCUACUGCUAUAUGUUUGCGUUUUUAGCUUCUGCUAUGCUUUGUAUUGUGUUGUUUGUGUUGGUAUUAAUGCUAGAAAGAUGUUUUCUUUUCUAAUCUGAUUGCCUAGAAUGAAUAUGAGGUGGUUAUUGAGUUGCAAUAUAUCAAAUCAAUUGAAGUCAUCUGCUUCGUAGGUUUUGAUUCUAUAAAUUGUUUUCAUUUCAGUUACGACACAAUUGCAUGGGUGUUCGAGGAAAUCUAGUACUUCAAAAUAGUAUUGAUUAUUUGAGAAACCAAUAAACUCCCAAAAUACAAUUUACAAGUUGCGAAAAUAAUAGUACUCAAGACACUCUUUUAUUGAAGGAAAAUUAUCAGUCAUAUAUUUUUAAAUGACACCUGUAUCAAAUAUGUGUGAACAUUUUUCAAGUGUAUAACUCGUAUAUCCUAAGUUGAUAAAACACUUCUGCCGUCCACUAAUCCAUUAACUUCUGUUAGAAAAUGAAUAGAAUUAUGGUAAAUUGACUAUUUCGCCCUUGAAACUCAAAAUGAGGUAAAAAAAAAAUUUACCCCAAAAAUUAACAUAAAUUUUUAAUACACAUUUUUUUUUAUUUUGUUAUUAACAAUACAUUUUUUUGAUUAAAAAAAUGAAUUAUUAAUGGUACAUAUUAUUAACAAUUAUCCGUCAAAAUAUCUAUAUUAUACCAUAAAAAUUAUUAACAACAUAUAAUUUACAAUUAUACAUAUUAUACCAUAAAAAAUUCCAGUUGGAGCUUGGAGGAGUAGAUCUUCAAAAAUUUAGAUUAAAUUUUGGAGUAGAUUCGGUUGUAAAGUAAUAUUUUUUUAGCAAUUAUUAACAAUUAUCCAAUAAAGGGAAUGACAUGUCAUUUUUAUCAAUAUAUAUCAUAUGACAUGUCAUUUUUUACUAGGUAAAUGGGAUGACAUGUCUUUUUUUAAUCAAAGUUUCGUCCAUCUUAAAAGACUAGAUUACCCUUAUGAUGUCAGCGUUUACAAACGGCAGUUAACGGAUUGGUGGACGACAGAGGUAUUUUGUCAACUUAGGGUAUACGAGUGAUAUACCUUAAAAGUGUUCACACACGUUUGAUACAUGUGUCAUUUAAGAGUAUAUGACUGAUAAUUUCCCUUUAUUGAAUAACAUCAAACUUUAAAUAGAACUUUAGUUCAAAGUUACAAGCAUAAAAAUAGCAAGCAUUAAGCAUGUUCUCCAUCAUUCUUUAUGAAUCCACAAAAUAAGGGACCAACUAACAACUUAAUUUUGACUUAUUAAAAAACAGCUACACUUAAAAUAUAAAGUAAAUAAUUAAAACCAAUAUUAAAAUAGAAAGAUUGUAACAGCUUUUCUAUUUUUCUGUUAUUGUGUUUACUUUAAUCAAUGGGCCGUGGCACAUAUUGUUAAAUUGUGGAUCGGGUAGUUUACUGGACACGUGAACUAAUUUGUAAUUUAGUUAUAAGUUGUGUGAACCAUAAAAAAAUAAAGUCAGUGGUACUAUUAUUGGAAUAUUGGAUAGUUCUGAAAGGUUUUUGAAUAAGCUGGCAUUGAGGAUAAUAUACUAUUGGAAGUUGAGGGGGUGAACUGUUCUCAGUUCUGUUUGUUGAGGAACAGGACAGAGCAUCUGUGUAGAAAAUAUAAAUUGAACAAAGAAUUGCUGUUUGGCAGCUAGGAAAAUGAAAGGAAAAUUUCUUAUUUCAUUUGAUGAACUGAUAUUUUGCACAUACUGAAAAAUCCAGAAUAUGUAGCUAUUUAUAUAUGCAUUACACACGCUAACUAAUUGAGAACUAACUAACUAUUAGUAAAACUAACUUUCACUCAGCUCACACUCAACACAUAUACAGAGGCUGUAUAAUAGAGUUAGUUAGGCUGUUAGCUGCUGCUGAUUUGGAUUCUCUGACGUGGCACUAAUGACAGCUGGCAACUUGACAUUCUUGAUACGAGACUUGAAAACAGACUGAUUCUUCUUCUUCACUUCUGCAUAAUGAGCUAUCUUCACAAUCUGUAAUUCCUCUGUUGUUUACGAGUUAUCUAUUUUUUUCCCAUGACAGUGUAGUGCUCUUUGUCCACCUUUCAGAAAGUUUUUAGAGGAACUGUACCUGAAAUGUUUUGUUGUUUCUUAGAAAAUGGUUUUUCCCAUGCAGUGACUUUGAAGUGGAUUACGAGUCCAAUGAGAAUGCAUCAAUUGUGCAUGCAGCAUUAGCUAUUGAUAAGGAGGUGAUCCACCACGAUCAUAUUCCUAAGAUCAUACUUUGCUCCUUUAACUUUAUUGCUUGUUCAAUAAAUUCUUACUUGAUAAGGAGGUGAUCCACCACGAUCCUAUUCCUAAGAUCAUACUUUGCUCCUUUAACUUUAUUGCUUGUUCAAUAAAUUCUUACUUGAAUUCAAUUUCCAAGUGCAGUUGCAACCAGACAAAGUGAAAAGGCAGAUAUCUGUGAUUAAUGGGAAACUUUUAGUGUAAAUUUCUAUUCUUUGGUCAUUCUUAUAACUGAUUUUUCAUUCUUGUCCAAUAUUUAUUCAAUUUGCAUCUAUCAGUUUAUCCUAUGAGACAAUAUUCAUUUGGAACUUUUGUGUGGCCCGUUCAACAAUCAUUUUUCCCCUUUUCCUGAAAAAUUUUCAAAUAUGUUACUUCAGAAGAGUUCUUCCUCUAAGAUACCAUUGUUCUUUAGUAUCUCAACUUUGCUUGGACUUUGCAGUUUACAAGUUUCUACAUUUUGUUUAUUUUCUCAUCUGAUUCAGGCACUUUGAGGCAGUUGAGGCCAGGAUUCUUCGUGCAUCAUUUUCUGCUUUUGUAGAUGUGCUUACACUUGCGACAAAAACUAUCGUACAGUUUGGUCAUGGAACGGAAUUGUAACAUCAUACUAUCUUUGGCAGUUGGAGAAUCAUUCUUAGUAGGAACUGUAUUACUUUAAUUCGCCUUCUUGUUUCGGAUUAGUUGACGUUUUUGUAACAAGAGAAUCUAUAGUGUUCGUUUUAUAAUGUAAAUCUUCAAAUUAUCGGAAACCUGUAACAAAUUCUUCAAAGCUGUGAAUUAUAAGUUUUUUUUUUUUUUUUUUUUUAAUCAUUGGGUUUUAUCAAGAGGUUGCAGCUGUAAAUGUUAUAAUCCUCCCUUAGACCUUUUCAAUAAAGUUAUUGACAAGCUAUCUCCAACUCUUUCAGUUUGGGCCAAGCUAGAUCGCCAGACCUCACUUCUAGGGCUUUUCUGUUUACCCCUCAAACAGUUCAAUCUGAUAUUGAUUUCGUAGAGUGAGUAGAAUGAAGAAUUCAUUUGUGCUAAUAUUCUUCCAGCCGUUGAUGCAAUUCUUUACCAUUGUGUGACACAGGAGGUACCUACUUGGCUACCAAGUGGCCCUCAGCUUAACGCACCUCGAUAGCCUUCAUGCUUUUAGAAUUCAUCUAGCUGGUGGAAUCCUAUCUGGAGUCUCUCUAUAAGUUCGAAAAUCAAGAUUUUUCUAUAGCAAGCGUCAAGGUCAAGGGAUUUCUUGUCACCCAAAAGGAACCCAGAAAAGAUAAAAUCGUAGACAGCACUGUUUCACAUGCUGGAAUUCUGGGGAGGGUGCUUAUCAUGUGCUUGUGGCUAUAAAUAUGCUCGAAAAAAUUGGAAAUUGAUGCUGCAAUCCCUCUGCCUGGAGCCUCAAAGAAAAAAAAAAAAAAAAAGCCCUUUUAUAGCUUUGCUAAGAUGAAAGAUUACAGACUUAGCAAGGCUGACACUCAGCAACAAUUUUCUGCAUACACUUUAUCUUGGGCAGAAUCACCAAAAGUCGAUGCAUCUUUAAAUUUAGAAUAAAAGCAGAUUCGACUUGUAUUAUAAGAAAUUCAAAUGGGGUGUCACGGCUGCUUCCAUCUCUAGGAAAACUUGCUUAGAAAAUAUGCUGAAUGCUUUGGCAAUUCUUGAUGGCGUCAAAAUGGCAGUUGAUUCUGGACUGCAACCACCACUAACUGUUGAAUCUGACUAUUUUAAUGCAGCGAAAUCAAUCUUAAAGAAGAGACUUCGGAUGGAUGAUCAAAGGAAUGCUCGGUUAUGUAAGAAAAGGAAAACAAUUUAUAGUUGCAAUACACUCAUCAAUAAUCUCAGGAACCUCUGAUGAUUGAAUUACAAUUUUUUUAAAUCCAUUCCAGAAUACAAGCAUACCUGCUCAUGCAAGAUAUUCGAUGCUCUGUUGGAAAAUUUUCAAAAUAAAUGGUGUCUUAUGGUAAAGAUAUGUCCUAUUAAUUGUGCCUUAUAGAAAAUGUAUCUUCACUAAAGACAUGUCUAAUUAAAUGAUGUCUUAUUGUAAGAACAUGUCAAUUUAAUUGUGUCUUAUAGAAAAUGUAUCUUUUUACUAAAUAAUCUAACUUUUCAUGGUAACAUUUCACUUAGAGAUGCAUCAUUUCAUGGUGACAUUUCAUUUGAAAUGGUGAUGGUUCAAUUUGGACCAUUGAUUAAAAUUAAAUCUAGAUCCAAUGGCCAUGAAUGAAAGGAUAUCAUGAAAGAUGACAACCCGAAUGAAGGGGCACAAGUAUAUCUAUAAAUAGGGGUCAUGUUUAAGCCAUUUAGACAUGAAAUUAAUGAUCCUACACCACUCUUUUCUUGGCAUUCCUUUCUAGUACGAAUUUCAACACAAAACACCCAUUUCUUUUGUGCAUUAAAAAUCCAAUAUAUUGUUUUCUGCAGGAACAAUAUAUUGUUUCUUGGCAGACUUGCAACAUUCAAGAGUAUUCUGGUUUGCUUUCGUCGAUGCAUAACGCAAGCAAACAAACAAGUGCUUCAUUGUAUCCUGAAGGCGUAUUUGCUUAACCCAUGUGCAUCACUCAAUUGGUGGGGGCAAAUAACGUCUUAAGGAAAGCGACAUUUGUAACGUGCCUUGAAACACACAAAUUUUCUGCAGUUUACUUAUUAAUAUUAUUUUUCUUCCUACAUACAGAGUUAGUUGUAAACACAUUACUUUACGUAAUAAAGUUCCACCAUUAUUGUUGCAUUUCUCUACAUUUGCCAUUCCCCACAAUUUCAACCACCAACAAUCUUAAGACGUUAUUUAUGCAACAAUGGCACCAAGUUCAUCUUUUCGACAAUUCGCAAUAGAUUUUGUUAAAUUGGAGCGAUUCGAUGGUGGCAACUUUAUUCGUUGGCAGAAAAAGUUGCAUUUCUUGUUGACAAGCCUCAAUGUGGUCUAUGUUCUCACAACACCAAAGCCUCAAGAACGUGAGGGUGAGACAUUAGCAUAAACCAGAGUGCGGUAGAAGUGGGAGCAAGAUGACUAUGUGUGCAAGGGACACAUUUGCAAUGCAAUGUCUGAUACUUUGUUUGAUCAAUAUCACAACAAAACUACAGCAAAAGAAAUAUGGGACUCAUUAGAGACUAAGUACAUGAUGGAAGAAGCCACAAGUAAGAAAUUCUUGGUUUCUAAAUUUUUUAAUUAUAGAAUGGUUGAUAAUAGACUUGUGGUUGAACAAUAUAAUGAGAUUUUGCAUAUUCUUGAUCAAUUCAACCAACAUAACAUGAAAAUGGAUGAGUCUAUUAUUGUCUCUUCAAUUAUUGAUAAACUUCCUCCCUCUUGGAAAGACUAUAAGAAAAGUCUUAAACAUAGCAAAGAGGAAAUUAGUCUGGAUGGCUUAGGCCAAAGUCUUCGUAUUGAAGAGGAACUCAAACUUAAUAGUCUUGAGGACCAGGCUACUAUGUCCUCUAAAAUUAAUGUUGUGGAGGAGAGGAAGGAGUUUAAGCAUUUUAAUCACCCUAAGAAUAAGCAAAAGAGAAAGUUUGAUUCCAACGAGAAUCAAAACAAUAAGAGGAAAAAGAAGGGUACAUGCCACCACUGCGGAAAACUUGGCCACUUCAAAAGAGAUUAUUGACUUCUGAAGAAACAAAAGGAAGUUUCGAACACAAAUUUUGUGGCCAUGAUAUUUGAGAUUAAUGUUUUCGAAGAUGAUAAUGCAUGGUGGAUAGAUUCUGGUGCAACUAAGCGUGUAUGCAAAGAUCGUAGCCUUUUCAAAUCUUAUAAAGCAAUGGAUGAUGGAAGUGUUCUUUACAUGGGAAAUUCCUCCAUUGCAAUAGUUAAAGGAAAAGGCAAUGUGCAACUACAGUUUACUUCUGGAAAAACUUUAACUCUUACUGAUGUUUAUCAUGUUCCUGAAGUUAGGAAAAACCUUGUAUCUAGUGGGCUUCUUGAUAAGUUUGGCUUCAAACUUAUUUUUGAGUCAAACAAAUUUAUAUUGUCUAAGGGUGGUACCUUUGUUGGGAAAGGAUACAUGUAUGAAGGAAUAUUUAAACUCAAUAUCAAUAAUAUGAAUGUUUCUUUUGCUUAUAUGGUUGAUUCAUUAUCUUUGUGGCAUAAUCGUCUAGGACAUGUGAAUGUUAGAAGAUUGCAUGAUAUGGCUAAUUUGGAGUUAUUUCCUAAGCAUGAAAAUGAUAUGCAUGAAAAAUGUAAAGUAUGUGCACAGACUAAAUCACAAGAUCUCCUUUUUCCAAAAAUUGAAAAAACAUCUUCUUUAUUGCAUUUAAUUCAUAGUGAUGUGUGUGAUAUGCAUAGUAAUCCUACUAAAGGUGGUAAAAAAUAUUUUGUAACAUUUAUUGAUGAUUUUUUAAAAUAUUGCUAUGUAUAUUUAUUACAUUCUAAAGAUCAAGUGUUAGAGAAAUUUAAAACUUAUAAAAUGAAGUUGAGAAUUUUUGUGACACUAAAAUUAAAUGCCUUAGAAGUGAUAAAGGAGGUGAAUAUGCUUUUUUUGAAUUUUGUGAAUCUGUUGGCAUUGUACAUGAAACUAGCACUGCAUAUACUCCACAACAAAAUGGCGUAGCUGAAAGGAAAAAUAGAACAUUAAUAGAAAUGGUUAAUGCUAUGCUUUUUACUGCUGGGCUUGGUAAAGGUUUUUGGGGUGAAGCUAUUUUAACUGCAUGUCAUAUCUUAAAUAGAGUGCCUAAUAACAAGACAAAGGUGACCCCAUAUGAAUUAUGGAAAAAGAGAAAGCCUAAUAUUUCUUAUCUAAGAGUUUGGGGUUGCCGAGCCAUUGUAAGACUACCUGAACCUAAGAUAAAGAAAUUAGGAGAAAGGGGCAUUGAAUGCAUAUUCUUGGGAUAUGCUAAGCAUAGUAAAGCUUAUAGGUUUCUUGUAAAAGAACCUAAUAACUUUGUUGAGAUCAAUACUAUAGUGGAAUCUAGAGAUGCAAUAUUCUAUGAAAAUAGAUUUUUCACUAUACCAAAAAGUAUUGAUUCUCAAGAGAAUGAUAAACAAAUAGAAAUUAGUCAAAAGUGUGAUGCUAAUAAUGAGCAAAAUCAUUUGAGAAGAAGUAAAAGAAUAAGGACUAUAAAAUCUUUUGGACCAGAUUUUAUAGUCUAUUUAGUGUAAGGGACAAGAGACUUACAAUCAAAACAGACCAUGAUCACACCUACUGUAAAGUCUGAUCCCCUCACCUAUGAAGAGGCAAUGAAGUCUCAAGAUGCUGCUUUUUGGAAAAAGGCCAUUAAUGAUGAAAUGGACUCUAUUAUGGGUAAUAAGACUUUGAAAUUAGUUGAUUUACCACCUGACUCUAAUCCUAUAGGUUGUAAAUGGAUUUUCAAAAAGAAGAAGAAAGUUGAUGGAACAAUUGAAGGAUUUAAAGCAAGACUAGUAGCAAAAGACUUUACACAAAAAGAAGGCCUUGAUUAUUUUGAUACUUAUGCACUUGUUGCAAGAAUUGCUACUAUUAGAGUCUUGAUUGCUUUGGCUUCAAUUUAUCAUUUUGAAAUCCAGCAAAUGGAUGUAAAAACAGCUUUCUUAAAUAGAGAAUUAGAUGAGGAAAUUUACAUGAAACAACUAGAAGGGUUUGUUAUGCCAGGACAAGAACAUAAAGUUUGUAAACUAGUCAAGUCUUUAUAUGGUCUUAAACAAGCUCCAAAGCAGUGGCACGAAAAGUUUGACAAAGUGAUUGUCUCAAAUGAAUUUAAUAUUUAUGAAUCUGAUAAAUGUGUCUAUAGCAGAUUCAAUGGAAAUAAAGGUGUGAUUAUUUGUUUAUAUGUAGAUGACAUGUUAAUUUUUAGUAUUGAUAGUGAGAGCAUUGAACUCACUAAAUCAUUAUUGUCAUCUAAUUUUGAUAUGAAAGACAUGGGACUUGCUGAUAUGAUUUUAGGGAUUAAAAUUAUAAAAAAUAAGAAUGGCCUAGUAUUGACCCAAUCACAUUAUAUUGAGAAAAUUUUAAAGAAAUUUAAUUAUUAUGAUUGUAAGCCUGUGUCAACACCUUUUGAUUCAAACAUAAGAUUGUAUCCUAACACUGGCAGAUCAGUAUCCCAAUUAGAAUAUGCACGUGUUAUUGGGUGUCUUAUGUAUGCGAUGACUUGUACUAGGCCUGAUAUUGCUUUCGCUGUUGGAAAACUGAGUAGAUAUACUAGUAAUCCAAGCCAAGCACACUGGCAAGCAGUGUACAAAAUUCUAAAAUAUUUAAAACAUGCAAUGGAUUAUGGUAUAUACUACAUUGGAUAUCCUUCUGUUUUGGAAGGAUUUUCGGAUGCUAGUUGGAUUACUGAUCGAGAUGAUCAUACAUCCACAAGUGGUUGGAUUUUUAAUCUUGUUGGAGGAUCUAUUUCAUGGGGCUCAAAGAAGCAAACUUGUAUAGCAGACUCCACCAUGGCUGCAGAAUUUGUAGCUUUGGCUUCAUGUUGCACGGAAGCUGAAUGGUUAAGGAAUUUGCUUAUAGAAAUUCCUAUUUGGCCUAAACCAAUGCCUCCUAUGUCCAUUCAUUGUGAUAGUGAGGCAACUUUGUCAAGGCCAUAUAGUAAAAAAGAAUUGUGUAUUUUUGAAAAAGUUAAAAAAAACAGGUGGACGGUGGAUAUUUUCCCAUGGAGUUAUCAUAAUUGACUUUGUGAAAUCAUGCCAAAAUUUGGUGGACCCCUUAACUAAAGGCCUUAUAAGGGAUAUUGUAUUUAAACCUUCUAAGGGGAUGGGACUGAAGCCAGCAUCAUCUUAUUACCAAUGAUGGAAACUCAACCAAACACUUGAAAUAUCAAGAUCUUGGGUUCAAUGAGCAAAAGUACAUCAUAUGUUGUGAUAGCAAAUACUAUAAUAUUUUUAGAUGUAUCCCAAAGGUUAGUGCUUGAUACCUGUAACAUAUGGGAAAGGUUAAGCUACUUAACUUUUAAUAGACUUAUAAAUGUUUUAGUUACAGGGACAUUUUAGAUAAGUCUACCUAUAUGAGUGUAGGAGAUGGUGCCACUUCCUAUGUAACUUGGCUGGUUACUAAAGCGCUCAUGAAAACAGGAUAUAGACACAGGGCCAAUCCACGUGUCGGCUAAAGAAUAGUUGAGAAUUUGAAAACUUAUGUGUGAGAUAUAUCCGGUUAGUCGAUUAAGGUCGCUGGUUCAAAGCUUUUCUACCAUGCCACCUUGAUUAACCUUGAUGUAUUGUCACUAAGUGAAGGUUCAAGUCCAAAAGACACCUUUAUCUAUGCAUAAGUUUUCCAAGCCUGUGCAAGAUAAUUUUUUAAAAUUCAUUUAUUUUGAAAAUGGUGGGGGAUUGUUGGAAAAUUUUCAAAAUAAAUGGUGUCUUAUGGUAAAGAUAUGUCCUAUUAAUUGUGCCUUAUAGAAAAGAUACCUUUCACUAAAGACAUGUCUAAUUAAAUGAUGUUUUGUUGUAAGGACAUGUCAAUUUAAUUGUGUCUUAUAGAAAAAAGGUAUCUUUUUACUAAAUGAUAUAACUUUUCAUGGUAACAUUUCACUUAGAGAUGCAUCAUUUCAUGGUGACAUUUCAUUUGAAAUGGUGAUGGUUCAAUUUGGACCAUUGAUUAAAAUUAAAUCUAGAUCCAAUGGCCAUGAAGAAAGGGGUAUCAUGAAAGAUGACAACCCAAAUGAAGGGGCACAAGUAUAUCUAUAAAUAGGGGUCAUGUUUAAGCCAUUUAGACAUGAAAUUAAUGAUCCUACACCACUCUUUUCUUAGCAUUCCUUUCUAGUACGAAUUUCAACACAAAACACCCAUUUCUUUUGUGCAUUAAAAAUCCAAUAUAUUGUUUUCUGCAAGAACAAUAUAUUGUUUCUUGGCAGGCUUGCAACAUUCAAGAGUAUUCUGGUUUGCUUUCGUCGAUGCACAACGCAAGCAAACAAACAAGUGCUUCAUUGUAUCCUGGAGGCGUAUUUGCUUAACCCAUGUGCAUCACUCAAUUGGUGGGGGCAAAUAACGUCUUAAGGAAAGCGACAUUUGUAAUGUGCCUUGAAGCACACAAAUUUUAUGCAGUUUACUUAUUACUAUUAUUUUUCUUCCUACAUAUAGAGUUAGUUGUAAACACAUUACUUUACGUAAUAAAGUUCCACCAUUAUUGUUGCAUUUCUCUACAUUUGCCAUUCCCCACAAUUUCAACCACCAACAUGCUCUGCAUCCGAAACUUCGUCGACCUUUGCAUCUAAGAGAUCAUUAACCUUACAGAACUCAAAUGGUCCACAGUAUUCACAAUGAUCUUUCAAUGUUUCCACCACUCUGCGUAAAUAUGAAGAUGGUUUGUUUUCUCAAUAGAAAAUUGAAAUUAUCAGCUGUAAUUAGAGCAACUCACAUUUGCUUUUGGUCAUCACUGGUGUACCAUAGUUCAAGAUAUUCGGUCGCUGAGUAUAACUGUGUUCUCAGGUUUUUCAAAUCUUGAAAGUAAAGUCGCUUGAGUUAAAAAAAAGACCACAGUAAAUAUUUCCAUAAGAACUUAAAUGUUUUACAAAUUGGUGCUUUUGUAUUUCCAUAACUGUGCUUUUGUAAGGCUAGUCGAAAAAUGAGUAAAAUUUGGAAAUUGACACACGAUCCACCGUUUAAAUCAUAUAAACAAGUAUCGCGCGAUGAAACAAGAGUUACCCUUGAAGACAUAUGCCCCUAUUUGCCACAAUCCUUUUUUUUUUUACUUUUUCUUUUCUUAAAAGUGAAUGUUGAGGUGGGUGCAACUUUUAGUAAUAGCUAUUAGUAGCAUAAAACAAAGAUUGCACGCUCUAAAACAAUUGUAAUAGGGAAACGGGUAUAGACAUACAAUCCAACAGAUUAAAACAAAAUAGAGAAACAGUAGUACCUUGAGACUAUCAGAGAAUAGCAAGCUCCGCUACCCUUUUCUUAAAAGUGAUUGAUUAUGAUGAAACAUUCAGCCUUGUAAUUAAGCUUGCUCCGGUUUGCUUUGUGUUUGGCAUUACUACAAGGAUGGUAUUUGCGACAACUUCGGUGUGAGCAAUGCUUUUUUACAUGGGCACCUAUCAAAGGAGGUAUUUAUGCCUCAGCUACCUCGUUUUAUUGAUCCCACGUAUCCUACUUAUGUUUGCUAACUUAAAAAGGCACUCUCUGGCCUUAAGCAAGCUCACGUUCUUGGAACAACACUGAGCUUCGAAACUUUUUUUCUAUCGACGGGAUUUUUCACUUUACUAUCAGAUUCUUCUUUAUGUAUCUAAUCUCAUGCUAGUGUGCAUGAGAUUAUCUUUGUGGGUAAAUAAACUUUCAUCUGUCGCCAUAAUGUAGCUAGGCACCAAUUAUCCUGUAUAUUACUGUCGCAUGAAACACAUAGCCAUUGACUUUCACUUUGUUCAUCACAAAAUUCAAAAUGGUGUUCUCCGGGUGUCUCAUUUAUCAUCUCAAGACCAAUUAGCAGAUGCCGUCACCAAAACUCCAUCUCAUCAACGAAUAAGUCUUCUUUGUUCCAAGCUCGGUGUCGCAAAUGGUAGCGCCAUCUUACAGGGGCAUAUUAGAGAUACUCUCAAAGGCACGGUGUAAUUGUACAACCUUUUUAUCAUUUGUAUAUACGACUUUCAUAACUUUAAACUGCAAUUGUGUACUUACUAUAAUUAACUAGCUUUAGUUGUGUAUAUAUUGAAAUCAUAUCAAUAGAAACAGUAAGCUGCGUUGUUAUUUCCUUUCUCUAUAUUAUUUAUUGUAUAAACCUAACUUUUUUCAGCCCUUUUUUUCCCCCAAAUCUGACACUUUUUUUUUAAUAAAUUUAUUUACCCACACCUGUGUCGUUUGUCUCACCUUUUUUUUUUUUUUUUCACUUAUUUCGUUACCCAGGCCACACUUUUAUAAACUUUGUCCUGGCCCCGCACUCUACUUUUGUUAGUUUUAUCAAAUGAGCAGCACUAGCAGCACCGUAUGAUUAUCUUUUCAGACCCCUUCUGGUAUAUCAAAGAAGCCCUAUAACAAAUACAUCCGUAAAAUAUCUACCAAAGAUACCUCAACAAGCUAGUGAAGCAGGGAAUGACUCCAUUCCUUAAGCCCAUGUUUGGUUGGGAGAAAUGAUAGAAGAGGAGAGGAAUAGAAAGGAAAGAAUGAGGGAAAAAUGAGUGUAAAUGAUGGUCAAAUUCAUUUGCAUUGUUUGGUUGGAUAUGGAAUUCAUCUUUUUUUCCUAUUUCUUUCCUCUCUCUUUUCCUCUCCUCUUCUCUCCUCAUAUUUCUUAAAACCAAACAUGCCAAUUGACGACCUGUCUGGUGUCCCCUUGCCUACAAUAAAAAUUGAAAUUAGGCCAUUUAGAUUAAAGAUAAGACGGAAUGGAAAUAUGGAAUCGUUAACAAUUAUAGCUAUGACCCAUCUAAUUUGCAAAUGGUUCUUUCCCUUUCAAUAUUAUUGUACGUAUUUGCAAGGAAACCUCUUCUAUCUUUCUUGCAAUUAAGACUUUUGCGUAUCCAAUUACUGUCAACUGUUUUUGAACGUGUAGAAGAUAACAACUUGAAGACUUGAGAGAGAGCCAGCGUUAAUUCAACGUCAAGAGUAGCUUAUUAGUUUGCAGGAUUCAAGAGUAGCUUACUGUCAACUGUUUUUGAACGUGUAGAAGAUAACAACUUGAAGACUUGAGUGAGAGCCAGAUGCUGGGUAUAAGGUCUAUAAAACUUUACUAUUAUUUCAUAAAAUUGUUUUAUUUUUUAUUCCUCAUCACAUUGGGGAUUACGCCCCCAAUGACCCAUUUGAUUUUCAUUUUUAUGUAGGUUAGUAGUGUUACUGAAAAUCAAAUAUUGUCUCUUUUUUUCCACUUAUUGAGGACUAUGGAAUUAAACAAAACUCACCAAUGGCAUAAAAUAUACACACUACUAGAAAAAUAAGCUACUAUGACAGAAUUUUUGUGAUAGAUAUUCAAAAAUUAGUCAUUUAUCACAAAAAUAUGAUAGAUUCGUGAUAGAAUUUUUAUAUAUCAUAAAGGCAUGAUAAAUUUGUGAUAGUUUAUUUAUUUAUCACAUACACAUGAUAGCAUAUUAAUAUUUAAUGAAACGAUGAGUUUUGAAUGGGUUAAUUUAGACAUAGAACGACACCGUAUCUUAAAAAAAAAAAUCAUAAGUGGUAGACUCUCCUUUCACUUCAAUUGGCAAACCCUAAUUUCCAAAUCAUACACAAAAACAAAAUCACGCUGCCGACAAAAAAUUUGGUCCUCUGCUGCGCUGCUUGCCGACAACAAAUUUCUACUCUUCGUCUUCGUCCUUACUCUUUAAUCUGCUGCUGCUACUACUUGCCGAUGAACAACACGCUCAAGUUCAGCUAGGUCUUUACUUCCUCUUUUUCUUAUAUUAUAUUCUUUUGAUUUGAUUUGAUUUUUCUGUGAUCUAAACGCCGUUCUUGCUGAUAUUGGUGAUGAACAGUCCUUGUCACAAUUUUGACCGAUCUGAUUGCUAUUCAUAUAAGUGAUUAUUCUACUAUUAUAUAACCUGCACUGGGUUACUCAAUAUGCAAGCCUUUACGUUUUAUCUUCAGAAUAUGCAAAGGUUCCUUGGUUUGAUUCAGUUCUUGCUGAUAUUGGUGAUGAACAGUCCUUGUCACAAUCUUUAUCUACCUUCUCUAGCCACUUGAAACAAAUAGGUGUAAGGAUAUUCACCUUUCAGAAGCAGUUAAUCAAGUUUGUUUGGAACAAAUGCCCCUUUUUCAACGCUAUUCUUUCUCAUUUUUGUAUUAUGUCAACAAUCUUUAUAAACUGCUUUGAUUCUUUGCAGAUAAUUUUGUUUUCUUAUAAAUUAUUAAGACAUUUAACAAGAAAAGGCACAAGCUCUUGUUGGGAUGUACUUAAUACGAUUUGCAACUUGUGUCAGUGAUGGAUCUCAUGAACUCCUAAGCUUAGUUACUAUAUUGUCAGUCCUGAAUCACUUAUGAUAAUGCUGGUUUUAUUUAUUUAUUUAGUUAUUUUUGGGAUAUUACUAGUUUGUAUUAUAAUACAUUCAUAGUACUGUUGUAGUUUUAUGAUUCCAAUUUAAGUUGACUGAAGCCAAAUUGCUCCUUUGGCAGUAACUACUUCUUCGAGAAUGCUUGUAUGGAGUUCGAUAAAGUUAAAUUAAAGCCAACUUACAAGGUCCUUUGGGGGUACCAGGUUACAUAAUUAUAACUUCUAUUUAUUUGAUGUCUGAAGUGUUAAUGAGUUUAUUAAUUUGGUUUUUUCAAGCCUUAGUGAUUAGAGCUGUAACUAUAAGUUGGCUUCUCCUAUAAAUUACUUCUUGUAGAUAUUAUAUGAAUUGCUAAGAACUUACUUAUGCAAUCUCUAGGUACGUAGAUAUUUGUUUACUUUUCUCCAGAUAAAUGCCAACUGAAACAACUAUUAAAUGCCCAGACUGAAUAUUAAAUGUUACUUAAACAAUUGAAAAUUUUUAUUCUCUUGUAAAUUUCGCUUUAGAAGUAUUGUAUAUUCCCUCUUUGAGCUAAUAAUACUAGUUGGUAGUCGUGCUCUGAACUUUUGGAAACUAAUAUUUUUCCCCGAGGAACUAGUGAUAGCCGGCUUUCUUUGAUGGUAUCAAAAUGAUUUAUUUUUUGUUUAUUUAUUUAUUUAUUCUUUUGUUUGGGCAGCAGCUUCAUGUAAAAUGACUUAAGAGUGUGGUACUGAUUGCAGGUUGUUCAAAAUGCAACUCUACGGUGCUGCUAGUGCUGAGAUUAAUAAGGUAAUAUGCCUUAGAGGUAAUGCAUGUGUAAAAACUUAGCAUCUUUUUUAGCUAAUAAAAAGUUUACAUGUUAUUUUUUCCUUUUGUAAACAGAAGCAAAAUUUUAGUUUUAAGUCUCACAUGUUGUGACUUAAGCAACAGACAACCAGUUUACCUGGUAGGCUAAUUAAUUACCUUUGGGAAUUAUAUGGUCAAAAGAAAAUUCAUACAUAAAACAAAUGUGAUCAGGUAAUAGUCAGUACAUGAUGAGCUUACAUGAUGGAAUUAUGGUCAAAAGAAAAUUCAUACAUAAAACAAAUGUGAUCAGGUAAUAGUCAGUACAUGAUGAGCUUACAUGAUGGAAUUAUGGGAAUCUAAUUUUUUGCCAGUAUAGCAAAGGCCACAGAUAACUUCUCAAGUUGCAAUAAACUGGGAGAAAUUAGAUUUGGGCCAAUGUCCAAGGUAAUAUUGUGGCAUUCUACUGAAAUUAGAUCAUAUUUUCUUUUUAUACUAACUAAUAGGCAGAUCUAUGGUACAUAAAUAGAAAGGCAAGAAAUUACAGUUAAAAGGCUGUCAAAAGGUUCCAGACAAGGAAUGGAAGAGUUCAAAAAUGAAGUUACAUUGAUUUUUGUUAGUAAUUAUAGGUUUUUGUUACACGUGUGAAAUUCUUCAUUAUUCUUGAUUAUUGAACUGUGUGAUGACACCUUAUGAAUUUGAUUAACUAUAAGUGGCCGAUAUGUUAAUUUGCAUUUUUUUGGUACUCAUCUUAAUGUCAUCUGCUUUUCAGGUGAUGUUGGUGGCUUUUGGGAAUUUACCAUCAAUGUUUUUUUUAUGGAUUAAUUAUUUUUCUAGGAUGGGUUGGUGAUUGGAUAUUUUAGGUGAUUAGAUAUUGUAAAUGAUUUAUGAGAUAUUAUUGUGGAUUUGAUUCACCAUGUAUUUUGAUGAUGCUAUUUGAUGGAAGUUUCCAGUGAUUAAAUAUAUGAUGCCCAAAAAGCUAAGUGGUAGUGAAUUUUUUGUAUGCUGGUAUUGUUCUAGAUGAUAGUGAAUCUUGAUAAAGUCUAAGUGGUAGUGAAAUUUGUAUGCUGAUAUUGUUUGAUAAAGUCUUAAGUAGUAGUGAAUCUUGAUCAGCCUGGUAGUGUUUCAGAUGAUAUAUAGUGUUGUGAUGUUUUUGUAUGCUGGUAAUGAUCCAGAUGGUAGUGUUGGGAUGUAGAUUUGUGAUAAUUGAAUAGAUGAUGUUUUGACAAUGUUAUGGUUAUUUCAAGUGAUGAUUUAGUGAUGUUUUGAUAAUAUCGUUGAGAUAAUUUGGAUGUAUUGAUUUUAUACAUAUUUUGAUUUUUAAAUUUCAAUGGAAUUUAUAAAAUAAUAAAAUAAUAAUAUUAUUAUUUAAAAUAUUAAAAAUUAUUUUCUAAUUUAACAAUAUUAAAAAUGAUUUAAAAUAUUAUUAUUAUUUAAAAUAUUAAAAAAUUUUGAUUUUAAAAAAAUUAAAAAGUCUUUUAAUAAUAUUAUUAUUUAAAAAAAAUUCUCAUCAUGACACCAUAUUAGCAUCAUAAAGCUGCGACACAUAAUUACACGCCAUAAUUUAAAAUUGAAUUCAUAAUACCCGCCAAAUGUUUUUUCACAAUAAAACAAAUUUACCACUAAAAUAUUAAAACGAUGUUGCUUUUGUUGUGACACAUUUGUGAUAGCUAUAAGCUGUCACAUACACCUGUGAUAAAUAAAUUAUUGUCACGGAUUUAUGAGAGGGGCUACAAUGAUAGAUAAAAACUCUGUCAUAAACAGGGUCGGAUGAUAGAUAUUCUCUGUCAUGGUAGCCCAUUUUUCUAGUAGUGACAAUGAAUAUUUAUUAACAGAUUUGACAUAAAAUUAAUUUUUGAACCGAUUGAAACUUCCAAAAACUAAAAUUUCGAAUUUGUUAUAAGAAUAUAAUCUAUUUUAAUUAUCAUUGUCAAGUCCUCCUCUAUGGAACAUUAGCAAAUUUGCAACCUUUCUAGCUUAAAUUCUAGGUUCAAAACCUCGCGGCGGAGUUAAAUUUUGUUAUAUUUAAAAGCUAAAUCUUGAAGAUGAAUUAUUUUCUAAUUAAUUUUUUUGUGGUUCUUUUAUAACGAUGGCAAAAUUCUCUACAGGUUUCGGACCCCACCCCAAAUGGCGUGAAUUUUGAAUAUUUUUUAGAAAUGGGGUGAGAAAUGGAUAAAAAUUAAUCCCUAAGUUUUUAAUGGGGUGAACUUUUAAUUAGAUAGAAACCUAUCCGUUCAAUUGAUGCUGAAAAAAUAAAAGUUUUGCAGGAUGUUUUCUCCUAGUAAUGAAAGAGAACCGUUUGUUUGAUGUACUUGAUGCUCCAGCAAUGAAAGAACCUUAGAAGAGAAUGAAAUGACAACAACAUCAGAGAAUCAAGGCAGAGAACAGCCUAUUGAUAAUAAAUAAUUUAAAAAAUAUAAUGACUAAUUGUGUAAUUCAAUCAAACCUUAUAGACCAAAGGAACAUUUGCCAAAGAUUAAAAUAUGUAUAUAUAUAUAUAUAUAUAUAUAUAUUAAGGCUACAUUUUGUUUAAUCCAAAUGAAGCUAAUCAAUCUAUAUUUUAUUCCAAUAAAACUAUGGCUUCGUUUCAUAUCUUAAUUAAAUUAUAUAAUGAUGAAAUAUUAUAUUCUGAACUUAACUGAAUCCAAUAUCAUUUCACCAAUCGGUCAUAUGAGAUGAAAGAAAAAAAUCUGUUGAAAUUAAUUUUAAAUUAAAGUUGAAGAAUGGUGAUAUGAUACAUACAUAUACAUGACUCUGAAUUUAUUAAAUUGAAGAUGUACUGAUCGUCUUGACGAUGUGACAAAAUACUGGAAUGUGAGAAUGGUCUUUGGACUUUGGUGAAGACUUGAGAGGGCCCAGAGUAAUUAAAAGUCAAGAUUGGCAAUCUGAAAUUAAUCUCUGGCUUUAACAUGCAGGACUUUCUAGUCGGUGAGAAAAGUUUCUGAAUUAAUAUAGGAGCUAAUACAUGCACUUUCUGAACUAAAGAAAACUGAGUUUAAGCGGCGAAUGGCUGUGCAUCUUUGUCUGGUGUUGCUGCAGAUUAUUGUUUUGCGCCUCAGGCCGAUCAUAGCAUCAGAAAGAUUUCCCUGUCCAACUGAAUGUGGAAAUGUCAGCAUCAGCUACCCCUUCGGAAUCGGAGAAGGGUGCUACUUUGACAAGGGUUACGAAGUUAUCUGCGAUCACCCUUCUGGCAUUCCCAAAGCUUUUCUUCCUGGCGUCAACAGGCUAGAAUUAGUGGAUAUUCUCUCUAAUGAUUCAAGAGCCGCGGUUAGAGUCAACGUUCCUGCGAUUUUUUUAAACAGCAGUAGUAAGCGAACAAGCAAUAUUGCUAAAGGCGUCAACUUAUCAGGUACCCCUUUCUCCUUUUCGACUGACAAUAAAUUCGCUGCCAUAGGCUGCAAAAUGAGAUAUCACCAAGGGAACGGUUCAUCUGUGUUUGAUGGGUGUCUGUCGAUUUGUACUUGUGAUCCUACUGUCUACCCUGCUUGCUAUGAUUUCCUAUGCCCCCUUCGUCCAAAUAUUACUCAUCUUUUCAAUCUAAAUAAAUCAUACUUGUUUUCUCAAAGUAUUCCUCAGAAAUGUCAGUCUGUUUUCCUGGUUGAUGAAGAUUGGGUCAACAGCAAGUACCUUGAAGAUCCUCAUGAUUUGGAAGAUCAACGAGAAGUUCCUGCAGUGUUGAAGUGGGGAGAAAAGAUAGGCAGUUGUUUUGAAGAAUAUAACUCAUAUUCUAUUUUUUGUAAUUCGGAUAAAACAGGUUGCUUAACACAAUUAAGCUCAGGCCAUUUAUGUCUUUGCUCUGCUGGCUACAACCUAGAGAAAGCAUACUGCUCAGGUACUUGUUGGAUUAUGUGUUAAAGAGAAUUUUUUUUUUUUUUCAAAGAAAAUAUCCGAACGACAAGACUUGGUGCUCCAGGAGCAUUUAGAUGCUAUUUCCGUAUGAACAUUAGCAAUAAGUGUGAUGAGAAACGGAAAAUGCUAUUGGAGAACCCUAGAGUUUACUAGAGUUAAAUGUCAAAUGAUGUAACAGUCCUCCGUUGGAUGGUAAGAUGAUCAGAAAAGAGUUGUAAAAUUUAUCAUCCAAUAGAUGAUUGAAAUUAUUGAUUUUUAAAAUAUCUAUCGAAUUACCUGUAAAUGAGUAAAGUUUUCCCAUUACUGUAACUAUCUUUGUAAACAGAGAAUUAGAGACUAAAAAUGGUGGAGUUUUAUUUAGUUGUAGCCAUGAUUUAGUUUGAUCUUCCCUUUGAUUUAUUUUUAUUUGUUAUUUUCCGGGCAUGUGACUUGAUCUGUAAUAUCUCAAGCGGCUACAGUUGCUCCAAUUGUCCCGAGGGUUGUAAUCGUCUCUCAUAUCGUUGCAUUAAAAUUUUCAACAAAUCUAACAGAUCUAACAAAUCUCGGGUUAAAUUCAUUAUUAUAGGUAUGCAUGGCGAUCGUUUAUUUUACAUCAUAAUAAAUUAAUAAUAUUUUUCAACAUAUAUUUCAAAUGAAAAUACUAAGUGUUCAUACGUUCAUUUAGAUUGAUGAUAUCUUUCCUAUCAUGAUAUCUUUCAUUAUUGUCCUCGAGAGCCGCAGGUUGCGGUGGUGGGCUUGCGUUAUUCUUUCUACUCAUUGGAAUAUGGUGGUUGUACAAGUUUACAAAAAGAAGAAGGGAAAUCAAGCUCAAGCAUAAGUUCUUUAAAAAAAAUGGUGGUUUAUUAUUACAACAAGAAUUGUCUUCCAAUGAAGGUAAUAUUGAGAAAAUGAAGUUAUUUACUUCAAAAGACUUGGAGAAAGCCACCGACAACUACAAUGCCAAUCGAAUCCUUGGUCAAGGAGGUCAAGGUAUUGUAUACAAAGGAAUGUUAGUAGAUGGACGAAUUGUGGCGGUUAAAAAAGCUAAAAUAUUGGAUGAGAGAAAUCUCGAGCAAUUCAUCAAUGAGGUAGUAAUUUUAUCUCAAAUUGACCCCAGAAAUGUUGUUAAGUUGUUGGGAUGUUGCUUGGAGACAGAAGUUCCUCUUUUGGUGUAUGAAUUUAUUCCAAAUGGAAGUCUCAAUCAAUACAUACACUAUCGAUCCGAGGAGUUUCCAAUCACAUGGGAAAUGUAUUUAUCCAUUGCUUUUGAAGUUUCAGGUGCUCUAUCUUAUCUGCAUUCAGCUGCAUCUAUUCCUAUUUAUCAUCGAGGCAUCAAGUCUGCAAACAUACUUUUGGACGAUAAAUAUCAAGCCAAAGUUUCAAAUUUUGGGGCUUCUAGAUCUAUAACAAUUGAUCAAACUCACUUGACCACUCAAGUACAAGGAACUUUUGGAUAUGUAGAUCCAGAAUACUUUCGGUCAAGUUAUUUUACAGAAAAAAGUGAUGUUUAUAGUUUUGGUGUAGUUCUUGUUGAGCUUUUAACUGGACAGAAACCUAUCCGUUCAACUGACGCUGAAGAAGAUAAGAGUUUAGCAAGAUAUUUUAUCCAAGCAAUGAAAGAGAACCGUCUGUUUGAAGUCCUUGAUGAUCGAGUUCUUAAGGAAGCUGAGAAAGAAGAGAUUAUUACCGUUGCUAUGCUUGCCAAAAGAUGCUUGAACUUGAAUGGGAGAAAGAGACCUACGAUGAAAGAAGUGGCAUUUGAAUUACGGGGUAUAAGAGAAUCAAUUGGAGCUUCCAUUUUGCAGCAAAAUUGUGAAGAGACUGAUUUUGUGGAUGGUGACAUUAUUGGACAUGAUUUCGGAAGAAAUUCAUCUUCUAGUGGGUCAAGUUUAAAUAGUGUCUCAGUUUCUGUAGAUGCCGACCCUUUAAUUUCAAACAAAUGGUGAUAAAGAGAAGAAUUGCCUUGAAACUGUUUGUCUUUCAUAAAUAAGAUUGUGAGACUUUUCCAAUAUUAUCAUUCUUGUAUCGCUAGAGUUUCUUUGGGUACCAUCAUUUGUAAUUAAAAACUUCCAAGUCAUUUCAAUCAAAUUUUCCACUAUUUCAUUGCAUGCGCUGCAUUUUCCUUUUUUUCUUUUUUAGGCAAAUAGAGGAGAUCAAGGAAAAAUCUUUUGAAAUUAAUUUCUUAGUUGAAGUUUACAAAUGCAAGAUGAUAUGAUCUCUCGGUCUAAAGUGCAAGCACUUUAGCACUAUGCCACCUAAUAUCUCUGAGUAAAUAGGAGAGAACAACUUGAGCACUUAAGAGGGCCAACGUUAAAUAAACUCCAGAGUAGCAUGUUGGAAUUUUUGGCUUAUUGUUAUGCAGGACUUUCUUGGUAGUGAAAUAAAGUCAAAAGGAAGAUGGGAGGAAAUAAAGAUCAAUGCAAAUUGAUAGAUAAAAUACCCUACAUCAUUUGUGAGUGCAUCUUAGGUCAAAUAUGUAAAGUUUGAACGAUCCUCAAUUUUUUAGUUAGAUUUUGAGUAUGGCUUAAACCCAUGAAUUUUCUAAUAUUUUAUUAGAGUUAAAUUUAUCUAGAUUAGGCCCAUGCUACUUCCCACAGUACCUUAUCACUUUACGCCCUUCACAUGGAGGCAUUAUAAAAGAGUAAUGCUAAGGGGAUCCCAACUUGAGUUCUAAUGGAUGUGAUAUUUAUCUAGUAGAUAGUAAAAUAUUUAUUUUAUCAAUUAUAAAAUUUAUUAUCCAAUACAUGAACUACAUAUAAAAUUUGAGAUUCAAAACUUAAUUGGUGGGUCACAAUCAUUAUUGGUUAAAAAUGAUAUCCAGAGAUAACUAGAGGUAAAUCAAAAACUCUCUCUCUCUCUCUGUGCUAAGACCCUUUCUGCCACAGGCUAAAAUUCACCAGCUUUGAUCAAUCAACCUGCCUGAAUUACACAGCCAUCACAUUUUCAAACCUCCAAUCUUUCAAAUCUAUUUUUCAACUCUUUGUUUCCAGCCACCGUAGCCGCGAACCAACGACACCUCUCCACUGCUACCUCUCGCCACCAUGUCGCCAAUUGCCCAUCACUAUAGCAAAAAAUUAUGCUAAAGGAGUUUAGGCCGGGGAGGGAACCAGUAGGUCUUUUCUUUUUUCUUAUUUUCUAUUUCUCUUCUAUAUUUCUUUUGUUUUAUUUUUGUAUUUGCUUCUGUUAUUGUACGUUUUUAUGUUUUGUUGUUUUGUAAGAUUUUAUACUGCUCGUACGGUGGUCUACAUAGGCGGUGUUGUUUCAAUGUCCAGAUCGGGAUUGUGUCAGUAUUUGGAUUGGAAUAGUAUGACUACAUUGAAGCUGUUGAGGGCUUUAAUAGUGGUACAUUGAGGUUCCGAUGACCUCAGGCGAAGUUCUGAUGGCCUAGGUCAAGGGCUUAUUGAGAGAUUUUCUAGUGAAUCGUAAGGUUGGUUUUUUUUGUUGCAUUUUGUGGAUUUUUUUUUUUGGUUGUUUGUUUGCAUUUUAUUGUUAGAAUUGUGUUUUCUUGUGUUUUGUUGUAUUAUCGGACACUAGGGGGUAUUUGAACUAUAGUAGCUAAGGUUUGUUCCUCUAGUGUUUCUUUAGAUUUUAAUUUGAGAAAAAGGACACCUACACCUUAAAGUUUGAGGAAAUGAUCGCAAAACUCCUAAGUUUUUAAAAAGGACACUAAAAUUCUUUUUUUACCAUAUUAUCCUUUGAAUUUAGUAAUUAGAAAAUUGACUUUAAAGUUUUUGUAAUUAAUACAAAUUUAAUAUAAAUAAUAUAAUCUAUCUAGUAGAUUAAUAAUAUUAAAUUAUUUUUAAAAUUUAAAAUAAUAUUAAAAUUUUAAAUUAUUAUAUUUAUUUUAAUAAUAUAUUUGUAUUUACUAUAAAGAUUUUAAAUAAAUCUUUGGGUUAAAUAAAUUUUUCAAUUAACAAAUAAUAUCCCUAUUAAUAAGAUCAAAAUUAUUUUUUACAUAAUAUUCAAAAUAAUUUUAAUUUUUAAUUUAUUUUUUUAAUAUUAUGUUUCUAUUUAUUAUUAAAAAUUACUUUAAUAUAAUAAAAUAAGUCUAAUAGAUUGUAAAAUAUUAAAAUAUUUUUUAAAUAUUAAAAUUAUUUUAAAAUGCAUAUAUUAUUACAUUUAUUUUGAUGCCAUAUUUCUAUUUAUUAUAAAAUUUUGGCGUCAAAAGUCAAAGGAUAUCACUGUCAAAAAGGAAUCUUGGCGUCAAUUAUUGAAAAUUUGGGGUUUUUUGUGACUAUUUCCUCGAACUUUGAGAACGUAGGUGUUCUUUUUCCCUUAAUUUGAGAAACAAAUUGGUCUCCUUUGAUUUUAAAAUUUGUUUUAUGUACUGUACUUAAACUUGAUAUAACUCUUAUUUAUAUUAUUAUUAUUAUUGGUCCUUAAUGAAAGUCACGUUUUCUUAAAGAAAGAAAAGAAAAGAAAAGAAAAGUUGGAAGAUAUACGGAGGAGAACUUGUNNNNNNNNNNNNNNNNNNNNNNNNNNNNNNNNNNNNNNNNNNNNNNNNNNNNNNNNNNNNNNNNNNNNNNNNNNNNNNNNNNNNNNNNNNNNNNNNNNNNNNNNNNNNNNNNNNNNNNNNNNNNNNNNNNNNNNNNNNNNNNNNNNNNNNNNNNNNNNNNNNNNNNNAUCAUUAUCUGGUGUUGUUGCAAUCGAUGUUUUUGCCAUUAUGGCCAAUCAAAGCAUCAAAAGAUUUAUGCCAAUAUGAUUGUGGGAAUGCCACUAUCAGGUACCCCUUCGGAAUCGGAGAGGGUUGCUAUUUUGAUAAGAGUUUUGAAGUAAUCUGCGAUUACUCUUCUGGCUCCCCAAAAGCUUUUCUUGCGAGCAUCAACAACCUGCAAGUAUUGGACAAUCAUGUUUAUGGUGUAUCCAACAUUAGGGUAAACAUUCCUGUAAUUUCUUUGAAGAGCAGCAACAUGACAAGCAAUGCUAAAGGGGUCAGUCUUUCAGUUAGCCCUUUUACAUUUUCUCCGUGGGACAAUAGAUUCACAGCCAUAGGUUGCAACAACUAUACUACGAUUAUUAAGCGACAGAAUGAUUCAUCCGUUUUUGGUGGGUGCCUUUCGAUUAGCACUUGUGAUCCUGCUCUCAACCCUGGUUGCUACGAUUUCCUGUGCGCCCUUCCUCAAAAUAUUACUCAGGUUUCCAAUGCAGAAAUAUCUAGUUUUUAUCCGAAAAGUAUUCCUCAGGAAUGUCACUCUGUUUCCCAUUGUUGAAGAAGAUUGGGUCAACUCAAAGUACAUGAAGAAUCCUCACGUUUUGAAAGAUCUCGGACAAGUUCCUGCACUGUUGAAGUGGGCUGAGUCUAGAGGAUAUUUGAUACACCUCUUUGCAACCAAGGAUGUAUCGAUAAGAUUUGCACUCUUCGAGUGAGGGCUGACUCCAAAAGAAAUUCGCGAAGAUGAGCAAGAAUGGAGAGAGAGAUUGAGAGUGAGAGAAGAGUAGAGAAAAGUUAAAAAGAAAUGAUUCAUUCUUGAUUUCCCUUACACGAAUUAGUUAUGCUAUACAUAUACUCCUCUGUCUUUUGGCGUUUAAAAGAAUACAGCUCAGCAUAACUUUGUAACAGAAAAUAUGACAGCAAUAUAUACCAGCAAAAUAUAAAGCCCUAUCAAUUUCACUAUACGACAUAAUCUUUAAACCACCCAGGGGGCCUUCUCACUCUUGUGCCUGUGUACCCUUCCUUACGAGCUACUUCUACUUCAACUUGUGAUGAGGCUUCCUUCAUGGGCUGCGCACAAUUAGACUCAUCGAUGGGCUGCCCUUCUCGUAAACAAUCCGGUUGAUCCAGCUGAAUGUGGGGGGUUGUAUCAUCCCCUCCAGCUUCAAAACUCACCUUGUCCUCAAGGUGAAAAUUAGGAUAAAGCUCACAGAAGGUUUCAAACUCUUCCCAAGUAGAAUCUUCAGGCGAAUUGUUCUGCCAUUGAACCAGAAUUUGGCGACAUCGCGUGCCUUAUUUAAGCACGGUUCUAAUAGCGCAAACUGCAGCAGGGAGAUAUAAUGGCUGAUUGUCCACACUAGUUGAUGGCAAGGAAUGGUGAUCAGGGGUAUGAGAACCAAGAAAGGGUUUGAGAAGUGAAAUGUGAAACACUGGAUGGAUCUUGGAACUGCUGGGCAAGGCAAGCUUAUAAGCUACAGGGCCAACUCGAGCUAGUACAGGAAAGGGGCCAUAAUACCGUUUAGCUAGCUUUUGACAAGAACGAGAUGCCACUGUCUUUUGGCGGUAUGGCUGAAGCUUCACUAGAACUUGGUCCCCAACAGCAAACUGAGCUUUGCGUCUAUGUGCAUUAGCCUUUUGAAUCAUGCGAUGUUGAGCUUGACGCAAAUUCUCUUUCAAGGAACGAAGUAAUGCAUCCUGUUCACUUAAAGCUUCAUCAAGAGCUUAGAUUGAAGUAGAGCCCUUUGAGUAAGGAGGAAUUGCUGGAGGUGGUCGCCUAAAAAGAGCUUGAAAAGGAGACAUUUUGAUGCUGCUGUGAUAAGUAGAAUUGUAGGAAAACUCAGCCCACCCAAGUAGAGAUACCCAUGAGUGUGGUUUGUCUUGGGUGAAAGUGCGAAGAUAUUGCUCCAAGCCGCGAUUGACAACCUCCGAUUGCCCAUCUGUUUGUGGGUGAUAGGCUGUACUGUGUCGAAGGGUAGUGCCACUUAACUCCAAAAAUUGCUUAAGAACACAAGGUCGCGAUCGGAAAUAAUAGAGGUCGGAAACCCAUGAAGCUUUAUUACCAUAUCCACGAACAAUUUGGCGGUCUUUAUGCUGUAAAUUGAGUGGGAAGGGAUCCAAAGUGUGCCGAUUUCGUAAGGCGAUCAACCACUACCAAUAUCACCGUGAAACCUCGCGAAACUGGAAGGCCAGUAAUGAAAUCCAUAGUGAGUUCGUCCCAAACUAAAGUGAGGAUAUGAAGAGGCUGCAGUGGACCUGCUGGUGCUUGAGUAGAAUAUUUAGUCUGUUGGCACACAAGGCAUUUGACCACAAAUCGCUCAACGUCCAUACGCAUUUUAGGUAAAAAAAAAUUAGAUGCCAAGCAGACCAGCGUGCGUUUGAUGCCUACAUGCUCUGCAAGUGGAGUAGAGUGGAAUUCAGCCAAUAGAACCGCUUUAAAGGAUGAUGAUGGACUGAUAUAGUAACGAUUGUGAUAAAAAAGGACCCCAUUAUGCCGCGAAUAAUCCCGUGAAAGAGAUCUCGUAGCAAACUGACGAUGAAGAUCAAUCAUUUCCGGAAGUGUGGAAUUCUCUAGUUUUAGAGUUGCUAACAACUCAAACGACGGGUGACUAAGGAGAGGCAAACAAGAAGCAGUCACUGUUGGUGUUUCCUCACUAGCCUCGUCAUGCAUUCGUGAUAAGGCGUCGGCUGCAAGAUUGGUACAGCCCGGUUUAUACUCAAUGCGGAAGUGAUAGCCUAGUAAUUUUCUGAUGUAGACUUGCCGAUCCGGAGUUUGAACUACCUGCUGGAGAAGUUCCUUAAUGCUCUUAUGGUCAGUUCAGAUUACAAAAAAUCUGCCUAAUAAGUAUUGUCGCCAUUUGUGCACCGCUUCAACAAUAGCGGUUAAUUCCUUGAUGUAGGUAGAAGAAGCACGAAGUCAAGGACCUAAUUUCUUACUGAAAUAAGAUAUGGGGUGCCCCGAUUGCAUAAGCAUAGCCCCGAUACCCACAUUAGAGGUAUCAGUCUCAAGAAUGAAGUCGGAGUCAAAAUCUGGUAGCUGCAACACAGGGGCUUCCACCAUUGCUCUUUUAAGAGCUUCAAAUGCCUCAGCUGCUGCUGGUGUCCACUGGAAGGCAUCUUUACAAAGAAAAUAAGUAAGUGGGGCUGCGAAAGACGCAUAUCCACGAAUAAACCGCCGGUAAUAACCCGUCAAACCCAAAAAAACCUCGAAGUUGUUUUGUAGUCUGAGGAGUUGGCCAACGAACCAUAGUUGUAAUUUUCUGAGGAUCGGCCCGCACACCAGAGGCCGAAACAAUGUGGCCUAGGUAAUCGAUAGCGUCUUGGCAAAACAAGCAUUUGGAUAGCUUGACAAAGAAGUGGUGAAAAUGAAGGCACCACAAGACUUGCUGAAGGUACCGCAAAUGUUCCUCUGCUGUAGCACUAUAAACCAAAAUGUCAUAAAAAAAAAUCACAAAUUUACGCAAAAAUGAAGCGAAAAUCUGGUUCAUAGUAGCUUGGAAGGUAGAAGGCGCGUUUGUUAACCCAAAUGGCAUGACGAGGAACUCAUAGUGGCCCUGAUGAGUGCGAAAAGCCAUUUUAUAAAUGUCGCGGUGGUGCACGCGAAUCUGAUGGUAACUAGCCUGCAAAUCCAACUUGCUAAAGAUUACUGCCCCACCUAAUUCAUCAAAUAAUUCGUCGAUAGUCGGAAUGGGGAAUUUAUCUUUAAUGGUGGCGGCAUUCAAAGCCCUGUAAUCAACACAGAAACGAUAGGUCCCAUCUUUUUUUUUUACCAACAAGACCGAUGAAGAAAAUGGACUUUGACUCGGUUGAAUGAUGCGUUGUUCUAACAUUUCACGGAUCAGUUUUUCCAUCUCAUUUUUUUGGAAGUGGGGGUAGCGAUAUGGGCGGACAUUUAUGGGAGUGGUGUUGGGGAGGAGAUGGAUUUUAUGAUCAAUUGUGCGAUGUGGCGGUAGGGUAGUAGGUGGAAGAAAUAAGUUGAGGUAGGUGUGUAGAAGGCCAACAAAGGGUGCGGUUAAAUGUGGAGGUAAUUCGAAGGAAGAACUCUUGGGAUUACUUUCUGAUUCCUCCCCGGGUACAGGUACCUGUUGCAGAGCGAACAAACUAUAAAUGUCAGCACUGUGGAUUAGAGAUUGCAACUGAUGAAAGGUGAUUAAGGAGGGAGUAGUGGAUAGUUCGCUGUGAAGAGUCACUGGUGCCCCAUUCCAACAAAAUUCCAUAGAGAGGGCAGAGUAAUCAUGAGAGACACGGCCCAAGAAUUGCAGCCAUUGUAUUCCCAACACCACAUCAGGCCCCUCAAUGGGCAGAACAAAGAGGUCCAAAGUGAAGAUCGUUCCCUGCAUCGUGAGAGCAACUUGAGGGCAAAAAUAUUUGCACACUAGAAAAUCCCCAUUGCCAAUAUAAACACGGAAAUGUGUUGUUGGCUGUAUCGGUAAGCCUAAACGCUCUAUCACUGUUGGUUUGAUAAAGUUGUGGGUACUUCUGCUAUCGAUCAAUACUUGAAAGCUGUGAGAACCAACUUCGCCAACCAAACGAAAUGAGUGGGGAUUUAUUUGACCCGCCAAAGCAUUCAAACUGGAAAUAUCCCCUGUUAUGAUCUCUUCGACAGAAUCCAGUGGCAAUUCUUGUUCACAAGAAACAAGCUCAUUAUCAUCAGUACCCAUAAGAAGCAAAAACUUACUACGACAGCGAUGAUUAGCGCUAUAUUUUUUAUCGCAGUUAUAACACAAUCCCUUCUCACGCUUGUCACGUAGCUCUGCUGGAGUAAGGCGGCGAAUCGGUAAGUUGGGUGUGGGUAGAAGUGGUGGUAACGUGUUUGGUUUCGGGGGUGGGGAAGUAUUGUGGGAAUGAGAUAUUGUUUGGGCCAUACCAGUGGAAUGGUGCGGUUGGGUUGAAGCAAGGGGAUAUGUGGUAGGCUGAAAUUUGUGUGACGGGGAGGUUGUGGUAGGAGUAGGUGACAUGGUGUUCCAUUUUGGCAAAAAAGGUGUCCUUGUUUGGCCUCCUCAGCACAGGCUUCAUACGCACGAGCUAGUGCAAAUGCUUCCAUUAGAGAAGAAGGCCGAUCAAAAAGCAGCUCACGACGAAUAUCGAGUUUCAAUCCCGUGAUAAAAAAACUUAUCAGAAGUGGUUCUAAAAUUCCAGUCACUCGAUUCAUUAAAUCUUCAAAAGAGGUCUGAAAUUCUGCCACUGUUGUGGUUUGGGAUAACUUAGACAAAUUUCCUUGAGGAUCUUCAUAGAGGGAGGCACCAAAACGAUGUUUAAGGUUCUGCAAAAAUUCUUUCCAGGUUGUCAACAAGCUGUUCAUUUUCAUCCAUUGAUACAACGCUGUCGCGCGUCCUUCCAUAUGAAAAGAAACAAUCCGCAAACGAAGAGUUUUCGGUGUACCGUGGAAAUCAAAGAACUCCUCAAUUCGAAAAACCCACCCGUUUGGGUAAGAUCCAUCAAACUUACGCACCUCCAUCCUCAUAGAACGGAGCACUGGGGACAACUCAAUACCACUGGAAUUUACCUCAUUAGAAGAAGAGGAUGGGUGUGGUGGAUUAGAAACCCGACCUAAGUGAUUGGAAGACCCAUGGAUCUAUGAACGCAAAUCAUCAAAGCGAGAAUCUACCGUGGCCAUAUAUUGUUGCAGCGUUUGAUGCAAGGACAAUGUUUGGCUCUCGAACUGUUCUUGGAUCGUCUUUAAAAGUUCAGAAUCCGUCAUUACGAUAGCAAUGAAAGCACCAAUGAUACACCUCUCUGCAACCAAGGAUGUAUGGAUAAGAUUUGCACUCUUCGAGUGAGGGCUGACUCCAAAAGAAACUCAUGAAGAUGAGCAAGAAUGGGGAGAGAGAUUGAGAGUGAGAGAAGAGUAGAGAAAGUUAAAAAGAAAUGAUUCAUUCUCGAUUCCCCUUACACGAAUUAGUUAUGCUAUACAUAUAUUCCUCUGUCUUUUGGCGUUUAAAAGAAUACAGCUCAGCAUAACUUUGUAACAGAAAAUAUGACAGCAACAUAUACCAGCAAAAUAUAAAGCCCUAUCAAUUUCACUAUACGACAUAAUCUUUAAACCACCUAGGGGGCCUUCUCACUCUUGUGCCUGUGUACCCUUUCUUACGAGCUACUUCUACUUCAACUUGUGAUGAGGCUUCCUUCAUGGGCUGCACACAAUUAGACUCAUCGAUGGGCUGCCCUUCUUGUAAACAAUCCGGUUGAUCCAACUGAAUAUGGGGGGUUGUAUCAAUAUUGUUAUGAAGAAUAUAAUUCGAAAACUACUCGUAACAAGGACAAUAUAUGUUUUAACACAAUUAAGCUCAGACCUCUUUUGCCUUUGCAAUAGGGAAACAAGCGUUGGCCCACACCGCCAUGGAUAUUGCUUAGGUACAGUUUCGACUACUAAUUAAAUUAAUUUCAUAUAUGAAGUGUAAUUACUUUAUUUCCUCGAACCAACUACGUAUCUAACACAAAAUUAGGGACGGUAAUUGCAGAAUUCGCAUAUGUAAAGAAGGCAAGAUUUAUGUAUAGCCGUGAUUUAAUUUGAUAUUCUAUUUCAUUUUUUUGGUUUGUUUAGGAGACUUGCUCUGUAAUACCACAAGCCGCGACAAUUGCUCAUUGGAAUGUCCCAAAGGUUACUUUUCAAAUCCGAGCGUUGGAUACUGCAACCAAAAUCUUAGUAUGCACAAAAAUUCUCUCAAAUUCAUUAUUAUAGGUAAGUAUUGGAAUUUGCAGAUUUUAUCGACAGAAUAACUUACCCCAUAUAUAUAGGCUCACAAACUUAACAGACUAAACAGUUCCUUGGCAUAAAUCACCUCGAAUGUGCAUUAAAUAUUCUUAGCCUGAAGUGUUGCAGGUUGCAGUAGUGGGCUUGGAAUGUUGUUCUUACUAAUUGGAACAUGGUGGUUAUACAAGUUCGUUAAAAGAAGAAGAGAAACCCAGCUCAAGCAAAAUUUCUUUAAAAGAAAUGGUGGUUUAUUAUUGCAACAACAGUCCUCAUCAAAUGAAGGUAAUACUGAGAAAACAAAAUUGUUUACUUCAAUGGAAUUAGAAAUAGCUGCUGACAACUUCAAUACCAAUCGAAUCCUUGGUCAAGGAGUCCAGGGCACAGUGUACAAAGGAAUGUUGGCAGAUGGAAGAAUUGCGGCUGUGAAAAAAUCCAAAUUAGUGGAUGAGGGUAAUGUUGAGCAAUUCAUCAAUGAGGUGGUAGUUUUAACUCAAAUUAACCACAUAAAUAUUGUUAAAUUGUUCAGAUGCUGCUUGGAGACAGAGGUUCCUCUUUUGGUGUAUGAAUUUAUUCCAAAUGGAACUCUCUAUCGAUAUAUACACGACCAAACUGAGGAGUUCACAAUCACAUGGGAACGUUUACGCAUUGAUGUAGAAGUUUCAGGUGCUUUGUCCUAUUUGCAUUCAACUACUUCUAUUCCUAUUUAUCAUCGAGACAUCAAGUCUGCAAAUAUACUUUUGGAUGAUAAAUUUCGAGCAAAAAUUUCAGAUUUUGGGGCUUCUAGAUAUGUCACGAUUGAUCAAACUCAUUUGACCACACGAGUACAAGGAACUUUUGGAUAUCUAGAUCUAGUGUACUUUCAGUCAAGUCAAUUUACAAAGAACGGUGAUGUUUAUAGUUUUGGAGUUGUUUUUGUUGGGCUUUUAACUGGACAAAAACCUAUCCGUUCAACUGACAUCGAAGAAGAUAAAAGUUUAGCAGGGUAUUUUCUCCGAGCAAUGAAAGAGAACUGUUUGUUUGAUAUGCUUGAUGCUUAAGUUCUUAAGGAAGCCAAGGAAGAAGAGAUUAUUACCAUUGCUAUGCUUGCAAAAAGAUGCUUGAACUUGAAUGGGAGGAAGAGACCUACAAUGAAAGAAGUAGCAUUUGAAUUAGGGGGCAUUAGAGCUUCAAUCGGACCUCAAAAUUGUGAAGGCAUUGAUUUUGUGGGUGGCAAUUUUAAAACUGGUUCAUCUUCCACAGGGGCAAUUUUAAAUGCUGUUGCUUUUUCUGUAGAUGCUGACCCUUUGUUUUCAAACAAGUGGUGAUUAAAGGGAAAUUCUUCCCUUUGAAAUGUAAUUAUUUCAUUUCAAAAUAAAUUUAGUUGUGGACUUUUGCAUUAUGCUUCUCUUAUGGUUAAAAUUUUUCACUCUAGAUCAAAAUAUACAGAGUUUGAUGUUCACUUUGUAAGUAGUCAGUGGAGAAAUAAAUUUACAAGGUAGAUUCCAAAAAAGCAUCUGGUGGCAGACAUAUUUAAAGAUUUAAGAAGUAAACCUCUAAUGCUACCAUUAUUUAGGGGCCCUGUGCAUCAAGAAACAGAGGACCCUGCACUCGAACUUUGAAGCUGAAGGAGUUGGACAUCUCAGCAUCUGAGUCUGCAUACAAGUGGAACAGGAGAUGCUGACAUGACAUCCUACGUGGAACUUAUGCGACACAUAUAAUGAGUCCAAUUCGUUCCUAGUUCAUACGCUUACAUUGUAACCCCGUUCUGUGUUUCCAGUACCAUUGGUGAAUCAUCACUUCGUGCCAUUGUAUUGCUAAUAGCACCUUUGCCUUGAUUGAUUUUGCUGACAAUAUGUAGGUUGCAUUUGGAACUGAGGUGCUAUAACUUUUAAUCUGCAGUUAUUGUGGAGUAAAAGUCAUAGUUGUGGUGUACAAGCUAAUGGUGUUGGGUAAAUUUUAAUAGUUGUGGAGUGGAAGCUAUAGUGUUUGGUAAAUUUUAAUACAUGUAGAGUGGAAAUUGAUGAAUAUUUGUAAUAAUUAAUUUUAAAUAAUAUUAUUUUUAAUUAUUAAUUAAUCAAAUUAGUUUUCAUAUUUUGAAUUAUUAGAUUAACAUAUGAUUGUGUUUAUUACUUUGACAAAUUAAAUUAAUAUUUAAUUAAUCAAAUUUAUUUUUCUAUACAAGUUGUAAUAAAUAUUUUUUAAAACAAAAUAAUUUAAAAUUGAAAAUAAAUAAAUUCUAAUUUUACACAUUGAUUGAAGAAAUAAAUUAUACUAAAUAUGUCUAAUAAAGAUCAUACAACAUAACAUUAUAAAAUUAAAAUGUAAUUAAUUACAAAAUUCUUAUAAACAUUUCCAUUGUCAUGCCUCCAUUAAACUUGCAGCAACGCCAUCUCUGAAGAUUAUUUUAUCUUGAGUUAUGUUAUCGACUGUAUCAUAACUUUUUGUGGGAGAUGCAAUAUAGCUUAUAUGUUCACUAUUAUUAUGAUUUAGCUUAUCCAUUGUUUCAUCAAAAUGAUCAUGAUUUUGUGAAUAUCCUUUGAUGUAAUUAUGUAAGGCCAUGGUAGUAAUAACUAUCUUCACCUGCUUCUUUAAUGUAUGGCUUGGCAUAUUUUGUAAAAUCUUCCUUAUUUGUUUUAAACCCCAAAAGAACUUGUUAGAAUGAACAAUACUCUCAACAUUAAGAGAUUCAAAUGCCUCAUUACUCUUUAAAGGAAAACUAGAUGAGGGAAACCAAACAAGGUCACUUGUAGCCACUGCAUUUGAAUAGUUAAUUUAGUUUUUUCUCCAACUAUGAAUCAAUACCAUUUUUUUGAAUUCUAUUGAAUUGCAAAUUUUCAUUUAUUUUCUUUUCCUACCGGUCCUCACUUGCAUCAACUAUACUUAACUAUGAUUCCACCUUAAAUAUGUUUCCUAGUCAAUCAUAUUCUUCCACAAUUUCCAAUUAGUUCUAAGAGAAUCCUAUUUGUUUUUCAUUUGAGUUCUAUUAUAAUCCAAUCCAAUUUCUUCAGUGAAUUCCUUAAUGAAAUAUUUAUAUGCUUGGAAAGUAGCCUUACUAGCUGAGCUACUAGACCUAAUUUCGUACACUUACACCUAGAAUAAAGAAUAAUAUUUCUUUGUCAAACAACAAUACCGGAAAGAGAUUAAUUAAGAGCAAUACCCAAUUUUUUUAAAAACAAAUAACACUAAUUAAGGAUGAAUUAUGUGUAGCAGCAAUGAACUAUGUCUAACGUUACACACCUGUAACACCCCAGCCCAACUUUGAGGACAAAUCUAACCACAACUCACCUAUGUACUUAAAUAUCUCUUUACAAUCAACAACAAUUCAAGUCUUAAAUACAAUAUUUAAAUAGCAGGAGACUUUAAAGAUUUUGCACAAUCAUCUACCAUCCUCAAUUUAAGUCUUCUCCUCACUCAUCACGAAUAAAUCUUGACUUCUGAAAACUGAAUCACAAUAAACUAUAAUGAGUACAAAACUCAAUAAGUAAACUGGUUUUUCAUAUACCAAAAUAGAUACAUACUUAUAUACAAUGUAAAUAGAUAAUAUGCCAUGAUAUUUUCAAAACACUAUAAAAUAAAUUCAUCAAAAUCUCUUUCUGUUGCUUUCAAACUUUCACAUUUUCUUUCAAUAAAAUACAUAUCAUGCAUAAGGCAUUUUGCGCAAUACUUGGCACUUUGCACUAUGCGUUGCACUUCACGACACUCUGACCCUCGAGAGGUGGCCCCUACAUAGUCUCAAAAGGUGGCCCCCACACGGCUUCAAGAGGUGGCCCCCAAUGCAAACUCUCAUAAAACUAAGUAUAAUAGCAAAAUUCAUGUACAAAUCAUAAAAUUAUAAAAUGCAAUAUUAUUAAACAUACUUUUUAUAAAAGCUUUGCAUGUUCAUGCUUAUGCCAAUGAACUUUCAUGCACACAUAUGCCCAUGCAUAUAAUCAUGUUCAACACAUAACAACACAUCACAUAAACACAUGGGUAGAAACAUAUAAAUCAUAUAUGUGCAUAUAAAAAAUAGGUUUUUCAAACAUGUCAAACAUAUACAUAUUAAUUUAUUGUGAUCCAUUUAGAAGUUUAGUUUACUUACCUCUUGGCAUCCACAUGUAACAAAUGCGUAUUGAUAUCAUCAACCUAAAAAUCAUUUAUAAACUCUCAUUAGAUAUAAUCAAGUCCUAAUCAUAAUUCUAAUGUCCUCAAAUUUCUCAUUUUAAACAUAUCCUAAACUCAACCUCAAAUACUCUCAAUAUUCGAUCCCAAAACAGAACAACCCAUGUUCUCUGAUUUUUGAUAAUUUAUUAUCUUAUUGGAAAAGUCCCAAAUUUUCAAGAGUAUAUGCUAACAUACUAGAAAUUCAUUGAUUAAAAUUUCAUAACUUAAUUCUUUCAAAAACUAUUGAAAAUAAUUUACGUUUCAGAUAUCAUUAAUUCUGUCAAACAACUUUCUAUUUUAAACAUACUUGUUUUAAAAAUACAAAACAAUUUAUUGUUUUAUCAUAAAAUCAUGAAAAUUUCCAAAAUCACACUAGACAAAUAUAAAAGUUGCUAAUCCAAGUUUCAUAAUUUUGGAAGAAAUCUAGCUAUGGUAAGAUAAAUUCGUAAUUCAUGUUCUUCAUUGAAAUUAGAAAUUUCCAUGUUUUCAAACUUGAGUUUAAAAAUUGUAAUUAAUUGAAAUCUUAUCCGGUUAGCUUGAAACAAGUUCCAAACAUUCUUCUAGUUUAAGAUAUUCAAAAUCUAGAAUCAAAAUCAAUUUGUACAAAUGGCUAUGAUUUUCGAAAUAACACUCUGUCAGCAUAUUUUCUGUGAAAUCUUAAGUUCUACUUCUAUUACUACUAUCUAACCAUGCUUCUCUAUAACAAUUAACACACUCUCAGCAUAGUUUCUGUGAAAUUUACCUCCAAUUCUCUCUCGACAUAAUAUCCAAUUCAAAAGCCACUACUUUGAUCUCAUGUGUCGCUCAUGGCUAACAAAGAAGAAGACUUUCUUUUUCUUCUUCUCUUCUUCUUUUUCAUGUGUUCUUUUUUUUUUUAACUCGCUCUCUCUCUCUCUCUCUCUCUCUCACAUUAAUAGCAAAGGAAGGCAUCUAUUGGGGUAUUACGCGUUUACCCCUUAAAAGAAUUUCGUCCUCGAAAUUCGCUUUUAGUUAUGCUCAAAAGAAUCUAAACCUCAAAAUCACUUAUGACCAAUAAAUCCUUAUAAAGACUAAAAAGAAACAUAUCAUGCUGUCGUUGCGCUACUCUGAUGCCUCAAUUAUAUAUUUCUUGGAAACAAAAUCACAAAGCGUAAAGGUGUGGUAUAGACCUAAUUCUAUUCAUCCUUACAACAUCCUUUCCAAGCGAUGUAGGAUGUCACAAAUGUCCACACAUUCUUGAUUGGGAAUGCUCUAAUACCAUUUGUAACAUCUCAACCUAAACUCUAAGGACAAAUUAAUCUAACAAUAACUCACAUAUGUACUUAAAUAUCUCUUUACAAUCAACAAUAAUUCAAGCCUCAAAUACAAUAUUUAAAUAGCGGGCGACUUUAAAAAUUUUGUCAAACCAUCUACCAUCCUUAAUUCAAGUAUUCUUCUCACUCAUCACGAAUAAAUCUUGACUUUUGGAAAUUGAAUCACAAUAAACUAUAAUGAGUACAAAACUUAAAAAGCAAACUAGUUUUUCAUAUACAUAGAUACUUAUAUAUAAUAUAAAUAGAUGAUAUGCCAUGAUCAAUUCAAAAUAUUGUAAAACAAAUUCAUCAAAAUCUCUUUCUGUCGUUUUCAAACUUUCACAUUUUCUUUCAAUAAAAUACAUAUCAUGCAUCUAGUAAUUUACGCAAUGUGUGGUACUUUGGACUAUGCGUAGCACUUCGCGGCACUCUAUCCCUCGAGAGGUGGUGCAACACCUUGGCAAAUCCUACAUUGACAAAGCAUAGAAGAGAUGUUGGGUUUAUAAGAGGUGUUUCAUGACACGACACAAAAGCGUAUUACUCACAAGUAUAAGAGUGUCUAGUUAUAAUAUAACCCGGUGAGUCUAGGGUCGAACCAUAGGGAAUUUUAAAAUCUAGUUGUCAAUUUGUUAAACAGAGAAAAUAAUUCUGGGGAAAUAAAUUAUUUGAAAACAAUUUAAAAAUAUGCUAAGGUUACGGGAUCCACUCUCAGUAUUCAAACUAUAAUUUUUAUACUCUCUCAUUUAUAUUUUGCCUCACUUUUACUAGUUAAUUAUUAUAUCACUUAAUUCUAUGUGUGAGGAUAAAUAUGGAAUAAAGUACCCAAAUUUUGACAUGGAAGAACUGGUUGGAAAGGCUGUGCAUGAUUGUCAUUUGUCCAACUGAAAUUUGGGUGGUUUCUCCAACCAAAGUUGUAAGUUUGGGAGUAUUGAUUUGAAUUUGGCCUUUUGAAAUUGUCAACGACAUUUACUUGUUCAUGCAAACUUUCUCUCAGAGCUGGCAAAGUUGGACAGUCCUGCAUAGAAUGGUCAGUAGAAUUGCAAACAUAACGUGAAAUAUUUUGAACAGACUUUACAUGAUCAUUCCUUUUCAACUCUAAUGCUUCGACUUUUCUAGCUAAGAAUGCAAAUGUGGCUUGAAAAUCACGGUCUUCCCUAAGGUUGUGCAUGCCUCCACUAAAUGGAGAUGACUGAGGCUUACUUGAUGACUCAUAAGAACCAACUGUAUCCCAGUGUUGUGCAUUCUCUGCUAUAUAGUUAAGAUAGUCUAAUGCAUUUUCAAGACUUUUAUCCCUAAACUCACCAUUACACAUCAUUUCAACGACUUGUCUGCCUUGGGAUGUUAAUCCCUCGUAGAAAUAAGACACUAAUCUCCAUGUUUCAAAAUCGUGGUGUGGGCAAAUGUUAAGUAGUUCUUUAAACCUAUCCCAACAUUGGUAGAGGGUUUCUCCUGGUUUUUGAGUGAAUGUGGUGAUUUGUCUUUUGAAAGAAUUUGUUAUGUGGGGUGGGAAUAAUGUUUUCAAAAAUUAUACUUGCAUUUCAUCCCAAGUUCUGAUAGAUCAUGACCUAAUGUUAGAGUGCAAUUUAUGCACUAGUUUUGUAUUGUUUACUUCCUUUAAUAUCGAUGUUUUGUACUUAAUGAUAGUGAUUUACUUGUCUUUUAUUUUUGUAGGUGCAAUUCUAUUGAUUGGUGCUAAAAUUGAGCUACAAGAUGAUGUUUGAGGAUGAUUGUUUUCCUGGAGAAAUUAUGAGCUUUAAAAGAACUUUGUUGAUAAGGCGUGGGCGCGUGCUGUCAACUAAGGACUUGCAGUUUUUAUUUUAACGUGUUUUAUAUUUUUGGUUAUUUUUGUAAUUUCAAAUUUAAUAUUUACAUAAUAUUUUAGAUAUUAGUAUUUUAUUUUGGGAGAAACGCUAGAAGAGGGGGGAGAGAGAUUUUUGGAAAAAGAAGAAAAAGUAACCCUAAAUCUAAUUUUUCUCUUCUCUCUAUGAAGAACUAAACCUAUUAUUCUGGUUAAAGGUUAAUAAAGCUUUGAUUCAUCAUUAUUGUGAGAUCUUUCUUAUGCUUUAAUUGUUUUAUUGCUUUUUGGGUAUUUGUUUAUUCUCUAAAUUAUUGUCAUGAUUAUGUUUGUUAAUUAGAUAAUUGGCCACUACUUAAUUAUCAACUUAAUCUAUUAUCAAUUAAAAGAUUCAUCGUAUGAAGAUUUUAAUGUUUAUGACAAAUAAUAUAGUAGUGCGUUGUGUUAUGAGAAUAAACAAUCUAAUUUAAAUGAAGUAUCGUAUGCGUUUGUUGAUUAGGAUUUGGGUCUCUCUGGUUUUUCAGGCUGUCAAUUGAUUAAAUCCUAUGAUCGUAUCUAGGGUUGUCUAUUGUUUAGGGAAAUAACCAAUGGUCGUACCUUGGUUAUAGACUAGUUAAGGAGAGAUUGACUAUUAGAGAGUCUCAGUAGCUAUAACCGGUCUAUUCAUAAGUAGUAGUGAUUUAUAUUUGAAUCAAUGAUUAGUAGUUGAAUUAAGCUGAGUUAAUUCCUUCAACCAGAGCUUUUCCUAAUUUGAAUUAAAAUUUGAAUUUGCAUUUUUGUUAUUUUAAUUUGAUUUUUAUUAUUGUCAACAAUCCCCCCCAUUUUGCAUUUUACAUUUUAAAAUAAUUUAAAUAAUUAUCGAUAUCUGUGGACACGACCUUAUGAAGGUUUUUCGGUGAAUAUUGUGGAGGAAGUGACUCUCGAGAGUCCCAUUUAUGCAGAUUGAUGCAUGAAUGUGUCUAACCAAAGAUAUAAAACAAAGGCGCUUUUUGGGAGGAAACCCAAAUGAUUUAUUUAUUUUGAAUUUUGUUAUAUCUUUUGUUUUUAAUUUUGAUUCAGAUUGUUUAAAUAAUGUUUUUGCUUAUUUUGGCCAGAAGAAAUUUUUUGGUUAGGCGUGCCCACGUUUUAACUAAUAAGAACUUCUAUGAUUUUAAAGUACAAUGGUUUUAAGGCUUGCCCAUAUGCUUAUUAAAAAAGUACUUCUGUAAAUUUUUUUGGUGUCUCAAGUGUCUCUUUUAGUUUUUAGUUUCAAUAAAAAAAAUAUUUGAAAAUAAAAAGGUUUUUUAAAAAAUUUUAUUUGAUAAAAAAAAUUGAAAUUUUUUUUUCAGGUUUUAAUCCCUAGCGCGCAGCUCUAGCCCGCGUCUCCAGUGCAAGCAGCCGCGUCUGCACCAGCCCAGCAUCCUGCGCGCAGUACCAGCCUUGAAACCAGCACCAGCGUCUCCAGCGCGCGUUUGCACCAGCCCUGCAAGCAGUCCAAGCCCAGCAACCCGCACAGCCUCACUCUCCUCUGUUCAAAGGACCGCCGCUUUUCGCAUUCAAACAAAACCCGUGAGUGAAAUUACUGUAACAAUGCCAAAGAGGAAAGCAUCAACUUCCAAGUUAUCAACGUCUAAAAAAAACUCGUUGCAAAGAAAUCCAAGAUUGCCGCUCCCACUACGGUCCCAUGGAACACAGUUUCAGAUUCACGCCAAGCCGUGAGACAAAGAUCGAAAUAUGGAAAAGGCAUGAGUGUUUUGCCACUUGCUGAAUCUAAUCUCAGAGGGUGCCUCACAUUCACGACUCAACAAGAGAAAGAAAUGUACAAAGAUAUUUCCAAGUGAAAAAUACUUCCAGCUAAGUAUAUUCAUUACCCGACUCUUGAAAAAUUGAAUGUUAAGGAUAAUUUUAAUUCUUUGAUAGAUAAGAUUGGUUUGCGUAAGUUUGUUGAUGUUGAUUGUUUGGGUUAUGUUGAGUUGAUUAGGGAGUUCUAUGCUACUUUUCAAUUUAAUAUACCGAAUGAUUUUACUUUGCAUACUCUGAAUGUUAUAAAGUUUAGGUUAAUGCGACGAAAUUUUUCACAAUCUAUUACAGAUUUUAACCUAGCUUUAGGAUUCAUUGAUGAUGAUUAUUCUUCUAGUGAUGCAUAUUUAGGGACAAAUUGUGACUUUAGCAAAAAUUUUGAGCCUUAUGGUCUUUGGCGUAAUUUAUUUUUUGAUCACAAUGCCUACGACCCGAGUAAAUCAAAGAGCUCUUUUUUACGUGAUCCUGUUUUGAAAUGUGUGCAUCGGUUCUUAGCAUUAGGAAAUAAAGAUCACUCGAGAGUUUUCUCUAAAAUUGAGUUUUAUUUUAUUUGGUGCAUGUUAAAUGAUGUGAGGCCUAAUCUAGGUUUUUAGUUAGCAGAUCAAUUUUAGAGUGUGCUUAAACGGUAUAGGACUUUAUUUCUUGGUCCAUACAUUACUCUGUUAGCUAUAAACUUAUGUGUACUUGAUCUUGACAAUAAUGAUUUACAUCUUGCUUGCAAAAAGGAAUUUUUGGAUAUGUCUUUGUUUGAAAGAGCAGGUUUGGUCUAAUUCGAGGGGAGAUUUCAGUUUACUGAACCAGGACCCACUCAAAUUCCAAAGAAGCUUUAUGCUAGGAGUCGUGCUACCUCUGAUGACGUGUUUGGCGACGAAAUUGCUGCCCCACCAACUAUUCCUGCUACAUCUGCACCACCUUUGAGCAUUUAGUUAGAGAAAAUGGAGCACAUGCUAAACAAGAUGAAGCAGAAUUUGGCCGCAUACUUCGAGAGUGUGGGAUUUAUCCCACCAUUUCCGUCAAGCCCAUAAACGUUAUGUGGAUCAAAGCUCACAAUUCAGAGAAGUUUUGCCUUUAAUCUUUUAUCCUUAUGCUUUAUUUCUUUAUGUGAGCUUUGAUUAUCAUACAUUGAGGACAAUGUAAGUUCUUGGUGUGGGGGAGGGAUUUUUGCAAUAUUGAUAUCUGGAAGUAUUAUUUUCACUCUGCUCAUCUUUAAAUGAUUUUGGAGUUAGUAUGCUUCAUAUAUUAUUCUUAAUUUUUUUCUUUUCUUUUCUUUCUCAAUACUCUUUUCCCAUCUAUCUCAAAUUAUUUACAUCUAUUUUUAUUUUAUCAUACUCUUUCAUCACUCACAUUUUAUAUUUCACUUUUUAUAUUACUACAUACAUCUUUCUCGCUUCUUAUCCUCUUGACCUUUCCUUUUAUAUAUCACUCAUACCUUCUUCUCAUUCUACACCACUAUUGAUGGUUGUUUCAUUUGAAGAGUGUACAUGAUUUGAUGGCAAAUUUACCAACUUUGUGAGGAUUUGAGCCUAUGAGCAACCAUUUUGCUCUAAUUAUUUUUGUUAUGUGAAUAUCAAUCUUAGUUUGUUUAUUCUAGAACUUGCUUUGUUAUGCAUGUUGAAGCCAUAUUACGGGAUUUUAUGCAUUAAAAUGAUAAGGGCAAACCACUUUCCAUUUCUCUAUUUUCGAAUUUUUCUUCUUUUUCUCCAUCCGAAGACCUUUAUUUGUUAUCUUUGUUUGAGCCUUAACCAUUCUCUUCACUUGUUUUAUUAUUAUUACUUUUGACCAUCUAAUUCUCUCCAUCUACUUACCCAUUUUCCUUUUUUUUGAGCUCCAAUUUAAGGAGAUUUUUGGACUCAUUGUUUGGAUAUAUUUUGUAUAUAUUCUGUUGCUUUUGCUACAUUGAAUUAAAGUUUCUCAAUUAGAUCAACAAGCAUUAUGCUUGAAUUAAAUUGUGCAAGGUUCAUUUCUUUUGUUUGGUUCACCAUUACUGUGAAAAAAGAAAAAAAAGAAAAAAAACAUUAAAAAAAAGUGUUUAUAUUCUUGGCGAUUUGAGUAGAAAUAAGUGUUUUGAUAUUAUAAGGUUCAUUCAAUGAGUUCAUUCUUCUCGGUUUGAUCUCUUUUUCUUUCAUAGACCUUUCUUUUUUAUUUAACCCAUUUAACCUUGUUACAACCUUUUUAAGACCCUUAGAUUUUUUCAUUUAAUUCAUGUUUUGUGGAUUGAGAUGUGAUAUAUGAGCAAUCUUAUGGUAAUAGCAUUCUUUGAUUUGAUUUGAGUGCAUAAAUGAUACCCUAAACACUUUGAGUGCAUGAAGUGAAGUCAAUGAGAGGGCUAUUAAAUCUUGUUGCACUUGAAUUUUGAAUGGAUCUUCUUGGUGGAUUGAAUGCUUUUAUACUAGCUUAUGAGAUCCUAUACUUUAAAAUCCUUGUCUCUCGAAUGUUGAUUGACUUAAAUUCUUGAGGUAUGCUUGCUUAAAUUUGUUUUUGGAUGAGUUGAGAUGAGAAUUGAGUGGAGAUUUGGGAUUAGUCUUGAGUUAUAUGCUUGAGGACAAGUAUUAUCUUGGUGUGGGGGAAUUUGUUAGAGUGCAAUUUAUGCACUAGUUUUGUAUUGUUUACUUCCUUUAAUAUCGAUGUUUUGCACUUAAUAAUAGUGAUUUACUUGUAUUUUAUUUUUGUAGGUGCAAUUCUAUUGAUUGAUGCUAAAAUUGAGCUACAAGAUGAUGUUUGAGGAUGAUUGUUUUCCUGGAGAAAUUAUGAGCUUCAGAAGAACUUUGUUGAUAAGGCGUGGGCAUGUGCAGUCAACUAAGGACCUGCGGUUUUUAUUUUAACGAGUUUUAUCUUUUUGGUUAUUUUUGUAAUUUUGAAUUUAAUAUUUAGAUAAUAUUUUAGAUAUUAGUAUUUUAUUUUGGGAGAAAUGCUAGAAGAGGGGGGAGAGAGAUUUUUGGAAAAAGAAGAAAAAGAAACCCUAAAUCUAAUUUGUCUCUUUUCUCUAUGAAGAACUAAACUUAUUAUUCUGGUUGAAGGUUAAUAAAGCUUUGAUUCAUCAUUACUGUGAGAACUUUUUUAUGCUUUAAUUGUUUUAUAGCUUUUUGGGUAUUUAUUUAUUCUCUAAAUUAUUGUCAUGAUUAUGUUUGUUAAUUAGAUAAUUGGCCACUACUUAAUUAUCAACAUAAUCUAUUGUCAAUUAAAAGAUUCAUCGUAUGAAGAUUUUAAUGUUUGUGACAAAUAGCAUAGCAGUGCGUUGUGUUAUGAGAAUAAACAAUCUAAUUGAAAUGAACCAUCGUAUGCAUUUGUUAAUUAGGAUUUGGAUCUCUCUGGUUUUUCAGGCUGUCAAUUGAUUAAACCCUAUGAUCGUAUCUAGGGUUGUCUAUUGAUUAGGGAAAUAACCAAUGGUCGUACCUUGGUUAUCGACUAGUUAAGGAGAGAUUGGCUAUUAGAGGGUCUCAGUAGCUAUAACCGGUCUAUUCAUAAGUAUUAGUGAUUCAUAUUUGAAUCAAUGAUCAGUAGUCGAAUCAAACUGAGUUAAUUCCUUCGACCAGAGCUUUUCACAAUUUGAAUUACAAUUUUAAUUUGCAUUCUUGUUAUUUUAAUUUGAUUUUUAUUAUUGUCAACAAUCCCCCCCCCAUUUUGCAUUUUACAUUUUAAAAUGAUUUAAAUAAUUACUGAUCUCUGUGGACACGACCCUGCUUAAUCACUAUACACAAUUUAUUUAGAGUAGGUAUUUAUUUUUGCUGGCUUCGACAACCAUCACCUAAGAUUUUGUAGCCAAGUUUUAUCUUUAUCCUUUAGUAAGAAAAGAAAAAACUUAAGCCUGAUUAUAUUCAUGCUACAAUUUUGAUCAGUACAUGUGUUACAGACUUCCUCAAAUUCCCUUAAAUGCAAAUAUGGAUUUUCAGACACAAAACCAUGAAAAAUAGGAAGAAGUUGAAUGAUACCAGGUUUGAAAUUAAAACGUGAUGCAUCAGGAGGGAAAACUAUGCAUGAUGGUGAUCUUGUUCUAGUGGGAUGCAUGAAGUCUUUAAGGGUCCUAGGCUGUUCAUGAAGAUUUUGCAAGACUUGGUCAUUUUCGUACUCCGAAAAUUUUUUAGCUCCUAUGUCAGCCAUAUCUAAGGGUGGUGAAGGUGAUCUCCUAAUUAAUCUGCCACUAUUUGUACGAGACCAACAAUGCAUGCAAUGCUAAUGAUGUGUGCUAAACCAAUGAUGCAUAAAAUGCUAAAUGAAAAUUGUAGAAAAUAAAAAUAAACUGGAAAUUAAAUAAGUAAAAAUGCGAAAUAAAAAUAAACAAAUUGAAAAUAAAUUAGGUGGUGAAACCAGCCAUAAACAAAGAAAUUACAAAAAUAAAUAAAUUUGGCAGUGAAACCAACCAUAAACAAAGAAAUUAAAAAAAACAGUUUAGGCGGUAUUUUAAAACCAGCCAUAUAAUAAAACAUAAAAUUAAAUUAAUUAAUGUACAAGAAUAAAUAAACUGAAAUUAAAAUGAUAGGCCGUAAAACCAACCAUAUCAAUAAAUUAACAAAUUGAAAUUAAAAUUCUAGGCGGUAGAACCGAACAUUUAAAAUAAAUGCGGAAAGUAAAUUGUAGAAAUUUGGGAACUGAUUUGCAAAGGUUUUUGGGCUAAAAUGAAGUUUCUCACAAAUUUUAUAGAUAAUGUUAAAGUUUGAAAAGAGGAGGGGCACUGACUGAAGUUUUACAAAAAGAGAAUAAAAUAGAAUCACAGAAAGAUAGUAACGACAAAAAAAUAUUAAAAUAAACUAAAGUAAAGAUAAACUGACACCAAAUUUAGAAAACUCCGCGGUAACGGCGCAAAAAACCUGACACGACUUAAAAGUGUAUUACUCCCAAGUAUGAAAAUGUCUAGUUAUAAUAUAACUCGGUGAGUUUGGGGUCGAACCACAGGAAAUUUUAAAAUCUAGUUGUCAAUUUGUUAAACAAAGAAAAUAAUUGUGGGGAAAAUAAAUUAUUUGAAAACAAUUUAAAAAUAUGCCAAGGUUAUGAGAUCCACUCUCAGUAUUCAAACUAUAAUUUUAAUACUUUCUCAUUUAUAUUUUGCCUCACUUUUACUAGUUAAUUAUUAUAUCAUUUAAUUUUAUGUGUGUGGAUAAAUAUUGAAUAAAGUACCUAAUGUGCCACACUAUAUUAAUGUGUCGACAUUAUGUCAAAAUACCAUACAAAUCCAAAGAAAUUUAUAAAUUAACAUGACAUAAAAAUAACUAGAAAAGAAUAAAAUAAACUUAAAAACUCAUUUGAGAAAAUAAUAAAUUUAAUAGUUUGAAAUAUUGAGUUUCACCCUUCACUUCAACUUAAUAAAAUUAGUCACUCAUAUUGAAAGAAAACACAAUACUCUUUUUAUUUCUUGUACUUUUGAAAUAUGUUACAAAGAAAAUUGAUACAGACGAAAACAAGAAAAGAAAAGAAAAGAAAAGAAAAGAAAAGAAAAGAAACAAAGAAACAAAGAAAUUCUUCAACUACACCCUUAGCUAUCACUCUCUCUCAGAACUCGGCUCCGUCCCCCAAUGGCUUGUAUCUCCUUGCAUUUUAUAGGCAAGGGAAGCAUCUUCUUUUCUUUUAUUUCAUUAAUAUUAAUAUUUUAUUUUAUUUUUAUAUUAUAAAUAUGUUAAUUGAAAUGUGUGAUGGCCUCCUGACCAUCACCAACAUGCUUGCCAAUCCUUUUUUUUAUUUGUUUUAUUUUUAAUAACAUCUCCUCGAUUGAUGAAUUCUAAAUUGCUCCAGCUGUCUUUCUUUAUUCUCGCUUUUAACUCCAAUUCCAUCUUUAUUCCUGAAAAAUAUUUAUAAGGUAAAAAUUAACAUAUUGCAAAUUAAUUUAACAAAAAAAUAUAUUUGGGGAAUAUUAAAAUAAUUUAAAAAUAAUGAGCGCAUUAAUUGACACAAUAAGUGAAAUACUAAUAAUUUUAUCCUUAUUAAAUGUGCACUUUUUAGUGUCAAUCACACCCCCCAACCAGCCCCAACCUGCUUAUUGCUAGGUAUUAGCAAUUUAAGCGAUAAAAGUUUAGUAAAAUUCAAACUCAAAUUGAAUUUUUUUUAAAAAAAUUGUAUUUACUUCUUUCAUCAGAUUAAUGACAACAAUCAAAUAAAAGUAUACUCAUUAUCUUUAACCUAAAGAAAAUCACACCUGCACAAAAAAGUUAAGUAAAAUCACGUAAAAUAAUCAAUUAUCAGAGCUAUAUUAAUCAAGUCACUUUUAAGAAUGAUACAUCAAAUCUCAAAACCUCACAAAUAAGAGUGACUCUCUCAAAAAAAAAUAUUCCCAAAAUUAAAUUGUCACUCUAAACAUGGUAGAUUUGAGAGAAUAAUAAAAUAAUAUCACACGCUCUCACUAAGAUGAAAAAAUAAUGUCUACAGCUUAAAAAUAAAAUGAUCUCAAGUCCAAGGAAUUACUAGCAAAAUUUAUUUUUAUUUUUAUGCAUCACCACAUCUUUUAGUCCAUAUUACCAGCUUUUACUUCAGACUAUAGUUCCGAAAAAUCGAGAAGGACUUUUAUUAGGACGUAACGUAGGCUAAGAUUAUCGCUAACAAAAAAGGUAAUAGGGAAAACAAAAAUAUAUGUUUAAAAAAUAAGGGACUUUUUGGAGAUUACAAGAUUCUUUUUUUUUCUUGGAUUUGUUUUCUCUUUUUUUGUUUUUUUUUUCAUUUUUAUUUUUAUAUACAUAUCCUCUCUUUUUUUUCAUAACACCAUUAUUAGAAAUACAUAAUCAUCCCUAUUUUCAAACAUAAUUGGGUGGUGGAAAACAUAAUAUAUAAGGUGAUACUCCACAUUGGAGUGGGAUAAUAUAAUAGGUUAUCAAAGGAAAAGUUUUUUUUUUUCAAAAGCUCAAAGGGGUUAACUAUGGACUCUUUAUAAUAGAGUUUGAUACAAAAGGCUUAAACAAAUCAAAGAUAGCCUUCUGUCAUUUUUUAGAGCUCUAAAUAAUCUUUCAUAUCUACUAGUUCAAUGGACUUUUAGAUGCAGCUGCACAAACUUUCUUUUUUUCACUCUUUUUUUUAAUAAAAAAUAUUGAGAUCUUGUACAAUAAAUUGUGAAGCUGUAUAGGCAAACAUGGUUACUCUCCAAGGAUAAUAGGCUCAAAAACUCGCUUGAACUUUUCAUAACAUGUACAUUCAUCCAAAUAGCUUAAUCAAAUUUACUCAUCAAAUUUCUCAAUUUAUGUUUCAACAUGCAACGGGGAAAACAUAGUGUAACAUAACUCCAGGCCAACGAUAAUACAAAUACCAAAAUUUGAAAAUCAUCAUGUUAUCCAAUGUUAAAAGAUCAUAUUGAAAAAGAAAACUCUUUUUUUUUUGUUAAAGAAACACUAAAAACAAUCUGGACUGAUUACAGAAACUUAAGGGAGAUGAUUAAGAGAAAAAGAGAAAAAGACAAAAAACAAAAAGUUAGAAAACAAUUUUUUUUUUAAGAACAAAACACUAAAAUUAAGAAGAUGCGUUUCUAGAGAUACUACAUUCUAUAUUUUGAUAUCUUCGACUCAAAUUUUUAUCUAAAGUUAGUCUUUACAACACAAAUUAGUAAAAACAUCACCAGGACUGAGACAUUCCACAAUUGUCGACUAUUCCCUCCCCCCAACCUGAAGGAGACAUUGUCCUCAAUGUCUAAAGAAAGAAGUAGAGUUUAGAAGAUAUCACCCGGCCACUGCUGAAAAUAUUUACAAACAGAGAGUUAAAUCUAAUUUAUAAUUUUUACGAGAGUUACUGCCAUCGUCAUCAGUUGCCCAAUCUAACGCCAAAGUCAUGGGAUCUGGCUCUAAUUUGUAAGCUUGCAAAAGAUCAAGUAACUCAUUAGCAGUAGGAGCACAAAUGAAGAGUUUUUUCGCUGAGGGUGGAAUGAAAUAAUUUUUAAUUGCAUGAUUAAGAAAUGUUAUUAAGCCAUCAUAAAAGUUAUUAACAUUUAACAAACCGAUGAGUUCAAGAAGCAAAUGUAAUUAGCGCCUCUAAAGUUGCAAGAUCUCCUGGCAAGAAAAUGAAAGCAUCAACAUGAUUUAACAUUUCAAAUAUUCUUUCUUGCAUACCUGAGACAACUAACUCUUCUCCAGUUGGUGGGUCUGGUAGACAUCCUAAAGGUUUUAAGGUUUUUGGAAUGAUUCCUAGCACUUGGCUUCCUCGAACGAAAGCAGCUUCAGAGACAAGCUUUGAUAACCCUCGGUCAUCUCCUCCAUAUAUAAGAUGUAGUUUCUUCUCUACUAUAACACGACCAAGAUCUAUCGCUGCCUGAACGAACUCCUUAUACUUUCCAUAGCGAAAUCCAGAAAGCACACAAAUGUUCUUUAAUUGUUUGCUUGAAGUUGUUGCCAUUAGAAAAAUUAUAAAAAGAAACAAUUUGUGAGUGCUUGAAAAGGAGGUCCUAUUUAAAGAUCUUGGUGACGGACAUAAUGAUAUACAUUUGUAAAUGGGGUGGUGUGUUUAUCAAAUGACGCGUGAAGCUUUUAGCUUAAUAAUUCAAAGGCAUAUAGUAAAAAGAAAAAGCAAACAGUGAUUAGAUAUAAAAAAGACACACAAUAAUAAUAAUAAUGCAAAAUAUAAAAGAACAAUAAAAUAAAAGGAUAUUUACUAGUAGUUGUGAUUGUGGCUUACAUCUUCCUCUGGUUUUACAUCCAGUAACGGCUUGAACGCCCUCUGUGGGUCGAGGAUAGGCUUCCCAUCCAGUUUUCUUAUAAACUGGCAAAUAGGGUCUUUUAGGAACAACUUCCACAAAUUUUGAAUUUCACAUUGAACAUAUCCGCUCGGAUGUGUCUCAAGAGAUCGUAAGAUAUCAUCCAACGAUUCUUUACUUAUGCCAUCCUUAACGAAUUUGAUUUUAUCUUCAUGAUUUACAGAAACCAUUCCUAAAGUUUUACAACAUGGUUUUCUACAAGCAAGUCUUACAUAGUUAGGACAUUUAGAGCCAAGUCUCUUAGCUCUUCUUUUCUUAGCAAAUGUACUUUUACCAAAACCAGGCAUGUAGGAAAUGAAUGGAUCAGAAAACUCACAUGCCAGUCGGACCUUUGCUUCAAUUAACCGGCGAAUGUCAGCAAGAAUCCCAUUGAUCAUUAACAAACGCAGUCGUUCACAACGAGUUUUGUAAAUCUUCUUAAGAGCAUUUUGAGGGAGAGAAGGAAAAUGUUGAUGCAAUUUUCGUUGUAUUUCUUCCAUGCUUGACAUUGAGGUUUCAGUUAUUGUGGAAAACUGAGAAUACCAACUUAAAAUGUCACAAAGUACUGUUAUCCGCCAUUUAUAUUGGAGAGUGAAUCAAAACAAAACGAAUCAAAUCUGCAAAAUCAAAUCAAAAGUGAAGAACAACAACAAAAUAAAACAAAAACCCACAAGGAAUAUUACUCACCUUCGUCCUUUUAUUGAAUUUACCUCCAGUUCCAAUUGCAGAUUAUAAAUACCAUCAUCUAUUUUCUUGAGUUGUCUUUCUAGAUCUUUCACGUGGUAUACCAACUCUGGUUGUUGUAGAUCCCAAAUGGGAUGUGAUUUACAAAAUCUGAGCAAUUUCCUCAAGUGAAAUUUUACAUGUAAAAGUUCUUUAAAAUGUUCGAAAAUGAUACUUCUCAUGGAGGUACUCAUGAUAAGUAUAACAAUUUGGUGAGCUAAAGCACAAUUGUCAAACAACACACAAUUAAAAACAAUGCAAUGCACUCCAUUCAAGACAUAAGGAAAAGGAAAAAAUCAACAAUUCAAACGAUAAAGUAACAGUAAAUCAAAUUCACAAAAAGUUGAAAUGAAAAAAGCUUAAUUAAAAUUUGGUGGGUCACUCAAAUUGAUUUCGGUAUCUGCUUCACGCGGUUGGUAUUCCAGAUAUGGUUUCAAUCUUUGACCAUUAACUUUAAAUAAGGCACCAUAAUUUGGAUUCUCAAUUUCUACGGCUCCAUAUGGAUAUACAUUUUUUACAACAAAUGGACCAUUCUACUUUGACUUUAAUUUUCCUGAAAAUAAAUGAAGACGAGAAUUAUAAAGCAACACUUUUUGACCAAUGUUUUCCGAAAAAUUCUUUUGCCAUGAAAAAAUUUGGUUCUUGCCUUAAUAAUUCUGGAAUUCUCAUAUGCAUUAUUCUUUAAUUCCUCAAGUUCAUUUAAUUGCAAUUUACGCACAUUACCAGCAUCAUCAAGAUUUGAAUUAAAAGCUUUAAUGGCCCAAAAUGAUUUAUGUUCAAGUUCAACUGGUAAGUGGCAAGAUUUUCCAUAAACAAGCCGAUAAGGUGACAUUCCUAAAGAUGUUUUAAAAACAGUACGAUAUGCCCAAAGUGUAUCAGUUAGUCGAAGAGACCAAUAUUUACGGUUUGGAUUAACUAUCUUUUCUAAAAUUUAUUUUAUCUCCCUAUUUGCUAAUUUAAGUUGACCACUUGUUUGAGGGUGAUAAGGGGUAGCAACUUUAUGUGUAAUUCUAUAUUUCUUCAUUAAGGACUAAAGUAGCUUAUUACAAAAAUGCUUACCCUAUCACUGAUAAUGACUCGAGGUAUUCCAAAUCUGCUCAAAAUAUUUUCUUUUAAAAAGCGAAUCACAAUCUUGUGAUCAUUGUGCCGACAAGGAAUUGCCUCGAUCCAUUUUGAAACAUAAUCAACAGCAACCAAAAUGUAUACAAAUCCAAAUGAUGAUGGAAAAGGGCCCAUAAAAUCAAUUCCCCAACAAUCAAAUAUUUCAAUGACAAGGAUGGGGUUUAAAGGCAUCAUGUUUCGCUUUGAAAUAGACCAUACCAUUUGACAAUUCUUACACACUUUACAGAAUGCAUGUGAAUCUUUAAAUAAUGUAGGCCAAUAAAAUCUACACUGUAAUAUUUUUACAGCUGUCUUUUUUCAAGAAAAAUGGCCACCGCAUGCUUCAGAAUGACAAAAUUGAAAGACCCUACUUACCUCGUCGUCUGGUAUGCAUCUUCAAAAAAUUUGAUCAGAGUAGUACUUAAACAGGUAUGGAUCAUCCCAGUAAAAGCUUCUCACUUUUGUUAAGAAUUUCUUCUUGUCCUGGGAACUCCAGUCACAUGGAAUUUCACCUGUUGAAAGAUAAUUAACAAUAUUAGCAUACUAAGGCAUUUUGUUUAUAGAAAAUAAAAAUUCAUCAAGGAAAGAAUCAUUGAUGGGUGUUGUUUCAAUUGAAGACUCAUUCGUAAGUAUUGAAAGAUGAUCUGUAACAACAUUUUCAACGCCUUUUUUGUCCUUGAUUGUCAAGUUAAAUUCUUGAAGUAGCAAAAUCUAUCGUAUCAACCUUGGUUUGACAUCCUGUUUUGACAUUAAAUAUCUCACAACAACAUGAUCAGAAUAAACAAUAGUGGAUGAACUAAUUAAAUACGAACGAAAUUUAUUCAAUGCAAAUAUUACAGCAAGUAGUUUUUUAUCAGUUGUAGUGUAAUUCAUUUGAUCACUAUUCAAAUACGAACGAAAUUUAUUCAAUGCAAAUAUUACAGCAAGUAGUUUUUUCUCAAUUGUAGUGUAAUUCAUUUUAUCACUAUUGAAAGUUCUACUUGCGUAAUAGAUGACAAAGGGCUUACCUUCCUUUUUUUUUUACCCCGAACAAUGCAAACGGUAUAACCACUAGCAUCACACAUUAGCUCAAAAGGUAAAGACCAAUCAGGGGGUUGCAUUAUUAGGGCUGAUGUCAAAAGAGUAGUUAUUCAUUUGAUCACUAUUCAAAUACGAACGAAAUUUAUUCAAUGCAAAUAUUACAGCAAGUAGUUUAAUUAAAUACGAACGAAAUUUAUUCAAUGCAAAUAUUACAGCAAGUAGUUUUUUCUCAAUUGUAGUGUAAUUCAUUUGAUCACUAUUGAAAGUUCUACUUGCGUAAUAGAUGACAAAUGGCUUACCUUCCUUUUUUUUUUACCCUGAACAAUGCAAACGGUAUAACCACUAGCAUCACACAUUAGCUCAAAAGGUAAAGACCAAUCAGGGGGUUGCAUUAUUAGGGCUGAUGUCAAAAGAGUAGUUAUUCAUUUGAUCACUAUUCAAAUACGAACGAAAUUUAUUCAAUGCAAAUAUUACAGCAAGUAGUUUUUUCUCAAUUAUAGUGUAAUUCAUUUGAUCACUAUUGAAAGUUCUACUUGCGUAAUAGAUGACAAAGGGCUUACCUUCUUUUUUUUUUUACCUCGAACAAUGCAAACGGUAUAAUCACUAGCAUCACACAUUAGCUCAAAAGGUAAAGACCAAUCAGGGGGUUGCAUUAUUAAAGCUGAUGUCAAAAGAGUAGUUAUUUUUUCAAAAACUUGUUGACAAUCUUUAGUCCAUUCAAAAGGUUUGUCUUUUAUUAUGAGGUUACAAAGUGGUCUAGAUAUGACACUAAAGUCUUUUAUAAACCUCCUAUAAAAUUCUGCGUGUCCUAAAAAUGAACGGACUUCUUUAAUUGUCUUUGGUGAGGGUAAUUUUGAAAUGACUUCAACUUUGUCUUUGUCAACUUCAAUUCCUUUUGAAGACACAACAUGGCCCAAGACAAUUCCAGAAGUGGUCAUGAAAUGACAUUUUUUCCAAUUUAAAAUUAGUCAUUUUUCUUUGUACCUUUCCAAAAUUUUUUCUAGAUUAUCAAGACAUGUAUCAAAAGAAUUACCAAAUACAGUUAAAUCAUCCAUAAAACCCUCUAGACAAUUUUCAACCAUAUUACUAAAAAUGCUUAGCAUGCACCUUUGAAAUGUUGCAGGAGCAUUACAAAGUCCAAAGGGCAUUCUCCUAAAUGCAAAUUUUCCAAAUGGGCAUGUGAAUGUGGUCUUUUCCUGGUCUUCUAAGUCUAUAGGGAUUUGAUAAUAGCCAGAGUAGCCAUCAAGAAAGCAAUAGUAAGGAUGUCCAACUACUCUUUCGAGAAUUUGGUCUAAAAAUGGAAUGGGAAAAUGAUAUUUUCUAGUGGCAUCAUUUAAUUUUCUAUAAUCAAUGCACAUGCGCCAACUAGAUGGAAUUUGUGUUGGGAUUGGUUCACCUUUUUCAUUUUUUACAACGGUUAUUCCAGAUUUCUUUGGCACUACUUGUGUUGGACUUACCCAUUUACUAUAAGAGAUAGGAUAGAUAAUUCCUACAUCUAGUAGUUUAAGGACCUCAUUCUUUACCACUUCUUCCAUAUGAGGGUUUAGUCUUCUUUGUGGUUGACGGGUUGUUUUGGCAUUUUCCUCUAAGUGUAUUCGGUGUGUACAAAUUAAAGGAUUAAUGUCUUUUAUGUCUUUUAAGGUCCAACCAAAUGCAGUUUUAUGCCUUUUGAGUACAAAUAACAACUUACUUUCUUGAUCAUGCAUGAGCUGGGAAGAAAUUACCACCAGAUUUGUCUUCUGCUCUCCAAGAUAAGCAUAUUUCAAUUCUUCUGGUAAGGGCUUUAAUUCGAGCUCUGGUGCUUCCUCUUCGUUUGAUUCUUCAGGUUGUACCGUAUCUUUAAAGUUCGAUUGGCCAUCGUCACCUGUAGGUACCUGCAUAGAAUCAAGUGUAGAACAUAUGUUAGCAGUAUUAUAAUUUAAUUCUUUACUUGAUCCAAAAGAACCAGCAAAAUAAAUUUCCAUAAAGUUUGUAAAAUUCUCAUCCUGAAUGUGUUCCUCAAUGAUUGGCUUGAUAAGAUCAAUCUUCUCAUUCUCAUUAUCAUCAUAUUCUUGGUGGUGGGGUUGUUUACACAUGUUGGACACAUUGAGUUCUAAUGUCAUGUUGCCGAAAGAUAAAUUCAUUACUUUAUAUUCCUGCAAUUAAUUAAAGUAUUAGUAGUAGUUAAAAAUGGUCGACCCAAUAUAAUAGGAAUUUGUUUGCAUUCAUUAGCAAUUGGUUCCGUUUCCAAAACAAUAAAAUCCAUAGGGUAUAUGAAUUUAUCGACUCGGACUAAUACAUCUUCAAUUAUUAUUCUUGGAACUUUAAUCGAUCUAUCAGCAAGUAAAAGAGUGGUAGAAGUUGGUUUUAACUCAUUGAGAUUGAGUUGUUGGUACAUUGAGUAAGGAAGCUAAUUAACACUAGCACCAAGAUCAAGUAGAGCAUGUCCAAUUUUAUGAUCCCCAAUAAUGCAAGAAAUAGUUGGACAACCAGGAUCCUUGUAUUUCAAAGCACUAUUGGUUGAGAGAAUGGAACUUUCCUGUACUACUAGAAACGCUUUCUUUUGCACUUUAUGUUUCCUUUUCACCGUGCACAAAUCUUUCAGAAAUUUAGCAUAAGAAGAUAUUUGUUUAAUGGUGUCCAGCAAAGGAAUGUUGACCUUCACUUGUUUAAAAACUUCAUAAAUUUCUAGACUGUGCUUUGAUUUCUUUGGCUUGAUUAGUGCUUGAGGAAAUAAGGGUAGAAGGGGAGAGUUGGUUAUUUCUUCAUGGGUUAAAGGUUCGAAAGACUCUUCCCUAUUUUUUGAAAUUAAAUCUUUACUAGUUUCAUGAGGGUCCACAAUGUGUUUUUCGACCACUUUACCACCACAAAGGGUUAUAACCGAUUUGACUUGAUUUAUAUUUUGGUUUCCUGAAUUUCCCAUUUGAGGAUGUUGUUGACUCUUGGGGUUUGGUUCAGGUUGAGCAGGAAACUUUCCUUUUUCAUGCAUGGUCAGAGCAAAUGUAAGUUUGGAGAUAGUUUCUGUCAAAUUGGUUAAGGUUUGCAUUGUUUGGUUAUUAAUCGACUCUUGUUUUUCAAUAAACAAAUGCAAUGUGUCUUUCAGAGUUUUUCUUGAUGGUGGGACAUAUGGUGAGUAACUCUGGGGGUUUUGGAAAUUUUGACAUUGAAGAACUGGUUGUGAAGGCUGUGCAUGAUUGUCAUUUCUCCAACUGAAAUUCGGGUGGUUUCUCUAACCAGAGUUGUAAGUUUGGGAGUAUGGAUUUGAAUUUGGCCUUUUGAAAUUGUCAACAACAUUUAGUUGUUCAUGCAAACUUUCUCUCAGAGCUGGCAAAGUUGGACAGUCCUGCAUAGAAUGGUCAGUAGAAUCGCAAACAUAACAUGAAAUAUUUUGAACAGACUUUACAUGAUCAUUCUUUUUCAACUCUAAUGCUUCGACUUUUCUAGCUAAUGAUGCAAAUUUGGCUUGAAAAUCAUGGUCUUCCCUAAGGUUGUGCAUGCCUCCACCAGAUGGAGAUGACUGAGGUUUACUUGAUGACUCAUAAGAACCAACUGUAUCCCAGUGUUGUGCAUUCUCUGCUAUAUAGUCAAGAUAGUCUAAUGCAUCUUCAGGACUGUUAUCCCUAAACUCACCAUUAAACAUCAUUUCAAUGACUUGUCUACCUUGGGAUGUUAAUUCCUCGUAGAAAUAAGACACUAAUCUCUAUGUUUCAAAACCGUGGUGUGGGCAAAUGUUAAGUAGUUCUUUAAACCUAUCCCAACAUUGGUAGAGGGUUUCUCCUAAUUUUUGAGUGAAUGUGGUGAUUUGUCUUUUGAAAGAAUUUGUUAUGUGGGGUGGGAAGAAUUUUUUCAAAAAUUGUACUUGCAUUUCAUCCCAAGUUUUGAUGGAUCCUGACCUAAGAAUUUUUAGCCAAGUUUUAGCUUUAUCCUUAAGUAAGAAAGGAAAAAACUUAAGCCUGAUUAUAUUCAUGCUACAAUUUUGAUCAGUACAUGUGUUACAGACUUCCUCAAAUUCCCUUAAAUGCAAAUAUGGAUUUUCAAACUCAAAACCAUGAAAAGUAGGAAGAAGUUGAAUGAUACAAGGUUUGAAAUUAAAACGUGAUGCAUCAGGAGGGAAAACUAUGCAUGAUGGUGAUCUUGUUCUAGUGGGAUGCAUGAAGUCUCUAAGGGUCCUAAGCUGUUCAUGAAGAUUUUGCAAGGCUUGGUCAUUUUCGUGCUCCGAAAAAUUUUCAGCUCCUAUAUCUAAGGGUGGUGAAGGUGAUCUACUAAUUAAUCUGCCACUAUUUGUACGAGACCAACAACACAUGCAAUGCUAAUGAUGUGUGCUAAACCAAUGAUACAUAAAACGCUAAAUGAAAAUUGUAGAACAUAAAAAUAAACUGGAAAUUAAAUAAGCAAAAAUAUGAAAUAAAAAUAAACAAACUGAAAAUAAAUAAAAUAAAUAAAUUAGGCAGUGAAACCAGCCAUAAACAAAUAAAUUAAAAGAAACAAUUUAGGUGGUAUUUUAAAACCAGCCAUAUAAUAAAACAUAAAAUUAAAUAAAUUAAUGUACAAAAAUAAAUAAACUGAAAUUAAAAUGAUAGGCAGUAAAACCGACCAUAUAAAUAAAUUAACAAACUGAAAUUAAAAUUCUAGGCGGUAGAACCGACCAUUUAAAAUAAAUGCGGAAAGUAAAUUGCAGAAAUUUAAAGAAAUAAAUUCGAUUUGGGGACUGAUUUGCAAGGUUUCUGGGCUAAAAUGAAGUUUCUCACAAAUUUUAUAGAUAAUGUUAAAGUUUAAAAAGAGGAGGGGCACUAACUAAAGUUUUAUAAAAAGAAAAUAAAAUAGAAUCACGGAAAGAUAGUAACAACAAAAAAAAUAUUUAAAUAAAAUAUAGUAACGAUAAACUAACAUGGCUUAAAAGCGUAUUACUCCCAAGUAUAAGAAUGUCUAGUUAUAAAAUAACCUGGUGAGUUUAGGGUUGAACCACAGGAAAUUUUAAAAUCUAGUUGUUAAUUUUUUAAACAAAGAAAACAAUUGUGGCGAAAAUAAAUUAUUUGAAAACAAUUUAAAAAUAUGUUAAGGUUACGGGAUCUACUCUCAGUAUUCAAACUAUAAUUUUAAUACUCUCUCAUUUAUAUUUUGCCUCACUUUUACUAGUUAAUUAUUAUAUCAUUUAAUUUUAUGUGUGUGGAUAAAUAUGGAAUAAAGUACUUAAUGUGCCACACUAUAUUAAUGUGUCGACAUUAUGUCAAAAUACCAUACAAAUUCAAAGAAAUUCAUAAAUUAACAUGACAUAAAAAUUACUAGAAAAUAAUAAAAUAAACCUAAAAACUCAUUUGAGAAAAUAAUAAAUUUAAUAGUUUGAAACAUUGAGCUUCACCCUUCACUUCAACUUAAUAAAAUUAGCCACUCAUAUUGAAAGAAAACACAACACUCUUUUUAUUUGAUAUACUUUUGAAAUAUGUUACAAAGAAAAUUGAUACAAACGGAAACAAGAAAAGAAAAGAAAUAAAGAAAGAAAGAAAUUCUUCAGCUACACUCUUGGCUAUCACUCUCUCUCAGAACUCGGCUCCGUCCCCAAUGGCUUGCAUCCCCUUGUAUUUUAUAGGCAAGGGAAGCAUAUUCUUUUAUUUUAUUUUAUUAAUAUUAAUAUUAAUAUUUUAUUUUUAUAUUAUAUAUAUGUUAAUUGAAAUGGAGGCCCAUCACCAACAUGCUUGCCAAUCCUUUUUUUUUCUUUAUUUUUUUAUUUUUAAUAACAUCUCCUCGAUUGAUGAAUUCUAAAUUACUCCAGCUGUCCUUCUUUGUUUCCGCUUUUAACUCCAAUUCCAUCUUUAUUCCUGAAAAAUAUUUACAAGAUAAAAAUUAACAUAUUGCAAAUUAAUUUAAUAUAAAAUAUAUUUGGGGAGUAUUAAAAUAAUUUAAAAAUAAUGAGUGCAUUAAUCGACACAAUUAGUGAAAAACUAAUAAUUUUAUCCUUAUUAAAUGUACACUUUUUAGUGUCAAUCAUUUCACAUCCUAAUUGGCAAGACAAGUUUUUGGGGUGUAUGGGCGCCUCAGAAACAAAACCGUGUGGGUCUUGUUAAGGCCCAAACCUGACAAUAUCUUGUCAGAUCUGGGUUGGGACAGAACAGAUGGUAUCAGAGUGGGUCCGUGUGUCCUCUUGAAUGAUGGAGGCAAACGGCAAACCUCAGUGAGAACGUUGAGUUCCUAAGGGAGGUGUAUGUAACACCCUAGGCAAAUCCCACAUUGACCAAACAUAUGAGAGAUGUUGCGUUUAUAAGGGGUGAUCCACACCCUAAUUGGCAAGAUGCGUUUUGGGGUGUAUGGUUGCCCUAGAAACAAAACCACGUGGGCCUUAAAGUAGAAAUAUCUUGCCAGGUCUGGGCUAGAUCAUGUAACAACCCAAUUCUCUUAAGGGUAGUUUAGUAUUUUUAAUUUAUUAAUAUUUUUGUACCCUAGUAUAAAAAGAAUAAGAUGGCUUUCCUCUAUUAUUAAUAAGAGAGAGAGAGAGAGAGAGAGAGAGAGAGAUCAGCUAAAAAAAAAAGAACGAAAGAAGAAAAAGAGAAAAGUAAAGGAGAAGAAGAAAAAGAGAAAAGUAAAGGAGAAGAAGAAAGUCUUUUUCUUCAUAUAGCUAUGAGCAAUAAAUGAGAUCAAAGUAGUGUCUUUUGUAUUGGAUUUGUGCCGAGAGAGAAUUGGAGAUAAAGUUCAAUUUUUUAUCCUUGUUAAUUGCUAUAGAGAAGCAUGAUUAGAUAGUGGUAAGAGAAGUAGAACUUAAGAUUUUAUAGAAAAUAUGUUAAUGGUAUGUUAUUUUGAAAAUCAUAGUAAUUUGUACAAAUUGAUUUUGAUUCUGGAUUUUGGAUAUGUUAAACUAUAUAUCUUCGAGAAUGUUUUGGAACUUGUUUCAAGCUAAUCGGAUAAGAUUUCAAUUAAUUACGAUUUUUUAAACUCAAGUUUGAAAACCUUGAAAUUUCUAAUUUCAGCGAAGAACAUGAAUUACAAAAUUAUUUUACCAUAACUAGACUUCUUCAAAAAUUAUGAAACUUGGAUCAACGAUUUUUAUAUAUGUCUAGUGUGAUUUUGGAAAUUUUCAUGAUUUUAUGAUAAAACAAUAAAUUGUUUGAUAGAAUUGAUGAUGUUUGAAACAUAAAUUAGUUUCAAUAUUUUUUGAAAGAAUUAAGCUAUGAAAUUUUAAUCAAUGAAUUUCUAGUAUGUCAGCAUAUGCUCUUGAAAAUUUGGGAUUUCUCCAAUAAGGUAAUAAUUUAUUAAAAAUCGGAGAACAUGGGUUGUUCUAUUUUGAGAUCAAAUAUUGAGAGUGUUUGAGGUUGACUUUAGAAGAUGUUUAAAAUGAGAAAUUUGAGGAUGUUGGAAUUAUGAUUAGGACUUGAUUAUAUCUUAUGAGAGUUAUAUUAAUGAUUUUUAGUUCGAUGAUAUCAAUACGCAUUUGUUACAUGUGGAUGUCAAGAGGUAAGUAAACUAGACUUCUAAAUAGAUCACAAUAAACAAUAUGUAUAUAUUUGACAUGUUUGAAAAACCUAUUUUUGAUAUGUACGGAUAUGAUUAUAUACAUGGGCAUAUGUAUGUGUGAAAGUUCAUUAGCAUAAGCAUGAUGAAUAUGCAAAGCUUUUAUAAAAAGUAUGUUCAUUAAUUUUGCAUUCUAUAAGUCUAUGAUUUGCACAUGAACUUUGCUAUUAUAUUAAUGGUGCGUUUACUUUCUGGAUUAGGGAAUCAAAAUCCGAAAUUGAAAUCAUUGACAGCGUUUUCCCCACAAAUAGAGUCGAGAACCGAAAUCAGAAUUGUGGGGCCCACCACAAUGUAAAUGAGGAAUGGGAGACUCAUUCCCAAAGAAGAGGGUGGGAAUCAGUCUCCCAAUCCUGGGGCUAACCAUUUUGCCCUCCCCCAAGAUGAAAAAUGCCACUUUGUCCUCAUUUAUAAUUAAUCAAUAUAUUGUUAUAAUUUAUUUAUUUAUUUUUUAUAAUAAUUAUUAAUAUAAUUAUUAUAAUUAAGUAAUAUAAUUAUUACUAUUAAUUAAUAUAUUAAUAUAUUUUAUUAUAAUUAAUUAAAAUACUAUUAUAAUAAUUAUUAAUAUAAUUAUUAUAAUUAAUUAAUGUAUUAUUAUUGUUGAUGCGAGAUUCCGGUUCUCCUCGUUCUACGACCAGGAUCCCUGCUCGAUCAACUCUACCACGACCAGGAGGUCUCCUAGUAAUGCUUCUUCUCCGGAUGUCCCUGCACACACAGACAAGUCAGAGUACGCCGGUUGUUCUCCCGGCGCAAACCCUCCGACGCUCAAGUCAGAUAUGAAGGUUCGGGGAACGCUUGCCACAGGUCUUAUGGCUUUUUUGUGGUUUUCUCUUUUAUCUUAAAAAUGCUAACCCUUUUACCUUCGUUGGCUACCUUUUUAUAGGCUUCCUCUGAAUCUCAGUCUUCCGCUCUUUUCGAGACGGUAUGGGACUCCAACUGCUGCGUUAUGGGCAAAACAUGGGAUCUAGCGUGUUACGCCACGGUUCAGGGGAAAGCGUGGCUGCCACGGCUCUGUGAGACCUUGCGUGUUACGCCACGGUUCUGGGGAAAGUGUGGCUGUCAUGGCUCCGUGAGAUCUUGCGUGUUACGUCGCGGUUCUGGGGAAAGCGUGGCUGUUGUGCCUAGGUUCUCGUGCUGGAGAGCGCGUCUUGCCAACUGCCGUCGACCGGGUCUCCUCGCCUCUCGGUCUCUAGCCGGAAUGGCCUCAUGCCUUUUAUAGGAAUUGGCCUCGCGGACGACAACAUCGUGGACGAGCAGGAUGUUUCUGCUCCUGUUCUUCCACGCGCCAGGCUUUAACGGAAAACACCGGUGCGCAGAACUCCGCCAUCAGAUGUCUGCUCGUCAUUCCUGGUCCCUUCGACGCAUUUGUCCCAAACAGUAUCCCUCCCAAACACCGGUCCCCCAGUUUCUGGUGUUGGGUAAUGUAGUGGACCAGCAGUAGAAACUCGAUAGUACUCGCUCGCGUGGGUUUGGAAAAGGCUGCCAGGAGUCAUGUCGCAUUUAAUUGCGGACGAGGUGACGUGGCAGAAAUCCCCCCCUCCAUUUGAAUUUCAAACCGACGGUUACGGGAUUCUCGGAAUAUGCGUCAUUAAAUGCUGGCAGCCCAAGAGUUUGCUUCUCAGUAAGGAAACCCAAAAUCUUCAAACACGAACUCGUCAUUUUCUCCAUUCUUGUCUCUCCGGCGAAUGAACCUCGGCGCCAAAGCUGUCAUCCCUGUCUCUCUCUGACCGAGUCCCUGCUUCAGGUAUUUUUUCUAUUUUUUUUUUUUUUUUUUUGGUAUCGGUUAGUUGUAGGUAAUCUCCUUUCUCUCUGCUUUGCUUGAGGUUGUAGUUGGCGGUGGUGUUUUGGUUAGAACUUAGGAUAUGUCGAAGGGUAAGGAGAAGGUCGUUGAGGUUGGUGACGACGAACUAGGUUUUUUGCCUAGUCUGCCCGCUGAUUUUGCUUUUGAUCCCGGGAUCCCCUUAGAGCCCAUUAGGUCUAGUGUUGGUACUAGCGCUAGGAGGAUGUCUCCCCAAACAACCUCCUCGAGCGACAGUAGCGAUGAAGAAGGGUCUUCUGGAUCGGAGAACACUUUGAGUGAGGGUCAAGGGGAUGAUUCUAGUGAGGCGUCCCCAUCAGGAGCAUCACGACCAGAAGAACGGGGUACAGUAGGGGGUAGAGCCUUGUCGCGUGAUUAUGCCAUUGACUACAUGUCGUGUACGACCACGUUUGACGAGCUCAAUGACCUCCGACUUAGGUAUAGUAUUCCUGGUGAGAUACCUCUUAGGAUCCCAGGAAAAAAGGAUACACCUAGCCGGCCUCCCAGGGGAUACGUUACCCUGUAUCUGGAGAGCUUUAAGUAUGGGCUGAGGUGUCCUUUGCAGCCUUACUUUGCCCGGAUACUUAACGGGCUAAAUCUGGCUCCUGGUCAGCUGAACCCCAACGGGUGGAGAGUGCUCUCUGGUCUGUUCAUAUUGUGGGACAGAUGUUGCCAAAGCGAGCCCACGGUUGAUGAGGUGAAGCAUCUGUACCAGCUGAAGAGCAGCCCUAAAGAUGCCGGCUGGUACUACUUCCAAUCUGGUACCAAGAGCAGGAAACCCAUAACUGAUCUUCCAACUGGUGGUGGUGGGACUUGGAAGAGGAAAUUCUUUUUUGCUGGGGGUCCCUGGGGUCAAGUUGCACAAAUAGACGGGAAGGAUUGUCGCGUCCCACCCCGUUUCACGGUCCCAGGUUGCCUGCUCGCUUUAGAUGUCUUGUAUCCAUAAUUGUUCCUGCUGUAUUGGUUUGUCUCUAACCAAGUGUCUGUUUGUGCUGUAGUUUCCUGGGGUGUUCACUUCCCGCGACACGGGACAAGAAGACGCGAUAGUUACUUAUAANNNNNNNNNNNNNNNNNNNNNNNNNNNNNNNNNNNNNNNNNNNNNNNNNNNNNNNNNNNNNNNNNNNNNNNNNNNNNNNNNNNNNNNNNNNNNNNNNNNNNNNNNNNNNNNNNNNNNNNNNNNNNNNNNNNNNNNNNNNNNNNNNNNNNNNNNNNNNNNNNNNNNNNNNNNNNNNNNNNNNNNNNNNNNNNNNNNNNNNNNNNNNNNNNNNNNNNNNNNNNNNNNNNNNNNNNNNNNNNNNNNNNNNNNNNNNNNNNNNNNNNNNNNNNNNNNNNNNNNNNNNNNNNNNNNNNNNNNNNNNNNNNNNNNNNNNNNNNNNNNNNNNNNNNNNNNNNNNNNNNNNNNNNNNNNNNNNNNNNNNNNNNNNNNNNNNNNNNNNNNNNNNNNNNNNNNNNNNNNNNNNNNNNNNNNNNNNNNNNNNNNNNNNNNNNNNNNNNNNNNNNNNNNNNNNNNNNNNNNNNNNNNNNNNNNNNNNNNNNNNNNNNNNNNNNNNNNNNNNNNNNNNNNNNNNNNNNNNNNNNNNNNNNNNNNNNNNNNNNNNNNNNNNNNNNNNNNNNNNNNNNNNNNNNNNNNNNNNNNNNNNNNNNNNNNNNNNNNNNNNNNNNNNNNNNNNNNNNNNNNNNNNNNNNNNNNNNNNNNNNNNNNNNNNNNNNNNNNNNNNNNNNNNNNNNNNNNNNNNNNNNNNNNNNNNNNNNNNNNNNNNNNNNNNNNNNNNNNNNNNNNNNNNNNNNNNNNNNNNNNNNNNNNNNNNNNNNNNNNNNNNNNNNNNNNNNNNNNNNNNNNNNNNNNNNNNNNNNNNNNNNNNNNNNNNNNNNNNNNNNNNNNNNNNNNNNNNNNNNNNNNNNNNNNNNNNNNNNNNNNNNNNNNNNNNNNNNNNNNNNNNNNNNNNNNNNNNNNNNNNNNNNNNNNNNNNNNNNNNNNNNNNNNNNNNNNNNNNNNNNNNNNNNNNNNNNNNNNNNNNNNNNNNNNNNNNNNNNNNNNNNNNNNNNNNNNNNNNNNNNNNNNNNNNNNNNNNNNNNNNNNNNNNNNNNNNNNNNNNNNNNNNNNNNNNNNNNNNNNNNNNNNNNNNNNNNNNNNNNNNNNNNNNNNNNNNNNNNNNNNNNNNNNNNNNNNNNNNNNNNNNNNNNNNNNNNNNNNNNNNNNNNNNNNNNNNNNNNNNNNNNNNNNNNNNNNNNNNNNNNNNNNNNNNNNNNNNNNNNNNNNNNNNNNNNNNNNNNNNNNNNNNNNNNNNNNNNNNNNNNNNNNNNNNNNNNNNNNNNNNNNNNNNNNNNNNNNNNNNNNNNNNNNNNNNNNNNNNNNNNNNNNNNNNNNNNNNNNNNNNNNNNNNNNNNNNNNNNNNNNNNNNNNNNNNNNNNNNNNNNNNNNNNNNNNNNNNNNNNNNNNNNNNNNNNNNNNNNNNNNNNNNNNNNNNNNNNNNNNNNNNNNNNNNNNNNNNNNNNNNNNNNNNNNNNNNNNNNNNNNNNNNNNNNNNNNNNNNNNNNNNNNNNNNNNNNNNNNNNNNNNNNNNNNNNNNNNNNNNNNNNNNNNNNNNNNNNNNNNNNNNNNNNNNNNNNNNNNNNNNNNNNNNNNNNNNNNNNNNNNNNNNNNNNNNNNNNNNNNNNNNNNNNNNNNNNNNNNNNNNNNNNNNNNNNNNNNNNNNNNNNNNNNNNNNNNNNNNNNNNNNNNNNNNNNNNNNNNNNNNNNNNNNNNNNNNNNNNNNNNNNNNNNNNNNNNNNNNNNNNNNNNNNNNNNNNNNNNNNNNNNNNNNNNNNNNNNNNNNNNNNNNNNNNNNNNNNNNNNNNNNNNNNNNNNNNNNNNNNNNNNNNNNNNNNNNNNNNNNNNNNNNNNNNNNNNNNNNNNNNNNNNNNNNNNNNNNNNNNNNNNNNNNNNNNNNNNNNNNNNNNNNNNNNNNNNNNNNNNNNNNNNNNNNNNNNNNNNNNNNNNNNNNNNNNNNNNNNNNNNNNNNNNNNNNNNNNNNNNNNNNNNNNNNNNNNNNNNNNNNNNNNNNNNNNNNNNNNNNNNNNNNNNNNNNNNNNNNNNNNNNNNNNNNNNNNNNNNNNNNNNNNNNNNNNNNNNNNNNNNNNNNNNNNNNNNNNNNNNNNNNNNNNNNNNNNNNNNNNNNNNNNNNNNNNNNNNNNNNNNNNNNNNNNNNNNNNNNNNNNNNNNNNNNNNNNNNNNNNNNNNNNNNNNNNNNNNNNNNNNNNNNNNNNNNNNNNNNNNNNNNNNNNNNNNNNNNNNNNNNNNNNNNNNNNNNNNNNNNNNNNNNNNNNNNNNNNNNNNNNNNNNNNNNNNNNNNNNNNNNNNNNNNNNNNNNNNNNNNNNNNNNNNNNNNNNNNNNNNNNNNNNNNNNNNNNNNNNNNNNNNNNNNNNNNNNNNNNNNNNNNNNNNNNNNNNNNNNNNNNNNNNNNNNNNNNNNNNNNNNNNNNNNNNNNNNNNNNNNNNNNNNNNNNNNNNNNNNNNNNNNNNNNNNNNNNNNNNNNNNNNNNNNNNNNNNNNNNNNNNNNNNNNNNNNNNNNNNNNNNNNNNNNNNNNNNNNNNNNNNNNNNNNNNNNNNNNNNNNNNNNNNNNNNNNNNNNNNNNNNNNNNNNNNNNNNNNNNNNNNNNNNNNNNNNNNNNNNNNNNNNNNNNNNNNNNNNNNNNNNNNNNNNNNNNNNNNNNNNNNNNNNNNNNNNNNNNNNNNNNNNNNNNNNNNNNNNNNNNNNNNNNNNNNNNNNNNNNNNNNNNNNNNNNNNNNNNNNNNNNNNNNNNNNNNNNNNNNNNNNNNNNNNNNNNNNNNNNNNNNNNNNNNNNNNNNNNNNNNNNNNNNNNNNNNNNNNNNNNNNNNNNNNNNNNNNNNNNNNNNNNNNNNNNNNNNNNNNNNNNNNNNNNNNNNNNNNNNNNNNNNNNNNNNNNNNNNNNNNNNNNNNNNNNNNNNNNNNNNNNNNNNNNNNNNNNNNNNNNNNNNNNNNNNNNNNNNNNNNNNNNNNNNNNNNNNNNNNNNNNNNNNNNNNNNNNNNNNNNNNNNNNNNNNNNNNNNNNNNNNNNNNNNNNNNNNNNNNNNNNNNNNNNNNNNNNNNNNNNNNNNNNNNNNNNNNNNNNNNNNNNNNNNNNNNNNNNNNNNNNNNNNNNNNNNNNNNNNNNNNNNNNNNNNNNNNNNNNNNNNNNNNNNNNNNNNNNNNNNNNNNNNNNNNNNNNNNNNNNNNNNNNNNNNNNNNNNNNNNNNNNNNNNNNNNNNNNNNNNNNNNNNNNNNNNNNNNNNNNNNNNNNNNNNNNNNNNNNNNNNNNNNNNNNNNNNNNNNNNNNNNNNNNNNNNNNNNNNNNNNNNNNNNNNNNNNNNNNNNNNNNNNNNNNNNNNNNNNNNNNNNNNNNNNNNNNNNNNNNNNNNNNNNNNNNNNNNNNNNNNNNNNNNNNNNNNNNNNNNNNNNNNNNNNNNNNNNNNNNNNNNNNNNNNNNNNNNNNNNNNNNNNNNNNNNNNNNNNNNNNNNNNNNNNNNNNNNNNNNNNNNNNNNNNNNNNNNNNNNNNNNNNNNNNNNNNNNNNNNNNNNNNNNNNNNNNNNNNNNNNNNNNNNNNNNNNNNNNNNNNNNNNNNNNNNNNNNNNNNNNNNNNNNNNNNNNNNNNNNNNNNNNNNNNNNNNNNNNNNNNNNNNNNNNNNNNNNNNNNNNNNNNNNNNNNNNNNNNNNNNNNNNNNNNNNNNNNNNNNNNNNNNNNNNNNNNNNNNNNNNNNNNNNNNNNNNNNNNNNNNNNNNNNNNNNNNNNNNNNNNNNNNNNNNNNNNNNNNNNNNNNNNNNNNNNNNNNNNNNNNNNNNNNNNNNNNNNNNNNNNNNNNNNNNNNNNNNNNNNNNNNNNNNNNNNNNNNNNNNNNNNNNNNNNNNNNNNNNNNNNNNNNNNNNNNNNNNNNNNNNNNNNNNNNNNNNNNNNNNNNNNNNNNNNNNNNNNNNNNNNNNNNNNNNNNNNNNNNNNNNNNNNNNNNNNNNNNNNNNNNNNNNNNNNNNNNNNNNNNNNNNNNNNNNNNNNNNNNNNNNNNNNNNNNNNNNNNNNNNNNNNNNNNNNNNNNNNNNNNNNNNNNNNNNNNNNNNNNNNNNNNNNNNNNNNNNNNNNNNNNNNNNNNNNNNNNNNNNNNNNNNNNNNNNNNNNNNNNNNNNNNNNNNNNNNNNNNNNNNNNNNNNNNNNNNNNNNNNNNNNNNNNNNNNNNNNNNNNNNNNNNNNNNNNNNNNNNNNNNNNNNNNNNNNNNNNNNNNNNNNNNNNNNNNNNNNNNNNNNNNNNNNNNNNNNNNNNNNNNNNNNNNNNNNNNNNNNNNNNNNNNNNNNNNNNNNNNNNNNNNNNNNNNNNNNNNNNNNNNNNNNNNNNNNNNNNNNNNNNNNNNNNNNNNNNNNNNNNNNNNNNNNNNNNNNNNNNNNNNNNNNNNNNNNNNNNNNNNNNNNNNNNNNNNNNNNNNNNNNNNNNNNNNNNNNNNNNNNNNNNNNNNNNNNNNNNNNNNNNNNNNNNNNNNNNNNNNNNNNNNNNNNNNNNNNNNNNNNNNNNNNNNNNNNNNNNNNNNNNNNNNNNNNNNNNNNNNNNNNNNNNNNNNNNNNNNNNNNNNNNNNNNNNNNNNNNNNNNNNNNNNNNNNNNNNNNNNNNNNNNNNNNNNNNNNNNNNNNNNNNNNNNNNNNNNNNNNNNNNNNNNNNNNNNNNNNNNNNNNNNNNNNNNNNNNNNNNNNNNNNNNNNNNNNNNNNNNNNNNNNNNNNNNNNNNNNNNNNNNNNNNNNNNNNNNNNNNNNNNNNNNNNNNNNNNNNNNNNNNNNNNNNNNNNNNNNNNNNNNNNNNNNNNNNNNNNNNNNNNNNNNNNNNNNNNNNNNNNNNNNNNNNNNNNNNNNNNNNNNNNNNNNNNNNNNNNNNNNNNNNNNNNNNNNNNNNNNNNNNNNNNNNNNNNNNNNNNNNNNNNNNNNNNNNNNNNNNNNNNNNNNNNNNNNNNNNNNNNNNNNNNNNNNNNNNNNNNNNNNNNNNNNNNNNNNNNNNNNNNNNNNNNNNNNNNNNNNNNNNNNNNNNNNNNNNNNNNNNNNNNNNNNNNNNNNNNNNNNNNNNNNNNNNNNNNNNNNNNNNNNNNNNNNNNNNNNNNNNNNNNNNNNNNNNNNNNNNNNNNNNNNNNNNNNNNNNNNNNNNNNNNNNNNNNNNNNNNNNNNNNNNNNNNNNNNNNNNNNNNNNNNNNNNNNNNNNNNNNNNNNNNNNNNNNNNNNNNNNNNNNNNNNNNNNNNNNNNNNNNNNNNNNNNNNNNNNNNNNNNNNNNNNNNNNNNNNNNNNNNNNNNNNNNNNNNNNNNNNNNNNNNNNNNNNNNNNNNNNNNNNNNNNNNNNNNNNNNNNNNNNNNNNNNNNNNNNNNNNNNNNNNNNNNNNNNNNNNNNNNNNNNNNNNNNNNNNNNNNNNNNNNNNNNNNNNNNNNNNNNNNNNNNNNNNNNNNNNNNNNNNNNNNNNNNNNNNNNNNNNNNNNNNNNNNNNNNNNNNNNNNNNNNNNNNNNNNNNNNNNNNNNNNNNNNNNNNNNNNNNNNNNNNNNNNNNNNNNNNNNNNNNNNNNNNNNNNNNNNNNNNNNNNNNNNNNNNNNNNNNNNNNNNNNNNNNNNNNNNNNNNNNNNNNNNNNNNNNNNNNNNNNNNNNNNNNNNNNNNNNNNNNNNNNNNNNNNNNNNNNNNNNNNNNNNNNNNNNNNNNNNNNNNNNNNNNNNNNNNNNNNNNNNNNNNNNNNNNNNNNNNNNNNNNNNNNNNNNNNNNNNNNNNNNNNNNNNNNNNNNNNNNNNNNNNNNNNNNNNNNNNNNNNNNNNNNNNNNNNNNNNNNNNNNNNNNNNNNNNNNNNNNNNNNNNNNNNNNNNNNNNNNNNNNNNNNNNNNNNNNNNNNNNNNNNNNNNNNNNNNNNNNNNNNNNNNNNNNNNNNNNNNNNNNNNNNNNNNNNNNNNNNNNNNNNNNNNNNNNNNNNNNNNNNNNNNNNNNNNNNNNNNNNNNNNNNNNNNNNNNNNNNNNNNNNNNNNNNNNNNNNNNNNNNNNNNNNNNNNNNNNNNNNNNNNNNNNNNNNNNNNNNNNNNNNNNNNNNNNNNNNNNNNNNNNNNNNNNNNNNNNNNNNNNNNNNNNNNNNNNNNNNNNNNNNNNNNNNNNNNNNNNNNNNNNNNNNNNNNNNNNNNNNNNNNNNNNNNNNNNNNNNNNNNNNNNNNNNNNNNNNNNNNNNNNNNNNNNNNNNNNNNNNNNNNNNNNNNNNNNNNNNNNNNNNNNNNNNNNNNNNNNNNNNNNNNNNNNNNNNNNNNNNNNNNNNNNNNNNNNNNNNNNNNNNNNNNNNNNNNNNNNNNNNNNNNNNNNNNNNNNNNNNNNNNNNNNNNNNNNNNNNNNNNNNNNNNNNNNNNNNNNNNNNNNNNNNNNNNNNNNNNNNNNNNNNNNNNNNNNNNNNNNNNNNNNNNNNNNNNNNNNNNNNNNNNNNNNNNNNNNNNNNNNNNNNNNNNNNNNNNNNNNNNNNNNNNNNNNNNNNNNNNNNNNNNNNNNNNNNNNNNNNNNNNNNNNNNNNNNNNNNNNNNNNNNNNNNNNNNNNNNNNNNNNNNNNNNNNNNNNNNNNNNNNNNNNNNNNNNNNNNNNNNNNNNNNNNNNNNNNNNNNNNNNNNNNNNNNNNNNNNNNNNNNNNNNNNNNNNNNNNNNNNNNNCUACUAGCUGAUCGAUCUUUGGUAAAGGGAAGCUGUCUUUUGGGCACGCCUUAUUGAGGUCUGUGAAAUCCACACACAUCCUCCACUUGCCGUUCGCCUUCUUUACCAACACCACGUUCGAUAUCCACUCUGGGUAAUUAACUUCCCGAAUGAACCCUGCUCUCAGAAGCUUCUCCACCUCAUCACUUACAGCCUCAUACCUCUCCUGGUUGAAGCACCUCCUCUUCUGCCUUACUGCCCGAGCACCUUUCUUUAUUGCCAGCCUAUGACAUGCUACCUCUGGGUCAAUCCCUGGCAUGUCCUCAUGUGUCCAGGCAAACACGUCGGCAUGAGCCUGUAAGCAUUUCACCAACUCCUGCUUUUGCUCUCCCUCAAGUCUCGACCCGAUUCUGAUCGUCUUUCCCGGGUUCUCCGGUCCCAUGCUUACUGUUUCCAGAUCCUCUACGGGUUCUUGUCUGCCAGUCUUGUUUUCCACUCGGGUAUCGAGGGAUGUUAUCUGCAUCGCCUCCCUUGCUGCCGAGGAGUAGCAGCUUCUUGCGAUCCUCUGGUCUCCUCGUACCACUCCGACUACCCCAUUCACCCGGUACUUUAGAGACAGAUAAUGGUUGGACAGCACCGCUUUGCUCAUCCUUAAAAAUGGCCGACCCAGGAUCAUCUGGUAAGGACCUUCCUCGUCCACUACGACGAAGUCCAGUAUCAUUGUUCUUUCUGACGGGGGGCUCCCGAUUGUGAUAGGCAGUUCGACCACGCCCAGAGGGACCAGCUUCCCUCCUCCGAACCCCUUCAAGGAGGUGUUGGUGUAUUCCAACUUCCGGUCGGCUAUUCCCAUCUCUUCCAAAGUUGAUUUAAAUAGCACAUCAACUGAGCUCCCCGUAUCAACCAGUAUCCGGUCAAACUUCUUGCUAGCGAUCGUGGCCUUGAUGACUAAAGCGUCCUCGUGGGGGUAUAGAAUCCCUUCCUCAUCCUCAUCCGUCCACAUGAUUGGCACUUGCCUGACCCUUGCUCGUUUGGCUGCUGGGGUGUUGAAGAGUAUCUCUUUACUGGUCAUGGCGUAUCUGGCAUAAUUUUUUCUCGAUCUGUUCGAAUCUCCAGCCAACGUUGGGCCCCCAGCUAUCACCCUCGCUGCGGGCGGCUCGCGUCUCAAGAUUCCAUCACUCUGCUCCCCUUCAUCCAUGGUGGCCACCAUCGGGAAAGUCCCAUCCAUAAACUCGUCCAGGUACCGAUUUCUCACCAAAUCUUCGACCUGGGUCUUGAGAUCUCUACACUCUGCUGUGGUAUGGCCAUGGGUGCCAUGGAACUUACAAUAACGUCCUCUAUCCCUCCUGUUGGGUAGCUUUGUUAUUGGUGUGGGGAGGUGCAGCAGCCCUCGACCCUUUAUGGCCUCGUACACCUCAUCCAGGGGCAUCUUCAAGGGAGUGUACCGCCCAUAGUCCUGGUUCUGGUCGACCAGAUGCACUGCUCUUUCUCUGUUUGCCCCACUGUGAGUUGGGGGCGGUGGGAGUGCUUCUGGUCUGCUCGUCCUGCUACCGUGGGAAUGUUGAUGAAGGUCGCCGGAUGCCGAAUCAUGUCUUCUCCAAGGCUCCCUAGCUGGGGAGCGAGGAGGUGGCGCCCUGCUGCGCUGAUACUGUGGCGGCCUCUGAUGAGGCUGGUAAGCAAUUACCCUACCUCCUGCUCCACUACCGGAGAUCUGGUGGUCCCUCCUCCUGUUUGGUCCAUUAGUUGGUAAUGCUUUCUUCUCUUUCCUCCCUAACCCUUCCAACUGGUCUGUCUUGAUCCGUGCAGCCUUCUCCUCCUCAAUCUCGAUGUCUCUUUUAGCCUGUUCGUAUGCGGCUGCAUACGUUUGAAUAGCUGGGCUUCUCAAAUUGUACCACAGCCUUCCUAUCUUCACCCCUUCUUUCAGUCCCCUUAACGCCUGAGGGUGGUUGAAGGCUCCCAAGUCGAGGACAGCCCGAUGAAACCUCUUGAUGAAUUCCCGAAGGGUUUCUUGCUCCCCCUGUUUCAUGCUCUUCAGCUCCAUCAUGUCAUCUUCCGGCGACAUUGCCCCACUAAACUGCUCUGCGAAUUCCUGGCACAUCUGCUCGAAGGUUUUUAUGCUGCCCCGAGGAAGUUUCCUGUACCAUUCUCGUGCACGUCCCUCAAGGGAUAGUGGGAACACCCUGCACCUUUGGGAUGGAGAUAAUCCCUGGACCCCCGUUAAGUCGUUGAAGCGCUCUAUGUGCACCAGCGGGUCAGUUCUUCCCGAGUAUCUGAGGUCGGGGAGGCGGAAAUCUCUUGGAAUAACUGCCCUCAUGAUCUCUGCUGCGAGCGGUGAUUCCCCGUCCAGCAUUAUCCUCCAACCAGGGGCUCUGUUCCUCCCUUGCAUGUCAUCAAUUAUUUGCGCUAGCCUUCGCACUUCCUCCUCCAGCUGUCCUGCGCGACCAGGGUCGCGCGCUGCAGCUUGAUCCCGCUCUCGCUCUGCAUCAUGUAAGUGUUGCCUCAGUUCUGUUUCCUCUGUGUUCACCACCCCGUCGCCCCCGUCACAAGUCUGUCUUACCGGGGACUGCUCUCUUUCUCUAUGAAAUUCUCCCCGCAGAGGUACGUUACCUCUCUCACCGCCAAAUCUCCCAGCGGUUCGACUUCUCUCCGCACUAUCGGUACCUGGUGUCGCUCCACCGCCUCUCACCCUUCCCUCUUGGGUUACCCUUCGCUCGUUCCGCAGCUCAUGCAGGAUGGUUGUCAAGGUUUCCAUCUGCUUUUCCAUUCGCUCCAUCCGGUCGAACAUGACUUUUUCCCGUGCUUCGCUGAUCACCUCCCUCAGCGUCACGGAAUCGUUAAGCCUUAUGUCACCCCCUUGUGCGCUACUUCCUCCUAUCUCCAUUGACUUUCGCUUACUCCACCCCUCUUCUUGCUACCGACAGAAGCUUUUUGCUCUGGAUCCCCACAGACGGCGCCAAAAUGUUGAUGCGAGAUUCCGGUUCUCCUCGUUCUACGACCAGGAUCCCUGCUCGAUCAACUCUACCACGACCAGGAGGUCUCCUAGUAAUGCUUCUUCUCCGGAUGUCCCUGCACACACAGACAAGUCAGAGUACGCCGGUUGUUCUCCCGGCGCAAACCCUCCGACGCUCAAGUCAGAUAUGAAGGUUCGGGGAACGCUUGCCACAGGUCUUAUGGCUUUUUUGUGGUUUUCUCUUUUAUCUUAAAAAUGCUAACCCUUUUACCUUCGUUGGCUACCUUUUUAUAGGCUUCCUCUGAAUCUCAGUCUUCCGCUCUUUUCGAGACGGUAUGGGACUCCAACUGCUGCGUUAUGGGCAAAACAUGGGAUCUAGCGUGUUACGCCACGGUUCAGGGGAAAGCGUGGCUGCCACGGCUCUGUGAGACCUUGCGUGUUACGCCACGGUUCUGGGGAAAGUGUGGCUGUCAUGGCUCCGUGAGAUCUUGCGUGUUACGUCGCGGUUCUGGGGAAAGCGUGGCUGUUGUGCCUAGGUUCUCGUGCUGGAGAGCGCGUCUUGCCAACUGCCGUCGACCGGGUCUCCUCGCCUCUCGGUCUCUAGCCGGAAUGGCCUCAUGCCUUUUAUAGGAAUUGGCCUCGCGGACGACAACAUCGUGGACGAGCAGGAUGUUUCUGCUCCUGUUCUUCCACGCGCCAGGCUUUAACGGAAAACACCGGUGCGCAGAACCCCGCCAUCAGAUGUCUGCUCGUCAUUCCUGGUCCCUUCGACGCAUUUGUCCCAAACAGUAUCCCUCCCAAACAGUUUCUGUGAUUUUGGUUAAUUAUUACUACUAAUUAAUAUAUUAAUAUAUUAUUGUUAAUAAUAUAUUAAUAAUUAUAAGUUUUGAAUAAAUAAUAACAAUAAUUAAUAUAUUAUUAUAAUUAAAUAAUUAAUAUUAAUAUUAUUAGUUAAUAUAUUUUUAUAACAAUUAUUAUACUUAAUUAGCAUAUUAUUAUAAUUAAUUAAUUAAAAAUUUUUAUAAUAUAUUAAUAUAAUAUUGACAAUAAUUGUUAAUAAUAAUUUUUGAAUAAAUAAUCACUAUAAUUAAAAUAUGAAAUAAUAAUUAUGAUAAUAAUUCAUUAAGUACUUUUUAGUAAUUUGUUACAAUUUAAUUCAUUAUGAUUCCGAUUCCAAGACAAAAUAAACACAUUAAUGGCAAUCCAACUCAUUCUGAUUUCGAUUCCUAUAGUUCAAGUAAACAACUUAUUCUCCAUUCCUUAUUCCCAUUUCAGCCCAUUCUUAUUCCUAUUCAUUUCGAUUCCUGCCCAUUUCAAUUCUAGUUUAGUAAACGCCCCAUAAGUUUCAUGAGAGUUUGUAUUGGGGCCACCUCUUAAAGCUGUAUAGGGGGCUACCUGUCAUGACCCAACUCAGACCUAGCAUGAUAUUGUCCACUUUAGGCUUUAACAAGGCCUACACGAUUUUGUUUCUAGGGUGCUAGUACACCACAAAACAUGUCUUUCCAAUUAGGAUGUGGAUCACCCCUUAUAAAUCCAACAUCUCUCCAGUGUUUUGUCAAUGUGGGGUUUGCCUAGGGUGCUACAUAUACCCCUCCUUAGGGACUCAGAGUCCUCACUGAGGUUUGCCCCACCAUCGUUCAAGAUGACACACGGACCUGCUCUGAUACCAUCUAUUGUGACUCAGUCUAGACCUGGUAAGAUAUUGUUCGCUUUGGGCUAUACAGUUUUGUUUCUAAGGCGCCUAUACACCAUAAAAUGCGUCUUGCCAAUUAGGGUGUGGAUCACCCCUUAUAAACCCAACAUCUCUCCCGUGCUUUGUUGAUGUGGGAUUUGCCUAGGGUGUUACACAAUACCCUAUUUCAAAAUGAGUUGUUAGUUUAAUAAACUUAUGGGUUCCUCUAAUUACAUACCUUGUUUCGAAGAAAUUACAAUAGUCUCAAUUGUUUAAAUUUUCUUUAGUUACCUUUAAGUGAAUCCUUUAAAAUUUAUGUGAAGCUGAAAUGAUUUGUUAAAAAACAUGUAUUGUUGGAAUAUGCAGGAGUUGGUUACUUGUCUGUUGCUGCCUUUGACAAUUUUUAUUAGAGGAAUUUCAUCAAACAGAUCGUGCAUGUCUACGAAAAGUAACUAAAAAAUAAAAAAUGCAAUAAAAACAGUGACUAAAAGCAAAUAAAUCACGCAUGACCCAUCAUCUAUUAAUUUAUUCUAAGUAAAAGCCCCAACACAUUGUGAACAAAGGAAGAAAAUGAAAAAUUACAUGUAAUAGAGUAAAGAAAAACUCAAAAAAUAAACAAUGCAUAAAGGAAAAUGUCACCUUUCUUGGAUAUUUUAAACACAAAGAUAGAAGAACAGACGUGUAUGAAAAUGGCUGGUGUCAGAAUCAUGUCGAUGAAAAUUACUGAUGUUGGAAUCGCAUCAAUGAGAACCACUGGUGUUGGAAUCGUGCUAAUGAGAACAACAUUUAGAGUUUGUUUUAUGGAAAAAUUGAUUUGAAAUUAAGUUUAAAAAUAAGGAGAAUAAAAUUGAAAUGAAAUAAUAUGUAAGGGUAAUUUAGUAAUUUAAUAUACAGGUGGGAAAAAAUCUACUGAGGUGUCAAAGUCUAGCUACAAGGUGUUACUACUGAAAAUGAGGGGAUGAUAUAUGGAAAAAAGAAGCUUCAUUUUAAAUUAAUGAAAAAAAAUGAUUUAAAGAUUUAAGAGAUCCGAUUUGUGUUUCGUUUCACUAAAAUAUAUUGAUAGAUAGAAUUAGCCAUUAGGUGUGUCUUAACCUAAAAUUAUUCUUUCACAAAGUAUUAAAAAACAAUAAAAUACUAUUACAUAGCUCGGAAAGUUUGUAUUAAGUUAUAGAAUUAGGUGUCUCUUACAUAUAUGUCUUCCCAUGAAUAAAAGCAUUUGUAUUAAGUUAUGAAAUUGUGGAUUAUUAUACCAGUCUAAUGGCUCUUUCCCUUUCAACAUUAUUGUACGUAUUUUGCAAGGAAACAUCCUCUAUCUUUCUUUCAAUUAAUGUCCAAUUAAGAGUUCCGCGUGCCCAAUUAAUGUCAAUCACUCAAUUGUUUUUGAACGUGUACAGGAUAACAACUUAAAAGACUUUAGAGGGCCAGCGUUAAUUCAAAGUCAAAACUAGGUUAUUACCCUACAGGAUUCUUGAUAGUGAGGUGAAAAAAAGGUUGAAAAGGAUUAGGAUUUAAUCUUGAGUUUAGUUUUUAUUGAGCACUGAAUUAAUAAUUAGUAUUUAUUUUGUGUUUUUUUUAUUUAUCUUACCUAACAACCAUUUACUCAGAUCCUUGUCCUGUUGAAGGAGACUAUGUAAAUGAUUUUUAAAACUUUAGUUAUUUUUGUGUAUAAAACAAAAACUUUAAAUUAUUUAGUUUCAAAAGAGAGAAAAAAAAAUCUAGACUUUGAGCUGCUUGGGAACAAAUUAUAUUUGUUAUUUAAAAAAAAUCAUACUAUGAGAAAGAGAAAAUAUAAGUGGGGUUAAUUCUAUUUGUAUGUCCUUAAAUAUAAUUGUAUAGAAGAGGGAUUUUAUAAUAUUAAUGAAUUGGUGCCAAUACUCCAACCUUUUCUCAAAAUGAUUUUAAUUUUUAUUCAUAUACCCAAUGGCUGAAUUUAUUUUCAUUAUUAUGUAGGUGUGGUGUUACUAGAAAUUAAAAAAUAGGAUCCUCUCAUGAUCUGAGCUCUACUAAGCUUUUAAAGAUCUUCUUUUAUGUGUCAUUUAGUGGGUAGUGUAGGGAUAAGAUUUAACUUCUUUUACUUUUUUAUUUAUUAACUACCAAUCAACAAUUGAAUUAUUUGCUCGGAAUAUGAUCAGAUCAUGAGAGAAUCCUAAUCCAGAAAUCAAAUGCUUCCUUUUUUUUUCCCUCCUCUCCUCACUUAUGGUGGAAUAUGGAGAAUUGAACCAAACCAAUAUCCUAAUUACUAACAGAUUUGAGACAAAAUUAACAUUUUAAAAUAUUGCAAACUGGCAAAAAGUCAAACUUUUAUUUGCUACAUAAAUAUAAUCUCCUUUACAUAUUAAUAUCAAAUUCGUUAGGUUAAAUUCUAGGUUCAAAUCCUAGCAACGAAAUUAAUUUCUUUAUAGCUGGCAAACAUAUAUGCACUUUUUUUUCUUAAUUUACGCAGAAGUUUGAGCUAAACUGGUAAAGGAAUUAUUUUCUAAUUAACUUCUUUUUUAUUUUGGAAAAAAAAUUGAAAGAAAGAUAGGAAGCUGAAACUGAAGCCGAAUCAACUGGAGCAGCCACUACUAUAAAAAUGACAUUUAUUAACACUGUCUCUGACACUUAGUAAAAAGUGUCAAAAAUGGUGUACGUUUGGACCAUUUUCCGCCUUUAACAAGUGUGUAUCAUAAAUCAUUGAUACGAAGGUGUCAGUAGCUUAAAACUCAAUGAUUAUUGAUACUAAAGCAUCAGUGAAAAAAAAUAAUAUUAAUUUUGUUUUAAUUUGAACUCGAACUCAAGAGCUCUAAACUUAAAAUUUGUAAGUUUAGAGUGUAAACUAUUGAUGCAUGUGUUUUUAAAUUUUGAAUUUGAUUAAUUUUUUUAUUUAAUUAAAUUUUACACAAUUACUUUGUGGACAAUAAUAAUAAUAAUAAUAAUAAUAGUAUUAAUAGUUUUGAGAAUAAUAUUUUUUAUUUAGCCACAUGUCAACUUGUAAUUCGUUGUUAAUAAUAAUAAUUUUACUUGACCACGUGUCGACUUAUAGUCUGUUGUUUUAUUAAAUUACAAUGCGGACAAUUACACUAUAUAAUUUUUCAUACUAUAAAAUGAAAAAUAAGAAACCCUAAAUCUUACCUAAUCAAACACACCACUUCUUAAGUUGCUGCCGCCGCUCCCCUGCUCCUCGACUUUCACUGCUGCCGGCCGCUGCUCCUCAACUUUCACUGCUGUCAGCUGUCGUUCCUUGACGUCACUGCCACCUCUACUCUGCUGUUGUCAAGCUUCAGCCAUUGAUGACUAGCUAGCCACCUUUCAGUACGUCGCUGCUACCGCUUUUAUGCCGUCACAUCAACUUCAGCCCAGCCAGCCACCGUUCCUUUACCGUCAAGAUCAAGAACCAUUUCUUUCUCUUUUCUCUUUUGGCACAGGUAUGAAAAUACUGCUGAGGAGUUAAUCUGUUAAUCACCAUUCGUGUACGUCGCUACUAUCAUUCGUGUACGUCGCUGCUGCUGCUCGUCUUGGUCACUGCUGCCGCUCCUCUACCGUCACGUCAAGCUUCAGCCUUUUUGACAAAACAUUUCACUUGGAAUUAUAAGCAAACUCUUUUGAGACCAUAAAAAACUAAGCCAAUUUCUUUGGUUUCAAGGCCUUGUUUUUUCACUUUGAAAUAUGAUCAUACAAUGACAAGCCAAUUGAAAACUUUUGUUCAAGAUUUCAUUGUUAAAUUCACCUUUAUUUUUAUUAUUUGUGUUCCUGUCAUUUUCUUUCCCUUUUUUCGAUUUUUAAUUCAAUUUGGGAUUUGACAGAUAUAUUUUUUAAUUUUUAUAAAAAUUUAUCUUAUUUGCAGGAUGCUAAGGGACAGGAUGUUGAUCUUAGCAUCUACAAGGGAAAGGGUCUUUUGAUUGUCAAUGUUGCAUCACAAUGGUGUGCCUCAGCUCCUUUAAUUUUUAAUUUUUUUUCCAUAAUGAUUUAUUGAUUAUUGUUGAUGCUUCCAUUUAAUUAAUGCUAAUACGUGUUAUCUAUCUAUCAGGAGUCUAAAUUUUAUAGAAUUAUAUCAUACUCGAAAGUAUGCAUGCUCCCAAUACAAAUAAGUGUUUAUAAGAGAGGAUUUCACCCAAAAUCUUUAAUUCUUGCAAAAUGCUAGUGGCUCCGUUUGCACAAGUUUAUUUUUCUUCCAUGUUCGUUCCUUUACCAUAGUGGUUCCUUUACCACCGAGGUCAGACACCAUUUCUUUCUCUUCUCUGUUUUGGCACAGGUAUGAAAAUACUACUGAGAAGUUUCUCUAUUAAUUACCUUAUAUAUAUAUAUAUAUAUAUUUUCACAUGUUUAAUUGAGAACAUCCAAUAAUAUAGUAAUAAUAUAGUGGGCAAACUAUAGGAAGGUUGUUAGUAGACAAUUCUAAUUUUAGCUUUACUUUGCAAAUGAAAGAUUAGAAAUAGUCCGUUGAACCCAUUUUACUAUAUUGGAGGUUUGGGCUAAUCUUGUAUAGAUUUUUGCUCAGAAGAAGGAUGGUUCUCCAAGGGCGGUGGGUUGGUUUUUGUAUAGACUAUUCCCCUAUUUUCCCAUUUUGCUUUUCUUUGAGGAAACCUGGUCCUUUUUUUUUUGUGUUUUCUUUCUUCAAUCAAAUAUGUAUUUCUCAAUCUCGUCUCAAAAAAUAUCUAUCUCAUUUUACUAUAUGUUUAUGAAUUACUAAUUGUAUUUUGUUAGUAUUCCAUGUUCGAAGAAGAAUAUUAGAUUGAAGAAAGAAGAAGUUGUUCCUUUGCUAAUCGUUUGAAACCCAGGCUUGCACUGAAUUUGAUUUUUAUCUUUUACUUUUUUACUUGACCUAUACUUGAAUCUAAUUUUUGCUCCACUUUCCUUUCUUUCGUCAAUUUAAUUAUCAAUCCACUUCAAACCUAAAAAGAUUUAGUAAUUGGGAAACCCUUUUUUUUUUUGAAAGAAUUGCAAAGUACUGUAAUUGGAAACUGGGUUCAUGUCUUAAAAAGCAACCUAAUUUGUAAUGUUUGGCUUAUAGUGGCCUUCUAUUUCUGUUUUUCAUCUCGGCUUGGUUAAUUUCUUCACUAGUCGUUUAAAUUUUGUUAAUUUUUAUUUUUCCUCUUUAAGCUCAUUAAAUAUCUUUUUUUUUUCAAUUUAUGGCUUUUGGUCCAACUGAUCAUCGUUGAAUGUGGGCACUAUAAAUGUUAUAGUGCUUGUUAACUUAAUGUAUUUGAUCAUAUAUUAUAGUAUUGUUUACUUUAAAUUUAGACAAUGAAAUAGAUUACAAAAAAAGUAACUUAUGCUUGUCAAGUUGUAGACACCAUUGUUCAUGCCAUCAUUACUGAAUAUUGAUGUACUUAUUAAGUGUUCUCUUUAAUACUUGAUAGAAUACUUUUGGUGAAGCAAUUUGUGGUAUCAUGAUUGCAGGCUGUAAUUAACUUAGGAACGUGUAGAUUCUACAAUUUCUUUUUCCGAUUCCUUAACUUGCUUCUUUUAAUCCUACUCUUCCAUGUUGAAGUAAUUUAUGAGUAUUUUUGCUUCAAAAUAACUAAGAUUUAUUUUUCACAGUAUACUAAUUGAUUUUAUGCACUUGUAGGUGGGAAAAAAAUGAAGCCGUGGAUGGAUAUUGAGUGACCUUGUGCUUUUUUUUUUCUUUUGGGUUGGAAACUUAAUUGAGUAGUAGUUAGCACUUGUUGUUUAGAGAUUGUUGAAAAUUUAAUUUGAUACUUAUGUUAAGUCUUUUACAUAUAGUGAUGUAGUUGAAUUGUUUGAAUUUAAGUGAUGUAUUUGAGAUGUUUAUUAUAUGAAUUAUGUUGCAAGAUAUUUAAUAAUAAAUAUAUUUCGAGUUUUCUUUUGGUUGUACGACAAACACGAAAAAUAUAAUUAAAGUAAAAGGCAAAUGCUAUGUUACAAUUAAUGUAACAUACACACUCAACAACAACCACACAAAUUAUGUGGGCCCAUCAUUUGUAUGGUUGUUGUUGAGUGUGUAUGUUACAUUAAUUGUAACAUAGGGGCUCCCAAAGUAAAAAUAUACUAUUAACCAAAAGCAACAUAACAUUAUUAAAUACUGACACUACAUAUUUAAAAUAACAAUAAGAAUUUUUUAUAUUAUCGAGUCAGUUUCUGAUACUAUAGUCACAUAAAUCACUGACGUGUAAAUAGUGUCAUUAAAUACCAACAUUAUCGGGUCAUUAUUUUAGUGAUACUAUAGUGAAAUAAAUUACUGACACAAAAAUCACUGACACCAAAAAUUAGUGUCAGUGUAUGGCUUGAGCAACACUGACACAAUUAACAAGUGUCAAUAAAAGUAAUUACUGACGCUAAAUUAGUGUCAGUAAAACUCAUUUUUCUAGUAGUGAGCAUCAAGCAUCUUUUGAAAUUCUUCUUCUUUUUAUUUUUAUUUUUUUUAAUGUUAUUGAGGGCAAAUAAAGUCUAUAUGCUUAAUAUUGAACAUAAUUUUUAACAAAUAAAAACUAACACUAACAUUGUGCCAAAUAAAUUGUUUAUAGCUUAACUGGCCCAUUUAGGAUAGCUGCGCCGCCAAACAGGGCUUUGAUUUUAUUGCUAUAAGUAUGCACUAAAUCUUUUUAAUAGAUUUUCUUGGGUGGCUGAAUGGUUAAAUAAAUUAAUUUAAAUGAUUGAAAUAAGAAUUUUUUUUAUAUUUUAAAAAAUGUACAUAUUAAAAUUUAACAUAUAAAUAUAUAAAAUAAUAGAGUGUUUAGAAUAAUUUUUAGAGCGCAAACAGUCUUACUCAUUUUAUUAUUAAUCAAGACUUAAGAGUCACUAAACUAAAUCUCCAUUUUCCAAAUCUUUAGGACGAACGAGAAAAGGUAGCAAAUGCAAGCGAUCCACUGUUCAUCAAUAUUAUCUGGUGUUGUUGCAGAUCAUUUUGUUAUUUUGGUCCAUCAAAGCAUCAAAACAAUUUGCUUGUAAAAAUGAUUGUGGAAAUGUGCAGAUCAUAUGCCCCUUUGGAAUUGGAGAAGUGUGCCACUUUGGUAAGAGUUAUGAAGUAAUAUUCACUCUUCUGGCUCUCCCAAAGCUUUUCAUCCUAGUAUCAAGACGGAAUAUCGUACCGUUACUCCGAAACUAAAAGUAGAGUCAACAUUCCUGUAAUUUCUUUACACACAGUGCUAUACUGCUAUUGCCACAAGCAAUAAUAUUGCUAGAAGAGUCAAUCUAUCUGGUGGUCCUUUCACCUUUCCCUAGGGGCUCAAUAAAUUUAGAGCUCAAUUUGUUUUAGGUUCAAAAUUGAUGAACCCGUACUUAAUAACUAUACAAAUUGAUAACUUCUUGAUUUAUGAGGACAUAGAAAUUUUGGAACACUAAAUGCAUUUUUCUAAGUUAUGAGAGCUAUUACUGGUUAGGCAUUUCUAUUGUUUGAAGGACAAACCUGUUAGGAACCAGAUCUAGAUUCCUCAUGCUUUGGUCAAACCAUUGUGUAAUUGUGGGACUGGCAAUUCCUUUUCUUUUUUCCCAGUGUCAGUGGUCAUCAAUGAAGAAAAAAUUAUGAAGCUUGUUAGCAGCCUGCUGAAUCUUAGGUUGAAAUAGAGUUGCCUUCUACAUUACUGGAAAAUCUGAUUUUUGUAAGUUAAUGAUAUUCUAGUAGUCUGCCUAGAGACCAAUGCAUACUGAUUAAACAACUGGUUUAAAUCAUUAGGGCAUGAUCAGCCCGUUAUCUGGCACUCUUAAACACAAUAGGCAGGGAGGCUUUGGGCAAAUCAUAUUCAAUGAUUAGAAAUGUUCAAAAAUUUCAAGAUAACAAAUACGCAAGCGUUUCAAUUGGACAUAAGUAUUUGGGUUUCUAGUUCUAAUAGAGGUUUCUCAAAGCUAUAUUCUAGUCACUUUACUAUUCUGAAUCAGAAUCAGAACUAGAAUCAGCGGAUGUUUUUCAUUGUAAACUUUUAAUAGAUCUCUUACUUAUUAUGAUUUUAAUCCAAUGAUUGAACUGGAUAAGAGAAAAGGGCUAGGGUCAAUAGGUUCAAUUGGGCUCCAAAUGGCAAUCAACUCAUGACAUUGCAUGAAAUAUACAACAUGCUUCUUUUGAAAUAUGAUAUAUUAAAAAAUUUAGUGCAUAUAUGCUUAUAUUUGUAUAUUUACAAUGCAAUGCAUAUUAAUAUCAAGGAGGCAGAAAUUGAACAUAUACAUUCAUAAUGCAAUUUUUAAUAAUUGUUCGGAUUUUCUUUUCUGGGUGAUAACAUUCAGGGAAAAGAAAAAUAAAUACAAGGUUAAGACAAUCUAAGACAUGAAGCCCGUGAAGCAUGGCUUAGGACAUGGUCAAGUUGUAAAAACUAUGGCUAGGACUAUCUAAUACAUAAAACUUGUACUGUAAACAAAUUUAACUGUGGAUGUCAUUGCUUAGGAAUUGGAACUUCAAGCAAUGUUCUAAAAACAAUUCUUUCUCCACUAGUUUUUCUCACCCUUUUAAUAUUGAAAGGGAUGGGAAUGGUAUAAAGAUGAUUCUGUUUGUGGUAAGAUUCCUUUCAGGCUAAUUACUAUUUUUGACGUGGGGUGCAGGAAUAUCUUGAAGAAUAUGUUGGAUCUUCUACUAGAAGAGCAAUUUUAUAUCAAGUAAGAACUCUUGUUUUCUAGAUGAUCAUAUAAUUUUAACAAACCUGCUUCCCUUGAAUUUGGAGUAAGAUGCUGUUAGUCUUUAUAUCUCUGGACUUUUCAGCUUGGGUCUGUUCAAAAUUGAGCAUCCGAUAAAUCAAGGAUGACAAAGCUAUCUAAGUCAAGUGAAAUGGUCAAUUAUUCAGUUUUUGGUCCGUUGUCGACAAAAUUAAAUUUUAGUUUUGCUUGCUAUCUGGCUUUUGGUAUGUAGCGUCAAGAGGCUGUAGUUAGAUAACCAAGUAUUUGGUUGAGUAUUUGGAGAUUUUUCUUUUUCAAGGUUUGCUUUUUCGUUGGCACCCUCGAUGGAAUCGAUAUCAGUUGAGUGAUUCAGUUGGGCCUGACAGUCUUAGGCUUUCUUUUGGUAAUGGAUAUUUAUUUUAAGAUAAUCAUUGUAGUUUCCUUAACUCGUUACAACAUUGACAAUAUUUAAAGUUCUUAUUUUAUAUAUACCUAUUUUCAAGGAAAAUGCUGAUAGCUUGACCUCAAAUAUGUUACUCACAGGAAUAUGUAAAAGGUAUAUCAGCAACUGGGAUGCAGUCUAAUUAUGGUUUUGAUGGUCAAAUCCAUGCCUGCUGGAUGCAUAAAAUGACACAAAAAGACAUUCAAACCAUUCGUUCAGCUGGAUUUCUUGUGUCACUGAUUCAUGGCAGGUACAUGAGCAACCAUAAUGCACAUGAGCAACCAUAAUGCACAUGAACAUAGCUGUAUAAUUGUGUCUUGUUAUAAUUUUGGAGAUAAUGGAUGUUAUAAUUUAAAGGGAUUGUAUGUAAGCAAUUAUUUAAUUGGGAAUAUGUAAGUAAGGAAUACUCAAAUGAAGAUUGAAGAAAACAAGCAAAAUGCCUUGAGCGAGGAAUUGAAUUGUCUUCAUUCAUUAACAAAGAAAGGGUUUAUAUAGGCAUUACAAGGUGGAGUUAUUCACAAUUAUUAAUUAUAAAAAGGAUAAUGGGAAGAGCAAUAAGAUGAUAAUGGGAGAGCAUUAUUUUGGUGGAAUCCACCAUGAUUUACAACACUCCCCCUUGGAUUCACCAAUUAUUUAUUAGAAGUGCUCCCCCUGAUGACAUUGGAUAUUGCCUCAUUAAAAACCUUUGCCAGUAAAAACCCAGUGGGAAAACUUGGUCAAAAGGAAAAAAGAGUACAGUACAUAUGUGCCCAAUAUUCCUAUAAUUCUUCUCUUGUAAGAUCAUGCUCCUCUUGUUGAGUGCUCUUCCUGAAGGCAACAUGCAUUAAUUUAACAGUUUGUUAAAACGACGCAUGUCGAUGCCAUAUACGAUUUUUUCAAAUGUAGAUGUAGGUAGAGCUUUUGUAAACAUAUCAUCUAAAUUUUCCGUGGAGCGUAUCUGUUUGAUAUCAAUCUUCUUGUUCUGUUGGAGCUCAUGAGUGUAGAAGAAUUUCGGCGAAAUAUGUUUUGUUCUGUCCCCUUUAAUGUAUCCUCCUCUGAGUUGAGCUAUACAUGAGAAAACAUUGUCUAAUCAAAAUGACAAUCUGUAAAUCGUGCGGUAAAUACAUCACCUGUCAAUGGUUCAAGAUAUCUGAUAAUAGAUGGUGAGUCAAAUCCCACAUAAAUUCCCAAUCGUCGUUGGGGUCCCAUUUUAGUACGUUGUGGGGGCGCAAUCGGCACUUGUACUGUGCAACCAAAAAUGCGUAAAUGGGAUAAAUCUGGUUGAUGUCCCAAUACCAAUUACAAUGGGGAAUAUUUAUGAUAGGCAGUAGGCCUUAAGCGGAUUAAUGUCGCAGCAUGCAAAAUAGCAUGUCCCCAUGUCGAAAUAGGUAAUUGAUGUUGUGCAAAUUUUAUUGAACUCGCAAGUGCACGAAUCUAUUGUAGUAUAGAUCAAUGGUGACGAGUGUCGAUCCCACGAGGAGGUGGAUUUUAAUUGUGUGUAGAAUUAAUUUUCUAAAUGGGUGGUUGGAUUUGUGGUGAAAAUGAUUUGGAUUAUCCUAAAAUUGGAAUUGAAUUGGCGAGAAUAAUUUGAAGAGAAUUCUAUUGAAAUGACUUACUUGGGUAUCUGGAUCCGUAUCAACAUGCACCAUGGGCUAAAUAUUCCUUAUUAGUGCCAAUUAAAUCAUGAGGGGGGAAUCCACACCUCAUGAACCACACUCUAAUCAAUAUGGUACUAAGGGCUUAUCGUGCCAAAUAAUAAUAACCUUGUACUAGGGAGCCGGUGUAACCAAGGCGGUAUCUAGACAAGAUUGUUAUUAUUUGUCGACGAAAAGUCAAAUCAUCCACAAAAAUUAGAGGGGAAAAGAAAAUAAAUUUACCAAAUAAAGCCCAUGACACAUGUUGAGACUUCACCUUUAACCCAAGCUUGAAAGAAAAUUAGCUACUCAUAAUUGAACUAGGGGCAAAAUGAGAAUUUAUUAAAAUACAUAGAAAAUACAAAAUGAAGAAGGAAUUACAGAAAAUGGAUCCCAAAAAUGGAUUCAGAGCUAUCAAAUUAGGGGGGAGAGGCCCACUUUUUAGAGAUACAUUGAGUAAAUCAUGGCCAUCGGAUUAAAAACAGUUCGGACGCUCAGGAUUGCGCCACGUCAUCAGUCAACAGUACGCAGUUUGACCACGCAGUUUGGACAGUAACACAGUUUGACCCAGCUUGAACAGUGACGCGGUUUGAUUGAAAAUAAUCCUGUGUAAUGCAUGUACCGUACGCGAGAUUUUUGGUCCACUGAUAUGCUGCCACAUCAUCGAUCAACAGUGCAUAAGAAUUUUAGUCCAACAGGAUCGUGACACCUCAUCAGUCGAUACCACAUCAUCGGUCAAUGCCACGUCAUCGAUCCGUCUAUGUGAUAAGUGUCGUGAACAGUAACGUAGACAGUACCGUACAUGUGAACAGUGUCAUUUUUCCUUUUAUGCUCCUCUUAAGGUUUUCGACCGUCUUGAGUUCAAAAGUGAUGUCCGUUUUGCCAUCUGAUCUCUCGUUUAUUGUGAAAUGACUCUAAUGCCCCUAAAAUACAUAAAAUACUUAAUUAAAAUAAAACACACAUAAUUAAAUCACAAGAAGGUUAAAUACAUAAAAGUAAGGGUGUUAGUAAAACUUGAAGUGUAAAAUGACUAUUUUCUCCUUUAUAAAUAUACAUUUUCUAACACUCAACACACCUCCCAACCAGCUUAUUGCUAGUCCCUAGCAAAUAAAGCGAAAAUAAAAUUCAAAUUCAAAAUGAUUUUUUUUUUAACAAUCAUGUUUAUUCAAUCAGACUAAUAAUAAUAAUCAAAUAAAAGUAUAAGUAUUAUCUCCAGUCUAAAGAAACAUCACACCCACAUCAACCAUCCACAUGAAUCAGCCUAGUAGACUUUGUUAUAGCUACUUUCAAGAAUGACAUGUCAAACCCCAAAAUCUCACUGGAAGUAGUGACACUCUCACAAAGAAAUUAAACCUAAUAAAAAUAGUCACUCCAAUGAAUGGUAAUUUGAGAGAAAAUAAUAAAGAAGUGAUAUCACAUGCUCUCACCAAGAUGAAAGAAAUAUGCCCUCAGCUUAGAAAUAAUAUGAUCUCAAGUCAAAUAAAAAUGCUAGUCAACCCAAUUUAUUUUUUUUUUUUAUGCACCACUACAUCUUUUUAGCCCAUAUAAUUAGCUUAUACUUCCGAUUAUAGUUCCUUAAAAUCAAGAAUGACUUUUAUUAGGAUGUAACGUAGGUUAGGGACAUGGCAAACAAAGGAAGGGAAAUAAGGAAAACAAAGUGUAUGUUUGAGAAAUAUGUAGAGAUUUUUUUUUGGAAGUUGCAAGGUGGAUUUCACCUAUUAUUGUUUUUUUUAAACAACAAUUUUUUUCUUUUUUUUCUCUUUUUUUUUGUUUGGCAUAACUUCACUGAACAAAAUAAUUAUUUACAUUUUUCUCAAACAUAAAUAGGUGAUAGAACAUGUAAGAUAUUGGGUAAUACUCCAAAUCGGAGUAGUCAAGAUGAUAAGUUUGACAAAGAAAAUAUUUUUUUUUUAAAGACUCAAAAGGGUUAAUUAUGGAUAUUUCAUAAAAUGGAUGGUUAGAAAUGAUCAAACGGAUCAAAGAUGGCCUUUCCAUAAUCUUUUAGGGCUCUAAAUAAUCUUCCAUAUUUACUAGUUAGAUGGGCCUCCAAAUGUAGCAACACACAUUUUUUUCUUUUUUUCUUUUUUAAUUUUACAAUAUUUUUUUUAAGGGUUAACUCAAAAGAAAUCUAGAGAUCGUGUAUACAAUAAAAAACUGCUAAGCUGUAUAAAGAAUAGGCAAAAGGGUUACUCUCCAAGAAAAAUGAUAGGCUCAAAAACUCACUUGGUACUUAUUAUGACAUGUUCAUUCCUUCAAGCAACUCAUAUUUGUCUCCGACAUCAACAUGUAGAGUAGCAAACAUAGUGUAACAUCACUUAAGACCAAAGAUAAUACAAAUACUAAAAUUUGAAAUUAAUCAUGUCAUCCAAUGUUAAAACAAAUCACACAAUUUUUUUUAAACAACAUUUUACCCCCCAACCUAUUCUAAAGAAAGGAAAAUAUGCAUGCAGAAAUGUGAAAAUGAUGCAGAAAAACUAAUUAGAAAAGUUACACUUAAAAUGAUAGAAAAAGAAAUGUUUUUUUUUUAACUAAGAAGAUGCGUUUCUAGAGGCACUACACUCCAUAUUCAGCCAUCUUCGACUAAAAAAAAAUAAAAUUGGAAAGUGUAUAUUUAUAAAGGAGAAAUUAGAAAGAAGUACAAAAAUUAAUAGAGAAAAAUAAAAUAUCUGAAUUUUUUUUAACAAAGAAGAUGCGUUUCUAGAGUAACUACACUCCAUAUUCAGCCAUCUUCAACACAAAAAGUUAGCAACAGUUAGUUUCUACAACAAAAAAUUAGUAAAAACUUAACCAAGAUUCCACAAUUGUCGACUAUUCCCUCCCCCCAACCAAAACAAAACAUUGUCCUCAAUGUUUUAAAGGAAAGAAGUAAAGUUUAGAAGACAUCGCCUGAGUGGUGCAACACCGAAGAAAAUAUUUACAGGCGGAGAGUUAAAUCUAAUUUGUACUUCUUACUGCGGCUACUGUUACCAUCAUUAUUUGGACGCUCUAACACAAAGGUCUAGGGGUCUGGCUCGGGUUUAUAAGCUUGUAACAUAUCAAGUAACUCAUUAGCAGUGUGAGCACAAAUAAAAAGCCUUUUCACAUUGGAAAGAACGAAAUAGUUUUUUAUUGCGUGGUUAAGAAAUGUGAUAAAGCCAUCAUAAAAGUUUUUGACAUUUAACAAACCAAUGGGUUUCUGGUGAAUGUGCAGAUGAGCCCAAGAUGCUAGUGUGAUAAGUGCCUCUAGUGUUGCAAGAUCUCCUGUAAGGAAAAUAAAAGCAUCAGCAUGAUUAAGCAUUUCAGUUAUUCUUUCUUGCAUACCUAAGAUGACUAACUCUUCUCUAGUCGGUGAGUCAGACAAACUGCCCAAAGGUUUUAGGACUCUUGGGAUGAUGCCUAACACUUGGCUUAUUUUGACAAAAGCAGCUUCUGAGACCAAUUUUGAUAACCCUCGGUUACCUCCUCCAUACACCAAGUGUAAUUUUCUCUCUGCUAUGCUUUGACCAAGAUCUACUGCUGCCUCAACGAACUCUUUAUGUUUGCCAUAGUUAAAUCCAGAAAGCACACAAAUGUUCUUGAAUUGUCUAUUGGGAGUAGCUGCCAUUGGAAUAUUUCUCAAAAAUAAUUUUUGAGUGCUUAACAAAAAGUUUUAUUUAAGAAUCUUGGUAACAGUGGAUCACAACUAUGUAUGAAGUGGCAUGUUAGUGUCAAAUAACGCGUAAAGCACAUGGCUCGCGAGUCAAAAAGGAAACAGUAAAAAGAAAAAGAAACAAUGAUAAAAUAAAAUUAUUAAAGACAAUAAUGCAAAUGAUAAAACAAUAGUGAAAUAAAAUAAUAGUGAAGUAAAAGGAUAUUUACAGGUAGUUGCGACUGUGGCUCACAUCUUCCUUUGGUUUUACGUCCAGAAACGGCUUGAACGCCCCUCUAUAGGUCGAGGAUGGGUUUCCCAUCCAGUUUUCUUAUAAACUGGCAAACAUGAUCGUUUAUCGUCAGAUUCCCGAGACUAUAUCGUGCAUGCUCUUUCUGGAAUAAUGGCCAUAACUGGAAAAUCGCUCCUUGCACAUAUUUAUUGGGAUGCGUUUCAAGAGACAGAAGGAUAUCAUCCAAUGACUCCUUAUUCUAGCCAUCCCUAAUGAAUUGAAUCUUAUCUUCCCUGUUAUCAGACACCAUUCCUAAAGAACAUGGGUUUUUAUCGCAACUCAUUAUGACACACUUAUGACAAGCAACAGAAAUUCUUUGAGCUCGUCGUUUUCUUGCAUAAUUUCCUUUACCACAACCAGGCAUGUAUGCAAUAAAUUUUGGAGGUAACUCACCUGCCAAUCGUACUUUAGCCUUGAUUAACCAACGGAUGUCAGCAGGUAUGUUAUUCCUCAUGAGCAAUCGCAUGCGUUCGGACCGGGCUUUAUAGAUUGUAAGGAGGGCAUUAUGAGGAAGUGAAGGGAAUCGCUUGUGAAGUUUCGCUAGAAUCUUGUUUCUGUCCAUACCUUCGCCUUAGAAUAUCAGUUAUUAUGGGAAAACUGAAGUAACCGACUUGAUUGUCACGGAGUACCGUUAUCCGCCACUUCACCGGGGUAACAAACUAAAGCACACAAAAAAAAAACAAAUUAAAAUACAAAAAGAAAAUUAAAAUCGUCUUUUUAUUAAAUUUACCUCAAGCUCCAACUGGAUGUCGUAAACACUUCUCUCAAUGUCUUUGAUUUGGCUUUCUAAAUUCUUAACGUAGGCUACUAACUCUGGUGGUUUUAGAGCCCAAAUGCGAUGUGUUUUACAAAAUCGAAUCUGCCUUUUGAGAUGAGAUUUUACACGUUGAAGUGGUUUAAGAAUGUUCAGGAGGAACAGUUUAAGUAUGGUACUCAUAAUUAAUAAUGAUAAGAGAAAACUUAAUGGUUAAACAAACACAAUUAUGCAAAAAUAAUUUCAAUUAGCAAAAGAAUAAUAAAAAGAAAGAAAUAAAGAAAAAAAUAAAAUCACCGAAAAGAAAGAAAAGAAAAAAAAAUCAAUUCAAAUCUGGUGGGUCAUUCAAAUUUAUUUCGGUGUCUUCUCCAUGUGGUUGGUACCCUAGAUAUGGCUUUAAUCUUUGACCAUUAACUUUAAACAUGACACCGUUCUUUGGAUCCUUAAUUUCAAUUGUCCCAUGUGGAAAAACAGUGUGAACAAUAAAGGGGCCAGACCAUCGAGAGCGUAACUUACCUGGGAAUAGGUGCAAGUAAGAAUUGAAUAAAAGCACUUUCUGACCUGGAGUGAAAGAUUGUCUCAUAAUUUGCUUGUUAUGGAAGACUUUCAUUCGUUACUUGUAAAUCUUGGCAUUUUCGUAUGCAUCGUUACGAAUUUCUUUAAGUUCUGCCAGUUGUAAUCUUCUUUCUGAGCUAGCUUACUGCAUGUUAAAGUUGAAUUUCUUGAUGGCCCAGUAUGCACGAUGCUCGAGUUCCACAGGUAGGUGGCAAGCUUUUCCAUACACUAGCCUGUAGGGUGACAUCCCAAUCGGGGUCUUGAAAGCUGUUCUAUAUGCCCAUAAUGCAUCAUCAAGUCUUAAUGACCAAUCUUUUCUGUCUGGCUUCACCGUCUUUUCUAAUAUGUGCUUUAUUUCUCGAUUGGAGAUCUCAACUUGGCCACUGGUUUGCGGAUGAUAUGGGGUCGCCACUUUGUGAGUGAUUGAAUACUUCAUCAAAAGAGCUUUGAAUGCUUUAUUACAAAAGUGGGCACCACCAUCACUGAUUAUUGCUCGAGUGAAUCCAAAGCGCGAAACAAUGUUGCUUUUUAAAAACCCUAUCACCACCUUGUGAUCAUUGGUUCUGCAUGGAAUUGCUUCUACCCAUUUUGAUACGUAGUCAACAGCAACCAAUAUGUAUUGAUGGCCAAAAGAAGGGGAAAAGGGUCCCAUGAAGUUGAUACCCCAUACGUAAAAAAUCUCAACCACUAAAAUUGGAUUUAAUGGCAUCAUGUUCCUUCGUGUAAUGCUCCCCAUUCGUUGACACCUAUCACAUGAAGUGUAAGCAUCUCGAAAUAUAGUUGGCCAAUAGAAACCACAUUGUAAAACUUUAGUAGCUGUUUUCUUAGCACUGAAAUGGCCUCCACAAGCUUGUUCAGGGCAGAAUGAAAGGAUAUUCUGAAUUUCACUUUCUGGGACACAUCAUCUAACAAUUUGAUCUGCACAAUACUUGAACAAAUACGGGUCAUCCCAAAAGAAAUUCUUUAUUUCUGCAAAGAAUUUAGCCUUGUCUUGCUUGGUCUAAUGCUUUGGAAGUUGACCUGUAACAAGAUAAUUAACGAUAUCAGCAUACCGUGGUAAUACUUCCACACUCAUCAAUUGUUCAUCUGGGAAUGACUCAUUCAAUGUUAAUGGUUCUGAAAUUGUGUCAAAAUGGAGACGAGAGAGAUGGUCUGCCACAACAUUUUCUGUGCCUUUCUUAUCUUUAAAUUCCAAGUCGAAUUCCUGCAAAAGUAACACCCAACGAAUUAGUCUAGCUUUUACAUCUUUCUUUGUGAGAAGAUAUUUAAGAGCAACAUGAUCUGUGAAUAUAAUUAUUUUACAACCAAUGAGAUAAGAUCGAAAUUUUUCUAAUGCAAACACUACUGCUAGCAUUUCUUUUUCAGUAGUUGAAUAGUUCAACUGUGCAUCAUUCAAUGUCAUACUAGUAUAGUAAAUAACAUGGGGAAUUCGAUCAACUCUUUGUCCUAAUACUGCUCUUACUGCAUAAUCAGAUGCAUCACACAUGAGUUCAAAUGGUAAGCUCCAGUUUGGGGGCUGAAUGAUGGGUGAUGAUGUCAACAACCGCUUUAAUUUUUCAAAUGCCACAAGACAUGAAUCAUUAAAGACAAAAGGUACAUCCUUAGCAAGUAAAUUACAUAAGGGUCUAGAAACUUUGCUAAAAUCUUUAAUGAAACGUCUAUAAAAAUCAGCAUGCCAAAGGAAAGAUCUUACUUCUCUGACUGUUUUGGGUGGAGGAAGAUUAGAAAUGAGAUCCACCUUAGCUUUGUCAACCUCAAUACCUUUGCUCAAAAUGAUGUGACCGAGAACAAUACAUUGUUUUACCAUAAAAUGACACUUCUCUCAAUUUAAGACCAAGUUCUUUUCGAUACAACUCUGCAGAACUAGUGUUAGAUGAUGUAAACAUUGAUCAAACGAGUCACCAAAAACAGAAAAGUCAUCCAUAAAGACUUCAAGGAAUCGUUCAACCAUAUCAGAAAAAAUGCUCAACAUGCAACGUUGAAAUGUAGCAUGUGCAUUACAUAAUCCAAAUGACAUUCUCCUAUAUGCAAAAGUGCCAAAAAGGCAAAUGAAAGUAGUAUUCUCUUGAUCUUUUGGUGCUAUGGGAAUCUGAUUGUAUCCUGAGUAGCCAUCUAGAAAGCAAUAAAAUUCAUGGCCUGCUAAUCUAUCAAGCAUUUGAUCAAUAAAUGGUAGAAGAAAAUGGUCUUUACGUGUGACAGAAUUCAACUUUCUAUAAUCAAUGCAUACACGUCAUCCUGUAGUCACUCUAAUGGGUAUCAAUUCAUUAUCGGCAUUGGUAACUACUGUGACUCCUGACUUUUGGGGACAACUUGUACAGGAUUGACCCAUGAACUAUCAGAAAUUGGGUAAAUGAUACCUGUGUCUAAUAGCUUAAGGACUUCAGUUCUAACAACUUCUUUCAUGUUAGGAUUUAACCGACGUUGCAUUUCCCUAGUAGGUUUAACAUUUUCAUCAAGAUGAAUGUAAUGCAUAUAGUCUACUGGGUUUAUACCUUUGAUGUCUGCUAUGGUCCAUCCUAAUGCUCCUUUGUGCUCUUUUAAAACGUCCAACAACUUACCUUUUUGUUCGUCAUUUAGGGAUGAUGAGAUGAUUACCGGCAGAGUACUUUCUUCUCCCAAAAAUGCAUAUUCCAGAGUGUUGGGUAAUGGUUUGAGCUUGAGUUUCGAUAGUAAUUCUGAUGAUGGAAUGAGUUUCUUUUCUGAUGGUGCUAGUUGUUCAACUCUUGACUUCCAUUUAUUAGUGUCCAUAGAUGAUGCUGAGUCAAGUAGAGCAUUGACCUCAUUGACUGAUCUGUCAAUAUCAAAAUCCAAACCAAAGUGAGAUAAACAUGUUUGUAAAGGAUCAUCACUAAGGUUUGAAAGAAAAGUGUCAUCAACUAAUGCUUCAAUUAAAUCCACAUCAACAAUUUCAUCAUCUGCAUUGUGAGGUUGUUUGGCAAUGUUGAAGAUGUUCAGCUCCAUAGUCAUGUUGCCAAAGGACAACUUCAUAUGUCCAGUCCUGCAUUGAAUGUGAGCAUCCGCAGUUGCCAAGAAAGGUCGGCCUAGAAUAAUGGGGAUGUGCUUCCUUGAAUCCUGUAUUAGUUGAGUGUCAAUUACAAUGAAAUCAACAGGAAAAUAAAACUUGUCUACCUGGAUAAGCACGUCCUCCACAAUACCACGAGGUAUUUUCGUGGACCGAUCUGCAAGCUGUAACACCACUGGAGUUGGGUGCAAUUCUCCAAGUCCAAGUUUCAAAAAUACUGAGUAAGGCAACAGAUUUACACUAGCUCCUAAAUCCAACAAAGCAUUCUCAAUUGUGUGGUUUCCUAUACUACAUGAGAUAGUGGGGGAGCCUGGGUCUUUGCAUUUUAAAGGAAUUUUAUGUUGGAGUAUAGAACUAACGUUUUCUAUUAAAAAUGCCUUCUUUUGAACGUGAAUGUUUCUCUUUUUAGUACAAAGGUCUUUAAGAAACUUGGCAUAAGAUGGAACUUGUUUAAUAGUAUCAAGCAAAGGGAUGUUAACACUUACCUGUUUAAGGAUUUCAAGAAUCUCACCUGUGGAUUUUCCCUUCUUUCCUUUAGCUAACCUCCGAGGAAAUAGAGCUUUGGGAACGUAUUCUCGUGGGUUAGUUUCUUCUUUCUCCUCCGAUAGUGAGUCAUCAACAUUCACAGGUACAAUUUGAUUUUCUUUUGUCACCAGAAUCUCCACUUUGUUGUCGACUUCUUUUCCUUUUCGCAAGGUCAUGACUGCUUUGACCUCUCCAUGCUGCUGUGGUGAACUGGUACUUGCUUCAUGUACUCCUUUAGGAUUAGGCACUAGUUGACUUGGAAAUUUACCUUUCUCAACUGUCAUUGCCAAGGUCUGAACUGAAGAAGUAAGUUGUCUCAUCAUCUUCUCGAGGCUUGAAACUGAUUGGGCUUGUGAGUUGAAGCCUGCUCGCAACUCAUUUCAUAAUCCAUUAAUGGUGCGGUUCUGUUGCUCAAUCGUAGAGUGAGUAACAUUCUUGAAAUUUUGGAAUGCAUCCUCCCAUGGUCUGGGUUGAGAGUAGUCCUGGUUCUGAUUGUAUGGUCUAAAUGGUGGCUGAGAGGCUUGAGGAUUUUGAGGAAUUGGUGGAGCUGGAGCUGCUGGUCCAUUUUGUUGGAAUCCUUGAGACCAUGAAAAAUUGGGGUGGUCUCUCCAUCCAGGGUUAUAUGUGUUGGAGUAUGGGUUGUAAUUCGAUGGUUUUCUCAUUACACCUAUGGCAUUGGCUUGAUCUGAAUAUGAGUCAUGGUCAUGUGGCUCUAUUGAUUUAGCAAUCGAUAACGAUGCUAUUUGUCGAGAGAGACCUUCAAUUAUCGUUUUGACUUCUUUAAUUUCUUAACUUGACUUGCCAAUGUGAACCUCAUUUACUCCCUUAAUUCUUUUAGUGUUCCUGAGCUACCGACUCCGUUGUUGGGAAUUAUCCGCUUGUCACUGGAAAAAUUCCCAAAUCUUUGAUGCACUUUUUGACAUUAGUUCUCCUCUACUUGUUGCCAUUAGCCAUUCUUGCACAUUCGGCAAUAAUCCCUCCAAAAAGUAUUGGUAUUGGUGUCAUUUCUCGUACCCAUGAUGUGGACACUUCAAGAGUAGCCCAUUGAAUCGCUCCCAUGUUUCGAAAAACUGCUCGUCUUCUCUCUGGGUAAACUCUGAAAUCUCCCUGCGAAUAGCAUUGGUUUUAUGCACUGGAAAAUAUUUAUUCAAAAAUUUUGUUACCAUUUGUUCCCAUGAUGUAAUGCUAUUAGCAGGCAAUGUAUUGAGCUAUGAACGAGCUCUAUCUUUUAAAGAAAAUGGGAAUAAUCUAAGUUUAACAUCAUCGUUUGAAAAAUUCGCAUAUCUAAAUAUUUGACAAAUAGCAUGAAAAUCAUUCAGAUGAUUAUAUGGGUCCUUAUUUUCUAAGCCAUAGAAUGUGGGGAGACAAUUUAGCACACUAGGUUUUAGUUCAAAACUCCUAGCAGCUACAUUUGGGUAUCUUAUACACGAUGUGCUCAAAUUAGCCAAAGGACUAAAAUAGUCCUUAAAUGACCUCUCCUAUGGUGCUUGUAAAUCCAUUCCAAAUUUAUUUUUAACGUGCUUGUAUGUGUGAAGUGUUUUUUCUAGUUCAUGGUCUAUAGGUUCAAGAUUAUGUAAUAAUGACCUACGACCAUGCAUGUAAGAAACACAAAAAUAAAUGAGAACAAAACAAAUAAAAAUAAAGAAGAAGGAGAAAUUACGUUACUAACCUUAUCACGCUGUUAAAACCUUUCUAUAAAAAUACACAAAAAUAAAUACGUGAAAUAAAUUAACUAAAAAUAAAUUAAUAAGAUAAACAAAAAAAAUUAUAAAGAAAAACAAAUUGAAAAUUAAAUUACAGAAUUUUAAAGAAGAGAAAAAGAAAAGAAAUACUAACCUUUAAAUGUAGAUUCACUUUUUUUUUCUUUUUUUUUUAAUAAAAAAAAUUACAAGAAAACAAUUAAAAGAAAUUAUUCACAAAAAUUAAUUCUACGAAUUAAAAUAACUUACCUCCCCGGCAACGACGCCAAAAACUUGUUGUGCAAAUUUUAUUGAACUCGUAAGUGCACGAAUCUAUUGUAGUAUAGAUCAAUGGUGACAAGUGUCGAUCCCACGAGGAGGUGGAUUUUAAUUGUGUGUAGAAUUAAUUUUCUAAAUGGGUGGUUGGAUUUGUGGUGAAAAUGAUUUGGAUUAUCCUAAAAUUGGAAUUGAAAUGGCGAGAAUAAUUUGAAGAGAAUUCUAUUGAAAUGACGUACUUGGGUAUCUGGAUCCGUAUCAACAUGCACCAUGGACUAAAUAUUCCUUAUUAAUGCCAAUUAAAUCAUGAAGGGGGAAUCCACACCUCAUGAACCACACUCUAAUCAAUAUGGUACUAAGGGCUUAUCGUGCCAAAUAAUAAUAACCUUGUACUAGGGAGCCGGUGUAACCAAGUGAGACAUUAUCACAAACAAAUAAAAAGAUAUUAUAUAAUAAAUAUUGAAAAGAGUGUAACUAAUAAGUAUUACUUAUAGGAAAUUUUUUUAAAUAAAUACGUAGAAAAUAAAAAGGUAAAUGGAUAGAAUACUUCUUGUACCAGAGCAAACUUCGUGCUGAUAACGUGUUAUAAAUUUGGAGAUAAUGGAUGUUAUAAUUUAAAGGGAUUGUAUGUAAGCAAUUAUUUAAUUGGGAAUAUGUAAGUAAGGAAUACUCAAAUGAAGAUUGAAGAAAACAAGCAAAAUGCCUUGAGCGAGGAAUUGAAAUUGUCUUCAUUCAUUAACAAAGAAAGGGUUUAUAUAGGCAUUACAAGGUGGAGUUAUUCACAAUUAUUAAUUAUAAAAAGGAUAAUGGGAAGAGCAAUAAGAUGAUAAUGGGAGAACAUUAUUUUGGUGGGAGGGCAUUAUUUUGGUGGAAUCCACCAUGAUUUACAACAUGUCUAAAUUUAUAUUAUUAAAGUGACAUGCUUUAUGAUUUUAUUAUUUUAAGAUACUUGUAAGGAAUACGCAUAGGGCAUACAGGAAUGACAAUUGUUACAAAAUUAAACUUCAUUUUUCAAAUGUCAUUUAGAUGAGUUGAAGUCUGCAAAAUGUUUCUUUAAUAUCAUUAAACUGUUUCAUGAAUUAAUAAACUAUAUAAUGUCAAUUAUCAUAAAAGAAAACAAUAUGCUUAUAUAUUCUUGGAUUCUGUAGAUAGAAUGUUAUGAGAUAGGCUCCAAAUACUGAUGGGAAAUUAAAAUUGGGUUCUUCGUGAAAAAAAUAAAAUAAAAUAAAUUGGGAAAAAUUGGCUGAAAUGGAAGUUCGUGUUGUGCUUUAUAGUAAAUUGUCAAAGUUUGCAAUCAACCUGUAUUUAACAAGGAGAUGACAGGAUUUGGCAAGAAUUUGGUAUUUUCGGAGUGAAGAGUAUUAGUUUUGUUUCAAUGCUUUUCUUAAUCUCAGACGAUCAAGAGAAUCGUUAUUUCAUUCAUGCACAGACAAGCACAAAGAGAAAACAAAUGUAUACACAUGCAAACUUGAAAAUAGGUUAAUAUACAUUGAACUUCGAAGGUCGUGCAUGAGCCUGGUUAAUAUUUUGGGCAUUUCCAGUAGUGAGUGAUACAUGGAUAACUGAAUGUUACAUAACUGAAUUUGAGCAAAAAUAUUAAUUCGCUCCACUGAAUGUAUAGGCAUGAUAUCAUUGCACAAAUCUUUUAUGCAAGGACACUAGCAGAGAAGUUGUACCAUGUUGCUAGAAUGAUAGAUCUUCCUGGAGGACAUCUUGUAAGUCAUGAGAGGACAGAAGAGGUAUUUCCUUUGCCCAAUAGAUCAGACAAAUAUGCAAGUAGUCCAAUUGGUUGUGUGAGACAUUUACAAUUAAUGAAUUAUUAAAUGGAGUACAGUUGUACAAACUGAUUGGGAAAGUUUUCUUAUCAAAGUCAGUAAAAAAUUGUCGUAAUCGAAUUUGAUUGAGACAAAAGGGUCCUUACAUUUGUAUUAUGGACAAUAAUCUUCCUAAUAUUGAGGAUUGACCUUGAGCGACUCAAGAUUUUUGAAUAACUGGGAUUGAAUUAAAUCUUCACGCGUAAAAUAAUGUUAUGAAUUUAUUGGUAGAAAGAUGUCCCAAUACUUCUUGAAGUUUUACUUUCCUAAAUUAUUGAUAUUUGUUUAAUUUUACUUGGCUACAAAUUAAGCAUAUAGACGUUAAACUCUUUCUUGAAAUUUCAGGUCAAUCAAACUCUCAUCGACUUGAUCAAGGCAUCUGAAAAGAAGAUAAGUCCACAAGAUUGGACUAAUCUGCCCCAGACAAGUUCUGGUAAGCACGCCACAAUCAAGAUAGUCUUUCUCUUUUCCAUGUUAUGUGUGGGCAAUACUGUUAGAGCAUACUUGCCUAACAUAGGUUGAAAGCUUUUCAUACUGAGUUUUCUAUGAAGAUAAACUCGUGGUUAAUCCAUAGAGUUCCCAUUUUUCCAAUAAUAUGUUCAUGGAUUUGGAAACCUAAGAGUUCCAGAAGGACACAUGAUAACUACUUAAGAGAGCUCAAAUCAACACUGAAACUUUUUCCAGACACAAAAAUCAUCAGUGGUCAAUUUGUUUUCAGCUAGGUUAUCUUCCUCUCUGUUUGGUCAGGAUUGAGAGGGACAAUUAGCAAUUUUGAUAUUUCUACAUCAGAACUCUGUUUUCAGUUUUUGACAUUUUCUAUUGAUAUUUUUAGUUCUUUGUCAGGGGAUUUGGCGAAAGGGAUGUCAUUCGUAAGAACAACUUUGGGACCAAGAAGUUAUGUUUCAGACCCACUAGAGAAGCUAUGUCUUUAUCUAUUAUACCUCUGUGGCCUCUUCAUGUUAGCAUUUGAGUAUGCGAGAAGGCUUCUACAGAGUCUGAUGAUUUUCUAAAUAAAUCAUGCAAUUUAUUUUGUUCCAUCAAAUCCAUACCUUAUUAGUUGAUGUGGAAACGAAUCGUCACAAAUCUGCAAGAAUAAAAAUAAGCUCCCUCCAAUCUCCCAAAAAUCAGGAACUAACACAAGAAGAUCCCAACGAACACGAAUCGAUUGCUAGGAACUGGAACCUUCACAAGAAAAUCUCCUUCACGAACGGAUCAUCACAAGUUUAUGUCACUGAUGAUCGGAGGAUAAUAACGUAUUUGGAAAAUCCCCUCAAUUGACGAAGCAAGAACCCAUUGCCUUUUUUCCUUUUCUCUCACUCUCUUUUGAUGUUGCUUUGAUUCUUGUGAUUAUUAUUUUACGUGCUAUCACUCACUCUUGUAGUAUUUAUAUAGUACAAUAAGUGUAGUUUAAUUCAAAUCAACUUUCUAGAGUUAUUUGAUAAGCUACAUCUUAUGUGAUUAGGAUUAAGAUAAAAUACUAAUUUUAUCUCAUAAGAAUCCUAGACAAACUCUAAGUUUAUCUUAUCACUUACAUUAGAUUAAUCCAUCCCAUCAUGGACAUUAAAUCUAACAUCUACCACUCGCAUGUGAUGGGAUGAUUGAGUAAUCAUAGCAACGAGAGUAGAGUUUUGGGCAUAAAGCCACAACCGCAGUAUCAUACGGGCAAAUGCUACGUGUGACCCAUGAACAAUAUAAAUUGGAGCUUGUAGAGCGAAAAAAAUCUCAAUUGCACUUUUUGCAAGAGAUUUAAAUAACUUAUUCAUUAUAUUUCCUAGAUUUCAUUAUCCUUUACAUCGGUACAAACAUAUUUAAUCCCUCAACAAAAAUUAUGUUGACGUUGUGCACUCUAUGUAUUCACAAUUGUAUUCAUCCCUAGGCAGAUUAUACAACUGGUCGACCAGUGAAUGCAUAAGUCAGAUGUAAGGAGAAUAAAUCUUCGUACUCUACUCAUAUCUUUUAGUUCUAGGCUAGUUGCUUUCUUAGACAUGUUUCAUAGAUCGAAUAACAUUAUAGUCGUAGAAAAAACAUGCUAAAGUAGCUAUCACCAACCUUUCCUUUUAAGAUAUAGUCAAUGGUAACUAAGGAAACUGUUGACGUCUUUCUUAUACCUCGAAAGAACUUACACAAUGAGGAAUCAGGGAUUCAUUCACUCAUUUUCCUUUCAAUCACAAAAGCACACAUGGUAUGAAUCACGCGUUACAGUGAAUUCUCUUUGUAUAAGAGCAUAUGUCUAGCUAUCCACUGUACAUAUCUUAAAUUAGUCGCUUAUUCGAGCGCCUAAUUUGAGUCUCAAUAAGCUUGCCUUCAUAAGGCACCAAAUGAACUAAUAUCUGGCUUAAUUAGGUUCUUUAUCUUGAUCCAGUCAAGGCGACAUUUUCAAGAUAUAAGCUCCAUGAGUACGUAUCCAGUACUUUCUCUUAAUAUUGUGUCUCAUCCUAGCUUGCUUUCAUUAACAAUUGAAGUGACCGCUUGUGUAAGAAAGCUGGUCAUAACCUGAGGACAUAUCUUUUAAUAAUUAUAUAUAUGUGUGUAAUCAUGCUAAUUAGUAUCUUAUGAGAAUAAAUCAAAAUAAUUUUAUUGCAUAAAGAAUUUAUUAAGUACAACUUUUAUAAUAUGCGCAAUCCUGAUGAUUGCAUAUGUGCGAUAAAAACAUCUCGUGUCAUGGCUUUAGUUAAUGGAUCUACAACCAUGAAGUGUGUAGAUAUGUGUUGCAUCAACACUUCCUUUUUCACCACAAUAUCUCUCACAAAAUUGUACUUUGUCUCUAUGUGUUUAGAUUUGCUGUGGUAUUUUGCAUCCUUGGUAAAGGAUAUGGUUGCUUGGCUAUCACAAUAUUUGGUUACUGGCUGAGGAUGACCAAUAACGAUCUCGAGAUAAUUUAAGAAGCGCCUAAGCCAAACAGUCUCUUGUAUUGUGACUGAACAUUCUACAUAUUCUGCUUCCAUAGUCGACAGAGUUGUGCAUGUUUGCUUCUUGUUACUCCACAAGAUCGCACUGCAACUAAGUAGAAAUACGUAUCUUGAGGUUAAUUUGCGCUCAUCAAGAUCGCCUCCCCAAUCAGCGUAUGUGUAUUCAAUUUACCGUAAAUCACCUCCUUGAUAACAUAAAGAAUAGCCGGUAGUGCCUUUCAGAUAUGCUAAAAUUCUUUUGACAACAUUCCAGUGUUUGCGCCCAGGAUUUGAUUGGUAUCUGCUUACCAACCCCAUAGCAUAACAAAUAUAUGGUCUUGUACACAUCAUAGCAUACAUGAGACUUCCAACAGCAUUAGAGUAUGAAACUCAUGUCAUUUCAUUUCGUUCCUUUGAAGUCUUUGGACACAUUUCAAGGUUAAGAGUUUGUCCUUUAGAUAUGGGAGUAUCCAUAAGUUUACACUUCUCCAUUUUAAUUUUUUCAAGAAUUCUUCUAAUAUAAGACUCUUGUGACAGAGCUAGAAGUUUUCUAGAACGAUCCCUAUGGAUUUUAACUCCCAAGAUAUAAGAUGCUUCACCCAUAUAUUUCAUUUCAAAGUUUAAAAAUAAUCAUUCAUUGAUGGUUUGAACAAACUCUAUAUUAUUUCCAGCCAACAAUAUAUCAUCCACAUAUAACGAUAAGAUGACAAAGUUACCCUCUGUCCUUUUAACGUAUGCACAAUGAUCUUUUUCAGUCAUUGAGAAUCCAUAAGUCAUCACAGAUUCAUGAAACCUAAGAUACCAUUGCUUGGAGGAUUGUUUUAUCCCAUAUAUAGACUUUUUGAGCUUGCAAACUUUGCGCUCUUGAUCAUUGAUUAUAUAACCAUCUGGUUGUUCCAUAUAAAUUUCCUCCUUUAGCUCUCCAUUGAGAAAAGCUAUUUUAACAUCCAUAUGAUGUAAUUCAAGAUCCAUAUGUGCAACGAUGGCUAGAAUUAAUCUUAUAGAGGCAAACCUUACCAUUGGGGAAAAAGUUUCCUCAUAGUCUAUACCCUCUUGUUGGUUAUAUCCUUUCGCUAACAAGCAUGCCUUGUAUCUUUCAAUUAUGUCAUAUGCCUUUCAUUUAACACGUAAAACCCAUUUGUUUCCAAUGGCCUUACGGUAGAGCGGUAGAUCAACCAAGUCCCAGACGUAGUUUGAUCUCAUUGACUUCAUUUAUUCAUCUAUUGCUUUAAUCCACAAUUACUUAGUUGAUGAUGUGAUAGCCUCAAUAUAAGUUCUUGGCUCAUUACCAUCAUGUGAAGCAAUCAUAAACGCCUCCCCCUCAAUCUCAAAACGAUGACGUGGUAUGGUUGUACGAUUACUUCUUCAAAUUGAGUUGUCAAGUGGAGUAAAGUCAUUUUGUGGUUGACUGCCACUAGAAUUAGAAUUCCCAGACAUAUCUAGGUUUCUCUCAAUUUGUAAAUCAGAAGUGUCAUUCAUCUCUGAAUCAUUUAACUCGUAUAGAUGGAUGUCUUUAUGGACCUCUGAAAUGCUAAGGAAUUCAUUUUCCAAAAAUGUGACAUCUCGUGAUUUUAUCUUAGUUAUAGUUCUAUCAUCAUGUUCACCUAUGAACACAUACCCUUGGGAGUGUUCUGGGUAUCUUAAAAAGAUACAUUUCUUUCCUCUCGGAUCUAAUUUCCCAUGUUUAUGAGAUGGGUUAUGAACAUACGUUGCAGACCCCAGGGAUGCAAAUGAGUAAGAUUAGGUUUUCUAUGUGUCCAUAGCUCAUAUGGAGUGGAACUUACUGACUUACUCGGAACUCGAUUAAGUACAUAAGUGGCAGUCAACAAUGCAUCCCUUCAGUAAGAAACUGGAACUAGCACGAGCAGAUUGCAACGAAUAAAAAUCGAUUGCUAGGAACUGGAACCUUCACGAGCAAAUCACCUUCACGAACAGAUUGUCAAGAGUUUAUGUCACUAAUGAUCGGAGGAUAAUCACGUAUUUGGAAAAUCCCCUCAAUUCAUGAAGCAAGAACCCACUGCCUUUUUUCCUUUUCUCUCACUCUCUUUUGAUGUUGCUCUGAUUCUUAUGAUUAUUAUUUUACGUGCUAUCACUCACCCAUGUAGUGUUUAUAUAGUACAAUAGGUGUAGUUUAAUUCAAAUCAACUUCCUAGAGUUAUUUGAUAAGUUACAUCUUAUGUGAUUAGGAUUAAGAUAAAAUAUUAAUUUUAUCUCAUAAGAAUCCUAGACAAACUCUAAGUUUAUCUUAUCACUUACGUUAGAUUAAUUCGUCCCAUCAUGGGAGUUAAAUCUAACAGAGUCUAAAACCGGUUAGAGUGCGAGCCUCUCCCACUUAAGCCAGAAUGUAGUGAACCCUAUUUUUUACUGGUAAUUUUCAGUUUGCUUCCCAAUCUUUCUUCUAGAACAAAGACAACUAGCUAGAAAACAAUACAUACUAUCCUCACUGUUUCUAUCCCUUCUUUUUGCAGGGUUUCACUAAUUUGUCACACUAAUGGCGCGGCUCUUUGCAUUUUAAACAGUUUGCUUACAGGAUUCUUGAGUAAAUCUACUAAAAGUUAUACAAAAGAUCAUAAAUAAACCAGAAUCUGCUGUGGGAGAGAUCAGAACAACCGAUACAACAAAGCAUAUUAAUCAUAUGCAUAUGGAAAGGAAAGAAUAAACUGGAGAUAGCCUUUGUUUUUUCACUAUAAAAAAAUUAUGCUAACUGAUACCACUAUAUCUAUCUCUCUCGCAGCAUAAACAAAAUGAAAACAAUGCGCAAGGAGGGGAAUACUGUUUUUUGUAUCUAAGGCAGUAAAUAUUGCUGCUUAUAUUAGAGUAACGGCAAGAGCUCAAGAUUUUAUUAAUAUUAUUAUUAUUUUCAACACUUGUCAGUUAUAUAUUCUCAAAGAUUAGAAACUCGACUUACAACAGUAGGGGAAAAAUGUUAGUAAAAUAGUGGAAUUUGAGCUAGAUUGCAGUACAGGCUGUGAUCUAAAUGUUAAAACCCAACAGAAAAAUGGCUAUUAAGGACCAGAUUGGUUGACAUUUGAUGUGGCUUCUAAAAUAAUCGACUUCAGCUUUGCUGGAUACAUUAUUAUUUAUGAGAUAAUGAAUGUAACAUCAAACCACUUUUAAAAGAUUUUAUCAAUCGCUUAAGAGAGUCUUUGGUGUAGUGGUUGGUUUGUUGUUUUGAUAAAGUUGAGGACAUGUUUAAGGUUUUAUGAGGACUCAAAAUAUUUUUUUCCCAUAUAUGUGAAAAUAGUAGGAUUUGAUUUCCAAUUUGAAUUUCUCACAGCCAAAUUCACGGAUGAAAGUCGAACAUAAAAUCUCAUUUAACACCAUCUGUCAAUUUGGUUUGGGAUUGUUAUUUUCGAAAUGACUAUAGGUGUCGAAUAAAUUUUAUUAUUGAAAUUAAUAACCUUGAUAGAUAUAAAUUUAAAAUAUAUAUGAAAUUUUUUUAUGUCAAUUUUUAAUUAUAGUUUCUCUAAGAACUAUUUUAAAAAAUGAAGAUACAGUAAAAUCUUUUUAUAGUAAUGAUUUAUUAGGAAUAAUUUUUGUUUAGUCAUCUUAAGAAAUCCGCUUCUACAUAGUAAUAAUUAUUUGUGCAUUACAAAAGUAUAUGUUAUGUUAGAUUAAAUGAACUUGCUUCCACAUAAUACAAUUACACAAUGAGAGAAAAUUAUUAAAGAGAAUGUAAACAUUUAGAGAUUUUUAAGAUGACUUUACAUAUUUCUAACAAUGGUACAUAGAUAAUAGAUAUAUUGGAUUUGACAUGCUCCAUUAGUAAAUUAUUAAUACAGUGUAUAUUUUACCUCUAUAUCUUUGUAAUAAAGAUAACUAAGUUAAAAAAAUAAUUUUUGUAAUUAUACCUCUAUUAAAUUAUAAUCCCCUCAUGGUACCAAAUUAAUCUGGUCUCAAUAUUAUAAAUAUAGAGAGGUUUCGCUAUAAUAUUUUUUAAAUGUAAGGGCAAAAAAGAGUACUAAUAAAAGUUGAGCUAGUUUGUUUUGAAAUAUAUAUAUGUUUUAAGAAAACAACUUAAAACAAUAAAAAGAUGUUUCUCACCGCAAGAAAUAAGUUUUUUAGAAACAGCUAAACAAAUUGUUCUAUAAUUUUUGAAAAUAGAAAACAGAAACUGUGGUAACAUUUAUAUUAUAUAAAAUAGGUCAUUAUUCUUUCAAAAUCCAUAGUUAUCCUGCACACACCGUAAUGUAAGUUGAUACUUGAUCAUCAUCACUUUUCACCUUCACAUGAUCAAUUCUAGAAACCCUAAAAAAUAAAAACUUGUAAUUAUUAAACAAAACAACAAAAAGAACAAGAAGAAGAAACGAAAAAUGUAAAGAGCGUACUUGGAAUUGCUUGGGGGCUACAGAAGUUAGCUUUUGCUGUGAUUGGGAAGACGAGUGAAUGAAUGAUUGAUUGAUUGAUGAAAUCAAAAAGCAAAGCAAAAAGAUCGAAAUGGAAAUUGUAAGUUGAAAUGUUUUUCUAAAGAGAGAGAUUCUAAAAUAACUAAUUGCGUUGGUGCCAGGUAAUAUUCCAAAUUAACCAAUCAAAGAUUCGAAAUGAAUGAUGCCAAUGCAGUUACCAAAUAUACCCCUUAGGAAUAUCCCAAUAUGAUCCUCCAGUAUGCGCGAUGCAGAAGCAAACAAACAAGUUACCUUGCCUCUCUGGUCUUUACUUUCAAGUCUCUCAAUUGAUGACUCGAUUUCCAGAUAAGCAUAAUUUAUAUACAUAUUUUACCCUUUAUUGUAUAUUUGUUAGUUAUUUUUAUUUUUUAUUUUUAAUUAAUUGAAUUAUUUUAUUGAAUAGAGAAUUAAUUGGAGAUUAUGAACAAAAAGUGCAUAAAAAAUCCAUAAGAGGAAAGAACUAAAGAAUUAAAGAUUAUGUUCCAAAGCUUCCGCAUGAGCUUAAGAUAAUUAAAGAAAGAUUUUAUUUAAUUUGGAAUGCAUGUGCGGCAUUAAAGGAAGAAAUCAUUAAUUGGCCUUUUGCUUUGGAAGUCAAACGUGUGGCUAGCUUUCCAAUUUUAAUAAGGAAAUAAUAUACAAAGGAUUUGGCAUGUGAGAGUGAAUAUGGGCUUAAAGGAGGCGGUUUCCUAGCAAUUAUAAUUGGAGAAGAAUUCGGUCAACUAGCAUUAUAAAAGGGGGGAGCCGCCAAAGAGGAGGAAAAAGCAGAGUAUUCGGCAGAUGAGAGAAGAAAAAUAGCAGCAGCAGUUUAAUUCUUCAUGGCUGGAUUUUAUUUUAUUUGUUGUCCCAAUUUAAGUAUGUCUAGUUAAUUUUCUUAUACUGAGGUUAAGGAUGAAAUCCUAUUCAAUGAAAUAAUUAUCUUUUUAUUUAAUUAAUUCCCUACAUGCAUGCUUUGAUGAUUAUGAUUUUUGUUUCACAUAAUUAGUUGGAUGUUAUUAAAAUAUUUUCAUCAAUUCUGUCAUGCAUUAUUGAUUGUUAAGAUUAAUAUUCAAUUAAAUCUAUGCUUGAAUCUAUAAAGUUUAUACAUGAUUAUCUUUCAUUCUAUAUCUUUCAUUAAAGAGUUGGACUAUUGGCGCACCUCUAACUUUCUUGUUAAACCCAUUUUCUCUACAUAUUCUUUUUAAUUCCUAAAAUAACCCUCAUUUGUUGCACUUUCUUAAUAAACCCCUGUGUCGAUACUUUAAAAAAAAAUUGUUAGGCGCUCUCUCUCACCCUUCUCCCAUUCCAACCACUUUCAAUCUCUUCUUGAUUAUAGCAUCAUGAAUUUAUGAUUUUUAUCUAAAUCUGUUUUGUUUUUCCUAGUAGGUAAUAACCUUAGUAGAUACAUAAAGACAUGUGUGCGAAUCUUUAAAAAAAAAAAAUUGGAACUUCACAAAAUUAUCUUUCCUACAAAACCUUUAUUUAUAUUUAGAUCAAAUUCUUAUUCUAUGACAAAUCAUUGUUUUUUCAAAUUUUAUAGAUUUAAUGAGUUUAUAAUGGAGAAAAAAAUAAGAAAACAUAGGUGGGUUUAAUUAGACAAGUGUUAUUUUUAAUAUAAUUUAAAUAUAAAUGACAUAUUUGCAAAUAAAGAACAAGAGGGGUUUCAUAAGAGAUAUAGAGGGGUGCCAAUAGCGUCACUCUUCAUUAAAUUGUUUACACAGAGUGUUUAGGAAAACUUUAACUCUUUAUUAUUCAAUAUGUUUACAUGUGAUUCUUAGAUAUCAUACUAUUAAGUAGAAAAAGAACUUACAUUAAAUUUAAUUACUUAGGCUUAAUUGUUGUAUCCAUGCGAUGACAUAGAUUGAUUUCGAGUUGUCACUUUAAAAUUGGGGAUUAAUUAAUAUUUAGAUAAUUUCUAAUUGAAUAGUGGUGAAUUCUGAAACCUUGGUAAUUUUUGUCUUGUUGAAUUCUGUUUUACUUUAAUUGUUUUCUUAGUUUAAUUAGUUUAAUUUCUCUUAAAAAUUCAAAUUGCUCAACUAGGUUAGGAUUAAUAUUAAUUUUAGAUUUAAAUUAGACUUUUCAAUUUAUAACAAUCCCUGUGGGUUCGACCUCUUUACCACUAUUCUAUUUCUAGAUUCGUGCGCUUGCGAGUAUAUUAAAAUUUUUCACAACACUUCCUACCAAAUACUCAAGUCCAUACGUCAAUUUGUCUUUGAGAAAUACCUUUUUAACUUGGAAAUAUAUUUCAUAUUGAUAAGAAAUAACUAAUAUCAUUUUACUCAAUAUUUUUACUUAUAAAUUUUCAUUUUACUUACCAAUAAUACAUUAAUCUAUCAGUUUUAUGUUAAAUCUAUUUAUUUUACUUUUUAUUUAUAUUUUAUUAUGUUUCAUUUCUAAAAUUUAUAUUAUAUAUUGCACUUAAUGUUGAUUUUAGUAGUUUUAUGUUGUAUUUGUAGGUUUUAUUUUAUUUACUAGUGAUACAUUAAUUUAUCAAUUUUAUAUUAGUUUACUUUUUUUUAUCUUUCAUUUACAAAUCUUAUGUUUUAUUUCCAAAGUUUAUCUUUUGUUUUAUAGUUUACGAUAAUUUACUAGUUUUCAUACUAUAUUUACUAAUAUUCCUUUUAUUUACCAAUAGUACAUCAAUUUACCAUAUUUAUGUUAAUUUACUUAUUUUACCUUUUAUUUACAAGUUUUAUGUACCAUUCCCAAAAUUUAUGCUUUAUGUCCACUUAAAUUGAUUUACUAGCUUUAUACUAUAUUUGUAAGUUUUUGUUUUAUUUACCAAUAAUACAUUAAUCUACUAAUUUUGUAUUGAUUUACUUAUUUUAUCUUUCAUUUAUGUUUUACUUCUUAAUUUUAUGUAUAUUGAUUUAAAAAUUUUAUGUUAAAUUUACGAGUUUUAUGUUUUAUUUAUAUAAUUUAUAUUUAAUUACAAUAUUGAUAUUAUGACUUUAAUCACGACAUUAUAAAAUGACCUGAUAAGAAAAUAACUAAUAUCAUUUUUCUCAAAAGUUUUACUUAUAAAUUUUGGAUUUACGAUAAGCUUUAAAUGUUAAAAAUCUUUUUUAGAAAGUUACUUAAAAAAUCUAUAUAUUAUCUAAAAGAGUUGUACUAAAAUGCGAAAACUCGGCUCGUGCUGGUUCAACUCAAAAUGAAAUAUAUACAUAUACAUAUACAUAUACAUACAUAUAUAUAUAUAUAUGUAUAUCAGAGUUACAGAAUGUUAAUUUUUGUAAAUUGGUUGCAUUUCUCUUAGUACAACCAAGAUCGUGGAGUGUGUGUGUGUCCAAAAGAAUAAAUAAUUUUUAGACAAAUAAAAGCAAUAUUAAAUUGGUACGUGGUGUUGUUUUACCUGAACUAUACGGAACUUAAUCUGCCUUAGGGACCAGAUCUGACUUAGAACAGAUCAAUAUCCCGCAAGUUCGGGUUUUCAGCCAAUAUACUGAGAAAAUUAUACUCAAAGGCUCAUAGAUAGUACUAGAUCUGGAUCCCAGAAAUAGUACUUUGAUUGAAUGGAGGGAGAAGAGAAAUACAACUAAGGGCAGAGAUCCGGUCUCUAUGCCUUAGAGGAUAAGUAACAGUUUACAAAGGAAUUUAAAUAAAUUUUAAAUAAUUUACGAAAUUUAAAAACAUACAUGCUUUAUUAAAAUAUUGAAAUUGAAAUGCUUACAUGAGUUGCUUGAAUCCGAAAGCUUCUAUAAACAGAAAGUGUUUUACAGAAAGGGAUAGAAAGGAAAAUCAGAAGACAGGAAAACUUCCUCUAUGUCUUCAGUUCAUCUUUUCCUUGAGUGAGAGAGAGAGAGAAAUAUAGAGAUCUCCAAGAAGUGCCGAGUCCAAGAAGUGAUGAGUCUCAGUCUUCAUUCACUCCUUUAUACAAAAAUUGAUUUAUAAAAAGAAAAUGCUACAGCUGGUCUUCACAUGUGUUGGUGGAGAGUGGGGUCAACAACAGUAAAAGCAGUAUGAGCUUUUGGAACGUGGGAGACAGCAUUAUUUGAGGCAUCUUCGGCUUUGUAGACUUUUGGAAAUUCUUCACGUGAGUGGGUCCUUGAACUUUGGCAAAUGUCUUCACGAGGAGAGAUGCUUUACGAGGCAAUAGUUAUAUCUUUUGAAAACAUGGCACAUGUGCGGCCACACUUGUGUCUCAAAAGAUGUUUUCAAAAAAUAUUCGUAUCAUUUCUUUAUAGGAUGCUGAUGUUUUCUCGGGCAAUGAAGGCUUUACAAAGAAAUGUUGGAAAAUUACAAAGAAUAUACAAGCGAUAAUUACAGAGAAAAUACAGAAAUGGGAAAAUACUUUUUUUUAUUAUUUACAAUGCUUUAUCGGAGGCAGGAUUCCGAAGCAAUCGUCUUCGUUAUCAUCUCCAAGGGAAAUGAACGGCUCAGCAUCAUCAGAUUCAUCAGAAGAGCUUGCAAUGGAUGGUUCUGAUCUCGAGGCGAGAAGCUGCUGCAUUACUUUAAAAUAUUCCUCUUCAGUCUUUGCACUGGCCAACAGUGAUUGGGCCUUAGAUCUUUGGGCAAGGAAUGUGUUUUGGGCUUUGACAUCUUGAAUGUUUGGUGUGAGGAGGCCUUUUGAGGAAAGCCAAGCCUGAACUGUGGCUUCCGAAAGUUUGGACUUUUUAUCAAACUUAGACCACCAUUUAACUUUAAAGGUUCUUUGUAAAAUAAGUUGGGCUUCUUGAGUGUGGUAAUUGAAAUUCCACAUCCAGACCCAAGGAAGAAAGAAAUUUGUACAAAAGCAGAGAAAAUGAGGAAACCUCUUCUCAGACUCAGAAGGAACAUAAUGGGCUUUAAAAAGGUUUAAACAAUUUAUGGCAUUUGGGGUUAGGAUGUCUGGGCUUGGCCCAAAAUAGUUCCACCAUUGUUGGAACCAAUUUGGAAGGCUUUGAACGGUUAUUUUUUAGUUGAAGAAAAAUAACCAAGAGUGGGCCUUUUUGGGGUUUUGUAUAAAGAAUGUGUUAAACCAGGCCUGUUGAUAGUCACAGUAAGAGAAAAAUAAACAGUGUUUUAAAGUCUUUUGGAAAUUGGCGGGAAAGGUUUUUAGUUUGUGAAGUUUAUCACCCCACUGUUUUGGACUCAAAACUUUAAGAAUGGUAGCCAUGGAAUAGGCUGGCUCAGAAUGAGUUUCACUAAGGAAGAAAUGUUUGAAUUUAACAGACUCAGUGAACUCAAGGAUGCUUUGAUAGAAAGACUGGGGUUUUGACAAAUCUCAUGGUUUGAAAAACCAGCCUUUUGGGAAAAUCUUUGAAAUUGCUUGAAAAGGAUCAGAAUGAUAAAAUCCAUGUUCUAUAGAUAAAAUAUUUUGAUGAUGGGUUUUAUUAAACUAAUCCGAAGAUUUUUGUGAAAGCUUUGAUUGAGAAACAACAAUUUAUGAAGAAGAGCUUUCACAGGAAAUAACUUCUUUAGAAAAAGAAGGCUGUGAAAUUGUUUUGUCUUUCUCAGGAACUUGGGAAAGAGCUUUAUUUUGGGAAAUACUUUGUAAAGCUAACAUAAGUUCAGGGGACUUUGUAAUGGAAUUCAUCCAUUCUUUUACCUGCUCAUUUGAGGCAAUGGCUUUAGACUGUGCUUCCUGAUCUUCGAUCAUAUCAAUCCAUGAUUUUAUAGGCAUGGCAGAAGAAAGUAAUUUGUCUUUAAGGGGGGUUGUCUGAGUUUCUUUAGAGAGUGUUUGUGGUCCAGAGUCUUUAAGAAUGGCUUUGCCUUUGUCUUUCUUUUUGGGCGGCAUUAUCUGUUUUAAAAAAAUUCCCUGGUUAGAAAAUCAGGGAGAGAAUUUGUAUCUCCUUUAAUAAACUCAAUGUCAAAAUCGAAAACACUCAAAAUGGCUUGCCAUCGUGCAAAAAUUUGUUUUGAUGCAAUGUUUUGAACAUCUUUUUCUAAAACAUGUUUUGCAGCCUUGCAAUAAAUUCUAAGUAAAAAUUUUUGAUUUAACAAAUCACUUUGAAAUUUAGAUAUGCAUAAAACGAUAGAUAAAAUUUCUUUUUUGAUGGUAGAAUAAUUUCUUUGACAUUCAUUCCAAUGUGCAGAAACAUACUGUACUAUUUGUUCUUUAUUAUUAUCAAUUUGUUUUAGUAUUCCUCCAUAACCUAAAUCUGAUGCAUCAGUUUCAAGAAUCUUAGGUAAUGCAGGAUUAGCAAGAAAUAAGCAUGGGAUAUCUUUAAUAGAACUUUUUAUGAGCUUAACAAUUUUAGUGUGUUCAUCAGUCCAUGCAACAAGAUUUUUCUUUAAUCUAUCAUGCAAAAGUUUUGAAAUUCUAUUAAUAUUAAGGCAAAAAUCAAGAACAUAAUUUAAACUUCCUAAAAAUCUUUGCAAUUGUGUUUUAUCAAGGAUUUUAUCAGGAAAUUUGUCAGCAAAAACAAGAGAUCGCUCAAUAGGUGUAAUGGUUCCUUUGGAAAUGUAAUGACCAAGGAACUUGAUUCUUGUUUGAAAUAAAGAAACUUUAGAAUUAGAAAUGGCUAAACCAGCUUUCCUAGUGGCAAGAUAGAAAGUCUUUAAAUGUUUGAAAUAUUGGUCAAUUGUUUGAGAAAAGAUUAACACAUCAUCAAUAUAAACAAUACAGAAUUCAGAGAAAGGAUUAUAAAUAUCAUUCAUAAUCCUUUGAAAUUCUGAAGGCGCAUUCUUUAAUCCGAAUGGCAUAACAGUCCAUUCAUACUGUCCAAAAGGAACAGUAAAUGCAGUUUUAUAACGGUCUUUUGGAUGGAUUUGAAUUUGCCAAAAUCCAGAUUUCAUAUCAAAUUUUGAAAAGAUGAAAGCAGAAUGAAGUUUUUGAAGCAAAUCCUUUUUAUUAAGUAUGGGAUACCUAAUCCAUUUUAAUGCUUUAUUAAGGGGUUUGUAAUUAAUGACUAAUCUGGGUGUCCCUCUUUCUAUCUCAGAAUUUUUAUUGACAAAGAAAGCAGCACAAGACCAAGGAGACCUAGACUUGACUAUGAGGCCUUUAGAAACUAAAUCUUUUAUCUCAUCUCUGCAAUGUUGUUCUAAUUCCAUGUUCAUUUGGAUUGGACGAGCUUUGGUAGGUGUUGAUGCGAGAUUCCGGUUCUCCUCGUUCUACGACCAGGAUCUCUGCUCGAUCAACUUCAUUACGACCAGGGGGUCUCCUCGCAAGGCUUCUUCUCCAGAGGUUCCUGCGCACACACACAGGUCAGAGUACGACAGGCUUUGAGACUUUGUCGAGCCUUUGCAUGCCUUGGAUUCUUCGAGGAUUGGGAUUCUGCUCGCCUUCUCGUGGCCGAGCAGAUCCUGGCAUGCUUGGCUUCUGUCUCGCCAUAAGACAGGCAUUGAGACUUUGUCGAGCCUUUGCAUGCCUUUGAUUCUUCGAGGAUUGGGAUUCUGCUCGCCUUCUCGUGGCCGAGAAAAUCCCGGCAUGCUUGGCUUCUGUCUCGCCAUAACGCAGGCUUUGAGACUUUGUCGAGCCUUUGCGUGCCUUGGAUUCUUCGAGGAUUGGGAUUCUGCUCGCCUUCACGUGGCCGAGCAGAUCCUGGCAUGCUUGGCUUCUGUCUCGCCAUAAGACAGGCUUUGAGACUUUGUUGAGCCUUUGCAUGCCUUUGAUUCUAAAUGGAUUGGGAUUCUGCUCGCCUUCUCGUGGCCGAGCAGAUCCUGGCAUGCUUGGCUUCUGUCUCGCCAUAAGACAAGCUUUGAGACUUUGUCGAGCCUUUGCGUGCCUUCGAUUCUUCGAGGAUUGGGAUUCUGCUCGCCUUCUCGUGGCCGAGCAGAUCCUGGCACGCUUGGCUUCUGUCUCGCCAUAAGACAGGCUUUGAGACUUUGAUGAGCCUUUGAAUGCCUUUGAUUCUUCCAGGAUUAGGAUGCUGCUCGCCUUCUCGUGGCCGAGCAUAUCCUGGCAUGCUUGGCUUCUGUCUCGCCAUAAGACAGGCUUUGAGACUUUGUUGAGCCUUUGCAUGCCUUGGGAAUUUCUUCGAAUGCUUUGGAGUCUGCUCGCCUUCUCGUGGUCGAGCAGAUCCUGCCAUGCCUGGCUUCUGUCUCGCCAUAAGACAGGCUUUGAGACUUUGUUGAGCCUUUGCAUGCCUUGGAUUCUUCAAGGAUUGGGAUUCUGCUCGCCUUCUCGUGGCCGAGCAGAUCCUGGCAUGCUUGGCUUCUGUCUCGCCAUAACACAGGCUUUGAGACUUUGUUGAGCGUUUGCAUGCCUUUGAUUAUUCGAGGAUUGGGAUUCUGCUCGCCUUCUCGUGGCCGAGCAGGUCCCGGCAUGCUUGGCUUCUGUCUCGCCAGAAGACAGGCUUUGAGACUUUGUCGAGCCUUUGCAUGCCUUGGAUUCUUCGAGGAUUGCGAUUCUGCUCGCCUUCUCGUGGCCGAGCAGAUCCUGGCAUGCUUGGCUUCUGUCUCGCCAUAAGACAGGCUUUGAGACUUUGUUGAGCCUUUGCAUGCCUUGGGAAUUUCUUCGAAUGCUUUGGAGUCUGCUCGCCUUCUCAUGGCCGAGCAGAUCCUGGCAUGCUUGGCUUCUGUCUCGCCAUAAGACAGGCUUUGAGACUUUGUUGAGCCUUUGCAUGCCUUUGAUGAUUUCUUCAAAGCUUGGGAUUCUGCUAGCCUCCUCAUAGCCGAGCAGAUCCUGGCAUGCUUGGCUUCCGUCUCGCCAUAAGACAGGCUUUGAGACUUUGUUGAGCCUUUGCAUGCCUUGGAUUCUUCGAGGAUUGGGAUUCUGCUCGCCUUCUCGUGGCCGAGCAGAUCCUGGCAUGCUUGGCUUCUGACUCGCCAUAAGACAGGCUUUGAGACUUUGAUGAGCCUUUACAUGCCUUUGAUUCUUCAAGGAUUGGGAUGCUGCUCGCCUUCUCGUGGCCGAGCAGAUCCUGGCAUUCUUGGCUUCUGUCUCGCUAUAAGACAGGCUUUGAGACUUUGUUGAGCCUUUGCAUGCCUUUGAUGAUUUCUUCAAAGCUUGGGAUUCUGCUAGCCUCCUCAUAGCCGAGCAGAUCCUGGCAUGCUUGGCUUCUGUCUCGCCAUAAGACAGGCUUUGAGACUUUGUUGAGCCUUUGCAUGCCUUGGAUUCUUCGAGGAUUGGGAUUCUGCUCGCCUUCUCGUGGCCGAGCAGAUCCUGGCAUGCUUGGCUUCUGACUCCCCAUAAGACAGGCUUUGAGACUUUGAUGAGCCUUUGCAUGCCUUUAAUUCUUCAAGGAUUGGGAUGCUGCUCGCCUUCUCGUGGCCGAGCAGAUCCUGGCAUGCUUAGCUUCUGUCUCGCCAUAAGACAGGCUUUGAGACUUUGAUGAGCCUUUGCAUGCCUUGGGAAUUUCUUCGAAUGCUUUGGAGUCUGCUCGCCUUCUCGUGGCCGAGCAGAUACUGGCAUGCUUGGCUUCUGUCUCGCCAUAAGACAGGCUUUGAGACUUUGUUGAGCCUUUGCAUGCCUUUGAUUCUUCGAGGAAUGGGAUUCUGCUCGCCUUCUCGUGCCCGAGCAGAUCCUGGCAUGCUUGGCUUCUGUCUCGCCAUAAGACAAGCUUUGAGACUUUGUCGAGCCUUUGCGUGCCUUUGAUUCUUCGAGGAUUGGGAUUCUGCUCGCCUUCUCGUGGCCGAGCAGAUCCUGGCACGCUUGGCUUCUGUCUCGCCAUAAGACAGGCUUUGAGACUUUGAUGAGCCUUUGAAUGCCUUUGAUUCUUCCAGGAUUGGGAUGCUGCUCGCCUUCUCGUGGCCGAGCAUAUCCUGGCAUGCUUGGCUUCUGUCUCGCCAUAAGACAGGCUUUGAGACUUUGUUGAGCCUUUGCAUGCCUUGGGAAUUUCUUCGAAUGCUUUGGAGUCUGCUCGCCUUCUCGUGGUCUAGCAGACCCUGGCAUGCUUGGCUUCUGUCUCGCCAUAAGACAUGCUUUGAGACUUGGUGAGCCUUUGCAUGCCUCAGGAAUUUCUUCGAAUGCUUUGGAGUCUGCUCGCCUUCUCGUGGUCGAGCAGAUCCUGGCAUGCUUGGCUUCUGUCUCGCCAUAAUACAGGCUUUAAGACUUUGUUGAGCCUUUGCAUGCCUUGGAUUCUUCGAGGAUUGGGAUUCUGCUCGCCUUCUCGUGGUCGAGCAGACCCUGGCAUGCUUGGCUUCUGUCUCGCCAUAAGACAUGCUUUGAGACUUGGUGAGCCUUUGCAUGCCUCAGGAAUUUCUUCGAAUGCUUUGGAGUCUGCUCGCCUUCUCGUGGUCGAGCAGAUCCUGGCAUGCUUGGCUUCUGUCUCGCCAUAAGACAGGCUUUGAGACUUUGUUGAGCCUUUGCAUGCCUUGGAUUCUUCGAGGAUUGGGAUUCUGCUCGCCUUCUCGUGGCCGAGCAGAUCCUGGCAUGCUUGGCUUCUGUCUCGCCAUAAGAUAGGCUUUGAGACUUUGAUGAGCCUUUGCAUGCCUUGGGAAUUUCUUCGAAUGCUUUGGAGUCUGCUCGCCUUCUCAUGGUCGAGCAGAUCCUGGCAUGCUUGGCUUCUGUCUCGCCAUAAGACAGGCUUUGAGACUUUGUUGAGCCUUUGCAUGCCUUUGAUUCUUCGCGGAUUGGGAUUCUGCUCGCCUUCUCGUGGCCGGGCAGAUCCUGGCAUGCUUGGCUUCUGUCUCGCCAUAAGACAGGCUUUGAGACUUGAUGAGCAUUUGCAUGCCUUAUUAGUAAACCUUGAUUGGCUUCUCAACGCUAGCCUAGCUCUCUUUUCUUAAAUUAUUCUUACAUUGAGCACAAUCAAUUUAAUGAAUAUCAGAUAUCCUUAUCUCACAUAGCAGAAUUUAGAGAAAUAAUUAAAUUUUCAUAGAAAAAACUGCUUUUAAAUCAAAAUAUAACUUCUGACCUGUUCCGAUUCCUACAGAUGUGUGCCUUCGAUGUGCUCUUAUUUGAGGUUUUUUCUUGAAAUCCUUAAAUAUGGAUUUGCUCUGCAAAUUGAUCAACUGGGAUUGUGCUCUGGGUUUAGAUCUUGGCUCCUGGGCAGCAUUCUCUCAAGCACAUAUGUAGUAUAUGUAGUGUAAUCAGCAACAAACUCACUUUUGAACUUUCAUAUCCCUUGAGACGAUUUAACGAACAGCUCCUGAUUGAAUUUUAACAAUUCUGCCUCAACUUGUAAUGAACCGAGUUUCAUACCAGAAUUGUCUAAAUACUUUCCUUUAUAUCUUUACAGGUAAGCAUUCCAUCCAGCCUUGAUUGGUUUCCGUGUUUGAGCCAGCUUAUCAAUCGGUGCAUGAUAAUAUUCUGCCUUUGGCUUAGCCAGAUGAAAAAUCGGUGGAGACAAGAAGUUGGCUUUUGUACCGAGUCCCCACAGACGGCGCCAAAAUGUUGAUGCGAGAUUCUGGUUGUCCUCGUUUUACGACCAGGGUCUCUGCUCGAUCAACUUCACCUCGACCAGGAUCUCUCCUCGUAAAGCUUCUUCUCCAGAGGUUCCCUUUUGUUGAUGCGAGAUUCCGGUUCUCCUCGUUCUACGACUAGGAUCUCUGCUCGAUCAACUUCAUCACGACCAGGGGGUCUCCUCGCAAGGCUUCUUCUCCAGAGGUUUCUGCGCACACAGACAGGUCAGAGUACGCCGAUUGUUUUCCCGGCGCAAACCCUCCGACACUCAAGUCAGAUAUGAAGUGUUGAUGCGAGAUUCUGGUUGUCCUCGUUUUACGACCAAGGUCUCUGCUCGAUCAACUUCACCUCGACCAGGAUCUCUCCUCGUAAAGCUUCUUCUCCAGAGGUUCCCUUUUGUUUAUGCGAGAUUCCGGUUCUCCUCGUUCUACGACCAGGAUCUCUGCUCGAUCAACUUCAUCACGACCAGGGGGUCUCCUCGUAAGGCUUCUUCUCCAGUGGUUCCUGCGCACACAGACAGGUCAGAGUACGCCGGUUGUUUUCCCGGCGCAAACCCUCCGACGCUCAAGUCAGAUAUGAAGGUUCGGGGAACGCUUGCCACAAAUCUUAUGGCUGUUAGGUUGUUUUCUCUCUUUUAGAAUUUCUUUUCUAAUCUCAAAAAUGCUAACCCCUUUACCUUCGUUGGCUACCUUUUUAUAGGCUUCCUCUGAAUCCCAGUUUUUCGCUUUUUUCGAGACGGUAUGGGACUCUGACUGCUGCGUUAUGGGCAAGCGUGGGAUCUUGCGUGUUACGCCACGGUUCUGGGGAAAGCGUGGCUGUCGUGCCUAGAUUCUCGGGCUGGAGAACGUGUCUUGCCAACUGCCGUCGACCGGGUCCCCUCGCCUCUCGACCUCUAGCCGGAAUGGCCUUAUGCCUCUUACAGGAAAUUUGCCUCGCGGAUGACGUGCUCGUGGACGAGCAGGAUAUUUCUGCUCCUGUUCCCCCGCGCACCAGGCUUUUACGGAACACACCGGUUCGCAGAACUCUGCCAUCAGAUAUCUGCUCACCAUGCCUGGUCUCGUCGACGUAUUUCUCCCAAACACCGGUCCCCCAGUUUCUGGUGUUGGGUAAUGUAGUAGACCAGCAGUAGAAACGCGUUAGUACUCGCUCGCGUGGGAUUGGAAAAGGCUGCCAAGAAUCACGUCGCAUUUAAUUGCGGACGAGGUGACGUGGCAGAAAUCCCCCUCUCCAUUUGAAUUUCAAACCGACGGUUAUGAGACCCUCGGGAUUCGGCGCUGUUAAAUGCUGGCAACCCUAGAGUCCGUCCUCAUUAGGAAAACCAAAUCCUCUCUGUUAAUUAUUAACAAAUUAAUAAAAAUAUUUUUUGAUUACUUUCUUGUGUUGUAAUUAUGAAUUAAUUUUCGUUUGAGAAUCUGCUUGUCUUUGUCUAGACGAGCAGGUUCCGGCUUUGCUCAUGGUUUUGCCACAUGCCUUUGAAGAUUCUUCAAUGCCUGGGAUUCGGCUCGCCUUCGCGCGGUCGAGCAGAUCCUGGCACGCUUGGCAUCUGUCUCGGCAUAAAACAGGCUUUGAGACUUGGUGAGCCAUCGCAUGCCUCAGGAAUUUCUUCGAAUGCUUUGGAGUCUGCUCGCCUUCUCGUGGUCGAGCAGAUCCUGGCAUGCUUGGCUUCUGUCUCGCCAUAAAACAGGCUUUGAGACUUUGUCGAGCCUUUGUAUGCCUUGGAUUCUUCGAGAAUUGGGAUUCUGCUAACCUUCUCGUGGCCGAGCAGAUCCUGGCAUGCUUGGCUUUUGUUUCGCCAUAAGACAGGCUUUGAGACUUUGUCGAGCCUUUGCAUGCCUUUGAUUCUUCGAGGAUUGGGAUUCUGCUCGCCUUCUCGUGGCCGAGCAGAUCCUGGCAUGCUUGGCUUCUGUCUCGCCAUAAGACAGGCUUUGAGACUUUGUUGAGCCUUUGCAUGCCUUUGAUUCUUCGAGGAUUGGGAUUCUGCUCGCCUUCUCGAGGCCGAGCAGAUCCUGGCAUGCUUUGGCUUCUGUCUCGCCAUAAGACAAGCUUUGAGACUUUGUCGAGCCUUUGCGUGCCUUUGAUUCUUCGAGGAUUGGGAUUCUGCUCGCCUUCUCGUGGCCGAGCAGAUCCUGGCACGCUUGGUUUCUGUCUCGCCAUAAGACAGGCUUUGAGACUUUGAUGAGCCUUUGCAUGCCUUUGAUUCUUCAAGGAUUGGGAUGCUGCUCGCCUUCUCGUGGCCGAGCAAAUCCUGGCAUGCUUGGCUUCUGUCUCGCCAUAAGACAGGCUUUGAGACUUUGUUGAGCCUUUGCAUGCCUUGGGAAUUUCUUCGAAUGCUUUGGAGUCUGCUCGCCUUCUCGUGGUCGAGCAGAUCCUGGCAUGCUUUGCUUCUGUCUCGCCAUAAGACAGGCUUUGAGACUUUGUUGAGCCUUUGCAUGCCUUGGAUUCUUCGAGGAUUGGGAUUCUGCUCGCCUUCUCGUGGCCGAGCAGAUCCUGGCAUGCUUGGCUUCUGUCUCGCCAUAAGACAGGCUUUGAGACUUUAUUGAGCGUUUGAAUGCCUUUGAUUAUUCGAGGAUUGGGAUUCUGCUCGCCUUCUCGUGGCCGAGUAGGUCCCGGCAUGCUUGGCUUCUGUCUCGCCAUAAGACAGGCUUUGAGACUUUGUCGAACCUUUGCAUGCCUUUGAUUCUUCGAGGAUUGGGAUUCUGCUCCCCUUCUCAUGGCCGAGCAGAUCCCGGCAUGCUUGGCUUCUGUCUCGCCAUAAGACAGGCUCUGAGACUUUGUCGAGCCUUUGCAUGCCUUAGAUUCUUCGAGGAUUGGGAUUCUGCUCGCCUUCUCGUGGCCGAGCAGAUCCUGGCAUGCUUGGCUUCUGUCUCGCCAUAAGACAGGCUUUGAGACUUUGAUGAGCCUUUGCAUGCCUUGGGAAUUUCUUCGAAUGCUUUGGAGUCUGCUCGCCUUCUCGUGGUCGAGCAGAUCCUGGCUUGCUUGGGUUCUGUCUCGCCAUAAGACAGGCUUUGAGACAUUGUCGAGCCUUUGCAUGCCUUGGAUUCUUCGAGGACUGGGAUUCUUCUCGCCUACUCGUGGCCGAGCAGAUCCUGGCAUGCUUGGCUUCUGUCUCGCCAUAAGACAGGCUUUGAGACUUUGUCGAGCCUUUGCAUGCCUUUGAUUCUUCGAGGAUUGGGAUUCUGCUCGCCUUCUCGUGGCCGAGCAGAUCCCGGCAUGCUUGGCUUCUGUCUCGCCAUAAGACAGGCUUUGAGACUUUGUCGAGCCUUUGCAUGCCUUGGAUUCUUCGAGGAUUGGGAUUCUGCUCGCCUUCUCGUGGCCGAGCAGAUCCUGGCAUGCUUGGCUUCUGUCUCGCCAUAAGACAGGCUUUGAGACUUUGUUGAGCCUUUGCAGGCCUUGGGAAUUUCUUCGAAUGCUUUGGAGUCUUCUCGCCUUCUCGUGGUCAAGCAGAUCCUGGCAUGCUUGGCUUUUGUCUCGCCAUAAGACAGGCUUUGAGACUUUGUUGAGCCUUUGCAUGCCGUGGAUUCUUCGAGGAUUGGGAUUCUGCUCGCCUUCUCGUAGCCGAGCAGAUCCCGGCAUGCAUGGCUUCUGUCUCGCCAUAAGACAGGCUUUGAGACUUUGUCGAGCCUUUGCAUGCCUUGGAUUCUUCAAGGAUUGGAAUUCUGCUCGCCUUCUCGUGGCCGAGCAGAUCUCGGCAUGCUUGGCUUCUGUCUCGCCAUAAGACAGGCUUUGAGACUUUGUCGAGCCUUUGCAUGCCUUUGAUUCUUCGAGGAAUUGGAUUCUGCUCGCCUUCUCGGGGCCGAGCAGAUCCCGGCAUGCUUGGCUUCUGUCUCGCCAUAAGACAGGCUUUGAGACUUUGAUGAGCUUUUGCAUGCCUUUGAUUCUUCAAGGAAUGGGAUGCUGCUCGCCUUCUUGUGGCCGAGCAGAUCCUGGCAUGCUUGGCUUCUGUCUCGCCAUAAGACAGGCUUUGAGACUUUGUUGAGCCUUUCCAUGCCUUUGAUGGAUUCUUCGAGGAUUGGGAUUCUGCUCGCCUUCUCGUGGCCGAGCAAAUCCUGGCAUGCUUGGCUUCUGUCUCGCCAUAAGACAGGCUUUGAGACUUUGAUGAGCCUUUGCAUGCCUUUGAUUCUUCGAGGAUUUGGAUUCUGCUCGCCUUCUCGUGGCCGAGCAGAUCCCGGCAUGCUUGGCUUCUGUCUCGCCAUAAGACAGGCUUUGAGACUUUGUCGAGCCUUUGCAUGUCUUGGAUUCUUCGAGGAUUGGGAUUCUGCUCGCCUUCUCGUGGCCGAGCAAAUCCUGGCAUGCUUGGCUUCUGUCUCGCCAUAAGACAGGCUUUGAGACUUUGAUGAGCCUUUGCAUACCUUUGAUUCUUCCAGGAUUGGGAUGCUGCUCGACUUCUCGUGGCUGAGCAGAUCCUGGCAUGCUUGGCUUCUGUCUCGCCAUAAGACAGGCUUUGAGACUUUGAUGAGCCUUUGCAUGCCUUGCGAAUUUCUUCGAAUGCUUUGGAGUCUGCUCGCCUUCUCGUGGUCGAGCAGACCCUGCCAUGCUUGGUUUCUGUCUCGCCAUUAGACAGGCUUUGAGACUUUGUCGAGCCUUUGCAUGCCUUUGAUUCUUCGAGGAUUGGGAUUCUGCUCGCCUUCUUGUGGCCGAGCAGAUCCUGGCUUGCUUGGCUUCUGUCUCGCCAUAAGACAGGCUUUGAGACUUUGUUGAGCCUUUGCAUGCCUUGGGAAUUUCUUCGAAUGCUUUGGAGUCUGCUCGCCUUCUCGUGGUCGAGCAGAUCCUGGCAUGCUUGGCUUCUGUCUCGCCAUAAGACAGGCUUUGAGACUUUGUCGAGCCUUUACAUGCCUUAGAUUCUUCAAGGAUUGGGAUUCUGCUCGCCUUCUCGUGGCCGAGCAGAUCCUGGCAUGCUUCGCUUCUGUCUCGCCAUAAGACAGGCUUUGAGACUUUGUCGAGCCUUUGCAUGUCUUGGAUUCUUCGAGGAUUGGGAUUCUGCUCGCCUUCUCGUGGCCGAGCAAAUCCUGGCAUGCUUGGCUUCUGUCUCGCCAUAAGACAUGCUUUGAGACUUUGUCGAGCCUUUGCAUGCCUUGGAUUCUUCGAGGAUUGGGAUUCUGCUCGCCUUCUCGUGGCCGAGCAGAUCCUGGCAUGCUUGGCUUCUGUCUCGCCAUAAGACAGGCUUUGAGACUUUGUUGAGCCUUUGCAUGCCUUUGAUUAUUCGAGGAUUGGGAUUCUGCUCGCCUUCUCGUGGCCGAGCAGUUCCCGGCAUGCUUGACUUCUGUCUCGCCAUAAGACAGGCUUUGAGACUUUGUCGAGCCUUUGCAUGCCUUGGUUUCUUCGAGGAUUGGGAUUCUGCUCGCCUUCUCAUGGCCGAGCAGAUCCUGGCAUGCUUGGCUUCUGUCUCGCCAUAAGACAAGCUUUGAGACUUUGAUGAGCCUUUGCAUGCCUUUGAUUCUUCAAGGAAUGGGAUGCUGCUCGCCUUCUCGUGGCCGAGCAGAUCCUGGCAUGCUUGGCUUCUGUCUCGCCAUAAGACAGGCUUUGAGACUUUGUUGAGCCUUUGCAUGCCUUUGAUGAUUUCUUCAAAGCUUGGGAUUCUGCUAGCCUCCUCGUGGCCGUGCAGAUCCUGGCAUGCUUGGCUUCUGUCUCGCCAUAAGACAGGCUUUGAGACUUUGUUGAGCCUUUGCAUGCCUUGGAUUCUUCGAGGAUUGGGAUUCUGCUAGCCUCCUCGUGGCCGUGCAGAUCCUGGCAUGCUUGGCUUCUGUCUCGCCAUAAGACAGGCUUUGAGACUUUGUUGAGCCUUUGCAUGCCUUUGAUUCUUCAAGGAUUGGGAUACUGCUCGCCUUCUCGUGGCCGAGCAGAUCCUGGCAUGAUUGGCUUCUGUCUCGCCAUAAGACAGGUUUUGAGACUUUGAUGAGCUUUUGCAGGCCUUGUGAAUUUCUUCGAAUGCUUUGGAGUCUGCUCGCCUUCUCGUGGUCGAGCAGACCCUGGCAUGCUUGGCUUCUGUCUCGCCAUAAGACAUGCUUUGAGACUUGGUGAGCCUUUGCAUGCCUCAGGAAUUUCUUCGAAUGCUUUGGAGUCUGCUCGCCUUCUCGUGGUCGAGCAGAUCCUGGCAUGCUUGGCUUCUAUCUCGCCAUAAGACAGGCUUUGAGACUUUGUCGAGCCUUUGCAUGCCUUCGAUUCUUCGAGGAUUGGGAUUCUGCUCGCCUUCUCGUGGCCGAGCAGAUCCUGGCAUGCUUGGCUUCUGUCUCGCCAUAAGACAGGCUUUGAGACUUUGUCGAGCCUUUGCAUGCCAUGGAUUCUUCGAGGAUUGGGAUUCUGCUCGCCUUCUCGUGGCCGAGCAGAUCCUGGCAUGCUUGGCUUCUGUCUCGCCAUAAGACAGGCUUUGAGACUUUGAUGAGCCUUUGCUUGCCUUGGGAAUUUCUUCGAAUGCUUUGGAGUCUGCUCACCUUCUCGUGGUCGAGCAGAUCCUGGCAUGCUUGGCUUCUGUCUCGCCAUAAGACAGGCUUUGAGACUUUGUUGAGCCUUUGCAUUCCUUUGAUUCUUCGCGGAUUGGGAUUCUGCUCUCCUUCUCGUGGCCGAGCAGAUCCUGGCAUGCUUGGCUUCUGUCUCGCCAUAAGACAAGCUUUGAGACUUUGUCGAGCCUUUGCAUGCCUUGGGUUCUUCGAGCAUUGGGAUUCUGCUCGCCUUCUCGUGGCCGAGCAGAUCCUGGCAUGCUUGGCUUCUGUCUCGCAAUAAGACAGGCUUUGAGACUUUGAUGAGCCUUUGCAUGCCUUUGAUUCUUCCAGGAUUGGGAUGCUGCUCUCCUUCUCGUGGGCGAGCAGAUCCUGGCAUGCUUGGCUUCUGUCUCGCCAUAAGACAGGCUUUGAGACUUUAUGAGCCUUUGCAUGCCUUAUUAGUAAACCUUGAUUGGCUUCUCAACGCUAGCCUAACUCUCUUUUCUUAAAUUAUUCUCAUAUUGAGCACAAUCAAUUUAAUGAAUAUCAGAUAUCCUUAUCUCACAUAGCAGAAUUUAGAGAAAUAAUUAAAUUUUCAUAGAAAAAACUGCUAUUAAAUCAAAAUAUAACUUCUGACCUGUUCCGAUUCCUACAGAUGUGUGACCUUUGCAUGCCUUAUUAGUAAACCUUGAUUGGCUUCUCAACGCUAGCCUAGCUCUCUUUUCUUAAAUUAUUCUCAUAUUGAGCACAAUCAAUUUAAUGAAUAUCAGAUAUCCUUAUCUCACAUAGCAGAAUUUAGAGAAAUAAUUAAAUUUUCAUAGAAAAAACUGCUUUUAAAUCAAAAUAUAACUUCUGACCUGUUCCGAUUCCUACAGAUGUGUGCCUUCGAUGUGCUCUUAUUUGAGGUUUUUUCUUGAAAUCCUUAAAUAUGGAUUUGCUCUGCAAAUUGAUCAACUGGGAUUGUGCUCUGGGUUUAGAUCUUGGCUCCUGGGCAGCAUUCUCUCAAGCACAUAUGUAGUAUAUGUAGUGUAAUCAGCAACAAACUCACUUUUGAACUUUCAUAUCCCUUGAGACGAUUUAACGAACAGCUCCUGAUUGAAUUUUAACAAUUCUGCCUCAACUUGUAAUGAACCGAGUUUCAUACCAGAAUUGUCUAAAUACUUUCCUUUAUAUCUUUACAGGUAAGCAUUUCAUCCAGCCUUGAUUGGUUUCCGUGUUUGAGCCAGCUUAUCAAUCGGUGCAUGAUAAUAUUCUGCCUUUGGCUUGGCCAGAUGAAAAAUCGGUAGAGACAAGAAGUUGGCUUUUGUACCGAGUCCCCACAGACGGCGCCAAAAUGUUGAUGCGAGAUUUUGGUUGUCCUCGUUUUACGACCAGGGUCUCUGCUCGAUCAACUUCACCUCGACCAGGACCUCUCCUCGUAAAGCUUCUUCUCCAGAGGUUCCCUUUUGUUGAUGCGAGAUUCCGGUUCUCCUCGUUCUACGACCAGGAUCUCUGCUCGAUCAACUUCAUCACGACCAGGGGGUCUCCUCGCAAGGCUUCUUCUCCAGAGGUUUCUGCGCACACAGACAGGUCAGAGUACGCCGGUUAUUUUCCCGGCGCAAACCCUCCGACGCUCAAGUCAGAUAUGAAGGUUCGGGGAACGCUUGCCACAAAUCUUAUGGCUGUUAGGUUCUUUUCUCUCUUUUAGAAUUUCUUUUCUAAUCUCAAAAAUGCUAACCCCUUUACCUUCGUUGGCUACCUUUUUAUAGGCUUCCUCUGAAUCCCAGUUUUCCGCUUUUUUCGAGACGGUAUAGGACUCUGACUGCUGCGUUAUGGGCAAGUGUGGGAUCUUGCGUGUUACGCCACGGUUCUGGGGAAAGCGUGGCUGUCGUGCCUAGAUUCUCGGGCUGGAGAGCGUGUCUUGCCAACUGCCGUCGACCGGGUCUCCUCGCCUCUCGACCUCUAGCCGGAAUGGCCUUAUGCCUCUUACAGGAAAUUUGCCUCGCGGAUGACGUGCUCGUGGACGAGCAGGAUAUUUCUGCUCCUGUUCCCCCGCGCACCAGGCUUUUACGGAACACACCGGUUCGCAGAACUCUGCCAUCAGAUAUCUGCUCACCAUGCCUGGUCUCGUCGACGUAUUUCUCCCAAACAGUAGGUAUUUGCUUUUCAUCAAAAGAAUUUUCAUAAGGCAAAUCAACUAAAUGUUGUUUUCUGUUCCAAAAAGCAGAUGGUAGAUCCGCGCAUAUUUCUUUUUCAAUGAGGUCUUUAAAAUCAGAGAUUUUUCUUUUUACAAAUUCAUUUUGUAAUUGGUUUUCAAUUCUUUGUAAACUCAAAUCCUUUUUUAAACAAAUCAUAUCAUUUUGUUUUGAUUUGAAGAGUGUAUUGAUUUGGUUCUGGUAAACAGAACAAGCUUUAACUAUAUUCAAAUUUCUUGUUUUAAGUUUCUCAAUAAAAGGAAAAACAAGUUUUUUGGUUUUUGCUUUAAAGGAUAUACUAUCAUAGUUGACAGUAUAAGGAGUAAUGAGAUUUAUAAAGGGGGUUCCUAAAAUGACAGUAUGGUGUAUGUCAUUUGUAAGAAUGAAUGAAGUCUUGAAUUCAAAAUUAUUGUUAUGAAUAGAGGCUUCAACUUUAGAUUUAACAUUAAGUUUUGAAUUAUUAGCGGCAGAAAGUCUUUCAUUCGUUUGUUCAUGAAACCUUCUAGGGACAAUAUCUUCUUUUAUGCAAUUUAAAUCAACACCAGUGUCAAAAAGGGCAAUGGUGUCAAUUUCAAAAUCUUUGAAAAAAAUCAAGGUAAUUUUAAUCAAAUACUUUCUCGUGGUGAUUUGCUUUAAAACAAACAGAAAAUCAUUGGGUAUAGAUUCAAUGUUUUCUAGGCUUUGUUCUUCAUUAUCACCAUCAUUUGAUUCUUUAUCAGAAUUAUCUUGUAAUUGUUUUUGUAAGAAGAGUUGGAUGGUUUCAGAAUCAUUCUUUUGUUUUUCUUUUAAUUCCUUUAUCUCAAGUUUGAUUUCUUUAAUCUCUCUUUGAAGGUCUUGGAUAUUGGGAACUGUUUUCUUUGUUUUCUUUUUUUCCAAGAUAUCAGUUAGGUCAUAAGUAUUCUUUUUAAUGGUAGGGGCUUUAGAAGUUUCUAUUUUAUCUCUUAAUUUUAAGGUUUUUAAAAGCUUAUCUAGAUACUCUUUUUGAAGAGUAGGGUCAGAAAUGUGUUUAACUAGCUCAAGGAAAGUUUCUUGUUCUUUGGUUAACAUAUUGAGUUUUUUUGUUUUUAAAUAGGAUUCUGUGUCAGAAUCACUAUCACUAGAUACAGAUGUGUCUGAGUUAAUUAACUCAUCAACCUGUAGAGGCUCACUAUUUCCUGACAUGGAAAACUCAGAGUCAGAGGACUCUACAAGCAAAGAGGCCACUUUAGAGAAAAUCUCUUCACCUAGGUCAAGUUCAUGGAGCUUUCUGCUCAUUCUACAGAAUUUUGCUAUGGUAUCUUUCUUUUUAGUGAAAUUAGGUUUCCUAUAAGGCUUCGAUGGUUUUCUAUAGGAAGGUUCUCUAAACUCGUGGAAAGGCUUCCUAUGGCUUUUAGACUUGUAAUGUUUCUUGUAAGGUUUCGAAGAACACUUACCAUUACAAUCUCUAGAAGUGGAGGCUUUAAAAGGGUCAUAGUUAAACUGUUUACAGAAACUACCUAGUUCUUGCUUAGACUGUCUAAGCUCCCAUUUUAAUCGUUUCUGUAAUUUCAAGUCCUGACAAAUCUUUAAUCCUUCUUUGUUUAUGAAACUGACAAGUUCACCGUAGGUGAGCUCAUCGUAGGGAAUACGGUUGUCAUAAAGGGCUUUAAUAGAAUUUCUAACCUUUUCUCCUAAUAGAAUAGGUAAACCUGCAAGGAAUUUUUCCUUCCAAGUUAUAUGAUUUGCAUCAUCCCUAAGGAAAAGUCUGGUAAAUAAUGUAGUUUUGUAGCUUUGGAAUUCACUAAGCUUCCUACAUCUCAGGUUGUGUAGUAACUCAGCGUUCUUGUCCCUAAGGUGUGAAAGAUAACCUAUGAAAUGAAGGGAUAUAGUCAGAAUCAGGGUAGCAACAGCAUCCUGAAUAGGACUAUUAAAUUCAUCACAGAUGGGUGCUCUAUUUUCAUCUGUCUGAAUGGCAUGAUGAAUGUCUAAUUGUUGUUGUUUGGUGAGAAGAUGAUCCCACCAACCUUUUAGUUGACCAGUAAAACCAGCAAUGAGAAUUUCUGCAAUGGCUUUGUCAGAAGUUCCCGACUGAGUUUUAUAAGCAUUAGCUGCCAUGGUCAUCUAUUGCAACAGUCCUAAGAUGCUGUAUUCAGACAUACCAUCAAUGUUCCACUCAUAAACAGAGGAUGCAUUAAAGCGAGAUUGGUUUAAUGCACUAGGUCUGUUGUCUAUGGCUAAGUCAGGUGGAGACUUGACGGUAGGAAGGGCUAAUUCCCAAUGAAUUUUAUUGGCUUUAGGAACAGGUUCUUCUUUAAAAGCUUCUAUAUCAGAAGAGGCUAUAGACAUAUUGUCUUAUUCUAGUACACCAAUUUUACUAGAUUGGGCAAUAUCAGGAGCUAUUUGGAUUUUACUAGACGAGGAAGAAGAAGCUUCGAUCCUAUCUAGUUGUUCUCUAAUGGCUUUAGCAAAAUUUGAUUUUGACUCCUGGACGAGCUUUUGGCUAGUUUUCAAAACCUGAAAAGGUUUGAAAAUAGGUUCCUUAAGCUUUUUGUCAGAAUCUGAUUUUGAAGUAACAGGAGAAACAGUUACGGUUGACUUCUGGAAUUGGUUUUCUAUCCUAGUCAACUGUUUUCCUAGUGUAUUUAGGUUAACAUUAUAGAAAUUAUUCUGUUGAAUAAUGCUGCCUAAAUUUGUCUCUGGAUCAUUUGGUUUAUGGAUUUUAUAGGGUGAAGCUUUAAUCUCAACAUGAGGCACACCAUGGUCAAUGGUCAAACUCUUAAGAGGUGGAUGUUCAGAUUCUAUAGUUCUGUCACUGUCAGAAAGAUUCCACUCAGUGAUCUUUUUUCUAACUGUGAUCGGGUUAGUUUAUUUAAAGGGAUAUGUAAUGUUAUGAUCAGAAGCAUACAUAUCAAACCAAUCAAAAAACAAUAUACGAACUUUAUGUAGAUUUACAAAUUGAUAAUAAGUUUCUUGUAUUUCUUUUCUCUGGUUUAAGAAAUUCUUGAAAAACCAAAGUCUUUUUUCUUUGUUAUUAUCAGAAUAAAAAUCUGUAUGAAGAAGGGUUUUAUUUAGCUCAAAUUCUUUUUCGAGGACAUUUAUUACAUUUUCCGUGACAGCGGAGAAUGUAGGAGAAGUUGGAGGAGAAGGUUCCUUCUCUUCCUGGCUUUGUUCAUGUUGACGGCUAGUGUAAAUGGGGUGUGGAACACUAGUAGUAUAGUCAACAGAAUGUAUAGAAGAACUAGGUCUAUCCGAAGUGGAAAACCUAGGUUGACUUUUUACUGGUUGGAAAGGGAGAUUGAUAAAGGAAGGAAUCUUUGUAAAUUUCCUUUCCAAUGAAGGAAUACUUGAGCAUGAAUCCUUAUUAGAGAAUCUAGAAGAUGUAGAUCUCCUAAAGGACAGUUUAACUUUCCCAUCAGAAUACCGAGUCACAUUCUGUAACUUUGUAUUAGGCUCAAGUUGUUUUGGAAUCACUGGUGCAGUGGCUCCUUCAAGAAUCCAUUCGUCUGGAAGAUUGACAUGUUUCUAUUGGAUUGGUUUUGGAAUAACGGUGUUGGCUUUAGAGAGGUCAGUCUGCAAGAGAAGAGUCUCAUCUCUUUUCGACUGAAAUUUAUGUUGCGUACUAAACGCAUAAAUCAUAGCUUUGUAUGAAAUUUAAAAAUUAAGGCAACUGGGACAGAUCCCUCAAUCAUGUGAUAAUUAUGGGUCUUGAUUUGCAAGAUCAUGCUUUUUAGAAUGUUUUUGUCUUUUAGAGAAAUUGUUAUGUUCGGAUUAUAGUUGAAUGAGAUGGGACCUUUACAAAGACUUGAUUCUAUAUUACUUAGUAAAGAAUCAUCAAAAGAGAUGAAUCGCCCAUCUCUUAAGACAGCAAGGAUAAAGAUAUUAAGACCUUCUUUUGUUAAGGGUUUUAUACCAACUUGUAUUAAGCCGAUGUGAACAUAACUAAAAUUUUUAUCUUUUAAUUUCUUUAAAGAGUGUUCUGAAAAUAGGUGAAUAGUUUCAAAUGGUUUUGAAAGGGUUAUAUCACGUUCUUCAGUUUUUAUAACAUAAUCAUUCUUUAAAAAAUCAAGCUUUUUUGUUUUAUAAAUCAUUUCUUUAGAUAUCUUUGGUAAAUCCCAAUUAUCAAUUACUUUAUUAAAGUCUUCAAUUACAAAUUCUUCCGAAUUCACAACAUUCUUUGAAUCACUAGUUUUUCCAGAAGAAGAACUAGAAAAGGACGAUGCUCUACAGAGUAGAGAAUCCAUGGGUAAAAACCUAUAUUCUAGUUUUAGUCCUGUAGGUAUGGUUACAAUCCAAGGCUAAGAAUUGGUUUUACUGCCCUUCAACCAAAUCGGGACUUACGACCAAAUGCUACCAAGGUACCCAGAGGUAAACACUCACCAUACAAACAAUAUUCAACUAAAACACAAGUCUUUAUAAACACAGAGUCUCUAUUCUAUAUAACACUAUCCUCCCCAUGGCUCUGAUACCAGUACAACCAAGUUUUUGUAUGAAAUAUAUAUGUAUAUGUGUGUGUGUUUGUGUAUGUGUGUGUGUGAUGGGAGUUGCUCUACCUUCUGAUGCAUCGCAAUGGGAAUUUAGCUGGUUUUAAUUCUCUCUCUUGGCUGCUUAUGCUUCUUUAAUUUAACAUUUUGAAAUGUAUUUAUUAUGCUAGAGUUUCAACUAAGUAUCCAUUUACUGGAAUUUUCCACUUUUCGAAAAAUGUUAAUUUUGCCUUAUUUAUUCAAUAUUAUUAUCUUCCUAUGUGAAAUUUGCAAACAUUUUAUGCUUUGGUUGGUUAUUCAAUGUGGGUUUGUUGCGUUUUGUUCUUAUACUGUUUUUAUAUAUGAGAGGUUUGUUUUUUGAAGAUGGGUUUCAGUCAAUUGUCUUUAAAGCUUUAUUUCCUAAAAGAGGAAAAAAAAUACCAAAAUAUUUAAUUCUACUGUUACAUGUUUGUGUUCUUAGGUUCUACUAUGCUUUGUAUAUUUCUUAAUGCUAGAAAGAUAUGUUCUUUUCUAAUAUGAUUGUUUAGGAUGAAUAUGAGUUCGUUAUCGAGUUGUAAUAUAUCAAAUAAAUUGAAGACAACUUGCUUCAUAGGUUUUGAUUCUAUUAAUUGUUUUUAUUUCAAGUAUGACAUGAUUGCAUGGGUGUUUGAUGAGGCUAAUAGUGAUUUCUCAGGGUUGACGCUAUGAGUUUCUUUUAUUUAGGUGUGGGCAAAAAAAUCGUGCACUAGAGAAAACCGAACCGAACCGAUCCAAAUUGUUCCGUUCGAAUCAGUUUUAAUUUUAAAAAAUGACCAAAUUAUAUGGUUUGUAAAAAAAAUCGAAAUGCAGGUUCGGUAUUCGGUUCACUCAGCUGAACCGAAAAACCGGGUUGUUCUUGGAAUUUUAUUUAAAUAGAAACGUGUUAAAUUUUAAUUGGUUGCGUAAGAUAACUAAAAUAGGCAUGCACACACACGAUUACGGGUAUAUAUAUAUUUAAAAAUUGUUGUUGGUGUUUGUUUCCAAAUUUUCUUUUUAUUUUGUGUUGUAAGUUUUAAUUGUUGUUAUUUUUAUUUGUCUUUACAACAUUAUGUUUAUGUAGAUGGAAUAUUGGAGUUUGAUUAUGUAUUUUAAAUCUUAAUAUUUCAUAUUUUGUAAGUACCUUAUUAGUAGUUAGUAAGAUAUUAGUGAUAAAAUGUGUUUUGAAUACUUUGUAUUUAUUGUUAAUAUUUGUAAUGAAAUUAGGAUAAAUUAAUUGUUGAAAAAAAUUAUUACAUUAUGAGGCCUAAUGGGCUAAAAAUUUAGAAAUUCAAAAUAGGCCCAUUAGGCCCAAAACUAAAAAAACCGAACUGAACCGUACCAAUCCGAAAAGAUCCGUUUAUAUUCUGUUUUUAUCAAGUUCGGUUCUUAUUUAGUUCUUUUUAUAAAAUAACGGAUUUAAAUCGGUUCUGCUUAAUUUCGAUCCGAACCGAACUGGACCGAACUGUGCCCACCCCUACUUUUAUUGUUGUCUAGUAUCGAAACUUGAAAACAAAAUUUAAAGAUAAUGCUUACGAUAUGAACACAAAUGUUUGUAACAGUAGCUUGAACAAAAUAGAAGGAAAUUUGUUGACUGGAAUGAUUCAUAAAGCUAAAUCAGUUUUUUUGUUGCUAUUUUUUAGGACUAUGACCACUUCUUCAUGCUAUUUUCCUGCACUUAGUUAUUAUGCUCAAAUGUAGCAGAUUUUUCUGCACUUUAGUUUUCAUUAUGUUGUAUAAAUAGAUGAUUUUGUUGCUCAAUCAAAUAUAACUCAGCAGUCUACAAACCAGCCUUCUCUCAUUAUCUUUAUAUCCAACGUAAUGGUAUCAGAGCUAUAAUUUUUAGGGACAUGUGAGAUUGAGAAAGUUUGAACACAAUUCCUAAACAAUUAUCACCUAUCUUCCCAAAAACACAAAACCUUUCCAGAAUGAAUUCAAAAAGUCCAUUCACUGCAAUUGCACCUCUAGUGUUUGAUGGAAUAAAUUAUCAAGCGUGAGCUGUUAGAAUGAAGGCUUAUCUUGAUGCUAAUGAUCAGUGGGAAGUUGUUGAACAAAUAUAUGAAGUUCCACCCCUGCCAGACAAUCUAACUCUUGCACAAAUUAGAAAUAAAAAAGAGAUGAAGUAAAGAAAAUCAAAAGCAAAAGCAACAUUGUUUGCAGCAGUCUCAUCCACCAUUUUUUCCAGAAUAAUGACGCUCAAAACAGCCAAGGAAAUUUGGGAUUUUUUGAAGCAAGAAUACGAAGGAAAUAAAAGGGUCAAAGGGAUGCAAGUGUUGAAUUUGAUCCUAGAAUUUGAGAUGCAAAAGAUGAAAGAAUUACAAAACAAUUCAGGAAUAUUAUGACAGACUUUUUAAGAUUUUCAACAAGGUAAGACUCAUUGGCACUGAUUUUUCUGAUUCUAGAGUUGUUUAAAAAAUCCUAGUCACAAUUCCUGAAAAGUUUGAGGCUACAAUUUCAUCUUUGGAAAACUCAAGCGAUCUAUCAAGUAUUACCUUAGCAGAAUUGUUGAAUGCACAGCAGGCACUGAAGCAAAGGAGGCUUAUGAGACAAGAAGGAUCUCUGGAGGGUGUUUUUCAAGCCAAAUCACAAAACAACAAAGGUGGCAAAAAUAAGAAAAAACAGAACAAAGACAACAAGCUUGGAGGUUCUGCAAGCAGUAAUAAAAAUAGCCAAAGUAGCAACACUCAAGUCUUUCCACCUUGCCCUUACUACAAAAAAAUCAAUCAUCCACAAAAUAAGUGUUGGUGGAGGCCAGAUGCAAAAUGUCACAAGUGUGGUCAGUUAAGGCACGUGGAAAGGAUAUGUACAACUCAACAACAGCAAAGAGAAGCCAAGGCUAUUGAGGAUCAACCCCAAGAGGAACAGCUGUUUGUGGUAUCGUGUUUUGCCACCAACAGCUCCACAGAGAAUUGGCUUAUAAAUAGUGGUUGUACAAACUACAUGACUUAUGAUCCAUAGCUCUUCAGAGAGUUGGACGCGACUACUAUUUCCAAAGUCAGAAUUGGAAAUAGGGCACACAUUGCAAUAAAAGGCAAAAGAACAGUAGCGAUUGAAGGCCAUACAGGUCUGAAAUUGAUUUAUAAUGUUUUAUAUGUUCUUAAAAUUAAUCAAAAUCUUUUGAGUGUUACUCAGUUGUUAGAAAAAGGCUAUAAGGUGUUGUUUGAAGACAAGAACUGUAUGAUCAAAGAUGCAAAAGACAGAGAAGUAUUCAAAGUUCAAAUGAAAGGCAAAAGCUUUUCUUUGGAUUUGAUGAAAGAAGAGCAGGCUUUUGUACACAGAGAAGAUAGCAAUACAUUGAUUUGGCAUAAGAGGUUGGGGCAUUUUCAUCAUAUUACUCUACUGUACAUGAAAAAGAACAAUCUAGUCAAAGACUUGCCUGAAUUAAAGGAUGAGUCUUCUAGAUGUGUUGCCUGUCAGUAUGGAAAGCAAACUAGGAUUCUGUUUCAACAAAAUAAGGCCUGGAGGGCUAUACAGAGGUUGCAAUUAAUACACACAGAUGUGGGAGGACCAAUGAAAACACCAUCUUUGAAUAACAGUAAGUAUUAUAUUGUUUUCAUUGAUGAUUACUCAAGAAUGUGCUGGAUUUAUUUUAUGAAGCUUAAAUCUAAGGUUGCUGACAUCCUUGUGAAGUUUAAAGCUUGGGUUGAAACUCAAAGCAGAUGCAAAAUAUAGGUGAUUAGGUCUGAUAAUGGAACAUAAUAUACCUUUGAAAAAUUUAACAAGUUUUAUGAAGAUGCAAGCAUUGAACAUGAACUGACAGCAUCUUACACUCCUCAGCAAAAUGGUGUUGUGGAGAGGAAAAACAAGACAAUAAUAAAGAUGGCAAGAUGCUUACUUCAUGACAAAGGGCUGCCGAAGAAAUUUUGGUCUGAGGUCGUAAACACUGCAGUUUUUUUAUUGAACAAAUUGCCAAUAAAAAUGUUACAGAAAAAACUCCAUUUGAAGCAUGGUAUGGCUACAAACCAAAGCUGCUUAAUAUAAAGAUAUUUGAUUGUCUAUGUUUCUCUUACAUCCCUAAAGUUAAGAGAGACAAAUUAGACAAAAAAACAAAACCUGGGAUUUUUGUAGGCUAUAGCUCAACCUCAAAAGCCUACAGGAUUUACUUACUACAAAGCAACAAAGUAAUUGUCAGCAUGGAUGUUUAAUUCUUUGAGUUAGAUAACUGGAGUUGGGAAAAUGACAAGAAGCUUAAGGUCGAUAAGGAGAAUGAUGAUACGGACAAUGAAGAUGUUAGAGGAACCAGAUCACUCUCUGACAUCUAUCAGAGGUGUAAUAUUGUUGUAAUGGAGCCUGCAUGAUAUGAAGAAGCUGCAAAUGAUCAGAAGUGGAUAGCUACAAUGAAGGACAAGCUAAAGAUGAUUGAAAAGAAUCAGACAUGGGAGUUGGUAGACAGACCUGAACACAAGAAAGCUAUAGGAGUCAAGUGGGUUUAUAGGACCAAGCUCAAUCCUGAUGGUUCUGUAAACAAGCACAAGGCAAGCCUUAUUUUUAAAGGAUAUGCCCAGAUGUUUGGGGUAGAUUUUUUUGAAACUUUUGCCCCUAUUGCCAGGUUAGAUACCAUAAGGAUGUUGCUAGCUCUUGCUGCACAACAAGGUUGGGUUAUACACCAAAUGGAUGUCAAAUCAGCCUUUUUGAAUGGAUACUUGGAGGAAGAAAUUUUUGUGGAGCAACUUGAAGGGUUUGUUUUUCCAGGACAAGAGGAGAAGGUAUAUCGACUGAAAAAAGCCAUGUACGAUUUUAAAAAGGCACCAAGGUCCUGAUAUAGCAAAAUUGACACAUACUUAACAAACUUAGGCUUCGAAAAAAGUCUAAGUGAAUCUAGUUUAUAUAUCAAGAAGGCGGAUAAUAAAAUACAUGUGGUAUCUCUGUAUGUUGAUGAUCUACUCGUUACAAGAAGUAGCAAGGAGUUGAUUGACAGGUUUAAAGAAGAAAUGAAAGAUGUCUUUCAAAUGACAGACCUUGGGAGGAUGACAUUCUUCCUUGGUAUGCAGGUACAUCAAAAGGAAAAUGAAAUAUUUCUAUGCCAGUAAAAAUAUGCAAAGGAAGUUCUCAAGAAAUUUAACAUGGAAGAGUGCAAGCCAACUGCAACUCCAAUGAAUCAAAAGGAGAAGUUUUGCAAAGAAGAUGGAGUUGAAAAGGUGGAUGAAAGGUUGUACAGGAGCCUAAUAGGCUGCCUAAUGUAUUUAACUGAACCAGACUAGAUAUCAUGCAUGCAGUGAGUUUGCUAUCAAGGUAUUGCACUGUGCCAGUGAAAUUCAUUUUCAGGCAGCAAAAAGAAUUCUUAGAUAUGUUAAGGGCACAAUUGGUUAUGGAAUAAGGUUUAAUCAAGUUAAAAACUUCAAUCUUCAUGGAUAUUCUAAUAGUGAUUGGGCUGGAUGUGUUGAUGACAUGAGAAGCACCUCACGUUACUAUUUUAGCUUUGGUUCUGAAAUUGUUUCUGGAAUUGUUUCAUGGUGUUCUAAGAAGCAAGAAGUCAUAGCUCAAUCCACAGUAGAAGCAGAAUAUGUAGCUGUUGUUGCUGCUGCUGUGAAUCAAGCUCUUUGGAUCAGGAAACUUAUGAUAGAUUUGCAUAUGGAACAACAAGUAGGCACACAAAUAUUUGUGGACAACUAAGCUGCAAUUUCAAUUGCUAAUAAUCUAGUGUUCCAUGGCAAAACAAAACACUUCAAGAUAAAACUUUAUUUUCUAAGAGAGGUACAAAGAGAAGGAGAAGUGCAACUGAUCUACUGCAAAACAGAAAAUCAAAGUGCUGACAUCUUAACAAAAGCACUUCCAAAGAUUAGAUAUGAAUUCUUGAGGCAAAAGUUUGGUGUAUGCAGCUCCAGAUUCAAGGAGGAGAAUCUUGACUGGAAUGACUCAUGAAGCUAAAUCAAUUUUUUUGUUGCUAUUGUUUAGGAUUAUGAUCACUUCUUCAUGUUAUUUUCCUACACGUAGUUAUUAUGCUCAAAUGUAGCAGAUUUUUUUGCACUUUAGUUUUCAUUAUGUUGUAUAAAUAGAUGAUUUUGUUGCUCAAUAAAAUAUAACUCAGCAGUCUACAAACCAGCCUUCUCUCAUUAUCUUUAUAUCCAACAAAAUCGAUAAGAAUAUGUUAAUUCUAGGAAAUCUAGACCUCCAAAAUAGUAUUGGUUAUUUGAUAAACCAAUAAACUCCCAAAAGACAACUUACAACUCGCGAGAAUAGUAAUACUCAAGACACUCUUUUAUUGAAUAACAUCAAGUUUUAAAUAAAACUUUAGUUCAAAGUAACAAGCAUAAAAAUAGCAAGCGUUAAGCAUGUUCUCCAUCAUGCUCCAUGAAUCCACAAAAUAAGGAACCAACUAAAAACUUAAUUUUGACUUAUUAAAAACCAACUACUGUCAAAAUAUAAAGUAAAUAAUUAAAAGAAAAUUAUAAUGGAAAGAUUGUAACAGUUUUUCUAAUUUUCUAGUAUGGUGUUUACUCUAAUGGAUGGGCGGUGGCUCAUAUUGUUAAAUUCUGGAUUAGGCAAUUUACUGGCAUGCGAACUAAUUUGUAAUUUAGUUAUAAGUUGUGUGAACCAUAAAAAAACAAAGGGUAAAGUCAGUGGUAAUAUUAUCAGAAUAUUGGAAUUGUUCUAAAAGAUUUUGAAUAAACUGGCAACGAGUAAACUAUAAUAUUGGAACUUGAGUGGGUGAAUUAUUCUCAGUUUUGUUUGUUGAGGAACACAACAGAGCGUUCAUAAUUCCUCUGUUGUUUACGAUUGAUCUAUUUCUUUUUUUCCUUUGACGGGGUAGUGCUCUUUGUCCACCUUUCAAAAGUUUUUUUAGAGGAACUGUACCUGAAAUGUUUUGUUGUUUCUUAGAAAAGGGUUUUUCCCAUACAGUGACUUUGAAGUGGAUUAUGAGUCCAAUGAGAAUGCAUCAAUUGUGUAUGCAGCAUUAGCUAUUGAUAAGGAGAUGAUGCAUCAUGAUCCUAAGAUCAUACCUUGCUCCUUUAACUUUGUUGCUUCUUCAAUAAAUUCUAACUUGGAUUCAAUUUCCCAAUACAGUUGCAACUAGACAAAGUGAAAAGGCAGAUAUAUGUCGUUAAUGGGAAACUUUUAGUGUAAGUUUCUAUUCUUUGAUCAUUCAUGGUUGGAAGACUCAUUACAUAACUGAUUUUUCAUUCUUGUCCAAUAUUCAUUCAAUUUGCACCUACCAGUUUAUCCUGUGAGACAAUAUUCAUUUGGAAAUUUUGUGUGGCCUGUUUAAUAAUCAUUUUUUCCUCUUUUCCUACCAAAUUUUCAAAUAUGUUACUUAAGGAGAGUCCUUCCUCUAAAAUACCAUUUUUCUUUAGUCUAUCAAUUUUUCCUAGACUUUGUGGUUUAGAAGUUUCUUCAUUUUGUUUAUUUUCUCGUCUCAUUCAGGCACUUUGAGGCAGUUGAGGCUAGGUUUCUUCGUGCAUCAUUUUCUACUUUUGGAUUAGUUGACGUUUUUGUAACAAGAGAAUCUAUAGUGUUAGUUUUACAAUUAAAAUAUUAAAAUAUUGGAAAGCUGUAACAAAUUCUUCAAAGCUGUGAAUUAUAUUUUGAAAGAAUUAGCAAGGCUGACAUUGAGCAACAAUUUUCUGCAUACGUUUUAUCUUGGGUAGAAUCACCAAAAGUAGAUGCAUCUUUAAAUCUAGAAUAAAAGCAGGUUUGACUUGUAUUAUAAUAAAUUCAAAUGGGGUGUCACGACUGCUUCCAUCGCUAGGAAAACUUGCUUAGAAAAUAUGGAGAUUAAUGAAUGCUUUGGCAGUUCUUGAUGGCAUCAAAAUGGCAGUUGAUUCUGGACUGCACCCACCAUUAAUUGUUGAAUCUGACUAUUUUAAUGCAAUGAAAUCAAUCUUAAAGAAGAGAAUUAGGAUGGAUGAUCAAAGGUGACAACAUAUAUCAAGGCAUAAAUUAUGUAUCAUAGAUGUAUAUAUAUUGUAAUUAGGAGUAUCUGUAAUUUCCUUAUGUCGAUAGAUCUAAUUACUAGAAAUUAGACUAGAUUUGGUUGAUGUAAUAGCUGAAAAUCAGCCUUGUAAAUCUCUACAAUUUCUAUAUAAUGAUAGGAACUCUCACAAUGAGAGAUAUUUAAUCCAAUUGAUAUGGUAUCAGAGCCAUAAUUCAAAAUUUUAGAAAACAUUCUUGUGAGUCUAAGAUCUUAGUUUUGGGUAGAUUUCUGGUAUUUUUUGUGAACUCUUAGGUUAGUUGAUUUGCUUUACUUCUUGUUACAUUUGGUGAGUUGCGGGUAACAUGUCAACUAGCAACAUGGAAAAUUUUGGUGUGCGUUUCACAGGUAAGAAUUAUUCUACCUGGGAAUUUCAGUUUCGAUUAUUUAUCAUGGGAAAGGAACUCUGGGGUCACAUCGAUGGUAGUGAUCUAGCUCCUACUGACCCUCCUAAAUUGGCUCAGUGGCAAGUCAAAGAUGCUAGAGUCAUGAUGUGGAUUAUGGGAUCAAUUGAUCAGUCACUCGUUCUCAAUCUGAAGCCAUAUAAAACAGCUAAAGACAUGUGGGAGUAUUUGAAAAAGGUUUAUAAUCAAGACAAUACAACCAAACGUUUUCAUUUAGAGUACGAGAUUGCUAGGUACUCUCAAGCUGAUCUCUCCAUUCAAGAUUAUUUAUUCGGAUUUCAGAAUUUAUGGGCAGAAUAUGUUGACAUGAUUUAUGUCCAAGUACCAGUUGAAUCUCUGGCUGAUGUUCAAAAAGUGCAUGAACAGAGCAAGCGAGAUCAGUUUUUGAUGAAACUACGUCUUGAAUAUGAGGCACCCCGCUCCAAUCUGAUGAAUCGUGAUCUUUCUCCUUCUUUAGAUGUGUGCUUUAAAGAAUUACUUCGUGAAGAGCAACGUCUUGCAACACAAACUAUUCUCCAGCAAAAUAAAAUGCAUGAUAAUGCAAUUGCUUAUGCUGCAGCUCAUGGGAAAAGUAAGGGGAGACAUGCGACAAGUUCAAUUCAUUAGCUGUAAGGAAUACAGAUAUAUUGUUGUUAACUGUGCAAAGAAAUUUUGCAACUAUUGUAAGAAGUCUGGGCAUAUUAUCAAAGAAUGUCCUAUUCGUCCCCAAAAUUGUCAAGCUAGUCAGGCCGUUGUUGUUAGUUAGGCCGUUGUUGCUAAUCAGGCUGUUGAUGGUUCAACAAUUGUUGAUAAAUCAGUUCUUACUCUAGAAAUGGUUCAGCAGAUGAUAAUUACAGCCUUUUUAGCCUUAGGGCUUCAAGGUAAACGCACUCUACCAUCUUUCUCUUGGCUUGUUAAUUCUGGUGCAUCCAAUCAUAUGACUAAUUCCAGCGACACUCUUAGCAAUGUUCAAAAAUUUUAUGGAAACAUUCAGAUUGCUAAUGGUAGUAAGUUACCUAUUCAUGCUAUUCGGGACAUCAGUUUUUCCAUUAAAGAUGUUCUUGUAUCUCAUCAGCUUUCUACUAAUCUUAUUUCAGUAGGACAAUUGGUUGAUAAUAACUGUGAUGUUUAAUUUUCCUGUGAUGGUUGUAUUGUGCAGGAUUAGGUGUCGAGGAAGAUACUAGCGAAGGGGCCUAAAGUUGGACGUUUGUUUCCUUUGUACUUUUCUGUUUCUAAUUUCGUUUCUUUGGCUAGUAUUGCGGUAAAUCAAAAGAGUGAAAUAUGGCACAAACAUUUAGGCUAUCCUAAUUCUGUUGUCCUAUCUCAUUUAAUAAAUUUAGGUUUCUUCUACGGACAAUCAGCCCUCAAACACUACUGUUCGCUGCUCUUCCAGAAUCAUCUGACCACCUAAUCGGUAUGGAUUUCACACAUCUCUUCAUACUACUUUGACCAGUGUUUCUAUUCUUUCAUGUUAUUCAGAAGCUGCUAAAUAUGAUUGUUGGCGUAAGGCUAUGGAAAAAGAACUUCAAGCUCUUGAGGACAAUCACACAUGGGUUGUAAUGUUAAACCUAUUGGUUGUAAAUGGGUCUACUCAAUCAAGCUUCAUUCAGAUUGGUUCUCUAGAUCGCUAUAAGGCACGACUAGUUGUCCUUGGUAAUAAACAAGAGUAUGGGGUCAAUUAUGAAGAGACUUUUGCUCCGGUUGCCAAAAUGACUACAGUCCGUACAAUUAUUUCGAUUGCUGCCUCACAAGGCUGGCCACUUCAUCAAAUGGAUGUUAAAAAUGCUUUUCUUUACGGUGAUCUCAAAGAGGAGAUUUACAUGGUUUUACCACAUAGCUUGCCUUCCUCUUCUUCUUUAGAUGUCUGUAAGUUGAAGCGAUCGCUCUGUGGGUUAAAGCAAGCUCCCCGGGCUUGGUUUGAUAAAUUCCGAUCCACCUUGCUUCAAUUCUUGUUUAAGCAAAGCCAAUAUGACUCAUCAUUGUUUCUUUGCAAGACAGCUACUAGUAUUGUUCUUCUCCUAGUUUAUGUUGAUGCUAUUGUUAUUAUUGGGACAGAUUCUGCCUUAAUUGCUCGGUUGCAACAACAUCUUCAAGCCUCAUUUCAUAUGAAGGAUCUUGGUCCUCUUACUUAUUUCUUAGGUUUGAAAGUUCAUUAUGAUUCUUCGGAGAUUUCUUUGAAUCAACAUAAAUACACACAAGAUUUGCUUAAAUUAAUUGGUCUUCAUAAUGCCUCUUCUAUGGAUACUCCACUAGAAGUCAACACAAAGUAUAGUAGUAAGGAAGGUAAACUCAUUUCUGAUCCUACUAUCUAUCGACAAUUGGUGGGAAGCUUGAAUUAUUUGACUAUUACGAGGUCGAAUAUUUCCUUUGCUGUCCAGCAAGUAAGUCAAUUCAUGCAACAUCCCCAUCAUUUACAUUUAGUUGUUGUUCAUUGUAUCCUUCGAUACCUUCGCAGGACUCCUAGCCGUGGAUUGUUCUUUCCCGCUGGUUCUCUUCCUCAUCUUGUUGCCUAUAGUGACGCUAAUUGGGCUAGCUGUCCGGACAGUUGACGAUCUGUCAUGGGCUGGUGUAUGUUUCUUGGGAAACCCCUGAUUUCUUGGAAAAGUAAGAAGCAAGAUCGUGUUUCUAAAUCUUCAACUGAAUCUGAAUACCGUACUAUGUCUGCUGCUUGUUCAGAGAUUGUUUGGCUUCGUGGACUUCUAGCCGAGCUUGGUUUCUCUCAAUCUAAUCCUACUCCAAUCCUACUCUACUCCAAUCCUACUCCACUCCAUGCUGAUAACACUAGUGCUAUUCAGAUUUGUGUAAACCCGAUUUUCCAUGAGUGUACUAAGCAUAUUGAAGUGGAUUGUCAUUAUAUUCGCGAAGCUUUAGACACUCGUAUUAUUUCUCUUCCUCAUAUUUCCACUACUCUCCAGAGAGCCGAUGUAUUUACCAAGGCUAUGACACGAAAGCGUCAUCAAUUUCUUGUGAGCAAAUUGAUGCUUCUUGAUUGAUCAGCAUCAAUUUUAGGGGGGAUGACAGCAUAUAUCAAGGCAUAAAUUAUGUAUCAUAGCUAUAGAUAUAUUGUAAUUAGGAGUAUCUGUAAUUUCUUUGUUUAGAUAGAUCUAAUCACUAGAAAUUAGCCUAGAUUUGGUUGAUGUAAUAGCUGAAAAUCAGCCUUGUAAAUCUUUACAGUUUCUAUAUAAUGAGAGGAACUCUCACAAGGAGAGAUAUUCAAUCCAAUUGAUAAAAGGAAUGCUCGAUUAUGUAAGAAAAAGAAAAUAAUUUAUAGUUGCAAUACACUCAUCAAUAGUCUCAGGAACCUCUGAUGAUUGAAUUACAAUUUUUUUAAAUCCAUUCCAGAAUUCAAGCAUACCUGUUCAUGCAAGAUACUCAAUGCUCUGCAUCCGAAACUUCAUCGACCUUUGCAUUUAAGGGAUCAUUAACUUUACAAGUCACAGAACCCAAAUGGUCCACAAUAUUGACAGAGCGUUGAUGGCAUAAUAUUUCAAUGUUUCCACCACUUUGCAUAAAUGUGAAGAUGGUUUAUUUUCUCAAUAGAAAAUUGAAAUUAUCAGCAGUAAUUAGAGCAACUCACAUUUGUUUUUUGUCAUCAUUGGUGUACCAUAGUUCAAGAUAUUCAGCCUCUGAGUAUAACAUUGUUCUCAGUUUUUUCAAAUCCUGAAAGUAAAGUCGCUUGAGUUAAAAAAAGACCAAAGUAAAUAUUUCCAUAAGAAUUAAAAUCUAUUGCAAAUUGGUGCUUUUGUAUUUCCAUAAAUGGCUAUCUACCCCAAGGCUUGUUGAAAACUGAGUAUAAUUUGGAAAUUGACACACGAUCCACCGUUUGAAUCAUAUAAACAAGUAUCACAUGAUUAAACAAGAAUUGGCUUUGAAGACAUAUGCCCCUAUUUGCCAAAAUCAUUUUUUUUCUCUUUUUCUUUUCUUAAAAGUGAAUGCUGAGGUGGGUGCAACUUUUAGUAAUAGCUAUUAGUAGCAAAAACAAAGAUUGCACACUGUAAAACAACUGUAAUAGGGAAACUGGUAUAGGCAUCUAAUCCAACAGAUUAAAACAAAAUAGAGAAACAGUAGUACCUUGAGACUAUCAGAGAACAGCAAGCUCUGCUGUCUUUUCUUAAAAGUGAUUGAUUAUGAUGAAACAUUCAGCCUUGUAAUUAAGCCUGCUCUGGUUUGCUUUGUGUUUGACAUUAUUACAAGAUGAUAUUUGCAACAACUUGAUGUGAGCAAUGCCUUUUUACAUGGUUUUAUUGAUCCCACAUAUCCUACUCAGGUUUACAAACUUGAAAAGGCACUCCCCGGCCUUAAGCAAGCCCACGUUCUUGGAAGAACACUGAGCUUCAAAACUUUCUUCUAUCGACGGGGAUUUUUCACUUCACAAUCAGAUUCUUCUUUAUGUAUCUAAUCUUAUGCUGGUGUGCAUGAGAUUAUCUUUGUAGGUAAAUAAACUUUCAUCUGUCGCCACAAUGUAGGGGCAUAUUAGAGAUACUCUCAAAGUCACGGUGUAAUUGUACAAUCUUUUUAUCAUUUGUAUAUUUGACUUUCAUAACUUUAAACUACAAUUGUGCACUUACUAUAAUUAACUAGCUUUAGUUGUGUAUAUAUUGAAAUCAUAUCAAUAGAAACAGUAAGCUGCAUUGUUAUUUCCUUUCUCUAUAUUAUUUAUUGUAUAAACCUAACAACUUUCAGCCCUUUUUUUCCCCAAAUCUGACACUUUUUUUUUUAUAAAUUUAUUUACCCACACCUGUGUCGUUUGUCUCACUUUUUCUUUUUAUUUUCACUUAUUUCGUUACCCAAGCCACACUUUCAUAAACUUUGUCCCGGCCCCGCACUCUACUUUUGUUAGUUUUAUCAAAUGAGCAGCAUUAGCAUCACCAUGUAAUUAUCUUUUCAAACCCCCUUUUGGUAUAUCAGGGAAGCCCAAUAACAAAUACAUCUGCAAAAUAUCUACCAAAGAUAUUUCAACAAGCUGGUCGAGCACUGGACAAGGAAUUCAUCCACAAUUUCUAUUUGUAUUAAUUGACGACCUGUCCGGUGUCCCCUUGCCUACUCAUCAUACAACAAAAAAUUGAAAUUAGGCUAUUUAGGAUUAAAGAUAAGACGGAAUGGAAAUAUGGAAUCGUUAAUUGUUAUACCCAUGACCCAUCUAAUUUGCAAAUGGUUCUUUCUCUUUCAAUAUUAUUGUACGUAUUUGCAAGGAAACCUCCUCUAUCUUUGAUAAGAAGCCACGUAAGUUAAAGAGGACACCUAAGCCUAACAACAAAUAUGAAAGAGUAUGCUUGAGCAUGAAACAUGCAUCAUGUCGAAAUAGCAUAAGAGCAAGUUCAAUCCGGUAAACCGAUUUUUCUUAGCUUCAUCUCUACCUCACAACCGGCCUACCGGUUCUCCAAAACCGGCAAGCCGUUUUCGCGUUAUGGCUCUCAGGUUCACAUCCGGCAAACCGGUUCUCCAAAACCGGCAAGCCGUUUUCGGCUUUCAACUCUCUGACCAAGAACCGGAUUUCCGGAUUUUUUGUUUCCCAAGCGAACCGGCAAGCCGUUUGUGAAAUUGUGACUUGCUGCCCAUUAACCGGCAAGCCGGAUUCGUGGUUUAUGUUGUUGUUCAUCUUCUUCCUCCUCCAUUUGGCAAACUGUUUCUUGUUCUCUCACUAGAAGCCGUUUUCUCCUCUCUUGAUUUCAUUCCAAAAUCCAUCAUUCUCAUUCGUUUUCAAUCCAAAUUGAUUCAUAUAAAUUAUCCACAUCCAUUCUUGUGUCUAAAAUCAUCUUUAAAAUCUAUUUUCAUUAUAAAACUCACAAGUAAUCUUUUAUACUUGUAUUUGGACACACCAACAUUUACUAUUUUUUUUGAAUUAUAUGGAUGUUUGCUAUGAUUUUGAAUUAUAUAAUUCGUCUCACUCUAAGGACUUAAUUUUAGGAGAUCCAUCACAAGAUGUAACUACUAGAUCAUCAUUUAGAAAUAUAUAUAAACAUUUGUAAUAAUGGAUUUGAUCACUUGUUCUUUAGCUCAUUAUGAUGACUUUUCUUAAUAGCUAUGUUGAUUUUGAUGAUCUUAUAUUGCAAUUAUACACUUAUGUUUUGCUUAAGAUUUGAGACAAAGAAUAUGCUUUGAUAAUUACAUGUAUUUGAGGAAGUUUGAUCUUAUGGGAUCUAUGAUUGGUGAAUGGAUGCACUUUUUGUUCUUUAUUGAUGUAUUGUCGAAUAUGCAUUACUUGCUUUAAAUAAUAUCGAAAUGGGAGAAAUACAUAUAUUUCGAGAAUUUUAAGCAUAUAAUGGCAUAUGUUGAUUUUAAUGAUCUAUAUAUUGCUAUUAUGUCCUUAUGCUUAUGGAUAUUUUUUUUUUACUAAUAUGCUUGUAUUGAGGUUUUGAUAAUUAAUAGGGGGAGACAAAUAUGAUAUGUUUUUGGAUAAAAUCAUUUUGGUUAAAUUUUUUAAUUGGCCAUAUAUUUAGGGGGAGCAUAUAAUAUGAUUUUGGAUAAUAUGUAUUUUGAUUUUUUUUUAUUGUCCAAAGGGGGAGACAAAAUAAUAUAUCAUUUCAAUAUUGUCAAAAGGAGGACAAUAAUAUGCACUUUGAAUAUUCUUUUGAUGAUUUUGAUGAUAUGUGAUUAUGGUGAGUACUUGAUGAUUUUGAAAUAUGAUGAUGAUAAUUUAUGAGUAAUAUUACUAAAUUUGUAUUUGAGGUGAUGCUUGUUGUUAGGGGGAGAUUUUGUGGAAAUUUCUAUUCGGACAACAUGGGUAACAAAUUUCCUACUCUUAUUCUUUUCCUUUACGUUUUCUUUUUUAUGAUGAAGGGGGAGAAGAAUACAUGUUUUCAAAUCUAUAAAAAAAAAAAAAAAUUGCUACUUUUGUCUUUGCCAAUUAAGUUUUUCUUUUUGAUGAUGAGGGGGAGAAAAAUCCAUGUAUUUAAAUCAUUAAUUUAGCUAAUUGGCAAAUUGUAAAAGAAGAUUAUAUUUAGGGGGAGCAAUUUGUGGAAUCAUUCUUUAAAUACAUGAAAUGUUUGUCAUCAUCAAAAAGGGGGAGAUUGUUAACAUAUAUAUUUUCAUAAUAUUGAUUUUGAUGAUAACAAACAAGAUUAAGAAUGAUUAAUCUUUUAAGCCUAAAUUAUUUAAUAUUCUUUUUAAAUAAAAUCAUUUUUUUUACAUUAUAAAGGUUUUAUAUUUAAUGGAAAAAUGAUUUCAUGAAAUUGAUUGUUUUUAUUCCUUUUAAAUAAAUCAUUAUUUUCACAUUAUAAAUGUUUCAUAUUUAAUGGAAAAAUGAUUUUAUGAAAUUGGUUGUUUUUCAAAGUUUAUGGUUUAAUUGAAAGAAUUUUGAAAACUUUGAAAUAAACAAGUAUUGCUUGAAAUUUUGGUAAAGGACUUAUUUGAAAAGUGUCAUAGCAUCUUUGGCAAUAUCAUAAUUUCAGAAAGUUUUGGGAUAAACAAAGCAUUAUUUAGAAAUUCUAAAAUUGGACCUAUUUGUAAAGUUUCAUAACAUUUUGGACCGUAGUACAGUUUUAUAAAGUUUUGGGGUCAAACUGUAAAUUUUGGGAAAUAUUUUACUAUAGCAGUUACUGUAGCAAGCGGCUUACCGGAUACUGAUAAACGGCAAGCCGGAUACGGGGCAGUAAGCACCAGAACGAAAACGGCUUACCGGAUUCCUGAAUCCGGCAAACCGGUUAGGCAAAAUUUUGAAUUUUGCCUUAGCGAUAACAUAAAUCCGGCUUACUGGAUUCCAUAAAACGGCAAACCGGAUAGCCCAAAAUGUGAGUAACGGCUAGUUUUCGAGCUCAAGCUAUAAGAACUCAAAUCCAACUCAUUUUGAGUCUCUCCAACAAGCAAAAACAAAAAGCACACGUGAUAUCUUGAGCUUACAACUUGCAAAAUACAAAAUCAUUGAAUCAUUCAUUGUUCUUCAUCUUUGAAUAUCUACUCAUUGAGUGAGUUUCAUUGUAUCUUUCAUUUCUUCAAUUCAUUUGUAAGAGUUUGAGUGUGUGAGACACUUGAGUGAAGAGAUUGGGAGAUAAUCUCUUUGUUGUAAAGGUUUAUUGACACCUCGAAGUCAAUUUUAAUCGUUGAAGCCUUGGAAAGGCUUGGAUAGUGAAAUCCUCAAGCUUGGAUCGCUUGGAGAGGUGGACGUAGGCGGGGAUUGCCGAACCACGUAAAAAUUCGUGUGUUUGUUUCUCUUCUCCCUUACUCUUUAAUUAUUGUGCUAUUAUUGAACUUAUUAUUUUCAAUUGUUGUUAAGACAUUAGAUUGCUUGUUGUGUGGAUUUGCUUGGUUAAUUUUUAAAUUUCCAAUUCAUCCCCCUCUUGGGUUGCACACUUAUAUUUCAAUUUUAGCACUUAACUUUAACAAAUCUUUAUUAACCAUUCAAAUAUUAACUAGAUCCAUAUAAAUUUCAAAGGAAAUUUGGUCUUGCUCCCAAGUUCCUAUAAAAUAAAAUAAAAAAGCCAUACGGCUUAUGUCUGGGCUUUUUUUUUUUGCUAUGUUUCUGAAGGAGUGAAGGGGUAGAAAGAGAGAGAGAGAGAGAGAGGAGGAGGAGGAGGAGGAGGAGCUUGUGAAAAAAGCGAGUAAAAAAGUGUUAUAAAAAAGUUUGCUUAAAGAGACAGGAGUGACGACUUGUUGUAAUGCUGUUGCUGCAUGUCUGGGCUUAUAUUGCGUGUUGACUAUGAUAAGUAUAGAUAUAUUAAUUACUGUAUCACUAGGGAAUAAUUAAGAUAAAGAUUUCUAGCACUUUAAUAUUCAAGAUUAAAGAUGAUUAAGGCAAAAGAGGUUUAUGUGGUACUCUGUGAUUUGUUUAUCUGUCAAUUUAAAUAUGAAAUAUUUUGUUAAUAUUUUUAGUUAAGAAUUAUGGUAAUGAUUUAAUAUGCAGCUCACAAUUUUACAGUUUAAAUUAUAUAUCAAAAAAUAUAAUCAAAUUCAACAUAUAGGAAUGGAGGAGGAUGGAGGUGCAAGCCACACCAUUGGAAACAAGGCAGGUACAAGGCGAGCAUGGACAUAUGUCGAAGAAGAAGCACUGUUGGAAGCACUAGAUGCAGUGGUUGUAAGCGGUGGUCGUGCUGAUAAUGGAUUCAAAUCUGGUACAUUUAUACAUCUUGAAAAGGUAAUAAAUCAAAAGUUACCAAAUUGUGGUUUGAAGGCUUCUCCUCAUAUUGACUCCAAGAUUAGGAAAUGGAAGAAACAAUAUGGGUUGAUGUUUGAUAUGUUGAACACGAGCGGUUUUGGAUGGAAUGAUGUAAAAAAAUGUGUAGAGGUUGAUAGUGAUGAAGUUUGGAAUUCAUAUGUGCAAGUUAGAGAAAUUUUUAAAAGUUUUGAAUUUAUUUACUCUCAUUUGCGAGUUUUUGAAAUUUUCUUUUUGGAGAUUGAUAGUCAUUUAGCAAUUGUUAUGUCCAAGUUUAUUAAAUUUUUUACUAUUUAUUAUAUUGACCUUUAUUAUUUUUUAUUAUGUACUGUAUCUAACUACAUUUUGAUUAAAUAUUUGUAGUCUCAUAAUGCUGUAAGAAACUGGAGAGGCAAGCCAUUCCCACUUUAUAAAAGAUUGGCGAACAUAUUUGGAAAGGACCGUGCUGCUGGACAUGGAGCUCAAACUCCCGCUGACAUGGAAGACGAAGCAAAUCAAGAAGAAAUUCGCGAUGAUGAUAAUGAAAUGGAUGAUGGAUGUUCUUCAAUAUCGGCUACACCACCUUCAAGUUCUCAACACAUUGCUCGAGCUCACUCACAACCACCAAAUAGGAAGAGAUCUAGAUCAGAGGGUGACUUGCAGGCUGGCAUUGAUAAGAUUGUUAAUCUUAUCAGCCAAUCAUUUGAAAACAUGAAUACAAUAGCUCAACGCAUGUUCGAUAACAAAGAAGAUCGUUUUGACAUUUCUGAUGAACUUGCAACUAUGGGACUUUCUAUUGAAGAAGAACUUCUAGCCCUAGAGCUAAUUCUAAAAGAACCCCAUAAUAUUUCAGUUUUCAAGUCCUCGAGAGGUGAGCGUAAGGUAACAUUUGUUCAUAUGCUCUUGUAUAGAGCACAAGGUUGAUAUGUUGCUUAAAAUGGUUGUGAUGUUUUAAAGCCAAUAAUUUUUUGGUAUAGAAAAUAUGUCCGUACUAAACACAACCCCAUAUUUUGGUAUAGUUAUAGCAUGUGGGUGCAGGUGUGUACUUCACACAACCUGAUAUUUUGGUAUAGUAAUGUUGUAAUAUUGUAUUAUUAAUUUCAACAAAUUUUUGUAAACUUUUGAAUGAUUAUAUUAAGGUUGAAAAUUCCCCUAUGAAGGAAAAUCAUAUGCUUUAUUUGUGUAAUUUGAUUAGAAUUAUUAUUUUUGAUUAAUUUUCACAGGAAAUGUGUAAAAAAAUUAUGUGUCGAAAUUUUUUGAAACUUAUAGUUACAUAAAUCUCGAAACAAAUAUAAAAAUAUUAAAUUUGUAUAUGAGUAUUUUCUUUAUAUAUAUAUAUAUAUAUAUAUAUAUAUAUCCUUUUUAGCAUUAAAAAAUUAUUCCAUAUUCCAAGGAUUAUAAUACUUAAUAUAACAAGGUUAGUUAUUUACUUAAAUCAUUUACUUUUAACAAACAUUAAAACAAUCCAAUACAUGUUAUAUGCCAAACACAGGAUAAUUGAUAAUAAUACAAUACAGCUCAGCACCAAACCCUGUAUAAUUUAAACAACAGGUCAAUUUAAUACAUACCAUUCUAAAAUAAUACAGUCCAAUACAAUAUAAUACAGUCCAGUGCGGUGCACCAAACACACCCUUAGAACUAUUAAUAAGCUCCAGUGAGGAAUAAAGAAUUAGGCAGAAAAUUAUUCAAACUCUUUGUCUUGUGGUUGUUGUUCUCAUCCAAAGAAGAACAUUUUAAUUUUAUUGAUCGAUUGUAGCUAGCUACUGACUGGGACCGCAUCAAUCUUUCUUGCAAUUAAGCCUUUUGCGUAUCCAAUUGCUGUCAACUGUUUUUGAACGUGUAGAAGAAAACAACUUGAAGACUUGAGAGAGGGCCAGCGUUAAUUCAAAGUCAAGACCAACUUAUUAGCUUGCAGGACUCCUGAUGGUGAGAAAAAAGAGGGUUGACAGAUGCUGGGUAUAAGGUCUAUAAAACUUUAAUUAUUUCAUAAAAUUGUUUUAUUUUUUAUUCCUUAUCACGUUGGGGAUUGGCCCCCAAUGGCCCAUUUUAUUUUCAUGUUUAUGUAGGUCAGUAAUGUUAUUGGAAAUCAACUAUUGCCUCUUUUUUUCUCACUUAUUGAGGACUAUGGAGAAUUAAACAAAACUGACCUAAAAAAUAUAUAAUGAAUAUUUAUUAUCAGAUUUCAGACAAAAUUAAUUUUUGAACCGAUUGAAACUUCCAAAAACUCAAAUUUCGAAUUUGUUAUAUAAAUAUAAUCUACUUUAAGUAUCAUUAUCAAAUCCUCCUCUAUAGCACAUGAGCAAAUUUGCAACCUUUCUAGCUUAAAAUCUAGGUUUCAAAUCUUGGCAGCGGAGUUAAUUUUUGUUAUUUUUUAAGCCACAGUUAAUUUUUGUUAUAUAAUUUAGAUCAUAGAUAAUUUUAAAAAUAUAACGAGUAAUUGUGUAAUUCAAUCAAAUCUUAGAGACUAAAGGAAUAUUUACCAAAGAUUAAAAUAUAUAUAUAUAUAUUUUAAAGCUACAUUUUGUUUCAUCCAAAUGAAGCUACUCAAUCUAUAUUUUAUUCCAAUAAGACUAUGGCUUCAUUUCAUGUCUUAAUUAAAUUAUAUAAUGAUGAAAUAUUAUAUUCUGAACUUAACUGAAUCCAAUAUCAUUUCACCAAUCCGUCAUAUGAGAUGAAGGGAAAAAAAUCUGUUGAAAUUAAUUUUAAAUUAAAGUUGAGGAAUGGUGAUAUGAUACAUACACAUACAUGACUCUGAAUUUAUUAAAUUGAAGAUGUACUCAUCGUCUUGUCGAUGUGACCAAAUACUGGAAUGUGAUAAUGGUCUUUGGACUUUGGAGAAGACUUGAGAGGGCCCAGAGUAAUUAAAAGUCAAGAUUGGCAAUCUGAAAUUAAUCUCGGGCUUUAAGAUGCAGGACUCUCUUGCCGGUGGGAAAAGUUUCUGAAUUAAUAUAGGAGCUAAUACAUGCACUUUCCGAACUAAAGAAAACUGAGUUUAAGCGGCGAAUGGCUGUGCAUCUUUGUCUGGUGUUGUUGCAGAUUAUUGUUUUUCAUCUCAGGCCGAUCAAAGCCUCAGAAAGAUUCGCCUGUCCAACUGAAUGUGGAAAUGUCAGCAUCAGCUACCCCUUCGGAAUCGGAGAAGGGUGCUACUUUGACAAGGGUUACGAAGUUAUCUGCGAUCACUCUUCUGGCUCUCCCAAAUCUUUUCUUCCUGGCGUCAACAGGCUAGAAUUAUUGGAUACUCUUUCUUAUGAUUCAAGGCCCGCGGUUAGAGUCAACGUUCCUACAAUUUCUUUAAACAGCAGUAGUAAGCGAACAAGUAAUAUUCUUAAAGGCGUCAACUUAUCAGGUACCCCUUUCGCCUUUUCGUCUGACAAUAAAUUCGCUGCCAUAGGCUGCAACAUGAGAUAUCACCAAGGGAACGAUUCAUCUUUGUUUGAUGGGUGUCUGUCGAUUUGUACUUGUGAUCCUACACUCUACCCUGCUUGCUAUGAUUUCCUAUGCCCCCUUCCUCGAAAUAUUACUCAUCUUUUGAAUGUAAAUACAUCAUACUUGUUUUCUCAAAGUAUUCCUCAAAAAUGUCAGUCUGUUUUCCUGGUUGAUGAACAUUGGGUCAACAGCAAGUACCUUGAAGAUCCUCUUGACUUGGAAGAUCAACGAGAAGUUCCUGCAGUGUUGAAGUGGGGAGAAAAGAUAGGCAGUUGUUUUGAAGGGAAUAACUCAUAUUCUAUUUUUUGUAAUUCGGAUAAAAAAGGUUGUUUAACACAAUUAAGCUCAGGCCAUUUUUGUCUUUGCUCUUCUGGCUACGACCUAGAGAAAGGAUACUGCUCAGGUACAGAUUGGAUUAUGAGUUAAAGAGUAAUUUUAUUUUUUUCAAAGAAAAUAUCCGGACGACAAGAAGAAAAGGGAAAAUUCUUGGUGCUCCACGAGCAUUAUGAAUAGAUGCUAUUUCCGUAUAAAUAUUAGCAAUAAGGGUGAAUGAGAAACGGAAAAUGCUAUUGGAGCACCUAGACUUUACUAGCAAGAGUUAAAUGUCAAAUGAUGUAACAUUCCUCUGUUGGAUGGUAAGAUGAUCAGAAAAGUGUUGUAAAAUUUAUCAUCCAAUAGAUGAUUGAAAUUAUUGAUUUUUAAAAUAUCCAUCGGAUUACUUGCAAAUGAGUAAAGUCUUCCAAUUACUGUAACUGUCUAUGUAAACAGAAAAUUAAAGACAAAAAUGGUGGAGUUUUUUUUAGUUGUAGCCAUGAUUUAGUUUGAUCUUCUCUUUGAUUUAUUUAUUUUUAUUUAUUAUUUUCUGGGCAGGCGACUUGAUCUGUAAUAUCUCGAGCGGCUACAAUUGCUCCAAUUGUCCUGACGGUUAUAAUCGUCUCUCAUAUGGUUGCAUUAAAGUUUUCAACAAAUCUCGGGUUAAAUUCAUUGUUAUAGGUAUGCAUAUCGAUCCUUUAUUUUACAUCAUAACAAAUUAAUAAUGUUUUUUAACAUAUAUUUCAAAUGAAAAUACUAAGUGUUCAUUCGUUCAUUUGAUGAUAUCUUUCAUUAUUGUCCUCGAGAGCCGCAGGCUGCGGUGGUGGGCUUGCGUUAUUCUUUCUACUCAUUGGAAUAUGGUGGUUGUACAAGUUUGUAAAAAGAAGAAGGGAAAUCAAGUUUAAGCGUAAGUUCUUUAAAAAAAAUGGUGGUUUAUUAUUGCAACAAGAAUUGUCUUCCAAUGAAGGUAAUAUUGAGAAAAUGAAGUUAUUUACUUCAAAAGAUUUGGAGAAGGCCACCGACAACUACAAUGCCAAUCGAAUCCUUGGUCAAGGAGGCCAAGGCAUUGUAUACAAAGGAAUGUUAGCAGAUGGAGGAAUUGUGGCUGUAAAAAAAUCUAAAAUAUUGGAUGAGAGUAAUCUCGAGCAAUUCAUCAAUGAGGUAGUAAUUUUGUCUCAAAUUAAUCACAGAAAUGUUGUUAAGUUGUUGGGAUGUUGCUUGGAGACAGAAGUUCCUCUUUUGGUGUAUGAAUUUAUUCCAAAUGGAAGCCUCGAUCAAUACAUACACUACCAAUCUGAAGAGUUUCCAAUCACAUGGGAAAUGCGUUUACGCAUUGCUGUUGAAGUUUCAGGUGCUCUAUCUUAUCUGCAUUCAGCAGCAUCUAUUCCUAUUUAUCAUCGAGACAUCAAGUCUGCAAACAUACUUUUGGACGAUAAAUAUCAAGCUAAAGUUUCAGAUUUUGGGGCUUCUAGAUCUAUCACAAUUGAUCAAACUCACUUGACCACUCAAGUACAAGGAAGUUUUGGAUAUCUAGAUCCAGAAUACUUUCGGUCAAGUCAUUUUACUGAGAAAAGUGAUGUUUAUAGUUUUGGAGUAGUUCUUGUUGAGCUUCUAACUGGACAAAAACCUAUCCGUUUAACUGAAGCUGAAGAAGAUAAAAGUUUAGCAAGAUAUUUUAUCCAAGCAAUGAAAGAGAACUGUCUGUUUGAAGUCCUUGAUGAUCGAGUUCUCAAGGAAGCUGAGAAAGUAGAAAUUAUUACUGUUGCUACACUCGCAAAAAGAUGCUUGAACUUGAAUGGGAAGAAAAGACCUACGAUGAAAGAAGUGGCAUUUGAAUUACGGGGUAUAAGAGAAUCAAUUGGAACUUCCAUUUUGCAGCAAAAUUGUGAAAAGACUGAUUUUGUGGAUGGUGACAUUACUGGACAUGAUUUCGAAAGGGAUUCAUCUUCUAGUGGGUCAACUUUAAAUAGUGUCUCAGUUUCUGUGGAUGCCGACCCUUUAAUUUCAAACAAAUGGUGACAAAGAGAAGAAUGGCCUUGAAACUGUUUGUAUUUCAUAAAUAAGAUUGUUAAGACUUUUCCGAUAUUUUCAUUCUCUUGCAUCGUUACAGUUUCUUUGGGCACCAUCAUUUGUAAUUAAACACUUCCAAGUCAUUUCAAACAAAUUUUCCACUAUUUCAUUGAAUGCGCUGCAUCUUCUCUCCCCCCCCCCCCCCCCCCACACCAAAAAAAGGGGAGGCGGCGCAAAUGGAGGAGAUGAAGGAAAAAUCUGUUGAAAUUAAUUUCGUAGUUGAAGUUUAUAAAUGCAAGAUGAUAUGAUCUCUCAGUCUAUUAAAUACUGAUGUGCAAGAACUUUAGCACUAUGUGACCUAAUAUCUCAAGUAAAUAGGAGAGAACAACUUGAGCACUUAAGAGGGCCAACGUUAAAUAAACUCCAGAGUGGCAUGUUGUAAUUGUUGGCUUAUUGUUAUGCAGAACUUUCCCGGUAGUGAAAUAAAAUCGAGAGGAAGAUGGGAGGAAAUAAAGAUCAAUGCGCUUUCUUGUAUUUCAUGGGUUAAAAAUCUUUUUAUCUGAUUACAAACUGAUAGAUAAAAUACCCUUAUAUCAUUUGUGAUUGAAUCUCUUAGGUCAAAUAUAUAAAGUUAGAACAAUCCUCAACUCAUUAGUUAGAUUUUGAGUAUGGCUUAAACCCAUGAACUUUUAUAUUUUACUAGAGAUACUCACCCACGAUUAUGCCCGCACUACCUCCCACAGUACCUUACCACUAGACGCCCUUCACAUGGAGGCUUGGGUACCACUUGAAAAGUCAUUUGAAAGAAAAGUCUGUUUAAAAUUACGUUCCAAUUCUGUAUUUUCAACUCUCCAAGUUAUAAAUUGAUAUUCAACUCUUAUGUUAUAAAAAAAGUAAUGCUAGAGCAUUCCAACUUGAGUACCAAUGGAUGUGGCAUUCAUUCAGUGGAUUGUAGAAUAUUUAUUUUAUCAGCUAUAAAAUUUAUUAUUCAAUAGAUAAUGAUAUAUGAUAGUUGGGACUCAAAUUGGGACUUAAUUGGUGGGACACAAUCAUGAUUGGUUAAAAAAGAUAUACAGAGAUAACCAUCGUAAGAGGUAAAUCAAAAACUCUUUCUUUCUCUCUGCUAAGACCCUUUCUGCCACCAGCUGAAAUUCAAACACUAGUUUUGAUCCAUCAACGUGCCUGAAUUACACAGCCACCACAUUUUCAAACAUCUAAACUCUCAAAUCUAUUUUUCAACUCCGUUUUUCCAACCACUGCAGUCUCGAACCAACCGGAACUCCACGCUGCUACUUGUAGCUGCCACGUCGCCAAUUUCCCAUCACCACAGCACAAAAAUAAAAUAAAAUAAAAAAUAUAUAUAUAUACACGGAGGAGAGAACAACUUGUAGACUUGAGAGGGCCAGGGUUAAUUAAAAGUCAAGUUGACUUGCAGGACUUUCAUUGUAUUGGGAUAAAAGCUAAAAGGAACCUAGAAGGAAUUUAAUUAAAGAUCAACGCAUGCAAUUGCUCUGUUAAAUCUUCAUUCUUCCAAGUAAAAAUAUUGAGAAUGGUUGUUCAUCAUUAUCUGGUGUUGCUGCAAUUGAUGAUUUUGCUAGUAUGGCCAAUCAAAGCAUCAAAAGAUUUAUGCCAAUAUGAUUGUGGCAAUGUCACUAUCAGUUACCCCUUCGGAAUCGGAGACGGUUGCUACUUUGAUAACAGUUUUGAAGUAUUCUGCGAUUACUCCUCUGGCUCCCCAAAAGCUUUUCUUGCGAGCAUCAACAACCUGCAAGUAUUGGACAGUCAUGUUUAUACUGUUUAUGAUUCAUCUACUUCUUUUUAUGUAUACAUGAUUAGGGUAUACAUUCCUGUAAUUUCUUUGAAGAUCAGUAACCUGACAAGCAGUGAUAAAGGGGUCAGUCUAUCAGGUAGCCCUUUUACAUUUUCCCGGUCGCGCAAUAGAUUCACUGCCAUAGGUUGCAACAACUAUUCUACGAUUAUUAAGCGACAGAAUGAUUCAUCCGUUUUUGGUGGGUGCCUUUCGAUUAUCACUUGUGAUCCUGCUCUUAACCCUGGUUGCUACGAUUUCCUAUGCGCCUUUCCUCAAAAUAUUACUGAGGUUUUCAAUGCACAAAUAUCUAAUUUUUAUUCUAAAAGUAUUCCUCUGGAAUGUCACUCUGUUUCCAUUGUUGAAGAUUAUUGGAUCACCUCCGGGUACCUGAAGAAUCCUCACGUUUUGAAAGAUCAUGAACAAGUUCCUGCACUGUUGGAGUGGCUUGAGUAUAAAGGAUAUUGUUAUGAAGAAUAUAAUUCGAAAACUACUUGUAACAAGGACAAUAGAUGUUUAAUACAAUUAAGCUCAGGCUACCUUUGCAUUUGCUUUAGGGAAACAAGCUUUGACCGACACCACCAUGGAUAUUGCUCAGGUACAAUUUCGAAUACUAAUUAAAUUAAUUUCAUAUAUGAAGUGUAUACUACAUUUCCUUGAACCAACUACGUAUCUAACACAAAAUUAGUGAAAGUAAUUGCAGAAUUCGCAUAUGUAAAAAAGGAAAGAUUUAUAUAUAGCCAUAAUUUAUUUUGAUAUUCUAUUUCAUCUUUUGGGUUUGUUUAGGUUUCUUGUUCUAUAAUAUCACAAGCCCCUACAAUUACUCCUCAGGAUGUCCCAAAGGUUACUUUUCAGAUCCCAACUCAAGUAUCUGCGCCCAAAAUCGUAGGACAAGUUCAUAUGAACUUCUUCAAAUUAUGCACAAAAAUUCUCAUGUCAAAUUCAUUAUUAUAGGUAUGUAUUGGAAUUUGCAGAUUUUGUCGACAGAAUUAACUGAUUUUUAAUUACCGUAUAUAUAUGGGCUCACAAACGCAAAAACGUUCUGCACCUGAAAUUUGCAAUAGCAUAUACAUUUAUGAUCUCCUACUCUUAACAGACUAAACAGUUCCUUGCCAUAAAUCGCCGAACGCGUAUUAAAUAUUCUUGUCCUGGAGCGUUGCAGGUUGCAAUAGUGGGCUUGGAAUGUUGUUCCUACUAAUCGGAAUAUGGUGGUUGUGCAAGUUCGUUAAAAGAAGAAGAGAAACCAAGCUCAAACAGAAGUUCUUUAAAAGAAAUGGUGGUUUAUUAUUGCAACAACAAUCGUCAUCAAAUGAAGGUAAUACCGAGAAAACAAAAUUGUUUACUUCAAUGGAAUUGGAAAUGGCUACUGACAACUUCAAUACCAAUCGAAUCCUUGGUCAAGGAGGCCAAGGCACAGUGUACAAGGGAAUGUUGACAGAUGGAAGAAUUGCGGCUGUGAAAAAAUCCAAAUUAGUGGAUGAGAGUAAUAUUGAGCAAUUCAUCAAUGAGGUGGUAAUUUUAACUCAAAUUAACCACAGAAAUGUUGUUAAAUUGUUCGGGUGCUGCUUGGAGACAGAGGUUCCUCUUUUGGUGUAUGAAUUUAUUCCAAAUGGAACUCUCUAUCAAUAUAUACAUGACCAAACUGAGGAGUUCUCAAUCACAUGGGAAAUGCGUUUACGCAUUGCUGUAGAAGUUUCAAGUGCUCUAUCCUAUUUGCAUUCAACUACUUCUAUUCCAAUUUAUCAUCGAGACAUCAAGUCUGCAAAUAUACUUUUGGAUGAUAAAUUUCGAGCAAAAGUUUCGGACUUUGGGGCUUCUAGAUCCGUCACGAUUGAUCAAACUCACUUGACCACACGAGUACAAGGAACUUUUGGAUAUCUAGAUCCAGAGUACUUUGGGUCAAGUCAAUUUACAGAGAAAAGUGAUGUUUAUAGUUUUGGAGUUGUCCUUGUUGAGCUUUUAACUGGACAAAAACCUAUCCUUUCAACCGACACGGAAGAAGAUAAAAGUUUAGCAGGGGUUAUUUUCUCUCCGAGAGCAAAUGAAAAGAGAGAAACCAUUUUGUUUUGAUGUGUGCUUGAUGGCUCUCAAAGUUCUUUAAGAAAGCCCAAGGAAGGAAAGAGAAUUAUUUACCGUGGUUAUGGCUUGCAAAAAGGAUGCUUGAACUUUGAAGGGGAGGAAGAAGACUUCCUAGGAAAGAAGUACCAUUUGGAAUUUAGGGGGGAUUAGAGCUCAAAGUGUGAAGACAUUCAUCUUGUGGAUGCCAAUUUGAAACUGUCAUCUCCAACUGAGAGCCAUUUUAAAUGCUGUUGCUUUUUCUGUAGAUGCUAAUCCUUUGCUUUCAAACAAGUGGUGAUUAAAGGGAAGAAUUUUCCUUUAAAAUCUAAGUAUUUCAUUUCAUAAAUAAAUUAAGCUGUGGAUUUUUGCAUUAUGCUUCUCUUAUGGUUAAAAUUUUUCAUCUCUAGAAUAAAAUAUACAGAGUUUGAUGUUCGGUUUGUAAGCGGAGAAAUAAAUUUAUAAGGUAGAUUCCAACAAAGCAUCUGUGGCAAACAUAUUUAAAUAUCUAAGAAGCAAGCUUCUAAUGCUACCAAUAUUUAGGGGCCCUGUGCUUGAAGAAACAGAACUUUGAAGCUGACAGAGUGAGGCAUCUCAGCAUCUGAAUCUGCAUACAAGUGGAACAGGAGAUGCCGACAUGACAUCCUACGUGGAACUUAUGUGACACAUACAAUGAAUCCAGUUCGUUCCUAAUUCAUACGCUUACAUUGUAACCCCGUUCUGUGUGUUUCGAGUACCAUUGGCGAACCAUCACUUCGUGCCUUUGUAUUGCUAAUAGUACCUUUGCCUUGAUUGAUUUUGCUGACAAUAUAUAGGUUGUGUUUGGAAGUGAAGUACUAUAACUUUUAUGUUACGUUUACUUCCUGGAUUAGGGAAUCGGAAUCAUUAACAACGUUUAUCUCGCAAAAUAGAUUUAGGAAUCAAAAUCGGAAUCGGAAUCGUGGGACCCACCACAAUUUGGGAAUGAGCAAUGGGAGACUCAUUCCUAGGGGGAGGUGGGAAUGAGUCUCCCAUUUUCGGGAGUGACUGUUUUACCCUCCCCCAAAAUUAAAAAUGUUCAUAUUGUCCUCAUUUAUAAUUAAUUAAUAUAUUAUUAUAAUUAAUAAAUAAAUAAAUAUAUUGUUAACAAUAAUUAUUAAUAAUUUUAGUAUUUAAUAAAUAAUCACAAUAAUUAAUAUAUUAAUAUUAUUAAUUAAUUAUUAUAAUUAUUACUAUUAAUUAAUAUAUUAAUAUAUUAUUAACAAUAAUUAUUAAUAAUUUUAAUUUUUGAUAAAUAAUCACAAUAAUUAAUAUACUUUUAUUAUAAUUAAUUAGUAUACUAUUAUAAUAAUUACUAAUAUAAUUAUUUUAAUUAAUUCAUAUAUAUUAUUAAUUAAUUUAUAUAACUAUUACUAUUAAUUAAUAUGUUAGUAUAUUAUUAACAAUGAUAUAUUAAUAAUUAUAGUUUUGAAUAAAUAAUUACAAUAAUUAAUAUAUUUUUAUAAUAAUAGUUAAUAUAAUUAGUUAAAAAAAUUUACAAUUAAUUAAUAUAUUAAUAUAUUCUUGACAAUAAUUAAUAAUAAUAAUAAUUUUUUAAUAAAUAAUCACUAUAAAAUAAUAAUUAUGACAAUAAUUUGUUAAGUACUUUUUAGUAAUUUGUUACAAUUUAACUCAUUCUGAUUCCAAUUCCAAGAUAAAAUAAACACAUCAGUGGGAUUCUAGCUCAUCCUUAUUCUGAUUCAUGUAGGUCAACUAAACAAUUUAUUCUAAUUCUUUUUCCUCAUUCCGAUUCCAGCCCAUUCCAAUUACUAACAAGUAAACGCAGCAUUAAGAUGCAGAUGCUGUGGAGUAAAAGUCAUAGUUGUGGGAUAAAAGCUGCUAGUGUUUAGCAAAUUUUAAUAGUUGUAGAGUAGAAGCUAAUGGUGUUUGGUAAAUUUUAAUAGUUGUAUAGUGAAAGUUGAUGAAUAUUUGUAAUAAUUAAUUUUAAAUAAAAUUAUUUUUAAUUAUUAAUUAGUCAAAUUAUUUUUCAUAUUUUGAAUUAUCAUAUUAACUUAUGAUUAUGUUUAUUACUUUGACAAAUCAAAUUAAUAGUUAAUUAAUCAAAGUUAUUUUUCUUCACAAGCUGUAAUAAAUAUUUUUUAAAACAAAAUAAUUUAAAAAUUGAAAAUAAAUAAAUUCUAAUUUUACACAUUGAUUGUAGAAAUAAAUUAUACCAAAUGUGUCUAAUAAAGAUCAUACAACAUAACAUUAUCUACACAACUUAAAAGUGACUUUUAACCCACAAGUAUAAAAGUGUCUUGUUGUAUUAUAGCUCGGUGAGUCCAAGGUCGAUUCACAGAGAAAAUAUUUAAUUUGUUUAUUUUAUUUUAUCUAAAAAUGGAAAUAAAAUUUAAAUAUAAACAACUUAAUUUAAAUCAAAUUAUGAAAUUGAAUUAGUUAGGGUUAUGGAUCCACUCUUAGUAGUAAAUAAAAUUUAAUAAAUUCUUUUUACUAUUUUUUUAGAUUUAUUACCCAAAAGAUUAAUUAUGUAAAUUAUUAUUAUUUUCCUAUUAAUUUUAUUAUGGAUUAAGUAUUUAAUGUGCCAAAAUUUAAUUUUUCCACAAUAAAUCAAAAUACCAUUUUAUCAUACCUUAUAUUAAGAUAUUAAGAAUUUAUUGUGCCAAACUCUCUUGUUUGUCUACAAUAAAUCAAAAUUUCAAAAUAUAAAAUAUGUAUAAAAUUAAAUAGAAAAUAAUUUAAUUUAUAAAAUUAAAAAUAAAUUUUGAUUAAAUCAUAUUUAUUUCCUAAGAGUUUCACCUUACCCUAACUAUUAUUAUUUAGUUAAGAUAAUUGAAAUAAAAGUAAUUACUAAAAUUAAAUUAAACAUAAUUAAAAUGAAUAAAAAAACUAAAAUUAAAAAUAAAACUAAAUUUAAUUAUAAAAAUAAUUAAGCAAAAUAUUAAAAACACACCUGAAAAACAAGAUUACAGGGAGAUUGAGAGAAAUUGAGAAGACGAGAUGAUAAAAAACAUAAAAAGUGAGGCUCUAUUUAUAGAAAAAUAAAUUCAUGAUCCAGUGUCUUGCAGUCCAUCAUAAGCUUUAUGCAUGCGCUCUUCACAACCAUUAGAUCAAAGAUCCAACGGCUGCUCAAACUUCAAAAGUCAACAUCACACACAGCAUCAUGUGAAACGUCCGAUUCGGUCAAAGAACGGUUGAGAUUUGGCGGGUUAAUGGGUGGAUCAGAUUGACUCGAAUACAAAGGUUCGAAUCCUACAACUUACUUCACCAACCAUUGCCACGUGGCACAAUUGCGGCCAUUGAAUCAUGAACGGUUGAGAUUUAGUUAAAAUUGCAAGUUAUGCCAUGCACUCAUAUAUAUUGUAAGCUCACUUUAUCAUACAAUCAGUGCUCGGUCAACCGAAAACGUCAACCUUCUUUUACAAAAGCUCAAUUUUAAGCCGAUGUGGACUCAUCUUAAGGUUUUCAAACCUCCGGAAUCCAUAUUUGACAUCCGUUUAUCUGUUUGGAGCCUCGAACUAUGUGAAAUUAAUAUUUUACGUAAUAAACACACAAAAAUAUACAAAAUUAAAUAUAAUUAAGACAUAAUUAAUAAUUCCUAAUAUAUUGGAUAAACACAAAUAUAAAUGAUAAUAUAAUCACAAAAUAACAUUUUUAUCGCUUGAUAAUUAAACAAUUUUUAAUACCAAUCAAUUAUAAAAUUAAAAUGUAACUAAUUUCAAAAUUCUUAUAAACAUUUCCAUUGUCAUGCCUCCAUUAAACUUGCAACAAUGCCAUCUCUCAAGAUUAUUAUAUUUUGAGCUAUGUUAUCAAUUGUAUUAUAACUUUCUUUAGGAGACGCAAUCUUGCUUAUAUGUUCGUUAUUACUAUGACUUGGUUCAUCCAUUGUUUCAUCAAAAUGAUCAUGAUUUUGUGAAUAUCUUCUUAUGUAAUUAUGUAAGGCCAUGGUAGUAAUAACACUCGCUUCUUGAAUGUAUAGCUUGGCAUAUUUCGUAAAAUCUUCCACGUGUUAUUUCAAACCCCAAAAGUACCCAUUAGAGUUAGCAGUACUCUAAACACUAAGAGAUUCAGAUGCCUCAUUACUCUCUAAAGGAAAACCAAAUGAGGGAAGUCAAACAUGCUCACUCAUAACCACUGUGUUUGAACAUUAAAUUUAGGUUUUUCUCUAACUUUGGAUCAAUAACAUUUUUUCGAAAUCUACUCAAUUGCAAAUUUUCCUUUAUUUUCUUUUCCCACCAGUCUUCACUUGCAUCAACUAUCCAGGGGCAAAGCUAUGAGGGGGCUAACCCGGGCUGUAGCCUGGGUUAGUUUCUUGAAAAAAAAAAUAGUUAAUUAUAAAUUUAUUUAAAAAAAACUUAUAGUAAAAUAUAAAAUAUAACGAAUAAUUAUUGUCAAUAUCUAUUUUCUCUAAAUCGAAAAACUCACCUUCCCUGACUAAUUGAUCUAAUUAUCCAAAAUCUAAAUUCCCAAAGACUCAACUGUUCAAGUCAUUAACUUGCUGCUUUAUGAGUGACAGCCAGCCUCUACCGCACCCGCAUAAUCAUAUUGUCUUUGAAUUAGUUAUUAGCUUAUACUUUUGUCAAAUUUUUUGAUAAAAUAAUUAAUAAUUCUCUAAUAUAUUAUUAUCGCAGACAAUAUCAAUUCAGAUACGAUAAUACAUGAGUUUUCUUUUUUGAAGAAUCAGAAGACAAAACUUCUUUGAUAGUGUUUUUGAUUUACAUUGCACCUUUACAGUUUUAUUAUUAGUUUUUUGCUUGUCUAGUGUAUUUUAAUAAUUUCAUUUGUAUAGAAUAAAUUUUUUGAGAAGUAAAAUUGAAUUAAAAAAAAAAUCUAGCCCACCCCAAAAUAUAUUGCUAGCUUCGCCACUGCAACGAUCCAUAACCUAUGAUUCCACCCUAGACUAGCUUCCUAGCUAAUCAAAUUCUUCCACAGUUUCCAAUUAGUUCUAAUAGAAUCCCAUUUUUUUUUCAUCUGAAUUCUAUUGUAAUCCAAUCCAGUUUCUUUAGUGGAUUCCUUAAUUAAAUUUUCAUAUCCUUCGGAAGUCACAUGAGUCCUAGGACGAUGUUCGGCAUCCACUGCCUUAAUACAUAACUCACAAAAUACAUUUGAAGUCUGGGAGUUCCAGGUCGCCUUACUAGUUGAGCUAUUAGACAUAAUUGCGUACACUUAAACCUAGAAAAUAGAAUAAUAUUUUGUCAUCAAACAACAAUAUAGGAAAGAGAUUAAUUAAGAGCAAUACCCAAUUUUCUUUUUAAAACAAAUAACAUUAAUUAAGGAUGAAUUAUGUCUAGCAACAAGGAUGAUUUAUGCCUUACAUUACAUAUCCUGUUUCAAAAUGAGUUGUUAGUUUAAUAAACCUGGGGUUUCCUCUAAUUAAAUACCAUGUUUCGAAGAAAUUAAAAUAUUUUUUCUCAAUAGUUUAAUUUUUUGUAGUUACCUUUAAGUGAAUCCUUUAAAAUUUAUGAGAAGCUGAAAUGAUUUGUUCAAAAACAUGUAUUGUUGGAAUAUAUAGGAAUUGGUUACUUGUUUGUUGCUGCCUUUAAUGAUUUUUAUUACGGAAAUUUCAUCAAACAAGGAUUGUGCAUGUCUAUAAAAAGCAACUAAAAAAAAUUAAAAAUGCAAUAAAAAUAGUGACUUCAAAGCAAAUAAAUCACACGUGACCAAUCACCUAUUAAUUUAUUCUAAGUAAAAGCUCCAGUACAUUCUGAACAAAAAGGAAGAAAAUGAAAAAUUACAUGUAACAAAGUAAAGGAAAACUCAAAAAAUGAACAACGGGUAAAGGAAAAUGCACAUUACUUAGAUAUUUUAAAAACAAAGAUAGAACAUAUUUGUAUGAAAAUGACUGGUGUCAGAAUCGUGUCAAUGAGAAUUACCGAUGUUGCAUCGAUGAGAACUGUCGAUAUUGGAAUCAUGCUAAUAAGAACAAUGUUUAGAGUUUGUUUUAUGGAAAAAUCAAUUUGAGUUUAAGUUUAAAAAUGAGGAGGAUAAAAUCGAAAUUAAAUAAUAUGUAAGGGUAAUUUAGUAAUUUAAUAUAUAGCUAAGAAAAAUUUUUGCUUACCUGCUAAAGCCCGACUCCAAAGUGUUACUACUGAAAAUGAGGGGAUGAUAUAUGGAAAAAAGAAGCUUCAUUUUAAAUUAAUGCACAAAAACAAUUUAAAGAUUUAAGAGAUCUAAUUUGUCGUUUCAUUUCACUAAAAUGUAUUGAUAGAUAAAAUUAGCCAUUAGGUGUGUCUUAUCCUAAAAUUAAUCUUUCACGAAGUCCUUAGAAACAAUAAAAUACUAUUACAUAGCCCGGAAAGCGUUUGUAUUAAGUUAUAGAAUUAGGUGUCUCUUACACAUAUGUCUUCCCUGAAUAAAAGCGUUCGUAUUAAGUUAUGAAAUGGUGGAUUAUUAUGCCAAACAAACGGCUAUUUCCCUUUCAAAAUUAUUAAGUUAUGAAAUGGUGGAUUAUUAUACCAAACAAACGGCUCUAUCCCUUUCAAAAUUAUUGGACGUAUUUUUCAAGGAAACCUCCUCUAUCUUUCUUCCAAUUAAUGUCCAGUUAAGACUUCCGUGGGUCCAAUUAAUGUCAAUCGUUUUUGAAUGUGUACAGGAUAACAACUUGAAGACUUGAGAGGGCCAGCGUUAAUUCAAAGUCAAGACUAGGCUAUUACCCUGCAGGAUUCUUGAUAGUGAGGUGAAAAAAAAAAGGGUUGAAAGAGAUUAGGAUUUAACGCUGAGUUUAGUUUUUAUUGACCACUAAGUUAAUUAUUAAAAUUUAUUUUGUGCUUUUUCUUUCAUUUAUCUUACAUAACAAUUAUUUAUUGAGAUUCUUGUCCAAUUGAAAGAUAUUAGAUAAAAGGUUAUUAAAACUUUAGUUAUUUUUGUGUAUAAAACAAAAACUUUGGAUUAUUUAGUUUCAAAAGAAAAAAAAUCGAGACUUUGAGUUGCUUUGGAACAAAUUAUAUUUGAAAUUGAAAAGAAGAAGAAAAAAACCAUACAACGAGAAAGAGAAAAUAUAAAUGGGGUUAAUUCUAAUAAUAUGUCCUUAAAUAUAAUUGUAUAUAAUAGGGGUUUUAUAAGAUUAAUGAAGAGGUGAUCCAACAUUUUCACAAUUUGUUUUCAAUUUUUAUUCAUCACCCCGAUGCCCCAAUUUAUUUUCGUUAUUAUGUAGGUGUGGUGUUACUAGAAAUCAAAUGCUGCCUUUUUUUUCUUUUUUCUUUUUUCUUUUCUUUUCCUCUCCUCUCCUCACUUAUAGUGGAAUAUGGAGAAUUAAACAAAACCAAUUCCCAAUCAACGUUAACAUACGUUAUAUAAUAUAUUACACAUUACAAUUAUUUGUAUUUGAACCAGACUCGAAACAAAAAUUGGGUAGCCGCUUGCUGGAUUUUGUAUGGAACUUAGAGGAGAAACUUGGUAAUGAAGUGUGUGGAGGUGCGGAGACAACAGUCAGUAGGCGGUAGCAGCAGAUCUGGUCGUGGUCCUCACAGAGCAGUAGAUCAGCUGGCGGUUGGCGUUGGCGGUGAUUGUGGCGAGCGUGUGUUGGUUGCGGCUGUGUGUGUGUGUGUGUGUGUGUUUCUACUUGUGUUGAGUGUUGACUUGAGGGUGGGGAAGUGACCCAUGAGGCGUGAAGGAGGGGAGUAGAGGCUGGAGUGCGCUGUGUGGUCUCUCGUUGAGGUUUGAGGGGGAGGUAGUGAGGCGUGAGGGAGGGGAAUGAGGCUGCUGGGUACGGCUGGGUGCGCUGAGUGUGUGGUCUACUAGUUUUAUGCCUCUAUCUCUACUCGUUUUGUGCCUCCAUCUCCGUGAUGUGUGUCGUAUACGUGUGUGGUGUGUGAGGCUAUGUAGUGUGUGGUCUGUGCUCUGCAGCGUCACUAGUGCUUGAGUGCUUGUUGUUGGAUGCAUGUGUGUUGUAUCAGUGUGGGUUGUUCACUUUCUUCUUUAAGCCAACCCAUUCAGGUUAUCGAAUUGGAUCAGAUUUCACCCGAUCCGAUCGGGUUGGCAACAUUUGAUCCGAUCGGAUAUUAUGGUCAAUCCGAUCCGAUCUGAACCUAAUUUUUUUCGGAUCGAAUCGGGUUGGAUUGGUUAUUUUGCCCACCCCUACUGCCCACUGUCCCCCCUUGCCUCCUCACCAUACAAAUAACAAUUGAAAAUUAGGCCAAUUAAAUUAAAGGCAAGACGGGAUGGAAAUAUGGAAUCGUUAAUUAUUAUACCCAUGACCCCUCUAAUUAAUGGUUAUUUCCCUUUUGAUAUUAUUGUACGUGUUUGAAAGGAAACCUCAUCUAUCUUCCUUCCAAUUAAGACUAUUGUAUGUCCAAUUAAUGUAAAUUGUUUUUGAACGUGUAGAGGAUAACAUGACAAUGCGGAGACAUUUAAAGUUGAUUGAUAGAAGGAAAAAAUUUCCUAAAUAAUGAAGUUAAUUGAAAAAAUUUUAAAUUAACAAAACUAGAGUUUUAGAUCUUUUUAUAUAAUAACUUUAACUAUAAUAAAAUUCUCCUAAUCUGAAUAAAAAAUCCAAAACAAACAGUGCUCAAAUAUGUUAUUUAGGAAAAAAAAGAUAAAACUUUUAGAAGAAAUAAGAAAAAAUGGACGAAUAUCUUAAAAACGAAAAAUGACAAGGAAAGAAACAAAUUUCUAGGCUCAAGUAAGGCCCAAAAUGGCAUAAGCUUUAUAAGCUUGAUUUGUCUUCUCGUAAACUUUAAAACGAUAUAUUAUACACUCAAAACGGAUACAUAUGGCCUAAAUUACGCCCUUUGGAAAGUACCCUUCUCAUCCCACACGCCCAUCAUACAUUAGUCCCUCUCACUUGGAAAAGAACUCGCCAUCGAGUUUGACUCGUACAACGCCUCAUCAUCUAAAUGAUAUUUAAACAGAUCAACCAUAUUGAAUGUGUAAGAGAUCUUCUAGUUGUCCGGUAGUUGGAGAACAUAAGAAUUAUUAUUAAUCUUCCUUGCCACACGAAAUGGUCCAUACUUGAUGUGGACUUGCAUCACUUUCCCGUGUCGAUGCCUGUUCGCAUCGACCUUGUACAUAGCAUUUGCAACCUCCAAAUGAGCUCGUACCUUGGCAUGAAUCUGUAGAGCCCUUUCUUUUCUACCACAUUAUUCACUAUUUUUUAUACGAACCCCAUCAAGAACUAACACGACCCUAAUCAAUUUAGUUCCUAAGAUCGAAUCUAAACCAGGAAUUGAAUGGAACCCCGACCCAAUGCUUAAUGAAAGCACGAACCUUGGUAUGUGAAGACGCCACAAUCAGCUAUGGAUGGUCUGAUUGAUAAGUCAAGAGUUUGAACGUCACGGAAAUUCAAUAAGUUCAAAGAGUUUGUAAAGAACCAAAGAGAAUUAACUCUCUCACCAAUUGCAUCAAAAUUUAUCUCUGCUUAUUGGAUACGAAUACAUUAUAUGGGGCUGGUUACAAGAAUUUUUGGAAAUAAAUCCUAAGCCAAAAAUCAAAUCUGAAUAUGAAUAUAAACAAAUAGGAAAGAAUAUAAAUCAAAUUAGAAUCCUAAUCUAAGUAAAUAGGAAAGAAUAUAAAUCAAAUCAGGAUCCUAAUUGGCUUAAAUGUCUUACAUCAAUUAAAAUGGAAACUAGGCGAUUAAAAUAGAAAUAAUUGAUUUGUUUCCUUAAUAGCCUCCUCAAGAAACGAGAAAGUAUCUGAAAAAAAGAAAAAUAAUAUAUUUUCCCGCCAUAAUGUGCAAGCCAACUCCUUAUUUCAUGGAAAUAAUUAUUUGGAAACUUCAAGAGCCUAAAUCAUCCAUUUAUCACGAUUCCUUCAACGGGCCUCCACGAAUUUGAUUGAGCCCAAGUUGCUUGAAUCAAUCCAUUACGCGCUUCUUUGAAUUUCUUUGCUCGAUCUCUUGUAACAGGUCCGACGGGAACUUGAGUAGGAUCUGAAUAUGCCUCAUCCCAUGUGUUUGUGAUAGUUUUAUCCUUAAUCUCAUCAUUCCCCUCCUUUUGAAGAGGAUUUGUCCUCAAAUCAUCACCUACAUCAAAAGAACUCAAAUUAGAAACAUGAAAAGUAGCACUUACAUUGUACUCACCAGGAAAAUCCAGUUUCUAGGCAUUGUUAUUGAUCCGUUCCAAAACUUGGAAUGGGCCAUCCCCUCGAGGUAAUAACUUAGAUUUCCUUUGUUUAAGAAAUCGUUCCUUGUGCAUGUGUAACCACACCUAAUCGUCGGGUUCAAAGACUAGCUUAUGUCGCCCUUUGUUAGCUUGUUUAGCAUAUUGCUCAAUUAUCCUCUCAAUGUUGAACUUCGCCUUUUCAUGUAUCUGUUUAACAAUUUCAGCCUUUUUCUUGCCAUCUAAGUUAACACGAUAAAAAAUAGGUAAUGGAGUUAAAUCCAAUGGGGUUAAAGGAUUAAAACCAUAAACAAUUUCAAAUGGUGAAUACUUAGUAGAAGAAUGAACAGAACGAUUAUAAGCAAACUCAACCUGUGGUAAACAAUAUUCCCAAGUUUUGAUGUUCUUUUUAAUGAUAGCUCACAACAAAGUAGAUAAAGUUCUAUUCACAACUUCUGUUUGACCAUCAGUUUGUGGGUGAAAACAACAACUAAGUUCCUAACUUAGCCCAUAAUAUUUUCCAAAAGUAACUUAAAAACUUAACAUCCAUAUCAGAAAAAUUGUCCUGAGCAUACCAUGCAACCUUACAAUCUCCCUAAAGAAUAGGUCAGUGACAUUAUAAGCAUCAUCCGUUUUGUGACAUGGAAUAAAAUGUGCCAUAUUUGAAAAUUUAUUUACAACCACAAAAAUUGAGUCUUUCCCUUGUUUAGACCUAGGUAAACCUAGUACAAAAUCCAUCGAAACAUCAGUCCAAGGUGCACUAGGUAUUGGAAAAGGGGUGUAUAAGCCAUAAGGUUGCACUUUCGAUUUGGCUUGCCUAUAAGUGACACAUUUACUACAAAGUCUUUCAACAUCUCGUUUCAUAUGUGGCCAAUAGAAGUGUUCCUGUCAAACUGCUAGUCUUUACAACUCCAAAAUGCCUUAUUAACCCUCCUCCAUGGGAUUCUCUCACUAACAAAUCUCUCAAAGAACGGUUAGGCACACAUAAUUUAUUCUCCUGAAAUAAAUAGUCAUCAUGCCUAAAGUAUUUACUGACUGUGGUCUUUUCACAAGCUUGGUAUUCAACAUUAAAAUCAUGGUCAUCAGCAUACAAUUCCUUAAUAUGUUCAAAACUAAGUAGUUUAGCAUUAAGUGUUGAUAUUAAGACAUACCUGCGGGAAAGCGCAUAUGCAACAAUAUUUUUUUACCUUACUUGUAACGAAUGACAUAUGGAAAUGUCUCUAUGAAUUUUACCCAUCGAACAUGCCUCUUGUUCAGCUUGUGUUGGCCUUUAAGGUGUUUUGAGGACUUAUGAUCGGUGUGAAUCAUGAACUCCUUAGGCUAUAGGUAGUGUUGCGACAUUUCUAACGCUCGAACCAGCACAUACAACUCCUUAUCAUAAGUAGGGUAGUUUAAGUUUGCCCCACUCAGGUUUUCACUAACGUAAGCAAUUGGUCGUCCCUCCUACAUUAGGACUGCACCAAUACCAAUCCUGAGGCAUCGCAUUCAAUUUCAAAUGUUUUAUUAAAGUUAGGCAAAGAGAAUAAUGGAGCAUUUGUCAGCUUUUGCUUGAUCAUUUGAAAUGUCUCCUCUUGUGCUUCUCCCCACUUGAAUCCAACAUUUUGUUUUAUUACUUUAGUAAGCAGUGCGGCUAGUGUGCUAAAGUCUUUCAUAAAUCAUUGGUAGAAACUAGCGAGCACAUGAAAGCUUCUCACAUUACUUACACUUGUGGGACUCGGCCAGUCUUGGAUUGCACAUACCUUUUCCUCAUCAACUUGUAUACCAUGUGCACUGACAAUAAAUUCUAGAAACACACAUUUAUUUUCUAAGCAUGUCUAAAAAAAAUUUCAAAUGUAUUACAUGAUCGUUUAUGUUUUUGCUAUAAAUGAGGAUAUCAUCAAAAUAAACAACAACAAACUUGUCAAUAAAAGAUCGCAAGACAUGAUUCAUAAGUCUCAUAAAAGUGCUCGGGGCAUUAGUUAGACCAAAAUGCAUGACUAAUCAUUCAUAUAAACCAUAUUUUGUUUUAAUGGCAGUUUUCUAUUCAUCUUCUUCUUUCAUUCUAAUAUGAUGAUAUCCACUUUUCAAAUCAAUUUUGGAAAAUACACAAGACCCAUGUAAUUCAUCAAGCAUAUCAUCUAACCUAGUAAUGAGAUGUCGAUGCUUUACCGUUGUGUUGUUGAUGGCUCGACAAUCAACACACAUCCUCCACAUCUCAUCCUUCUUAGGAACUAAUAAAACGGGAAUUGCACAUGGACUCACGCUUUCUCUCACGUACCCUUUUUUCCAUUAAUUCAUUAACCUGCCUUUAAAGUUCCUUGGUCUCCUCCAGGUUGCUCCUAUAGGCUGGUCUAUUUGGAAUGGUUGUACCGGGCACAAAAUCAAUCUGAUGCUUAAUCCCUUGGAUUGGAAGUAAACCAUGUGGUGCUUCCUCAGGAAAGAUAUCCUCAUACUCCUGUAAACGAGAAGUAAUAGAACUAGGCAAGGUAUGGUCAAAUUCGUUAGUGCUUAAAAAUGUCUCUUUGUACAAAACUACAAUCAUCGACUGAUGUAAAAACAAUGCUUUUUUAAUCUCAUUGGCUCUCGCGUAGAAAUUCUUUUGUUUUCCAUCUGAUUUUCGCUCAAUGGGCGCAUUUUUCUUUGGUUUUUCUCUCACAUUUUACUCUGCCUCGUUUUGAAUUUCACUACCUUUUUCUCUCAUUUUCUUUUGCUCACUCUUUCUUUGUAAGCUCACUUGGUCUCCAUAAGCCUACUUUGGUGUCAAUGGAACAAGAGUGAUGUUGUAUUAAUUAAAUACAAAUGAAUAUUUAUUGGUGAAGCCAUCAUGCUUCACACGUCUGUCGAAUUGCCAAGGCCACCCAAGUAAUAAGUGUCUAGCCUGCAUUGGCAUUAUAUCACAAAGCACCUUAUCUUCAUACUUUCCAAUCCGAAAGUCACUAGUAACUACUUGUUCACUUGCACCUCACCACUGUCAUUUAACCAUUGUAAUUUAUAUGACCAUGGGUGUUUAAGUGUCGGAAGCCCUAACUUCUCUACCAUGAUAGUACUAGCAACAUUAGUACAACUUCCUCCAUCAAUAAUCAUACUACAUACUUUGUCUUGAGCAUAGCACCUAGUAUGGAAAAUGUUUUCCCGUUGCACUGCUUCGUCUUCCUUUACUUGUACACUCAAACCUCUCCUCGCUACUAAAGUCAAUUCCCCAGGGGCUAUUGUUGUGAAAAUUUUAAUAUACUCGCAAGCGCACGAAUCUAGAAAUAAAAUAGUGGUAACGAGGUCGAUCCCACAGGGAAUGUUAUAAAUUGUAAAGUCUAAUUUAAAUCUAAAAUUAAUAUUAAUCCUAACCUAGUUGAGCAAAUUGAGUUUUAAAAGAAAUUAAACUAAUUAAACUAACAAAGCAAUUAAAGUAAAUGAGAUUUCAAUAAGACAAAAAUUACCAAGGUUUCAAAAUCUACCACUAUUCAACUAGUAAUUAUCCAAUUAUUAAUUAAUCCCCAAUUUUAGAGUGACAACUCGAAAUUAAUCUAUGUCAUCUCAUGGAUAUAACAAUUAAGCCCAAAUAAAAUUAAUCUUGUGUAGGUUCUUUUUCUGCUUAAUAGUGUGAUAUUUAAGCGUCCCAUAUAAACAUAUUGAAUAACAAAGAGUCAAAGUUUCCUAAUUACUCUGUGUAAACAAUUUAAUGAAAGACAUAGAAUCAAAGAUAAUCAUGUAUAAACUUUAUAGAUGCAAGCAUAGAUUUAAUCGAAUAGUAAUCCUAACAAUCAACAAUGCAUGACAGAAUUGAUGAAAAGAUUUUAAUAACAUCCAACUAAUCAUGUGAAAUAAAAACCAUAAUCAUCAAAGAAUAUAUAUAGGGAAUUAAUUAAAUAAAAAUAUAAUUAUUUCAUUGAAUAGGGUUUCAUUCUUAACCUCAGCAUAAGAAAAUUAGCUAGACAUACUUGAAUUGGGAGCAACAAAAGAAAUAAAAUCAGCCAUGGAAAAAGUAAAUUGCUUCAGCUCUUCCUUUUCCUCUCUGCCGAAGCAUUUGCUUCCUUUUUCUUCCUCUGGCGGCUGCCCUUCUCCAAAAACCAAAAGCUUGCUUUUAUAUUACUCUUUAAAAUGGGCCCCACUGACCUUGUUAUUUCUUAAGCCAAAAGGCUUGGCCUUUUAAUUUUCUUUGCUCUCACUCACGUGCUCACCAAUUAAGCUUGCACUAGGAUUCUUUUUUCCACUUAUGAAAGCCAAGUGUGGGUCCUUUUAAGUUGCUUUCCAUGCAUUACAAUGCCAUGCACGUCCAGCUCACUUGAAAAAUUGAAAUUCUUUUUGAGUGCAAAUUACUCCUGUCUUUACAUGCUAUAAACUCUUAAUUGUGUCACGGCUUUGUUUCCCAAACUUGUUAUUCUUUAUGGACUUUUCAUUCUUAAUCUCCAAUUAAUUCCCUAUUCAAUAAAACAAUUCAAUUAAUUAAAAAUAACAAAUAAAAAUAACUAGCAAUUAUAUAAUUAAGGGUAAAAUAUGUAUAUAAAUUAUGCUCAUCAGCUAUAUACUCUUCGUAUUUAACGUCCUCUAAUGGUGGCAUCUCAUUUUCUUCCGUUUCAUCUUCAGUUACAAUCUUACCAUUGUCUCACAACAUCAUAACUCUCUUAUUCACACAUUCACUUGCGAUAUGCUUGUUGUCUUGAUAUUUAAAACAGUUAAUGUCACAAUUCCUAAUAGUAAGAGGCACGGUGUUACCUUGUGAAUUGUGCUUGGAGGGCUCAGAUCUUAGCUUAGGUGCAAUAGAUGCUUGUAGCCUCUCAUCUCGUUUCACACAUAGCUCGACUUCCAAUGAGUGGAACUCAAGCUUGGGGCUGCACGGGUGUUACCCCUCCUGUUGAGUUGCUGCUCAAUCUUGAUGGCUUUGUGUACCAUCUCAUAAAUCUUCACAUAAUGUUGAAACUCAACCUUAUCUGCUCUAUCAUCCUCCACAUUUGCUCUAAUCAUGACAAUCUCCAUUUCAUUAUAAUAAUCCUUCAUGCUUCGGCUACCAUGUGUAAGAUUUGUAAUUUUUUGUACAAGUCUCAAUAAUAGAGGUUAGGUACAAAAUGUCUUCUCAUCAAUGAUUUCAUUUCAUCCCAUAUCUCAACUGGACAUUCUCUAUUUCGCCUCUUACUUAUAACAAGUUUAUCCCACUAAGUAAUAACAUAGUCAGAAAACUCAAUCACAACCAAUUUUACCUUUUUUGCCUCUGAAUAAUUGUGGCAAUCAAAUAUGAACUCUUUUUUCUUCUUCCAUUCAAGGUAUGCUUCUGGGUCGGAUUUUCUUUGAAAAGAUGUGAUCUUCAUCAUUAUGCCACUCAAUCCAUUAUCUCUAUUCCUAACUCUCCUACCUCGUCCAUUUCUCCUAUAGCUACCCACUAGGUCAUUCCCUUCAUCAUACCCAUCCCUAUAAUAGUCAUCAAUCUCUCUUCUAGCUGGAGAUCUUUCUCUUCUACGUGCUUGGGGAACAUGUUGUGGCUGCCCUGCACGUGUGUUCUCUACUUGAUCCAAACGCUCGUGUAUGAGCUCUAAUUCAGCUCUCAUCAUCCUUCUUAUCAAAUUAUAGGAACCUCGUGUGUUCUCCACUUGGUUGCCCUGCACGUGUGUUCUCCACUUGGUUGCGAUGCACGUAUGUUCUCCACUUGGUGCUUAGGCUUUGAUACCAAAUGAUAGGAACCCCGUCAAGAACUAACGCGCCCCUAAUCAAUUUAGUCCCCAAGAUCGAAUCUAAACCAAGAAUUGAAUGGAACCUCGACCCAAUGCUUAAUGAAAGCACGAACCUUGGUAUGUGAAGAUGCCACAAUCAACUAUGGAUGGUCUGAUUGAUAAGUCAAGAGUUUAAACGCCAUGGAAAUCUGAUAAGUUCAAAAAGUUUGUAAAGAAUCAAAGAGAAUUAACUCUCUCACCAAUUGCAUCAAAACUUAUCUUUAUUUAUUGGAUACAAGUACAUUAUACAGGGUUGGUUACAAGAAUUUUUGAAAAUAAAUCCUUUACCAAAAAUCAAAUCUGAAUCGGAAUCUAAACAAAUAGGAAAAAAUCUAAAUCAAAUCAGAUUCCUAAUCUAAGCAAAUAGGAAAGAAUCUAAAUCAAAUCAUAAUCAUAAUCUAAGUAAAUAGGAAAGAAUCUAAAUCAAAUCAAGAUCCUAAUUGGCUUAAAUGUCUUACAUCAAUUAAAAUAGAAACUAGAUGAUUAACAUAGAUAUAACUGAUUUGUUUCCCUAAUAGCCUCCUCAAGAAACGGGAAAGUAUCUGAAAAAAAGGAAAAUAAUAUAUUUUUCCGCCAUAAUGUGCAAGCCAACUCCCUAUUUCAUGGAAGUGUUUAUUUGGAAACUUUAAGAGCUUGAAUCAUGCAUUUAUCAUGUGCGAUUCCUUCAACAGGCCUCCACGAAUUUGAUUGAGCCCAAGUUACUUGAAUCAAUCUAUUAAGUGCUUCUUUGAAUUUCUUUGCUUGAGCUCUUGUAACGGGUCCGCCGGAACUUGAGUAGGAUCUGAAUAUGCCUCAUCUCAUGUGCUUAUGAUAGUUUUAUCCUUAAUCUCAUCAAUUUUACUCCCUCAAACUGCUAUGGGCAUGAUAGCCAGAUCAUAAACAUGGCAUGGGGAACAAGUGUAGACAAUCUCAUAAAAGGUCUUACCACCAUGUUAUUGCAAGCAAACUUGACUUGAGGCAAGAUAGCUUCCCAAUUCUAUUGCUUGUCACCAUAAACAUAACACAACAUAUUGACCAGAGUGCGAUUGACCACCUCUAUUUGACCAUUUGUUUGCAAAUGAAAAGCACUACUAAACUGUACUGAAUUUAUCCUAUAGAUGAUGCCAAAACUUGCUGAUAAACUUCACAUCCAUGUCAGAAGUAAUAGUCUUUAGCAUACCAUGCAAACUUACCACUUCUUCAGAGAACAAAUGUGCAACUAAAGCAGCAUCUUCAGUAUUCUUACAAGCAAUAAAAUGCACAAUCUUUGAAAACAUAUUGAUCACAGCCUAUCAAUAUGUUCCCUUAAAAACUUUGAGGCAUAUAUAACUAAUUAGAUUUGAACAGAUACCCAUCUUGAAUAAGGAAUUCUUUUACAUUUUGAUGAUUAAUACACCAAUCUUAAAUAUGCGCAAAGUUUUCCUCCUUAGCAUACAACUCCCUCAAGCAUUCAAAACCAGUAACUUCAAUGACGAGAACAGUAAAGUAGCUUGCCUACUAAGUGCAUCUGCUAUCUUAUUCUAUUGCCCAAAUUUAUACUUCACAAUAAAAGUGAACUUUUACGUAUAGCUCACCCAUCUUGCAUGCAUCUUGCUCAUAUGUUGUUGGUGUUAAAGUACUUGAUUGCUUGAUGGUCACUAUAAGGUACGAACUCUUUGCAAAUCAAGUAAUGUUCUUAUGACUUCAACACUCUGAGGAUUGCAUAAAAUUCUUAGUCGUAAGUAGACCAUUUAUGUCAUGUUUUAUUUAACUUCUCACUUAUAUACAUAAGUGGUCGUCUCUCUUGAGAAAGAACAGCCCCAAUACCAUUACCAUAAGCAUCACAUUCAACCUCAAACAACUUGAUGAAGUUUGGUAAGGCUAACAUAGGAGUAGUAAAAAAAUUCUCUUUUAAUAAAGGAAAACUCGCACUUCGCAAUAAGUGGGGCUAUGGUACUAAAACUACAAAUAAAUAUCUUAUAAAACAUCGUCAACCAAUGAAAACUCCUAACUUCACCUACUGUCUUCGGCAUAGGCCAUUCUUUAAUGGCUUGUAUCCUCGACUCAAUAGCUCCAAUCAUAUCUACAUCAGUUAUAAAACCAAAAAUUCCACAUUACUUUACAGAAAGCUACAUCUUUAGAUUAAUGAAAAGUUUAUUUUUUUGCAACAUCUUUAUAAUCAUUCUCAAAUGUUCUAGGUGUGCCACCACAUCAACAGAAUAAACUAAGAUACUGUCAAAAUUCACUACAAUAAAUUUACAGGAAAAAGGCUUAAAACUUGAUUCAUUUAGUGCAUAAAAGUGCUUGACACAUUAGACAAUUAGAAUGGCAUAAAAAACCACUCAUACAACCCUUCGUUUAUUUUAAAUAUUGUCUUCCACUCACCAUCAGGCCUAAUUUUGAUAUUGUGAUAUCCAUUAUGCAAAUAUAUCUUUGAGAAAACUCGAGCAUCAUUUAGUUGGUCUAAUAACUCUUGAAACGUAGAAUAGGAAAUCGAUACUUCACUAUAAUAUGGUUAAUUAGCCUACUGUCUGUACAUAUAUGCCAACUCUCAUCCUUUUUUGGUACCAACAAAGUUAGUAUAGUACAUGAACUCAUGCUCUCAUGAAUGAAACCUUUCCCUAACAAUUCAUCAACCUGCCCUUGUAAGAUCACAUGCUUGUGAGGGCUCAUACGAUAAUGGGGCAAGUUAGGUAAACUUGCACCAUAUCUCAUAAAGGUGGCAGCCCGUCUAACAACUUUAGUGAUCUAAUAUCAACAAACUCAAUUAAUAAUGGCCGUACUUUUUUCAAAAACAAUCUUCACCUUUAAUUCUUCUUUUUUCUCUAGCUUCUAGCAAUCAUCGCAAUCAUCUUCUUGAUGAUUUUUAACAACCUUAGUAUUCCUCUUUUUGUUCGUUAAAGGCAUCAACGAACCUUUUUGUUAUUCCACCAAAACUCAUACAUAUUAUCCUCUCUUCUAUACUGUAUCAACAUCAAAUUGCUAAAGUUUACUAAAUAAUAGAUGGCACGCAUCCAUAUUCUUUACAUCGCACAACACAUCACUCUUAUAAAUCUUCCCAAUGGAGAAAAGAACACAACAUACCUUUAUUACUUGCAUUUCUGUCUUUUUAUUUAUCAAUCGUAUUCUGUCAGAUACUGGAUUUUUUUGGUUAAAAGUCCUAUCAUGUCAAAUAGCACCUUUGAAAAUAUGUUCUCGCUACUGCCACUAUUAAUUAUAAUGUUGCACACCUUGUCAUUGAUAAUGCCAUAUGUUUUAAAAAUCUUAUUGCGCUGAUUAUCCUCUUUAAAUUUCAAUGCUAAUAAACUCUUUUAUAUAAUACAAUUUAGUCUCUCCUUCAUUUGCUUCAAACUCUAAAGCUUCUUCGUCAUCCCCAUUCUCAAUGUCGUUCAACUUUGUCUUGCUGACUUUAGCCUCUACUAAAUUCAAAUUUUUAAGAUGAUAGUCACUUGAUCGAUGGCCUGGCUCCCUACACUUCAAACACUUGUUCAGCAUAGGCUUCACUAUAAGUGAUUGUAUCUACUAUCUCAUCUUAUAUCUCUUGUUUUAAUCUACCAAUAUAUUUCGUAACUAUUCAAAAUUAUGGCUCAUCCAUAUUAUUUUUAGUGUGUAGACGAUAAAAUUCCUUUAUGUAUUCAUCGGCAUUGUGAUUUCCUUACCUUCAGUUUUGAUAUUUAAAAUAUAGUUGCUACCAGUAAUCUACUGGCAGGAAAUACUCUCUCAUCAUCCUCUGCAUUCUAGGCCACAAUUUCAUAAUUUUUUUUGCAACUUUUCUUUAGUUUUGUAUGUAUUGCCAUCAUGCAGAAGCUACGAAAGCUUAACUCACUUCUCUUGAGGAAUCUCUAUAUACUCGAAAAAAUUAUCCACUUGUGAUAUCCAGUCUAAAAAUUUUUCAACAUGCCUCCCACAAAAAAAAAUCCAGAAUAUUAACAUUAAUCUUGUAAUCUGAACUCUUUUUGCGCCCCUAUCAUCCUCUACAUAUUCUUCUUCUUCUUAAUCGUUUCUUAGCUCCUUACGCACACGUAUUGGUUUUCAUCACGCAGGGCCUAAAUUUUGAGGUACUACUUCACCAUUGAUGCCUUGAGGUUUUAUUUCAUGACCAAUCGCUUGAGGUAUCUCCAUGUAGUUGUAAUCUUCAGGUUGUACACCACGAUUGACUCUUUGAAGUACUUCCUUGUGAUUAAAUUUUUGUUGUUGACCUCUUUUUCUGUUUUUGUUCAAGCAAAACUUAAGACUCAUGAUUGUCUCGCUCUAUCGCCACCAAUCUCGAGUUAUAAGCUUCCUCAAUUGCUUUCAAGGUUGCUUCUCUAGCCGCCCGUCUGACAGCCUCCACAGUCCUUGCCUGCAUCCCUUUAUUAACAUGUAUUUGUCUAUAAUGAUGAUUUUGAUGAUAACAAAUAAGAUUAAGAAUGAUUAAAUUUUUAAAAACUCAAAUUAUUUUUCAUACAUUUUAAAUAAAUCAUUAUUUUCAUAUAAUAAAGGUUUUAUAUUCAAAGGUAAAGUGAUUUCAUGAAAUUGGUUGUUUUUCAAGUUCAUGGUCUAAUUGAAAAAAAUUUGAGAACUUUAAAAUCAACAAGUAUUGCUCAAAAUUCUAGAAAUGGACUUGUUUGAAAAGUAUCAUAAAGUUAUGGGCCAUAGUAUAAGUACAAAAAGUUUUGGGGCAAAAAUAUAAUUUUAGAAAAUAGUUUCAUUGUAGUAGUCACUGUAGCAAACAGCUAACCGACAAAAAAAAAAAAAAUUCAAGAUUAGCCUCUGGACACUAACGGCAAACCGACUUCUUGAAAAUGGUAAACCGACAUCUUCUUUGCAAGUCACCGGACGAUAACGGCGAUCCGAAAUUUCAAUAACGGUGAUCCGACAAUUUGAAAUUCUUUCCAAUGGUAACUUGCUCAAGUUAAAACGGAAAUUCGACUUCUAUAUAACGCCGAUCCGACUUGGAGCAAAUUAUCUGUAACGGCUAUUUUUCAGCUCAAACUAUAAAAAGGCUCACUUAAACACAAACAAUGGAGAUUCCAACUACUAUCAUUGAGCAAACUAUUGAGCAUACAACUUUCAUUGAGCUUUAAAUUCUUGUAUUCAUCUCAAUUAUUCACAUACUAGGAUUUCAUUUGUAAUCAAACACAUUGUGUGAGAGAGAUUUAUUUGUAAUCCUUUUUGUAAAAUCAAGUUGAGAGGUUGUAAGUGUUGGGAUACACUUGGGUUAAGAGAUUAUGGAUAAUCUCUUAUUGUAAAGGUCUAUUUAAAGGAAAACAUUUGUCCAUGCGGUUCCUAAAAUCGCAACUUUUGUGCAGUAAAAAUAAAACGGACGGCGGAAGCUCUAGAAACCUCGGAUCGGCUUCAUUCAAAAAAGAAAAUCAAGAGGAAAGAUUGAAGUUUAAUUACCUCACUUGCACUUUCAAAAACGACUUCGUGAGGUAGGAGAAAACGACUGAAAACAGCAAGCAACGAACACUGUCCAGAAAAUACAGCUCAGCACGAACAGCUUCUGUUUUGCCACAAUCUAAGAUCCUUAAAGCACCCCAAUUGUGAUGCCUCUAAUUAGUCCACACUUAGAAAUGUUCUAGGAGUUCAGAGCAUUUGGAAUCUCGAAAUUUCGUUUAGAAAUGAGAGAGAUAAUGAAGAAACAUGAAUGCUAGUUCAUGAUGAUUCAUCCCACCAAAUAAAGCUACCAUUAUCUCUAAUAAUGGCACCAAACAUUAUCAUGUGCUAGACCCACCCACUUAGCUAUUAUUUAUUAAAAGUGAUCUUAUCACUUAAAUAAAUUAUUUAAUCAAAUAAAUAAAUAGCUAAAUUAAUUAAUUUCGCAAUUAAUUAAUUAACCCCAUUUUGAUCAAAUCAAAUGGUUAAAUGUGGGCUCAUUUUGUGACAUGUUCUAAUGCUUUCUCUUAAUCCAUAUUAGAUCCAAUAAAAGCCCAAAAUUCUAAACCCAAAAUUGGUCUAGAAGUUCAUAAUCAUAUAUGAACCCGAACAUGUACAAAAUGGUCAUUUUACGUGCUCGAUAUUACAUAAUGUUUAAUGGAGGAUUUACGAAAUUUAUUUUGUUCCUUAAACUAUUUAUGGAACAUCUAAAUUUCUAUCUUAAAUCAUAUUUAAGAUAUAUUUAUAUAUAUAUUCAUUCUCAGUGAAUUAUAAUAUAAAUAUUGAUUUUCCUAAAAUUAGGAAAUUUAACUUCUCAUUUUCUAGUAACUCCUUUUUCAUUUCUAUUUAGUGUGUGACCUUUUAGGUUCUUAGUUAUAAGGUAGUAGAACUAUUUUAAUGAUAACUCUUUAUUCAUUAAAUGAUGCUAAACUCUUUAGUCAUCAAUUAGAACUUUUCUAAUGACCUUAAGAUGCAUUGCUAAUACGCUUUACCAAUAUUGAUCUUAAGGUUUCUACAAGUCAUGAGUGACACCUAGCAGUAUAUCACAACUAUCCAAAUAACAAGAAUUGUUGGAUCUAUAGAACCUAUUCCAUUGUAUCUCUAUGUCUUGGUCUCUUCAUCAUCCAUGUCCAGAGAAAAGCACGGCUUAUGGUUUAUUAUGUUAAGCACUUAUGCUUUAUCUCAAAAUAAAUCUAAAUGAACUUGACAUGAAAAUAUAAUUUGAACUCCUUCAAAUAUAUUUCACCUUGGCCAAGGAUUUCUCAUGCCAAUUCAUAUCAUCUCAUAGGGACAUCCUUUUUGUAUAUUACAAAGUGAUGAAUUCCAUAUUGGCCAUACACUUGUCUUCAUACAUAGCCAACCAUGACAGCUAUUGCUAGAUCUCUUCCGUGAUUAGGAAUCAAUCAUUAUGCUUUCACAUAUCAGAGAUGUCUAUGUAUAAGACAUAUGUUAUGCCUCAGGUCUAAAGACCAUUACUAAACAUAGUGUCUAAUACAAUGUAUAAUAAGCCAUUAACACUCAAAACCAUAUGGCUUACUAUAUUUGGUCAAGUUCAGUAAACUCGUUCUCUCAACAAGUACCUAUGUGUUUGACUUGACAUCUCAUGUCAAUGAUAUGAAACUCACCAUCCAUUUUAGUAUCACAUUCCAUAAGGAGUCAUAACACAUACUAGUGUUUAUAGGAAUUUAUAAUGUCCAAUCAUAAAUCCACCACUAGGAACUAUUUUAGAAGUAUAGUACAAAGGAUGCACGUUUCAUAUUCUCGACGAACUCGAGAAUGUGUUCCUUAACUAUUUUACUUCUUGGACUAUAUUCAUUCAAUUAAUUUAUGAAUAUUGAUAACUAUGCCAUUUUAUAAAUAUCAAAAUGCUAUUCAAAUACAAUAAUUCCCUAAGCAAACAAACACCAUUUGAUUGGCCUUUAAGGCAUAUUACUAACAAUCUCCCACUUGCAAUAAAGCCAAUCGAGUUGUUGAAGCCUUGGAGGCUUACUUAGUAAAAUCUUCAAGCCUGAUAAGCUUGAAGGCGUGGACGUAAGCACGGUUGGCGAAACCACAUAAAAAUCAUGUGUUUGCUCUCUCUUACCCUAUCUCCUUAUUUUUUAUUUCACAUUAAUUUUUUUUAUUUCAAAUUUGAUUGCCUUGUUUAAAUUGCAUUUAGUUUUUUAGUUGCUUAAAUUUUUUAGAAACUCAAUUCACCCUCCCUUUUGGGUUGCCUAAUUAGUAUUUCAUCAUUGAUCGUCGUCUUCGGGACAAUUGCUCCUAUGAUCGUGUGGUCGUACCAUAAUGAUAAGCGAACUUGCUUUGAUACUAAUUAACGAUGCGAAAAUGUUUAAAUUUGCUGGAUAGAAGAAACAAAAGUUUCUAAAUAAUGAAGUUUAUUAAAAUGUCUGAAAUUAAUAAAACUAUAGUUUUGGGCCCCUUUAUAUAAUAAUCAUAAAUAUUUUGAAUUUAACAAAAUAGGUAAAUCUAAAAAAUUAUUUUAUAAUAAAAUUCUCAUAAUUUGAAUUAAAAAAUCUAAAACAAAUGGUGCCCAAAUCUAAGAUCUUAAAAAAAGAUAAAAAUCAUAAUAGGAAUAGAAAAUAUGAGAAAAUAUCUUAAAACAAAAAAAACGACAAGGAAAGAAAUGGAUUUUUACGCUCAAACACUGCCCAAAACUAUGCAACAAUUCUAGUUUUCAUUCGUCUCGUCACAAGCUUCAAAACAGUAUAUAAUAGGCCUAAAAUAGACACACAUAACCUAAGUUAUACCUUUCGAAAAGUAUCUCAUUCGUCCUGCGCAUCCAUCCUACAUCAUAACAGCUUGAAGACUUAGGAGGGCCAGCUUAAUUCAAAGUCAAGACUAGCUUAUUACCUUGCAGGAUUUUUAAUUGUUAGGGAAACAAUUGUUGAAAGAUGCUGGGUAUAAAGUUUAUAAAACUUUAAUUAUUUCAUAAAAUUGUUUUAUUUUUUAUUCAUCAUCACAUUUGGAUUAUCCCCAAUGGCCAAUUUUAUUUUCAUUUUUGUAUAGGUCAAAUAAAUGUUACUAGAAAUUGAUUAUUACCAUUUUUUUCUCAUUUAUUGAGGACUAUGAAGAAUUAGACGAAACUCAUAAAUGACCUAAAAUAUAUAAUGAAUAUUUAGAUAUUUUUUCAUAUCCAUACGAUAUCUUGGAGUACGACAUAGUCUCCAAAAAUAGCCAAACAUUUCACAUCUAUCACAAGUGCUUUCUUGAAUAUUAUGUUGUGGCAGGUGUUUCGUCCUCAUUUUUUUCUUUUGCUAUGGUUCUUAUAACCACCACGAGGUCGACAAUAAUUUUUUUCAGGACCUCAAUCUUAAUAAUAGCCAUGACCACAACCAUGACUACAUCUACAGGCAUGGUUAUACCAAUUUUCAUCAUGAUCACAUAGACAACAUUUGCUCCAAGAACUUGUUUUGUACCAAUAUGAUGGGCUUAAUAAUUCACUAUUCUUUUCUACAAAAAGAAGGCAUGCAAUCAAGUACCGACAGGUAGAGGUGGGCGUUCAGGUCUGGGUGAACCAAACCGAACCAAUUUCGGGUUUUAGUUCAGUUCGGGUCGAACCUAAAACUCGAACAGAUUGAAAGAGUGAAACCGAACGGAUUUGCUAUUUGGUUCGGGUUAGCCCGAACCAAAUAGAAAAAUCGUUUGGUUUCGUAUUAAAAAAAUAAAAAAUAUAUAUAACUAUCCCAUGAAUCUCGAAAUGCCCAAAUCUCCCCCACUGCCCACAAAUCCCUAACCUCUCUUAACACUCACAACUCUCCCCAGUCCUCGCCGAGCCACACCGCGAGACCCUCGCGCACGAGAGGGAAAAAAACAUACAAAAAAGAUAAAUGAAAAAAAAAAUUAAACACUCUGCUUUGCUCGCAGGACCCUGUUCAGCUGCAAUGAAAAUCACACCUCAACGUAUACCCGUAAGUUUCUCCAACAAUUGAUUAUGUGCAUACUUAAUCCCCAAAUAAAGUCUUAUGAUCUUACCAAACUUCACUAGCUAGUUAAUAACGCCACUUACCUGCAUACAUUAAAAAAAAAGAAUCAUUAAAGUUUUUACGCAUUAAAAUGAAAAAUAGAAGUUUACUUCACAAGUUUAUAAUUUGUAUACAAAUUUCUAUCUGUAAAAUGAAAACCAAUGUCAAAAUAAUAACAUACAGUAUCAAUUGGAAUAGAACAUGCCAUUCCACAAAAUGCGCCACUUCUAGAGAUAAUAGAUGUAUUGACUCUAGUAAAACUUCAUGAACAAUCAAAAUCAUACUUGCAGGGUGGCUGAUUACAUGGGCUUCCUCACAUAAUUAUUGGUCUUAUUCGUGUUUUGGUGCAUUAAUAUGCUAGUAGUGCUACACAUUCUAAAUUUUUUAUCUCAUAAAACUACUUCAAAUGAUACAUUCAUCAGUUUGUUGGUGAGACAAAAUAGUCAAUUCACUUAAAUCUUAUAAAAAAUUAUCAAUCAUUCAAUAAACGACAGAUUAUUUUACGAUGAAAUUUGAGAUAAAAAAUUAGAGAUAUCUAUCAUUAGCCUUAAUAUGCAACAUUGCCAAAGUCUUUGUCUUGGUCAUAACUAACAAGUUAAUUUUGCAUAUAAAGUUGAUUGGUUAAAAUAGUGACUCUAUAAAAAUAAUUUGUUGUUUGAAGUAUUUUGUAGAAUAAAUAACCCCAUUAAAAAUAGAAUACAAAUUUAUGGUUUAUUACAAGUUUACAACCACAAGUUCACUUUUGGUGCUCAAGUCUAAUUACAACCAGAUGUCCACUAUAGAUAAACUAUUGAAAGAUAAAAAGAAACUUUUUAUUUAAAAUACAAUGGAAUUAUACAUAAUUAAAAUUCAUAUCAAAAUGAUUACAAUAAUCAUAUCAAUAUCAAACUUCAAUGUAUGAUCACAAUUUUAAUUAAUUAUUUUCACAGUGAAUGAUAAUGUUAGGAAAAAAAGUGCAAUACAAUAUUAUUUUUAUUAUGUUUCAGUUCAAUCAUCCUAAUUUAUAAAUAAAAUUUAUUUCUAAAGGAUACUGCAUUACUAUUACAUGUAUAAAACAUUUCUUUGACUCUGUCUCAUCAGGUUCGACUUCAAGAAUAAUGAAAAUUUCUUCCAAUUGAGUACCGCGCAAGAUCUUCACAAUCACCUGAUAUCAAAAUAAUUCAAAGAAUUUUGCAAAGACAACUAGGACAAAAUAAUUGGAAAAGAGAGUAAUGCAUCAUCGUGAGAUACCUCAUCUCCAACUUUACAUUGAUCAAGAAUUUUGUGCAAAGCGGUAGCAUUGGAGACAUCUUAUCCAUUCAUAGCCUUUAUGAUGUCGCCCAAAAUGAGUUUGCCAUCAGCUCUAAGUUUGGUUGAUCUCAAACCCUACAGAUAAAGACCAAUCAACUUUAUUGAGUGAAAGCACGAGAGGGGAAAAAACAUACAAAAAGAUAAAGGAAAAAAAUGAAACACACUGCUUUGCUCAUAGGACCCUGUUCAGCUGCAAUGAAGAUCACGCCUCUACUUAUACCCGUAAGUUUCUCCAACAAUUUAUUUUGUGCAUACUUAAUCCCCAAAUAAAGUCUUAUGAUCUUACCAAACUUCACUAGCUAGUUAAUAACGCCACUUACCUGCAUACAUUAAAAAAAAAAGAAUCAUUAAAGUUUUUACGCAUUAAAAUGAAAAAUAGAAGUUUACUUCACAAGUUUAUAAUUUGUAUACAAAUUUUUAUCUGUAAAAUGAAAACCAAUGUCAAAAUAAUAACAUACAGUAUCAAUUGGAAUAGAACAUGCCAUUCCACAUAAUGCACCACUUUUAGAGAUAAUAAAGGUAUUUACCCCAGUCAAACUUCAUGAACAAUCAAAAUCAUACUUGCAGGGUGGCUAAUUACAUGGACUUUCUCACAUAAUUAUUGGUCUUAUUCGUGUUUUGGUGCAUUAAUAUGCUAGUAGUGCUACACAUUCUAAAUUUUUUAUCUCAAAAAAUUACUUUAAAUGAUAUAACAUUCAUUAGUUUGUUGGUGAGACAAAAUAGUCAAUUCACUUAAAUCUUAUAAAAAAUUAUCAAUCAUUCAAUAAACGACAAAUUAUUUUACGAUGAAAUUUGAGAUAAAAAAUUAGAGAUAUCUAUCAUUAGCCUUAAUAUGCAACAUUGCCAAAGUCUUUGUCUUGGUCAUAACUAAUAAGUUAAUUUUGCAUAUAAAGUUGAUUGGUCAAAAUAGUGACUCUAUAAAAAUAAUUUGUUGUUUGAAGUAUUUUGUAGAAUAAAUAAAAAAAUUUAUUGUUUGAAGUAUUUUGUAGAAUAAAUAGCCCCAUUAAAAAAAGAAUACAAAUUUGUGGUUUAUUACAAGUUUACAACCACAAGUUCACUUUUGGUGCUCAAGUCUAAUUACAACCAGAUGUCCACUAUAGAUAAACUAUUGAAAAAUGAAAAGAAACUUUUUAUUUAAAAUACAAUGGAACUAUACAUAAUUAAAAUUCAUAUCAAAAUUAUUACAAUAAUCAUAUCAAUACCAAACUUCAAUAUAUGAUCACAAUUUUGAUUAAUUAUUUUCACAGUGAAUGACAAUGUUAUGAAAAAAAGUGCAAUACAAUAUUAUUUUUAUUAUGUUUCAAUUCAACCAUCCUAAUUUAUAAGUGAAAUUUAUUUCUAAAGGAUAUUGCAGUACUAUUACUUGUAUAAAACAUUUCUUUGACUCUGCCUUAUCAGGUUUGACUUCAAGAAUAAUGGGAAUUUCUUCCAAUUGAGUAGCACGCAAUAUCUUUACAAUCACCUGAUAUCAAAACAAUUAAAAGAAUUUUGCAAAGACAACUAGGGCAAAAUAAUUGGAGAAAGAUAGUAAUGCAUUAUCGCGAGAUACCUCAUCUCCAACUUUACAUUGACCAAGAAUUUUGGGCAAACCGUUGGCAUUGGAGACAUCUUAUCUAUUCAUAGCCUUUAUGAUGUCGCUCAAAAUGAAAAUGAGUUUGUCAUCAGCUCCAAGUUUGGUUGAUCUCAGACCCUACAGAUAAAAAUCGAUCAACUUUACUGAGUGAAAGCACGAGAGGGAAAAAAACAUACAAAAAGAUAAAGGAAAAAAAAAAUAAACACACUGCUUUGCACGCAAGACCCUGUGUCAACUGCAAUGAAGAUCAGGCCUCUAUUUGUACCCGUAAGUUUCUCCAACAAUUGAUUAUGUCCAUACUUAAUCCCCAAAUAAAGUCUUAUGAUCUUACCAAACUUCACUAGUUGGUUAAUAACGCCACUUACCUGCAUACAUUAAAAAAAAAGAAUCAUUAAAGUUUUUACGCAUUAAAAUGAAAAAUAGAAGUUUACUUCACAAGUUUAUAAUUUGUAUACAAAUUUCUAUGUGUAAAAUGAAAACCUCUAUGUGUGUUCAGACGAGCCCCAAAGGCCUCUCAUCUCAUAUCAUCUGUAUCACUGUAUCUGGAGGGGAAGGGUAUUGUCCAAUGAUUUUGCAAAUAACCUUUUAUACACAUGUACAUAAACAUAUAAUCACAUAUGAAAUUUCAUUUCCUUUUUAUUUAACAUAUCUCAAUUCCACUCAAUUUUAUUAUCAUGCAUUUACUCAAAAAUGCUAAUAAAAUCAUUAAUCAAACUCAUUUUUAAUAAUAAUAAAUAUCAGCACGUAGAUAAAAAUCUAUUUUCUAGGAAAUUAUCAAAUUGAAGCAUCAAAUACUUAUUAUCAAAACAUGUUGUAUUGCAUCGUAAAAUCAAAAUAUACUAUGAAAAUAGGUUUUGGAUAUUCCACUCACAGUGGCNNNNNNNNNNNNNNNNNNNNNNNNNNNNNNNNNNNNNNNNNNNNNNNNNNNNNNNNNNNNNNNNNNNNNNNNNNNNNNNNNNNNNNNNNNNNNNNNNNNNNNNNNNNNNNNNNNNNNNNNNNNNNNNNNNNNNNNNNNNNNNNNNNNNNNNNNCAAAAAAUUACCAAAAUGCCCUUAACAUCGAAAUUUACCGAAUUUCUGUCGGAACCAUAAUUUAUCGAAUUAUCCUCAAAAUCCUAAAUUACCUAAUUGCUCUUAAUUCAAAUCACAAAAUUAACCACAAGUUUUGCAUACACGGAAUUACCCUUAGAAUGCGAAACUACUAAAAUGCCCUCAACAACAUAAAUUAGGGAAUUACGCCUGAAAUCUUAAAUUACCUCACUGUCCUAGUCUGGAAUUACCAAAUCAUCCACUAAUUUCAGAAAUUACGAAUUAAUUCCCAGAGUUUGCAAAAUUAUCGAAUUGCCCAUGCCGGUCAACGGUGACCGGAGUUUAGUCAACGGUGACGGGAAGUUUACUACCAAUUAAGCUAAUGCGGGAUCCGUGUUGAAAUAAAAAUCCGACUACAUAGCCAUUGAAUCGUGUUCGAAUUGUCUCAAUUUUAUGUCGUGACAAAUUUAAAAUAAUCCAAACACGAUUUAUUUAAUAAACGUAUAACAUUUAACAGUCACCACUCAUAAUGUCGGAUAAUCGUGUUGUAUCAACUUCACCGUAAUAAUUCAGAACAAGUCCAACAAAUUUAAAAUUAAUGUCGAAGGGAAAAAAUUAAAUAAUACACUUAAUUAGGAAAAUUAAAGUGCAUAUUUUAAAAUCCUCCCCACUUAUUAAAAUUUUGUCCCUCGAAAUUUACACAUGAUGAGAACAGAUGAGGGUGUUGGGCUUGCAUUAAGUCUUCACGUUCCCAAGUAUCCUCUUCCCUUGUGUGAUUCCUCCACAACACUUUUACUAAAGGAAUGGCUUUAGAUCGCAACACUUAGUGUUUUCUGUUCAAGUAUGUCCACAGGCUCCUUUUAGUACGUCAAGUCUUCCUUCAAUUUAAUUAGUUGUCUCGAUAACACAUGACUGGGAUCAUCUAUGUACUUUCGAAGCAUCGAGACAUGAAACACAUUGUGGAUUCUGGAUAACUCAGUUGGUAGAGCUAAUCGGUACGCCAACGGACCAAUACACUCCACAAUCUCAUAUGGUCCAAUGUAACGUGGGCUUAGCUUUCCGCACUUCCUAAAUCGAAGUACCCAUUUCCAAGGAGGUAUCCGUAUGAAAACCUUAUCACCCACUUCGAAUUCAAGUUCCCUCCUACGCUUAUCUGUAUAGCUCUUUUGUCUGUUUUGGGCUACCUUUAAUCUAUCCCAAAUAAGUUGUAUAUUCUCAUUAGUAUUCUAAACCUAUUCGGGACCAAAAAGCUUCCGCUCGCCAACCUCAUCCCAACAUACCGAAGUUCUACAUUUCCUGCUAUACAAAGCCUCAUAAGGUGCCAUCUCGAUGCUAGCUUGAUAAUUGUUAUUAUAAGAAAACUCUAUCAAAGGUAAAUAAAUGUUCUAACUACCCUAAAACUCCAAAACACAAGUUCACAACAUACCUUCCUAUGUCUGAAUAGUACGCUCUAAUUGUCCAUCAGUCUAAGGAUGAAAACCUAUACUAAAAUUCAACUUUGUGCUUAAAGCCUUCUGCAACCUAGUCCAAAACUUAAAAGUGAACUGGGAAUCUCUAUCUGAAACAAUAUACACAGGUGCUCCGUGAAGUCGAACAAUCUCAGCCGCAUAAAUACUCUCCAACUUAUCCAUCGAAUAAGUGGUCUUGAAAGGUAAAAAGUGAGCAGAUUUCGUGAGCCGGUCAACAACCACCCAAACAUUAUCAUGUCCACUAUGGGUAUAUGGAAGUCCCGCCAUAAAAUCUAUGGUGAUAUGCUCCCACUUCCACUCAAAAAUAGGAAGCGGCUGAGAACAUCCUGCAGGCCUUUGAUGUUCAGUCUUAAUUUGUUGACAACUAAACAUCUAGAUACAAAUUCUGCUAUAUCUCUCUUCAUACCUUACCACCAAUAAUGAUCCUUUAAGGUACAAUAUAUCUUCGUACUACCAGGAUGCAUUGCAUAAGCUGAACAAGGAUCCUCUUCCAUGAUCUCCUUUUUUCAACUCCUUAAUAUCGGGUACACAAAGUCGAUUACCCAUCACUAAAACUCCAUCAUCUCUCACCGCAAAAUCGGUUCGCAGGCCUUUUUGCACAUCCUCUCUCAACUUCAUUAGCUGUGGAUCCUGAUCUUGUAUCUGAUGGACUUUGUCAAUCAAAGUCGGCCUAACUAAAAAAUUAGCUAUUAGAGCUCUGCAAUUAUUAGCUUUUGAUGUGCUAAUAAUUUUCAUAUUAUUUUAAUUCUUCCAUAACUUAAUUUUAUGUUAAAUUAUAUUUUAUUACAUUAAUUUUAUCUUAAUUUUUAUAUUUUGUCAUUGUAGGAAUAUUGGGAAUAUUCAUGAGAACGGAAGCUUAAAUAGGAAACAAAUUGGAGCUUAAUGGAAAUAAUUACAGAUUGUGAGUGAAAAGAGGAAAGAAUAAUGCUUAAAAAAUAAUUAUUAGAUUUAUUACCAAAUAACUUUAGAAAUUUAUUGGCUAUUUGUACAAGUCACGUGGAUGAUUACAUAAAGCAUUGGCAUUUGUCAAGUGGGCUCACGUGCAUGGGCUUAAAAGGUUGGCUAGGUUUGUUUUGUUUUAAAAUCCUUUUGAUUUAAGGAUUUGUGGGUUGAGCAAUAAUAUAAAAAGGAGGAGAAACAAAAGCAAAAGGGUAGUCGCACAAAUUGAGAAGACAAAAAGAGAGCAGCCGUGAAAAUUGGAGAGAAAAACCGGGAGAGAAGGAAGAAAAAGAACGAAGCAGCCAUAAGACAUUUAGAGGGAGGAGGGAAUUAAUUCUUGAGUUUUUCUUUUCCUCUUCCCAAUUGUCCUACUUGAAUGUUUCCAAUUAAAUUCAUGGAUUCUUUUUAUAUUCCCAUGAACUAAUUUAUUUUGCUAGGGCUACGACAUAACCUAACUAUGAAGAUUUAAUUCCAUAAAUCUAUGUUAUUUUCAGUUUAUUAUUUCAUGGGUGAUUGUUCAUUAUUGUGUUUAAUACUUUUAAAUAUCUGGCUAAUAUUUAAAUGAUUUGAGGAUACAUAAUAAGACCUAGAGGAGAUUUAUGUAUUUUUGCUCUGUGUAAUGUAUGCCAUGAAUUGAACGAAAGACAGAGAUGUGCCAACGUGAUUCAUGCAGUUUUUCUAAGAGUUUCCAUGGAGCUUAAUGAAUCUUUGCAUAUUUAAAUUCACAUAGAGAUAUAGUGGGUUAAUAUGUGAAGGUAUUUUUGAUAUUACUCGAGAGAGGAUAUUGAAUAGACUAGGGAAAUUCAUUGUAACCAUGGAUAAUAAAUUUUAAUAGCAUAGAUGGAGGAUUAAAUUGGAUUAGUUAUGGUGAAAUCGGAUGUCCUAACGUCUUAAUCUCUUGGUGAUUUCUAUUACUACCUGCAUCUUUUUUCAAUUUUUAGUUAUUUUCUUUUAUUUUAAUUUUUAAUCUAAAUUCGCUUAUUCGAUUGUUCAAAUAAUUUAGGGUUAAAAUAAAUUUGGUAGCUAAUAGGAUAUACGAUCUCUGUGGGACGAUACUAUACUCUUCAUUAUAUUAUUUGUGCCGACUAGUGCACUUGCUAAUUUACGCAUCAAGUUUUUAGCACCGUUGCCGGGGAUUGUUUGGAUUAGUAUCGAUACCAACUAACCUUAGUUUAAUUUGAAUUUGAAUUUUAUUAUUUUUUAAUUUAAUUUAAUUUUUUUAUUUAAUUUUAUGAGACGUUUAAAAAGCUUUGAUUUACUGCCUUUUGAUCCAGAGAUUGAACGUACGUGUAGAAGGCUUAAUAGAGAAAGGAGAGAAGAUUUACAGGAGCUACAACUAAUCAUGACUGAGAAGCAUAAUUAAUGGUGCUCGUUCAGGCCAAUAAUUUUGAAAUUAAGCUAGCUAUAAUCUAGAUGAUUCAGACGUCAGUACAAUUUGCUGGGAUGCGGAAUGAUGAUCCAAAUGUUCAUAUUGCAAAUUUCUUGGAAAUUUGUGACACAUUUAAGCAAAAUGGUGUUUUAGAUAAUGCUAUCAGGCUAAGGCUUUUCCCGUUCUCACUAAGGGAUAAAGCAAAAGAGUGGUUAAACUCACUCCUUGCUGGAACAAUCACUGCAUGGGAUGGUUUAGCGCAGAAGUUUUUAGCAAAGUACUUUCCUCCAGCAAAAACAGCCAAGUUGAGAAAUGACAUCACAACCUUUGAUCAAUUCGAGAUGGAAUCAUUAUAUGAAGCGUGGGAGAGAUACAAAGACCUACUAAGAAAAUGCCCACAUCAUGGUCUACUAGUUUGUCGUCAGGUACAGACAUUUUACAAUGGUUUGGGAUCCAAUACCAGAACAAUGAUUGAUGCUGCAGCAGGAGCAACGUUAAUCGGAAAAACACUAGAAGCAACUUAUGAAUUAUUGGAGGAGAUGGCCUCUAAUAAUUACCAGUGGUCUUUAGAGCGACCAAUAUCAAGGAGAGCUACAGGAGUCCAUAAUGUUGAUGUGGUCACCGCUUUAUACGCACAGAUAAUUGCAAUUUGUAACAAGUUGGACAAUCUGAAUAUUCAAACUCAACCGCAAGUGUGUGAAUUAUGUGGAGGGAAUCAUACAAGCGUUAAUUGCCAAGUUAGAAGUCCUUUUGCACCAUCAUCUACUAAACAAGCUCAUUAUGUGUGAAACUUUCAGAGGCAACAAAAUAACCCAUAUUCUAAUACCUACAAUCCAAGCUGGAGAAACCAUCCAAAUCUAUCAUGGAACAACACCCAAAAUGCAUUGGCACCACCUCCAGGGUUCCAACAACAAGAAAAAAAGUCAAACUUAGAAGAUGCUCUUACCCAGCUUACAACAAAUAUGUCUCAAUUCAUGACCAAAACAGAGACAACUUUUCAUAAUCAAGCUGCAUCAAUUCGGAACCUCGAGGUACAAGUGGGUCAGAUUGCAAACUUGCUAUCCAGUAGACAACAAAGCUCUCUGCCAUGCAACACCGAGACAAAUCCAAGGGAGCAAGUUAAUGCAAUUGUACUUUGGAGUGGUAAACAACUUGAUGAGCCGCAAAAAGAAGCAAAGAAAGUUGAUAAAGGACAAGCUAAAGACACCACCAAGGUUUCAAAUGCAAUAAAUUUAGAAAUACCACAACCUAAACCAACAGCACAAGUCAAGGCCUAUGUUCCUCUAAUCUUUUUUCCUCAACGUCUCAGGAAAAAUAACAUAGAUAAGUGAUUUUUAAAAUUUCUUGAUGUGUUUAAGAAAUUGCAUAUUAACAUUCCUUUUGCAGAUGCUUUGGAACAAAUGCUGCUUUAUGCCAAAUUUAUGAAGGAAAUUUGAGGAACAUGAAAUUGUAAUGUUGACUGGGGAUUGCACUGCCAUCUUGCAAAAUAAAUUGCCACCAAAGCUGAAAGAUCCAAGGAGUUUUAAUAUUCCAUGCACUAUUGGAAAUACUUAUUUUGAAAAAGCUUUGUGUGAUUUAGGUGCAAGCAUUAAUUUGAUGCCUUUUUCUGUUUUCAAGAAAUUAGGUUUGGGUGAACUUAAGGCAACAACUGUUACCUUCCAAUUGGCAGAUAGAUCUAUAAAGUACCCAAGAGACAUAGUUGAGGACGUGCUUGUGAAAGUUGAUAAGUUUAUAUUCCCUGCAGAUUUUAUUGUCUUGGAUAUGGCUGAAGAUAUAGAGUUGCCUCUUAUUCUAGGCCGACCAUUCUUAGCUACAAGAAGAGCUUUGAUUGAUGUUCAGGAAGGGAAAUUGAUUUUAAGAGUUCAAAAUGAGCAAUCCAUUUUUAAUGUGUACGCACCUAUCAAGUAUCCAACUGAACUCAAAGAAUGUUUCCAAGAAGACACCAUGGAUAGAAAAAUGGCCAAACCUUUAAAGGAUAAGCAUCUAUUUGACCCUCCUGACAUUUAUACAAUACGUAAGCAAUCUAUUAAUGAAGAUCCAUCUCCUCAUUUUCAUGGGAAGAGAUCUAAUUGCAAGCAACUUGGGCAAGAUCCAUCCAGAUCAUCUCCUUCCAUCCACGAGCCUCCUUGAACGAUCUCUCCAAAGAUAGUCAAGCUAAUGACUAUAAAUUAAGCGCUUCUUGGGAGGCAACCCAAGCUUUCUAAACUUUAUUAUUGUCAUUUUUGUCUUUUCUUAUUUCUUCUGUCUUUUCUUUUACUUAUUUUAUUUUGUUUUGUUCUAGGUUUUUGCAUAAGUUUGGGGGUAGGAAUAUUUGCUGUCAAUUUUUUCUUUAAAAAAAGAAAACAAAUCUAAAAAAAUAAAAAAAAAAUUUUAUGCCUUUGAUGAGUAUAUUGUUGAAAAUGAAUAUGGUUCUUAGAAAUGGAUGAAUAUUUUCUUAAUUUAUACUUGAUUCUUGUGUUAGUUUCGUCUUGAUUAUGAUUCUUUAAAUAUUUUGCACACUUAUAUCGAUUUUUUCAUAAUUUUGACUUGAGAUUUGAGAUUGAUACAGCCUGAGUUGAGAAUUUUAGAUUGAGUAAAUGAUUGUUUGCCUCGAUUCUACAUUACUUAAGUACCCAGGCAUCAUAGUCAGAAAUAGCUGCCUAUAACCCUUAAGAGUGAAGCUAUUAUUGAGUAAUUUGGGCCUAUGUACCACCGGUAUGUAGAGGAUAAUCUACCAUAAGAAGAAUGUUACCUUAAGGGGUAGAGUGAAAGCUCCUGACUAUGAAAAAAAAAGCAUGUGCUUCAAGAAAAAUCAAAAGAAAAUGCAAAUUAUGCUUGUGAAAAAGAGAGAGAGAGAGAGAUCAAGAUGAUGAGGUUAGUUUGACCUACUCUGUUUACUAUUCAAUACAAGGGCUGUUGAUAUUGAAGAUUUUCAUAAUGAGUUUUGAUUGAAUUGAUUCACACACAACAUGGGAAUCCAAUAUGAGAUGAGGCUAACCAUUGAAUUAAAGUUAGAACUUUGCCAAUACUUUUAAUUUUCUUUGAGCUGUAUACUUUAUGCAAUCUUUGAGGCAUUUUUAAUGAUGUUUGUGGGUAUCAUCGCUAGAAACCCUCAUGAGACUAUAACUUGUCUACUAGGGCCACCUAGGAGUUUACAGGCUUGUUGUGUAUGCUAAAUGCAAUCGCGAUCACCUAGGAAAGUGGUUUAGUUAGGAUUUUCUUUUCAUAGUUUUUAUUUUAAUUUUUGCUCGAGGACUAGCAAAAUGUUAAGUUUGGGGGUAUUUGAUGUGUCAAUCAUUUUCAUAUUAUUUUAAUGCUUCCAUAACUUAAUUUUAUGUUAAAUUAUAUUUUAUUACAUUAAUUUUUAUCUUAAUUUUUAUAUUUUGUCAUUGUAGGAAUAUUGGGAAUAUUCAUGGAAAGGAAGCUUAAAGAGGAAACAAAUUGGAGCUUAAUGGAAAUAAUUGCAGAUUGUGAGAGAAAAGAGGAAAGAAUAAUGCUUAAAGAAUAACUAUUAGAUUUAUUACCAAAUAAUUUUAGAAAUUUAUUGGCUAUUUGUACAAGUCACGUGGAUGAUUACAUAAAGCAUUGGCAUUUGUCAAGUGGGCUCACAUCCAUGGGCUUAAAAGGUUGGCUAGGUUUGUUUUGUUUUAAAAUCCUUUUUAUUUAAGGAUUUGGGGGCUGAGCAAUAAUAUAAAAAGGAGGAGAAACAAAAGCAAGAGGGUAGCCGAACAAAUUGAGAAGACAAAAGGGGAGUAGCCACGAAAAUUGGAGAGAAAAAUCGGGAGAGAAGGAAGAAAAAGAACGAAGCAACCAUAAGAGAUUCAGGGGGAGGCGGGAAUUAAUUCUUGAGUUUUUCUUUUCCUCUUCUCAAUUGUCUUGCUUGAAUGUUCCCAAUUAAAUUAAUGGAUUCUCUUUAUACUCCCAUGAACUAAUUUAUUUUCCUAGGGCUACGACGUAGCCUAACUCUGAAGAUUUAAUUCCAUAAAUCUAUGUUAUUUUUAGCUUAUUAUUCCAUAGGUGAGUGUUCAUUAUUGUGUUUAAUGCUUUUAAAUAUCUGGCUAAUAUUUAAAUGAUUUGAGGAUACAUAAUGAGACCGAGAGGAGAUUUAUGUAUUUUUGCUCUAUGUAAUGUAUGCCAUGAAUUGAACGAAAGACAGAGAUGUGCCAACGUGAUUCAUGAAGUUUUUAUAAGAGUUUUCAUAGAGCUUAAUGAAUCUUUGCAUAUUUAAAUUCACAUAGAGAUAUAGUGGGUUAAUAUGUGAAGGUAUUUUUGAUAUUACUCGAGAAAGGAUAUUGAAUAGACUAGGGAAAUUCACUGUCAACAUGGAUAAUAAAUUUUAAUAGCAUAGAUGGAGGAUUAAAUUGGAUUAGUUAUUGUGAAAUCGGAUGUCCUAGUGUUUUAAUCUCUUGGUGAUUUCUAUUACUUUCGCAUCUUUAUUUAAUUUUUAGUUAUUUUAUUUUAUUUUAAUUUUUAGUCUAAAUUUACUUAUUCGAUUGUUCAAAUAAAUUAGGGUUAGAAUAAUUUCAGUAGCUAAUAGGAUAUACAAUCUCUGCAGGACGAUACUCUACUCUUCAUUAUAUUACUUGUGCCGACUGGUAGACUUGAUAAUUUACGCAUCAAGUUUUUGGUUAUUAGCUUUCAACUCAACUCCCAAAGAUCUCAGCUCGAUCAACAAAGGCAUAUAUGUCACUCAUAAAUGAGCUACAGAGCUGGAGGACUUCCUACUUAACGCAUCAGCUACCACAUUUGCUUUGCCCGGAUGAUAAUCAAUAGUACAAUCGUAGUCCUUAAUCAGCUCGAUCAAUCUCCUCUGUCUCAAAUUUAACUCUUUCUAAGUAAAUAAAUACUUCAAGUUCUUAUGAUCGGUGACAAUCUGACACGUUGCCCCGUAUAAAUAAUACCUUCAUGUCUUCAGUGUAAACACCACUGCUACUAGCUCUAAAUCAUGAGUUGGGUAGUUUUGCUUAUGCUUCUUAAGUUAUCUAGAAGCAUAGGCCACUACUUUCCCAUGUUGCAUUAGCACACAUCCCAAUCCUUGUCUAGAGGCAUCACUGUAUACCACAAACCCUUCAUUACUCGAUGGAAGUGUAAGAACUGGGGCUGAAGUAAGACAUGUCUUAAGUUCUUGAAACUCUUUUCACAGUCAUCAUCCCAUUGGAACUUAACAUUAUUUUUGGUUAAUCAUGUCAAAGGAAUAACAAUCUUGGAAAAUCCCUCCACAAAUCUACGAUAGUAGUCAACUACUUCAAGGAAACUUUGAAUCUCUGUGACAUUUGUAGGUCGUUCCCAAUUUACAACUGCUUCGAUCUUUUGAGGAUCGACAUAAAUCCGUUCAGCUGAUAUCAUAUGGCCCAGAAAUACUAGUUUAUCCAACCAGAACUCACACUUGUUGAACUUGGCAUAUAAUUGCUUUUGCCUUAAAGUCUGCAAAACAGUUCGCAAAUAUUCUGCAUGUUCCUCCUAGUUCCGAGAAUACACCAAAAUAUCAUUAAUGAACACAAUCAUAAACGGAUAUAGAUAAGGGUGAAAUACUCUAUUCAUAAGAUCAAUAAAAGCUGCUGGAGCAUUAGUCAAUGCAAAUGGCAUCACCAAGAACUCAUAGUGUCCAUAACAGGUUCUGAAUGUCGUUUUAAGAACAUCGACCUCUUUAAUUCUAAGCUAAUGAUAUCCCGAGCAUAAAUCAAGCUUAGAAAAUACUUUCGCUCUCUGAAGUUGAUCAAACAAGUCAUCAAUUUACGGAAGUGGAUACUUAUUGCGUAUUGUAACUUUGUUUAAUUAUCUGUAGUCAAUGCAGAGUCUAAGAGUACCAUCUUUUUUCUUAACAAACAAAACCGGAGCACCCACGGAGACACAUUAGGUCUCAUAAAUCACUUAUCCACCAAUUCUUGCAGUUGAAAUUUAAGUUCCUUUAGUUCAACUGGAGCCAUCCUGUACAGUGCUACAGAUAUAGGAACUGUUCCAGGGACUAAAUCAAUAGAAAACUCAACCUCCCUAUUAGGUGGCAUCCUUGGAAGUUCAUCUGGAAACUCUUGGACUACUGGAACAUCCUCCAAUCUCAACUCCCGAACUUCAGUGUCUAUCACAUGCGAUAUAAGCUGAGCAACCUUUCUUAGUAACCGUCUAGCACCAAUGGCUGAUACGACACAUGAGGGUAAAACUCUACACUCACCACAAAACUUCACCUCAGUUUUCCCUGGCUUUUCUAAACAUAACUUCCUUUUUGAAACAAUCCUUAGUAUCAUAAUGAGAUGCAAGUCAGUCCAUGCCCAAAAUGUUAUUGAAAUCUCGAAUGUCUAAAAUAAUCAAAUUCGCCUUAAAUUCUUGCUCACCAAAUUUAAUCAUACAAUCUUAAUACACACUCUCUGCAAGCAGUGACCCCCUGCAGGUGUAUUAACAACUAAACCAUAAUCUAGUGGUUCAUACUCUCUCUCUCAAAUGCAUGGCAAAAACAUGAGAAACAAAAGAAUGCGUGGAUCCAGGAUAAAAAAGAAUAUAAGCCUAAGUAAUUGCAACAUGUCAUUGAUAUUGAUGUUCUACUAUUUGCCACCAAUGAUAAGCUUUAUCCUUGAGUAGAAAAGUGGCAAAGGAAAGUCCAUCCUCCUUUGAGCAUCUCAUCACAUUAAAAAUACGUUCUAACUUGACAAACCACGACUCUGCCUCAGGUGCAUCUCCAGAACCAUUAAAACUCUUUGCCCCUAAAUUUUGUACACGCUCGAUAGUGUUUACAUGACCGGCAUACAGAUGAGUCUGAUUAUGUACCAUUGUAGUCACAAUCUCAGCUAGUUUAUCAAUUGACUGCUCAAGGUUGGAUACAUUUCUUGGUGUCUGUUGUGCAACCUCGUGCGUUGAAGACUCAACUACUCUCUCGUUUACAGGAUUAUUUUCCGCCGCAGGUACAUCUCCUGGAGUCAACCCAGCUACUGAUUUAGUACGGCUACGACCACCCCUAUUGCUACAACGAAUCAUGAUGGUGCUCACAAAAUAUCAAUUACGACUUUAACAACAGCAAAACUUAUUCUAAUCACAACAACAAAGUCUACAUAAUCUAAAACCGUGCUCUGAUACCAACUAAAACGACCCGCCCCGACUCCCCAGGAUGAGUCUAUCUAACUCGCCUAACCAAAUUAAUAAUAAUUCUAAUGUCUAAGAAUUCUACCAAAAUUUUGGCAGAGUCUCCUAUAUAAUUAUGACAUCCCCAAACUGCAAUUUAUAAAAUUAACACCCAAAAAUGAUACAAUAUUCAAUCAACCUCCACAACUAACUUCAUCAAUCAAAUACCAGUAUCCUUCAAACAUAUAAUGUCAAGAAUAUAAUAAUUUAUCCUUAAUCACAAAUAAGUAAUAAAUUAUAUAAUUCAAAAUAUCCCAACAAAACAUCUAGGUUUAACACCGUCACGUGGCCAUAGUUUCAAAUCUAACUAUCGUUGCUGGGUCGACUGAUGCAUCUGCAAAUCUCCUGUAGCGGGAAAAAUAUAAUAAAAACAGGGUGAGUAUAAAACUCAGUGAGCUCAGUGAGUGGAUAGUAGUUUUUGAAAAAUAAAUUUAUUUAAAAUGAUUUAAUCUUUCCCAAAUAAAUUUCAUCAAAAUAUCAUAAGAACUUAAAUAAACAUAUUUAAUUAAAAUCAUGCACUAAAAUAACAAUAUUACAUAAAUCUGCAUAAAAUCAAUGAAAUCAUAACAUUCAUAAUAUCAAAUACUGAAUACCAAAAAAUAUCACCAAACAAGAACCCAGGGGAAUAAACUCAUCAUAUCCGGACCUCGACGGACGGACAAUCAAGGAACCGUCAUGCCCUGGAGCUAUAAGGGAUAGACGUGGAAAUGCCAUUUCAUAUCUCAUAUAUCUCAUCAUAUCUGUGCAUGUAUAAUCUGGUCCCCAAAGGAUAAGGUGCCCAAGUAUACAGCCCAAAACCUCUAUGUGUACUCAGAUAGGCCUCAAAUGCCUCUCAUCUCAUAUGUAUCUCAAUAUCUGUGUCUCUGUAAUUAUCAUACUAGAUGCAUAUGCCCCCAAAAGGCAAAAGCGCCCAAACACACGGCCCAAAGCCUCUAUGUAUAUUCAGACGGGCCCCAAAGACCCAUCAUCUCAUAUCAUUUGUAUCAUUGUAUCUAGAGGGGAAGGGUAUUGUCCAAUAAUUUUGCAAACAACCUUUUAUACACAUGUACAUAAACAUAUAAUCACAUCUGAAAUCUCAUUUCCUUUUUAUUUAACAUAUCUCAAAUCCACUCAAUUCUAUUAUCAUGCAUUUACUCAAAAUUGAUAAUAAAAUCAUUAAUCAAACUCAUUUUUAAUAAUAAUAAAUAUCAUCACGUAGAUAAAAAUUCAUUUUCUAGGAAAUCAUCAAAUUGAAGCAUCAAAUACUUAUUAUCAAAACAUGUUGUACUGUAUCGUAAGAUUAGAAUAUACUAUGAAAAUAGGUUUUGUAUAUUCCACUCACAAUGACGAUGUUCAGACUCGGUAUCAACAACGUCCGCGGGUUGAUUCUCAUUCGCGGGUUGUUGGUGAAUUUUUACUCAAUUGCUGUUGAUGCCAAUGUGCAAGUGUACACAACAAGUAAUAAAGUGAUGAAUAUUCUAGAUCGUCUCUACAGAGACUGAUGUUACUAGAAAUGCUACAGUAAUCACAAUAGUGCAAUCUACCUUUAUUUCAUGAUGAACCUAGUUAAAAUUGAUUACUACCGAAAUUAAAAAUUGUAAAGAAAUAAAACAAAUAAUUGCAGUAAUGAAAUAAAUUAGAUAAAUUGCGUAAAAGAAUCAAAUGAGAAUGAGGUAGUUGAAUGAUCAAACUCUCUUCAUGGGUUGACUGCUUUUCAUCAAAUUAGCACCAGUUGCUACAACAAUUCCUACAGCACUAGGCAGAAUUAUUUUGCAUCCUCAGCUGUCGCGUGUUGGGCUUCUCAUACCCUUAAGUAUCUUGACAAUGACCAGUUGCUAUUCUACCUACGACAUGGCAUUAUGAACAUCUAUUCUCUCCACCCUCCAAGGUGAGUGCCUAUAUCUAAUUCUUCACAAAUUUUAACUUCAAGCAUAGCCCUUAUGGGAUUCAAGAUAAACUUAAUCCAGGAAACUCAAAUUAAGAUCAAGUAUUACUCUAAUAACAUCCACUAAGACAAGCCCUUUUACGACUCUAUCUUCACUUGAACUAUUAAAUGGGUGGUCAACCGAAAUAACAGUUAUAAUAAUAGCUACUAGAGUAAAAUGCUACAACAAUUAUAUAGCAACUCAUAAGAACAGUCAAAAACCCAUUGAGAUUGUUUGUCACUCAACUACAAGCAAGUUUAGUUCAUACUUUGAAAAAGAAAAACAAACAGCAAACUAUUGGUCACGAAAUACAUCGGUUCAAUCAAAGAGUAAAGAAAAGAACAAGUAAAGAACAAUGAAGAUUGAAUCCAAAUAACUAUGUUGGAUUCUUCACUGAUGCAGCUUGGUUCUCUUGAAUUCAAAUUGUUUUCUUCUUUUCCUCUUGAUUUUUCCAAUGUUAAUUCAUUUUUGCCGUUUUAUGUGAUGUGCGCCCCUUUUUAUAACUGAAACCUAGGGUAAAUAAAAGCUUAGGGCGCGCAUGAGUGAAAUUAGAAAACUGUAGAUCGCAAUUCUGCAGAUAUCCCGCCCUAAGUUUUCUCUGUUGUUGUUCCAGGAUUGCUACAGCAAUGGUUGCUCUAGCAACGGCCAUAAUACUGCACCGAUCCAGGUUUUGUUUCCCUUAUUUUGUGGUCAUAUUCUUCCUCCUUUUUGCCAACCUAUUGCAUCAGCAUCCCUUCCAUGAAUUAUAAACUUCUGAAAACCUACAAUUAUGCACAUGUUUUGAGCACAAAUUACUUUAAAUCAAGCAAAACUUAUUAAGACUACACUAAAAUGGAUGUUUAUGCAAAACGUAACAAAAAUGUAAUAAAAACACAUCAUUACUCUCUAAGUGGUCUUGAUUUAAGUCUAGAAUUGCCAUAAUAACUCUCAUUUCAUAGAGUUAUCACGGGUCCUCCUAAUCAAGUAAACGACAUAAUUAUUAUCUGUAACAUGAAAUACAUCUAACAAUACAAAAUAAAGCUCGAAACGAAACUCUCGGAUACAUAAAAUUUCAAAAUUACCCUUAUAUCCUAAAAUUACCAAAAUCCCCCUAACAUCGAAAUUUACCGAAUUGCUGUCGGAACCAUAAUUUAUCGAAUUAUCCUCAAAAUCAUAAAUUACCUAAUUGCUCUCAAUUCAAAUCACAAAAUUAACCACAAGUUCUGGAUUUAUGAAAUUACCCUUAGAAUGCAAAAUUAUUAAAAUGCCUUCAACAACAUAAAUUAGCGAAUUUCCCCCAAAAUCUUUAAUUACCUCACUGCCCUAGUCUAAAAUUACCAAAUCAUCCACCAAUUUCAGAAAUUACGAAUUAAUCCCCAGAGUUUGCAAAAUUACCAAAUUGCCCAUGCCGGUCAACGGUACCGAAGUUCAGUCAACAGUGACGAGAAGCUCAGGUCUGAUAGUUCUGACCUCGAUCAGUCCAAUGGUGCCAAUGGUGACCCCCCAGGCGCAGCGAUAAUGGCGGAUCAAACUUCCCAAGCCGCAAGAUUUCUGACAGUUGUUCACAGCCAAAACGGCAGUUAUAGAUGGCGGGGUUGGUUGGAAAACGAUGAGGGUGAGCUGAGGAUCAAGAUCCAAGUGGUGAUGUGGCCUAAAUUUGGUGAAAUCAACAACGACGAAAGCGAGUUGAGUUGCGGUCCUUGAAGCUUCGAUCACCCGCGUUCUGGCUGUUUUCCGGCGACGAUGACAACGGGGAUAUGACCGGCAUCGCUCAAACUUUAGAUCGAUACCAAGCUUGACUAGAACGGUGGCCGAAAACAGGAGUUGGAGCCGGGUCGAUUUCGCCAGUCGGGUCGGGUCAAAUGGGUCAAUUUCUCUUUCUCUCGCAUGCCCCCUCUCUUUCCAUUUUUGGAAACCAGCUCCCCUCUUUCUAUUUAUAGAAACUAGCUUCCAUUUUUUUAAAGCUUACUACCAAUUAAGCUAAUGCGGGACCCGUGUUGAAAUAAAAAUCUGACUACACAGCCAUUGAAUCGUGUUCGAAUUGUCUCAUUUUAUGUCGUGACAAAUUUAAAAUAAUCCAAACACGAUUUAUUUAAUAAACGCAUAACAUUUAACAGUCACCACUCAUAAUGUCGGAUAAUCGUGUUGUAUCAACUUCACCGUAAUAAUUUGGAACAAGUGCGACAAAUUUAAAAUUAAUGUCGAAGGGAAAAAAAUUAAAUAAUACACUUAAUUAGGAAAAUUAAAGUGCAUAUGUUACAGUUUUAUUAUUAAUUAUUGACUUUUUUUUUUGCAAUUUAUUGUGACACAUAAAAAAUCAUAUUAUUGAAAUUCCCAAUUGAAUAUAUAAAGUGAGUAAGUAUAACAUUACUCUUUCCAUAAUUGAUAAGUAACAAGUAAGGAUGGCAAAAAGACUAGAACAUGUUCUUGUCUGAUUGACCUAACUUUAAUUUUUAGGGUUUUUAAUUGAAUUUAAAGGGUCAAGGAUCAAGUUUCAACCCGAUUACAUUCAAGUCUAGGUUAGGACUUUAUAAAAAAUCCUAACUCAACCUUUGACCCUUAAAUUAAUUUUCAAAAUUAAAAAAAUAAUACUUAAAAAUUAGAACACAUCCACUACAAAUGUGGUCAAAACUCACUCCUCAAACUGAUAGUAUUUUGUAUUCGAUUUAUUUACUUGCUAAUUUGGUUAGAUUUUUACAUGUUGGAUUUUCGUUAAAGCUAAAUAAAAAGUUAAUUUAUUAAAUGCCUUACAACCAAAUUUAUCAUAAAAUGGAACAAUAAUAGUACAAUAUAAUUAAUAAAGAAUGAAAAGUUGGAGUCCUACUAAAGUAUCUAAAAAUUAAAAGAUUAUUGCAAGGUGUGGAUAAAGCUCGAGCCUGAACUUGACUUGAAAAAGGUCGACCCUAGCCCAACCCUUACUUUUGAGGAUCAAACUUUUGAAAGUUAAGACCCUUUAUUUUUAAUUAUAAGGGCAAGGCUAGGGGUUGGCCAAGCCUGAGCUCAACUAGAUCAAUUGCCAAACUUAUUGAUAAGAAAAUAAUUAAUACAGUUGUGAUAUUUGACCCCCUGGUUGUACCUCACCAGUCCCCACUAAUUACUUUUAUACUAAUAUUUAUUUUAUCUUUGUAUGAAAUGAUUUAAAAGAGUAAAUAGCUUUUAAGUGCACCCACAUGAUAAUUUCCAUUAAUAUAUAAUUUAACUAAUUUAUUUUCUUAAACCUUAAUUUUUUUAAACUUUUUAAAUUAUUAUUUUUUCUUAAAUAUUGUAUACUUUACUUUGGAAGAAAUUAAUUUAUAGCACGAAAUAGAAGAUGAUGAAGAAAUAUUAAUUUUUUUAUGGUUAUGGUAAUGAUGGAUAAAUUUUUAAACAGAGAGAGAGAGAUUAUAGUGAUUUUGAGAUUUUUUUCAUUUUGAAAUAGAUUUUAUAAGUUUCAGUGCUUGGAAAAAAGAUAAAAAAAUCAUAAUAAAGCUAAGUUCGCGAUUCAAUGAGGUAUGUUGAUAUAUAAAGUUUAGUUUAAAAUUUUUAAUAGCGUUAACGGAAAGGGGUUGGUAAAAUAUAAUAAGUGGGUCAAAUCUACCACCCUAAUUAGUAUCAUUUUACUCGAAAGUUUUACUUAUAAAUUUUGGAUAUUGACCGGCUUUAAAUCUAAAAAAAAAUUGAGAAAAAGUUACUUUAAAAAAUCUAUACAUUAUCCCAAAAAGUUGUACCCAAAAAAAAAAAAAAAAUCAGCCCGUUCUGAUUAAAUUCAAAAUGAAAAAACCCGGCCCGUUUCCCUACUUAAGACCCUCCUAGCAGUUUUAAAAAAAAUUUCCCAGCGAAGAAUAGAAGUGAUGGCAGCUGCUCUGUCUUCGACGCAUCGCAAUGGGAAUUUAGCUGGUUUUAAUUCUCUCUCUUAGCUGUUUCUGUUUCUUUAAUUUAACAUUGUGAUAUAUAUUUAUUAUGCUAGAGGUUCAACUAAGUCUCCAUUUACUGGGACUUUUCUCAUCUUGGGAAAUGUUAAUUUUGCCUUAUUUAUUCAGUAUUGUUAUCUUCCUCUGUCAAUAAAUUUUAUGCUUCGGUUGGUUAUUCAAUGUGGGUUUGUUCCAUUUUGUUCUUACGCUGUUUGUAUAAAUAUUAAAGGUUUGUUUUUUAAAAUGGCUUUCAGUCAAUUGCCUUCAAAGCUUUAUUUCCUAAAAGAGGAAAGAAAAAUAUACCAAAAUGUUUAAUUUCUACUGCUAUAUGUUUGCGUUUUUAGCUUCUGCUAUGCUUUGUAUUGUGUUGUUUGUGUUGGUAUUAAUGCUAGAAAGAUGUUUUCUUCUCAAAUCUGAUUGCUUAGAAUGAAUAUGAGGUGGUUAUUGAGUUGCAAUAUAUCGAAUAAAUUGAAGACGUCUGCUUCAUAGGUUUUGAUUCUAUUAAUUGUUUUCAUUUCAAGCAUGACACAAUUGCAUGGGUGUUCGAGGAGGCUAAGGGUGAUUUCUUAGGGUUGAAGCUAUAACUUUCUUUUAUUAUUGUCUAGUAUCAAAACUUGAAAAUAAAGUUUAAAGAUAAUGCUUAUGAUACAAACACAAAUGAUUGGAAAGGUAACUUGAACAAAAUAGAAGGAAAUCAAUAAGAAUAGGUUAAUUCGAGGAACUCUAAACCUUCAAAAUAAUAUUGGUUAUUUGAGAAACCAAUAAACUCGUAAAAUUUAAUUUACAAGUUGCGAAAAUAAUAGUACUCAAGACACUCUUUUAUUGAAUAACAUCAAGCUUUAAAUAGAGCUUUACUUCAAAGUUACAAGCAUAAAAAUAAGCAAGCAUUAAGCAUGUUCUCCAUCAUUCUCCAUGAAUCCACAAAAUAAGGAACCAACUAACAACUUGAUUUUGACUUAUUAAAAACCAGCUACACUUAAAAUAUAAAGUAAAUAAUUACUUUAACUUUAUUACAUGUUCAAUAAAUUCUUACUUGAAUUCAAUUUCCAAGUGCAGUUGCAACCAGACAAAGUGAAAAGGCAGAUAUCUGUGAUUAAUAGGAAACUUUUAGUGUAAGUUUCUAUUCUUUGGUCAUUCUUAUAACUGAUUUUUCAUUCUUGUCCAAUAUUUUUUCAAUUUGCAUCUAUCAGUUUAUCCUAUGAGACAAUAUUCAUUUGGAACUUUUGUGUCGCCCGUUCAAUAAUCAUUUUUCCCCUUUUCCUGAAAAAUUUUCAAAUAUGUUGCUUCAGAAGAGUUCUUCCUCUAAGAUACCAUUGUUCUUUAGUAUAUCAAGUUUGCUUGGACUUUGCAGUUUUCAAGUUUUUACAUUUUGUUUAUUUUCUCAUCUGAUUCAGGCACUUUGAGGCAGUUGAGGCCAGGAUUCUUCGUGCAUCAUUUUCUGCUUUUGUAGAUGUGCUUACACUUGCGACAAAAACAAUCGUACAGUUUGGUCAUGGAACGGAAUUGUAACAUCAUACUAUCUUUGGCAGUUGGAGAAUCAUUCUUAGUAGGAACUGUAUUACUUUAAUUCGCCUUCUUGUUUCGGAUUAGUUGACGUUUUUGUAACAAGAGAAUCUAUAGUGUUCGUUUUAUAAUGUAAAUCUUCAAAUUAUCGGAAACCUGUAACAAAUUCUUCAAAGCUGUGAAUUAUAAGUUUUUUUUUUUUAAUCAUUAGGUUUUAUCAAGAGGUUGCAGCUGUAAAUGUUAUAAUCCUCCCUUAGACCUUUUCAAUAAAGUUUUUGACAAGCUAUCUCCAACUCUUUCAGUUUGGGCCAAGCUAGAUUGCCAGACCUCACUUCUAGGGCUUUUCUGUUUACCCCUCAAACAGUUCAAUCUGAUAUUGAUUUCGUAAAGUGAGUAGAAUGAAGAAUUCAUUAGUGCUAAUAUUCUUCCAGCCAUUGAUGCAAUUCUUUACCAUUGUGUGACGCAGGAGGUACCUACUUGGCUACCAAGUGGCCCUCAGCUUAACGUGCCUCGAUAGCCUUCAAGCUUUUAGAAUUCAUCUAGCUGGUGGAAUCCUAUCUGGCGUCUCUCUAUAAGUUUGAAAAUCAAGAAUUUUCUAUAGCAAGCGUCAAGGGAUUUCUUGUCACCCAAAAGGAACCCAGAAAAGAUAAAAUCGUAGACAGCACUGUUUCACAUGCUGGAAUUCUCGGGAGGGUGCUUAUCAUAUGCUUGUGGCUAUAAAUAUGCUCGAAAAAAAUUGAAAAUUGAUGCUGCAAUCCCUCUGAGCCUCAAAGCAAAAAAAAAUGCCCUUUUAUAGCAUUGCUAAGAUGAAAGAUUACAGACUUAGCAAGGCUGACAUUGAGCAACAAUUUUAUGCAUACACUUUAUCUUGGGCAGAAUCACCAAAAGUCGAUGCAUCUUAAAAUUUAGAAUAAAAGCAGAUUCGACUUGUAUUAUAAGAAAUUCAAAUGGGGUGUCACGGCUGCGUCCAUCUCUAGGAAAACUCGCUUACAAAAAAUGCUGAAUGCUUUGGCAAUUCUUGAUGGCAUCAAAAUGGCAGUUGAUUCUGGACUGCACCCACCAUUUUAAUGCAGUGAAAUCAAUCUUAAAGAAGAGACUUCAGAUGGAUGAUCAAAGGAAUGCUCGGUUAUGUAAGAAAAGGAAAACAAUUUAUAGUUGCAAUACACUCAUCAAUAAUCUCAGGAACCUCUGAUGAUUGAAUUACAAGCAUACCUGUUCAUGCAAGAUAUUUGAUGCUAUGCAUCCGAAACUUCAUCGACCUUUGCAUCUAAGAGAUCAUUAACCUUACAAGUCACAGAACCCAAAUGGUCCACAGUGUUCACAACAGUAUCGUAUUCGUGAACAGUACCGUAUGUAAACAGUACCAUAUGUAAAUAGUACUGUAUUCCCCCAAGUACGAACCGUGGGCUCUGAUACCACUUGUUGUGUGCAGAAUGUGGAAUCAAGCGCACCAAAUAAUUAUAGAAAAAUAAAGGACACAAGAAUUACGUGGUUCGGUAAUUAAACCUACAUCCACGGAGGCAAGAAAGAAUAAUUGUUUAUUUAACAAUUAAUAGAGUACAAUAUUUGAGUAAUGAAUCUCACUUCCCAGAAACCCAAAUAUACCCAGUACUCUGACACUCUGCAGGAAAGAUAAAUUCCCCAGACACACUUCUCUCUCUUCUCUCAAAAGCUUGGAAAAUUAUAAGCUUAACAAUUUUGGGAUACUUAGAAUGGAAGAAGUGUCAUCUAUUUAUAGGGAAAACAAUGGCAAUAUUGCACCAACCCCUCUACUAUUCUACCUAACCUAAGCAAAUUGUCGAUGGUGUCCAUUUGGCAAAUUUGACAAAUUUGCCAACUUUUCAUUUUUUUCUUCAAUUGUUUGGUAGCUCUUUGAAAAUUUGCAUGCUUUCUUGAAUUUGGAUGCCACAUGCAUGAAUUUUUAACAAUUCUCUACCUUGGCGAAAAUUUGUCUAAAUCUGAGCCGACUACCAGUGAACCAUCAUCCCCAAAGUGGCUGGAUCUCUGAUGACUGCCUACAUACCCAAUUUGGGAUUAAGCCAACCGUAGUUCAAUAUUCCUGAAGGACAUAACUUAACACAAUCGAAGGAUUUGAAUUAGUUUCAAGCAAUGUUAAAACUUAACUCUAGAAACUACCUUUGUCAAUAUAUCUGACGGAUUAUCUAUGGUAUCGAUCUUUCUCAACAACACAACACCACUCACGAUAAUCUCUCUCACAUAAUGAUAUUUCACAUCUAUGUGCUUCGUCCGACCGUGAUAUAUUUGAUUCUACGCAAGGAAUAUCGCACUUUGAUUAUCAUAGAAGAUCACAAUGUUCUCCUAGAUUACUCCCAAAUCACCUAACAAGCCUUUCAACCAGAUAGCUUCUUUUGCAGCUUCAGUUGCUGCCAUAUACUCUGCUUUCGUAGUGGACAGAGCAAUUGUCGAUUGUAGAAUCGACCUCCAGCUAACCGGACCUCCACCCAAUGUGAAUACGUAGCCCGUUAUUGAUCUUCGCUUGUCAAGGUCUCCAGCGAAAUCAGAAUCACAACACAUUGUUGACCACAAUCCUUAUUGAACAAUAACCCAACAUCAACUGUCCCUUACAGAUAUCAGAGAAUCCACUUUACCGCAAGCCAAUGAUUUUUACCCGGAUUUUGCAUGUAUCUACUAACCAUGUUCACUGCUUGAGAUAUAUCGGGCCUUGUACAUACCAUAGCAUACAUAAGACUACCCACAACACUAACAUAUGGAACACGAGCCAUGUAAUCACACUCCUCUUGAGAUCUAGGACAUGAAAAAGAGCUUAAUUUGAAAUGAGGAGCUAGAGGUGUUGUUGAUUGAUUUCUAUAAUCAAUUAUUAUCAAUGCCAAUGUGCAAGUAUACACAACAAGUAAUAAAGUGAUGAGUAUUUCAAGAUCGUCUCCACAGAGAUUGAUGUUACUUAAAAUGCUAAAGCAAUCACAAUAGUGCAAAUCAACUAAAGACCGAAACAAACAAUUGUCAAAUAAUUCUAUCGUAACUAAUAAUUGUGAGAGAUGGAAAUAAAAUAAUACUGUAAUGAAAUAAACUAAGUUAAAUGUGUUUAAGAUUCAAUUGAGAAUAUAGUAGUUGAAUGAUCAAACUCUCCUAAUGGGGUGACUGUUGUUUACCAAAUUAGCACCAGUUGUUACAAUAAAUGCUGCAGCAAUGGUUAGAAUAAAUCUGCAUCCGCAGCUAUCGCAUGUUGGAAAUCUCAUACCUUUAAAUCUACUAACAAUGACCAGUUGCUCAUAUAUUUAUGGUACGACAUUAUAACCUUUAAUCUCUCCACCCUACAAGGUGAACACCUAUGUCUAGAGUGUCACAAAUCUUAACUUCAAGUAUUGCCCUUAUGGGAUUCAAGGUAACCUAAUCAAGAAAACUCGACUUAAGAACAAGUAAUACCCUAAUAAUGUCCGCUAAGACAUACCCUUUUGCUGCUCUAUCUUAACUGAAACUAUUAAAUGGGUGGUCAACUGAAAUAACAGUUGUAUUCAUAAAAACUACUAAGAGUAUAAUGCUACAGCAUUACCAUAACAACAUAAAAGAACAGUCAAGAACCCAUUGGAUUAUUUGUCACUCAACCACAAGUAAAUUUAGUUCAUAAUCUGGAUGAGAAAAAUAAACACGAAUAUAUUGAUCUCGGAAUACAUCCAAACAAUUCAAGGAAGAACAGAAAAUAUAAGUUGAGCACGAUGAAAGAAAAAUAAUUAUGCACGAUUCUUUUCUUUGUUUCCGAAUAGCACUCCUAAAUCUUGAUCUCCUUCUUCUUGCCUUUGUAAUUAUUUUUUAUGAUAAUUCCUUGCCGCCUUUCUAUGUGGUGCACGCCUCCUUUUAUAUUGCAAAUUAGGAUAAAAGACCUAAAGUCCAUGCGCAUGCAUGUGUUUAAAUUAGGAAACAUGCAUAUCGCGAUUUUAUGGCUGACCCACACUUUAAGCUUUCUCCCGCAUUACUCUCUGAUUGCUGCAGCACUGGUUGCUCUAACAUCCACAACAACACUGCAUUAUUCCCGAUUGUGCUUGUCUUCUUUUGUGGCCAUCUUCUUUCCUCCUCUUGCUCAUCUAAUGUCUCAGCAUCCCCUUAUGAAUUUAAAACCUACAAUUAUGCACCUGUUUUUAGCAAAAAUUACUUGAUUUAAACAAAACUUAUUAAAACCCAACUAAAAUGAAUGUUUAUGCAAAAGGUAACCAAAAUGUAAUAAAAACACCUUAUUUUCUCUCUAAAUGAUCUUGAUUUAACUCUAGAAUUGAUGUAAUAACUCUCAUUUCCUACAGUUAUCAGGUGUACAUACCGGUUUAGUUUUGUCAUCAAUACCGAAUCUUUCUAGAACUUUCUUCAAAUAAGACUUUUGAGUCAACCAUACACUCUCAUUCUUCUUGUCUCUACGAAUCUCCAUCCUAAGUAUUCUCUGUGCAUCACCCAAAUCUUUCAUCUCGAACUCAGAAGCCAGCUGCUUCUUUAAUCUUUCGAUCUCAUCUCUAUUCUUCGAAGUUAUAAGCAUAUCGUCAAAAUAGAGUAACAAAUAGAUGAAAGCUCCAUUUAGUAGUCUUCUAAAGUAAACACAAUGAUCGUGUUCACUUCUAGUGAAUUUUUGCCCUUGUAUAAAUUGAUCAAAUCUUUUGUACCACUGCCUUGGCGAUUGCUUCUGUCCGUACAAAGAUUUAAUCAAUUUACACACAUGAUUCUCCUUUCCAGCAACUUUGAAACCACAAGGCUUAAUCAUAUAGAUUUCCUCCUCCAAAUCUCCAUGUAAGAACGUCGUCUUAAUAAUCCAAUUGAGCCAACUUUAACUCAUAUUCUGCAACUAAGGCAAGUAGGAUACGAAUGGAAGUAUGUUUUACAACUGGAGAGAAAACUUCAUUGUAGUCAAUACCUUCCUUCUGAGCAAAAUCUUUUGCAACGAUUCUUGCCUUGUAUCGAGAAGUUGAUUGAUUUGGAGAUCCUUGCUUCUUGGUGUAGACCCAUUUAUUGCCAAUAGCCCUUUUUCCCUUUUGGUAACUCCACAAGUUUCCAAGUCUGGUUUUGAUGGAGAGAUUUCAUCUCUUUUUCCAUGGCUAACUUCCAUUGAUCACUUUCACUGCUGUGUAAUGUUUCACUGAAAGUGUUGGGGAUUUCAUCAUCAAUAACUAGAAGUGCAUAGGCUACCACCAUAUCUUUAGUAAGCCAUCCGAGUUUCUUUAUCUCUCUGUUUGGCCUCCUUGUUGCUAUAAAAUCAUCAUUAUCUACAUCAUCAAUUGUUUCUUCAUUUUGUGAGACAUUAGAAGAAACAACAUCUUCUUCAACUCUAGGUGUCACCCCCAUAGUUGAACCCUUAUCUGAUGUAGAACUAACUGGUACAUAUGGAGUUGCAUCAAACUCCACCCGCUGCAAUACCUCUUUGGUCUUGUUCUCCACCUGCUGAGAACUUGAAGCUUUCAUCAUUAAAGCUUCAUCAAACGUGACAUCUCUACUACACACAAACUUUUUAUCUUCGAGAUCCCAAAGCUUGAAGCCCUUUACUCCACAUUUGAAUCCCACAAAGAUAGCUUUUCUAGCACGAGGAUCCAGUUUACCAUCUUUGACAUGAUAAUAAACUGGACACGCGAAUAUACGAAGAGAAUCAUAGUCUUGUACAUGCUUUCCAGACCACAUUUCCAUAGGAGUUUUACCUCCAAUUACAACAGAAGGCAACCGAUUUACCAAGUGACUUAUGUAGCUCACAGUUUCAGCUUAAAACUUUUUAUUUAAACCAGCAUUAGAUAACAUACAUCGUACCUUCUCCAGUAAAGUACGAUUCAUACGCUAAGCCACACCGUUCUGUUGCGGAGUAUGUCUGAAAUAUCUUUAAUACCCUCGUUCUGGCAUACUUGCAAGAAUGGAUCAAAAGUAUAUUCACCCCCAUUAUCAGAUCGUAAUACUUUGAUCUUUCUGGCAGUUUGAGUCUCCAUCAAUUUCUUUCAUUUCACGAAAAUCUCUAAAACCUCAUCCUUUGCUCGCAUGGUGUACACCCACACACGUCUAGAGAAAUCAUCAACAAAUGUAACAAAAUAAUGGCUUCCACCAAUUGAUGCAGUCUUGGUUGGUCCUCAUACAUCACUAUGAACAUAUUCAAGGAUCUCACGAGUAUCGUGAUUAACUGUACCAAACUUGACUUUUGUUUUCUUGCCUACUACACAAUGCUCACAGAAAUUUAAUUUACAGGUUUUAAUACCUUUUAAGAGUUCGUGCCUCAUUAGAGUUUGCAAAUACUUCUCUCCAGCAUGUCCCAAUCGUACAUGUCAUAGCUUGGUGGUGUCAUUAUGCGCCUCAAUAACAUUUGCUUCAUCAGUUGUACCUCCCUUCAAAUAGUACAGAUUGUGACGCUGAACCCCUUGCAGAAUCACCAUAGUCCCAUGUGUAAACUUCAUUGUGCCAUCUCCAAUGGUAACCUUGUAGCCUUUAGCUUCCAAAGCACCUACAGAAAUUAGAUUUUUCUUUAAAGCUGGAACAAAUCUAACCACUUUGAGUUCUUUGAUCAUUUCAUCAAAUAUUUUGAGUCGAAUUGUUCUUAUCCCUAUUGUGCGACAAGGUUGAUCAUUCCUCAUCAUAACUGCACCAGAUUCCAAUUCGUUAAAAUCCGUAAAUCAUUCCUUAAUGGGACACAAAUGAUAGGUUGCUCUAGUAUCAAGUAUCCACUCGCUCGAACUAGCCACGUAUGCUGCAGGAGUAAUACUUAGUGAAUAAUCAGAGUCUUCAUCUUUUCGUGCCAUGUUUGCUGCUGCUGGUUUCUUCUCAUCUCUCUUUUGAGCCUUUGGACAAUCUUUCCUUCAAUGACCCUUUUUAUGACAAAAGGCACACUCGUCUCGAGCUAUAUUUCUGCUUCUCGAUUUGGAUCGAGAAUUCUUUCCACAAUGCUUUUUCUUUUUCUCCAUCGCCCAAUCUCUGCUCACCAAAGCUUCAGACGAUGCUCGUUCAAAAUUUUUAUUAUUAUUCUGAAUCUCUAAGUUAGUCAAUGCUUUGAAAACAUCUUUGAAGAUGAUCACGCUUUUCUCAUAUAUCAAGGUAGUCACAAAAUGACUAUAUUCCUCUGGUAGUGAGUGUAACAGAAUCAUAGCCUUGACUUCAUCCUUAAUAUCUUCAUCAAGAUUCUUCAAAUCAGCAAGUAACUUUUCAAAUCUCGAGACAUAAUCAUGCAUUCACACCCCAGGCUUCAUUCGAAAGCCAUAUACUUGGUUCAUUGCAUGAAGGCGAUUUUCAGGACUUUUUAGCAAGUACUUCUCUUCCAAUGUACGCCACAAAGUCAUCACACACUCCUCAUCCUUCACCAAGUAUUUGACCUCCUUGGUCAAAUAAGAUCUGAUCUGACCACAGGCUUUUUCAUUCAUAUGAUCCCAAAUUUCUUCAUCAUAUAAAUGUCUUUUAUUUUUCAGAACAACAUCGAGAUCGAUUUGAAUAAAGGCGUCCAUAACUUCGCGCCUCCACAUGCCGAGGUUGAUUUUCCCAUUAAACUUUUCAACAUCGAUCUUCUGGCCUCCUAUAAUAGGUGAUCAAUAGCGAUUUGACAAAUCUCGCCUCCCACCUAAAGUGUCUCCUGAAAUAGUCUCGGUAAAUCUCUCCCCAAUUCUGGAAGUUUCACCUUCUACCAUUUUCUCAACGAACUAUUUCCACUUGAAAAACAAUCUCUAUUAUGUUAAUUUCGCUUGAAUAAACGCACCAAGAAAGUUCCCAAGAGACUGGACGAGAACUCGGUCCCAAUUAAAAACUAUAAUCCUUAGACUAUUAUCGCCUUUGUUGAUAGAACUUUCCUAGACAUGCAAAAAUACACACUACUUAUAAUAGAUUGUCUCCCAAGUACAAAUGGCCGUCUCCACCGUAUUCGUGAACAGUACCGUAUCCCCCCAAGUACGAACCGUCGGCUCUGAUACCACUUGUUGUGCGCAGAAUGUGGAAUCAAGCGCACCAAAUAAUUAUAGAAAAAUAAAGGACACAAGAAUUACGUGGUUCGGUAAUUAAACCUACAUCCACGGAGGCAAGAAAGAAUAAUUGUUUAUUUAACAAUUAAUAGAGUACAAUAUUUGAGUAAUGAAUCUCACUUCCCAGAAACCCAAAUAUACCCAGUACUCUGACACUCUGCAGGAAAGAUAAAUUCCCCAGACACACUUCUCUCUCUUCUCUCAAAAGCUUGGAAAAUUAUAAGCUUAACAAUUUUGGGAUACUUAGAAUGGAAGAAGUGUCAUCUAUUUAUAGGGAAAACAAUGGCAAUAUUGCACCAACCCCUCUACUAUUCUACCUAACCUAAGCAAAUUGUCGAUGGUGUCCAUUUGGCAAAUUUGACAAAUUUGCCAACUUUUCAUUUUUUUCUUCAAUUGUUUGGUAGCUCUUUGAAAAUUUGCAUGCUUUCUUGAAUUUGGAUGCCACAUGCAUGACUUUUCAACAUACUGGACAUGAUUUCGAAAGGGAUUCAUCUUCUAGUGGGUCAAUUUUAAAUAGUGUCUCAAUUUCUGUGGAUGCCGACCCUUAAUUUCAAACAAAUGGUGACAGAGAAGAAUGGCCUUGAAACUGUUUGUAUUUCAUAAAUAAGAUUGUUAGACUUUUCCGAUACUAUCAUUCUUGUAUCCUUACAGUUUCUUUGGGCACCAUCAUUUGUAAUUAAACACUUCCAAGUCAUUUCAAACAAAUUUUCCACUAUUUAAUUGCAUGCGCUGCAUCUUCCUCGUUUUUUUUUCUUUUCUUUUGGUGGGGGGGGGGGCAAAUGGAGGAGAUGAAGGAAAAAUCUGUUGAAAUUAAUUUCGUAGUUGAAGUUUAUAAAUGCAAGAUGAUAUGAUCUCAGAGUCUAUUAAAUACUGAUGUGCAAGAACUUUAGCACCAUGUGACCUAAUAUCUCUAGUAAAUAGGAGAGAACAACUUGAGCACUUAAAGAGGGCCAACGUUAAAUAAACUCCAGAGUGGCAUGUCGGAAUUGUUGGCUUAUUGUUAUGCAGGACUUUCCCGGUAGUGAAAUAAAGUCGAAAGGAAGAUGGGAGGAAAUAAAGAUCAAUGCGCUUUCUUGUAUUUCAUGGGUUAAAAAUCUUUUUAUCUGAUUACAAACUGAUAGAUAAAAUACCCUUGUAUCAUUUGUGAGUGAAUCUCUUAGGUCAAAUAUAUAAAGUUAGAACAAUCCUCAACUCUUUAGUUAGAUUUUGAGUAUGGCUUAAACCCAUGAACUUUUAUAUUUUAUUAGAGAUAAACUCACCCACGAUUAUGCCCGCACUACCUCCCACAGUACCUUACCACUAGACGCCCUUCACAUGGAGGCUUGGGUACCACUCGAAAAGUCAUUUGAAAGAAAAGUCUGUUUAAAAUUACGUUCCAAUUCUGUACUCUCAGCUCUCCAAGUUAUAAAUUGAUAUUCAACUCAUGUUAUAAAAGGGUAAUGCUAGAGGAUCCCAUCUCGGGUACCAAUGGAUGGAUGUGGCAUUCAUUAAGUGGAUAGUAGAAUAUUUAUUUUAUCAGUUAUAAAAUUUAUUAUUCAAUAGAUAAACAAUAUAUAAUAGUUGGGACUCAAAUCGGGACUUAAUUGGUGGGUCACAAUCAUUAUUGGUUAAAAAAAAUGUACAGAGAUAACUAGCGUAAGAGGUAAAUCAAAAACUCUUUCUUUCUCUCUGCUAAGACCCUUUCUGCCACCAGCUAAAAUUCACUAGCUUUGAUCAAUCAACGUGCCUGAAUUACAGAGCCACCACAUUUUCGAACCUCUAAACUUUCAAAUCUAUUUUCCAACUCUGUUUUUCCAACCACUGCAGCCUCGGACCAACCGAAACUCCCUGCUGCUACCUCUAGCUACCACGUCGCCAAUUGCCCAUCACACAGCAAAAAAUUAUACUAAAGGAGUUUCAGUCGGGGAGGGAACCAGUACGUCAAUUCUUUUUUCUUAUUUUCUAUUUUUCUUCUAUAUUUCUUUUGUUUUUAUUUUCGUCUCUGCUUCUGUUAUUGUGCUUGUUUUUAUGUUUUGUUGUUUUCUAAGAUUUUAUACUGCUCCUGCGGUGGUCCUGGUGGUCUCUACAUAGAUGGUGUUGUUUCAAUGUCCAAAUCGAGAUUGUGUCAGUGUUCGGAUUGGAACGGUAUGCCGUAUGCCUAUAUUGAAGCUGUUGAGGGCUUUAAUAGUGGUACAUCAAGGUUCUAAUAACCUAAGGCGAGUUUCUGAUGGCCUAGGUCAAAGGCUCUUUGAGAGGCUUUCUAGUGAACCUUAAGGUUGGUUUUUGUGUUGCAUUUUGUGGUUUUUUUUUUUUUUUUGUUAUUUGUUUGCAUUCUGUUGCUACAAUUGUAUUUUCUUGUGUUCUGUUGUAUUAUCAAACACGAGGGGGAUUUCAGCUAUAGUAGCUAAGAUUGGUUCCUCUAGUUUUUCUUUGGAUUUUAAUUGAGAAACAAAUUAAUCUCCUUUAAUUUAUCUUAUGUAUUGUACUUAAGCCUGUUAUAACCCUUAUUUUUUUUAUUAUUACAGGUCCGUCAUAUUUCCUUUAAAAUAAAAAGAAAAAAAGAAUAUAGACAAUAUAUGUUUAAUACAAUUAAGCUUAGGCUACUUUUGCCUUUGCACUGGGGACACAGUCUUUGACCGACACCACCAUGGAUCUUGCUCAGGUACAAUUUCGAAUACUAAUUAAAUUAAUUUCAUAUAUGUAUUGUAAUUACUGUAUUUCCUUGAACCGACUACGUAUCUAACAAAAAAUUAGAGAAAGUAAUUGCAGAAUUCGCAUAUGUGAAAAAGGCAAGAUUUAUAUAUAGCCGUAAUUUAUUUUGAUAUUCUAUUUCAUCUUUUGGGUUUGUUUAGGUGACUUGUUGUGUAAUAUCACAAGCCCCCGCAAUUGCUCAUCCGGAUGUCCCAAAGGUUACUUUUCAAAUUCCAACUUCGGUGACUGCACAAGUUCAUAUGAACCUGAUCCAAUUUUGCACAAAAAUUCUCAUGUCAAAUUCAUUAUUAUAGGUAUGUAUUGGAAUUUGCAGAUUUCGUCGACAGAAUUAAUUGUUCUUCUUUUUUUCUUUUAAUUAACGUAUAUAUAUGGGGGGUAAUUUUUAAAAACCUCCCCUGAGAUUUGGACUUGUUGCAAGUAGAUGGCGAGAAUCUGUUUAUUUGUAAAAAACCCCCUACCGUCAGUUAACUUUAACAUUGACCGUUAGUUGACUGUGCAAAGAUAAUAUUACCCUCAACAACAAUUUGUAGACGGAAAUAACUAAAAAAAAAAUUAAAAUUGUUGGCGCGAAAAACACAAACCCUAUUUUUUGACAAUUUUAUCCUUGUCAAUUCCAAAAAUUUACAAUAUCAUAAGUAAAGAUUAUAACUAUUUCAUUUUCAAGUUUUUAAUUUUAACUUUUUUGUAGAAACUUUAAGAAAAUAUCAAUAAUUUAAAGAGGAUUUUUUAAAUUUUUAAUUUUAUCUUUCUUGUAGGAACUUUAAGAAAAUAUCAAUAAUUUAAAGAGGAUAAAAUAGCCAAUAAUUUUAAUUUUUUUUUAGUUAUUUCCGUCUACAAAUUGUUGUUGAGGGUAAUAUUGUCUUUGCACAGUCAACUAACGGUCAAUGUUAAAGUUAACUGACGGUAGGGGGUUUUUUACAAAUAAACAGAUUCUCGCCAUCUACUUGCAACAAGUCCAAACCUUAGGGGAGGUUUUCAAAAAUUAUAUGGGCUCACAAAUGCAAAAACGUUCUGCACCUGAAAUUUGCAAUAGCAUAUACAUUUAUGAUCACCUCGAACGCGUAUUAAAUAUUCUUGUUCGGGAGCGUUGCAGGUUGCAAUAGUGGGCUUGGAAUGUUGUUCCUACUAAUCGGAACAUGGUGGUUGUACAAGUUCAUUGAAGAAGCGAAGUCAAGCUCAAGCAGAAGUUCUUUAAAAGAAACGGUGGUUUAUUGUUGCAACAACAAUCGUCAUCAAAUGAAGGUAAUACCGAGAAAACAAAAUUGUUUACUUCAAUGGAAUUGGAAAUGGCUACUGACAACUUCAAUACCAAUCGAAUCCUUGGUCAAGGAGGCCAAGGCACAGUGUACAAAGGAAUGUUGACAGAUGGAAGAAUUGCGGCUGUGAAAAAGUCGAAAUUAGUGGAUGAGAGUAAUAUUGAGCAAUUCAUCAAUGAGGUGGUAAUUUUAACUCAAAUUAACCACAGAAAUGUUGUUAAAUUGUUCGGAUGCUGCUUGGAGACAGAGGUUCCUCUUUUGGUGUAUGAAUUUAUUCCAAAUGGAACUCUCUAUCAAUAUAUACAUGAAACUGAGUUCUCAAUCACAUGGGAAAUGCGUUUACGCAUUGCCAUAGAAGUUUCAAGUGCUCUAUCCUAUUUGCAUUCAACUACUUCUAUUCCAAUUUAUCAUCGAGACAUCAAGUCUGCAAAUAUACUAUUGGAUGAUAAAUUUCGAGCAAAAGUUUCAGAUUUUGGGGCUUCUAGAUCUGUCACGAUUGAUCAAACUCAUUUGACCACACGAGUACUAGGAACUUUUGGAUAUCUAGAUCCAGAGUACUUUCGGUCAAGUCAAUUUACAGAGAAAAGUGAUGUUUAUAGUUUUGGGGUUGUCCUUGUUGAGCUUUUAACUGGACAAAAACCUAUUCGUUCAACCGACGCUGAAGAAGAUAAAAGUUUAGCAGGGUAUUUUCUCCUAGCAAUGAAAGAGAACCGUUUGUUUGAUGUGCUUGAUGCUCAAGUUCUUAGGGAAGCCAAGGGAGAAGAGAUUAUUACCGUUGGCAUGCUUGCAAAAAGAUGCUUGAAUUUGAAUGGGACGAAGAGACCUACUAUGAAAGAAGUCGCAUUUGAAUUAGGGGGGAUUAGAGCUCAAAAGUGUGAAGACAUUGAUCUUGUGGGUGGCAAUUUUGAAACUGGUUCAUCUUCAACUGGAGCAAUUUUAAAUGCUGUUGCUUUUUCUGUAGAUGCUAGCCCUUUGCUUUCAAACAAGUGGUGAUUAAAGGGAAGAAUUUUCCCUUGAAAUCUAAAUAAUUUUCUUUUGAAAUCUAAGUAUUUCAUUUCAUAUAUAAAUAAAUUAAGUUGUGGAUUUUUGCAUUGUGCUUCUCUUAUGGUUAAAAUUUUUCAUCUCUAGAAUAAAAUAUACAGAGUUUGAUGUUCAGUUUGUAAGCGGAGAAAUAAAUUUAUAAGGUAGAUUCCAACUAAGCAUCUGUGGCAAACAUAUUUAAAUAUCUAAGGAGCAAGCUUCUAAUGCUUACCAAUAUUUAGUGCACUAGAACUUUGAAGCUGACAGAGUGAGGCAUCUCAGCACCUGAAUCUGCAUACAAGUGGAACAGAAGAUGCUGACAUGACAUCCUACGUGGAACUUACGUGACACAUAUAAUGAGUCCAGUUCGUUCCUAAUUCACACGCUUACAUUGUAACCCCGUUCUUUGUGUUUCGAGUACCAUUGGUGAACCAUCACUUGGUGCCAUUGUAUUGCUAAUAGCACCUUUGCCUUAUUGAUUUUGCUGACAAUGUAUAAGGUGUGUUUAGGAGUGAAGUGUUAUAACUUUUAUGUUGCGUUUACUUUCCGGACCAGAGGAUCAGAAUCAUUAACAUUGUUUACUUCGCAAAAUAAAUCUAAGAAUAAGAAUCAGAAUCGUGGAGCACACCACAAUUUUUGAAUGAGGAAUGGGAGACUCAUUCCGAAGAGGGAGGUGGGAAUGAGUCUCCCAUUUUCAAGAUUGAUUAUUUUACCCUCCCUAAAUUUUUGUCCUCAUUUAUAAUUUAUUAAUAUAUUGUUAUAAUUAAUUAAUAAAUUAAUAUAUUGUUAACAAUAAUUAUUAAUAAUUUUAGUUUUUGAAUAAAUAAUCACAAUAAUUAAUAUAUUAUUAUUAUUAUUAAUUAAUUAAUAUACUACUAUAAUAAUUAUUAAUAUAAUUAUUAUAAUUAGUUCAAAUAUUAUUAUUAAUUAAUUAAUUAUAAUUGUUACUAUUAAUUAAUAUAUUAAUAUAUUAUUAACAAUAAUUAUUAAUAAUUUUAAUUUUUGACAAAUAAUCACAAUAAUUAAUAUACUUUUAUUGUAACUAAUUAAUUAGUAUACUUUGAUAAUAAUUAUUAAUAUAAUUAUUACUAUUAAUUAAUAUAUUAGUAUAUUAUUAACAAUGAUAUAUUAAUAAUUAUAGUUUUGGAUAAAUAAUUACAACAAUUAAUAUAUUUUUAUAAUAAUAAUUAAUAUAAUUAUUAUAAUUAGUUAAAAAUUGUACAAUUAAUUAAUAUAUUAAUAUAUUCUUGUCAAUACUAAUUAAUAAUAAUGCUUUUUGAAUAAAUAAUCACUAUAAUUAAAAUAUAAAAUAAUAAUUGUAACAAUAAUUCAUUAAGUACUUUUUAGUAAUUUGUUACAAUAUAACUCAUUUUGAUUCCGAUUUCAAGAUAAAAUAAACACAUCAAUGAGAUUCUAACCCAUUCUUCUUCUGAUUCCUGUAGGUCAAGUAAACAACUUAUUCUGAUUCAUAUUCUUCAUUCACAUUCCAACUCAUUAUGAUUUCAACCCAUUCUGAUUACAUCCCAUUUCGAUUACUGACAAGUAAACACAACAUUAAGAUGCAGCUAUUGUGCAGCAAAAAUCAUAGUUGUGGGAUAUAAGCUGCUGGUGUUUAGCAAAUUUUAAUAGUUGUAGAGUCGAAAUUGAUAGUGUUUGGUAAAUUUUAAUAGUUGUAUAGUGAAAGUUGAUGAAUAUUUGAAAUAAUUAAUUUUAAAUAACAUUAAUUUUAAUUAUUAAUUAGUCAAAUUAAUUUUCAUAUUUUGAAUUAUCAUAUUAACAUCUGAUUAUUGUUUAUUACUUUGACAAAUCAAAUUAAUAUUUAAUUAAUCGAAGUUAUUUUUCUUCACACAUUGUAAUAAAUAUUUUUUAAAACAAAAUAAUUUAAAAUUGAAAGUAAAUAAAUUUCUAAUUUUACACAUUGAUUGAAGAAAUAAAUUAUACCAAAUAUGUCUAAUAAAGAUGGUACAACAUAACAUUAUAAAAUUAAAGUGUAACUAAUUACAAAAUUCUUAUAAAUAUUUAUAUUGUCAUACCUCCUUUAAACUUGAGCAAUGCCAUCUCCCAAGAUUAUCAUAUUUUGAGCUAUGUUAUUAGUUGUAUCAUAACUUUCUUUAGGGACGCAAUCUUACUUAUAUGUUCGCUAUUACUAUGACUUGAUUCGUCCAUUAUUUCAUCAAAAUGAUUGUGAUUUUGUGAAUGUCUUCUUAUAUAAUUAUGUAAGGCCAUGGUAGUAAUAACUCUCUCUACCUGCUUCUUGAUUGUAUAGCUUGACAUAUUUUGUAAAAUCUUCCAUGCAUUCUUUCAAACCCCAAAAGUACUCAUUAGAAUUAGCAUUACUCUCAACACUAAGAGACUCAGAUGCCUCAUUACUCUCUAAAGGAAAACCAGAUGAGGGAAGCCAAACAUGGUCACUCAUAGCCACUGUGUUUGAACAUUAAAUUUAGGUUUUUUUCUAACUCUAGAUCAAUACCAUUUUUUCAAAAUCUACUCAAUUGCAAAUUUUCCUUUAUUUUCUUUUUCCACCAAUCUUCACUUGCAUCAACUAUCCAUAACCUAUGAUUCCACCCUAGACCAAUUUCCAAGCUAAUCAAAUUCUUCCAUAAUUUCCAAUUAGUUCUAAGAGAAUCCCAUUUGUUUUUCAUUUGAGUUCUAUUGCAAUACAAUCCAGUUUCUUUAGUGGAUUCCUUAAUUAAAUUUUCAUAUGCUUUGGAAGUCACAUGAGUCCUAGGACGAUGUUUGGACCUACCGCCUUAAUACAUAACUCACAAAAUACAUCUAAAGUCUGAGGGUUCCAAAUAACCUUACUAGUUGAGUUAGUAGACAUAAUUGUGAACACUUAAACCUAGAAAAUAGAAUAAUAUUUCUUCAUCAAACAGCAGUAUAGGAAAGAGAUUAAUUAAGAGCAAUACCCAAUUUUCUUUUUAAAACAAAUAACAUUAAUUAAGGAUGAAUUAUGUCUAACAUUACAUAACUUGUUUCAAAAUGAGUUGUUAGUUUAAUAAACUUGUGGGUUUCUGUAAUUACAUACCCUGUUUCAAAGAAAUUAAAACAAUAUUUCUCAAUAGUUUAAAUUUUCUUUAGUUACCUUUAAGUGAAUCCUUUAAAAUUUAUGAGAAGCUGAAAUGAUUUGUUCAAAAACAUGUAUUGUUGGAAUCUACAGGAAUUGGUUACUUGUUUGUUGCUGCCUUUAAUGAUUUUUAUUAGGGAAAUUUCAUCCGAAAGGGAUUGUGCAUGUCUAUAAAAAGCAACUAAAAAAAAUAAAAAUGCAAUAAAAAUAGUGACUUCAAAGUAAAUAAAUCGCACGUGACCAAUCACCUAUUAAUUUAUUCUAAGCAAAAGCCCUAGCACAUUCUAAACAAAAAGGAAGAAAAUGAAAAAUUGUAUGUAACAAAGUAAAGGAAAACUCAAAAAAUGAAUAGCGGACAAAGGAAAACGCACCUUUCUUAGAUAUUUUAAAAACAAAGAUAGAAGAACAGAGGUGUAUGAAUAUGAUUGGUGUUAGAAUCACAUCGAUGAGAAUUACCGAUGUUGGAAUUGCAUCAAUGAGAACUGUCGAUGUUGGAGUUGGAAUCAUGCUAAUAAGAACGGUGUUUAGAGUUUGUUUUAUGGAAAAAUCGAUUUGAGUUUAAGUUAAAAAAUGAGGAGGGUUAUUUCCACCCUGCCCCCAAAUGUUUUGACAAUUUCCGCCGCGCACCCAUUUGUUUAAACAAUACCCGCCGCGCACCUAAAAUCGUCAAUUUCCCUGUCAAACUUAACAGUGCCAGGGCAAAAUAGAAAUUCCAGGUAAAAGAAAGGAAAGGAGAAACAAAAGAAGAUUUCGUGAUGUGAGCUACUGAUUACAUCAUUUCACUUCACUGAUUUUGUGAUGAGACUAGCAACAUGUAGCACUGACAUCUACUCUAGUUUGGAGCCAAAAUCAAGCUUUGGGAAUCGGUUUUGGCGGGUUUUCUUUCUUCAUCACGUGCUACCACAUAUGAAUAGCUUGGCUGUUAGUCAUUUUGUUUGCAAGGAGAAGGAGAAUUGCAUCAGUGGUUUCCUUUUUGGAAAGGCAAAGGUUAGUUUUCAUUUUAUCUGAUCUUAUUUAUUUCAAAAAAAGAAAUUGUUAUUUUCAUUUUAUUUGAUUAGUUUGUUUUGGGUUUAUUUAGGGUUUAUUUAGUUAUGGAUUUAUUUCAAUAUUUAUUAUUUAUUAUUUUUUAAAUUAUUGGUACCGUUGUUUCAGCUUAUGCAUGCUUUAAUUUAUCUUCUGUGCUAGGGAUUCAUGGUCUUGUCAGUAAAAUUUUUUGCUUCGUAGAUGAUUAUUAUGGCUGAAUGUGUUAUUAUUUGUUGAAAUUUGGCAGCUUUUGGAAAAAAAAAAAGCUUAAGUAUAUAAUCCAGGAAACAUGUGUUAAGUUCAAAAUUAUGAUCAAGUUUUAGAUAUAAAGUGCAUUAUCUUACCUUGACUGCCAUAUUAGAAAAAUUGAUAGUAAAUAUGUUUACAGGUGAAAAUGAAUGACAAAGAUGACACAACUGUGUGUGUCACUUUCAAGGACACUACACAUAAUCUUGGUGUAAUAGAUUUAGAUAGAUUCAGCAAGGUCUCCCUAACCAACAAGGUACUUGUGAAAGUGUAUGGGAGAAUGAUGAAGUUUGAUGAAUUGUUCCGGCUGACUGUUUGGGUGCCAUGGGAAUCAAAAGAUGCUGAAAUCUUUAAUGAUGAAGAUCUCUUUUUCCAGUUGAAAGAGCACCACAAGAUGCAACUCUACAAAAUGCAAUUUUAUCUUUCCCAACAACCAUCAUCAAACAAAUCAUCAGCAAAAAGAGCCUUAUUCCAACCUUCAGACACUUCAAAACAAAACACAUUACAACUUACCAUCCCAGGCACUCUAAAUCUCAAUAACCCUAUUUCAUCACCACCAGCUGCCAUUACAAAUGAAUCAAACCCUGCUACACAUACCCUUUCAAAAAUUGAUACUUCACCAGAUAGUGGUCAAUCGCAGUCAAGAGCUGAAGCUUCAAUCCAUACUGAUACCCCCAACAGUAAGAACCACAACGAGGCCAAUUGUGAUUUAUUUGAGGAUUUCCUUGACACCUAUUUUAGAUCCCCAACUUGUCACCAAAAUGACUUGUCCAACCAUAACUCUGCAGCAAACUCACCUGAACAGCAGCCUCGUCCAUCUCUAAUCUCACUUGAAAUGCCAUCACAACCAAUGACACUGAAUCCAGAAUCGCAACUAUAUCAAGCCUCUAAUCCGUUGCCUAAUUCUUCAGCUACCAACCAUAAUCCUGACAUCAAUGCAGCAACAGCCCCAUACUAUGACUCCGAUGAUAGUGUUUUCAGUCUGAACGAUAAUAAUGAAGACGAUAAUCAAUUAAAGGUUGUUACUCUCACAUCUAAUCCAGGGUAUGUGCCUUCCGAUGCCAGUGAUGGUGAUUGUAUUCUUUCUGAUUGUGAAAGUGAUGACAAUGAGUUUGGUGUCAAUUCUGAUAAUGAGCAUGAUGAUGUAUUGUGUAUAAUGGAUGCUGAUAUGAGAGCAAAUUUAUAUAUUCCGAGUCAUGCACCUGUGAUAUUCAGAGUUGGACUGUAUUUCAAGAACUUUACAGAAUUGGCAUGGGCAAUGAGACAGCAUGCUGUGGAGAAUAGGUUUAAGACUUAUAGGCACAAGUUUGAAAAGACAAGAAUCAAUGUUGGGUGUGAGUACUACAAGUGCCCAUGGUUUUUACAUGCUACGAAAACUAGAUUCGGAGCAAUGUUCAUGGUGAAAAGGCAUAAUGAUUUGCAUACUUGUGUUAGAUUGCUGAAGAAUCCUGAAUGCACUGCAGAGUUCAUUGCAUGGAGAUUUGGAAAUGCUAUCAUUGACCAUCCAGAGAUUAAUGUUAAUUUCAUACAAUCUGAGUUGAGGAGAAUGUAUGGGAUUAAGGUUGGCAAAACUAAACUUUACAGGGCAAAGAAAAAGGCUUUAGAAACAAAAUGUGCAGAUCAUGAAUCUAGUUAUAGGCUUAUUAGAUCUUAUGCGCAACAAAUUCUUAGCAAGAUGCCACAAUCAUUGGCCCUGGUUAGCGUAAUGAGAUACAAUGAUAAUGAGGCAACUACUCAUUUUGACAAGUUUGUGCUAUCAUUUCCAGCAGUUAGAGAUGGCUUUAACAGUGGAUGUAGACCUUUUAUUGGCAUAGAUGGAUGUCAUUUAAAGGGUCCUUAUAAGGGUAUCCUUCUCUCAGCAGUAGCACUUGAUGCCAAUAAUAGUAUAUUCCCACUUGAUGCCAAUACAGUUACUUGGACUUGGUUUCUAGGUCAUUUAAAGACAUUUAUAGGGGAUACAAGGCAAUUGACCAUCAUGUGUGAUCGCCAAAAAGGGAUUCAGAAUGCAUUGGCACUUGAGUUUCCUAAUGCUCAUGUGAGAUAUUGUGGCAGACAUAUAUUAUCGAAUCUAAAAGCUAAGCACCCUUUGUCUGAUUUCAAAGCACAAUUUUGGGCAGCCGCAAGAGCAUCAAGCAAAAGGUCAUUUGAAAAGGCUAUGGAAGAUGUGAAAAAAGCUGAUGUUGCUGUUUAUGAAACACUAAGAAAACUACCAGCAAAGUAUUGGUCGCGACAUGCAUUCGAUAACCAGUGCAAGACAGAUCAUGUCACCAAUAACAUGACAGAGUCUUUUAAUGCAUGGUUUGGAGUACAAAGAAACCUACCUAUAUUAACUAUGCUGGAAUGGAUGAGAAAAAAGAUAAUGAAAAGGAUGGUUAAUAGAAGACAAAAAGCUCAAGCUUGGGAAACAACAAUACCUGGAAGAAUUUAUGCAAAGAUGAUGAAGAAUUUGCAAAUAGGAAGUGCAAAUCCAGUUUGUCGAGCAAGUGAAUGGUUGUACGAAGUGGAUGAUAGGGGUAGGACUUACAUCGUUGACCUUGAACAUCAUGUUUGUGACUGUGGCUACUAGCAAUUGAGUGGCGUUCCAUGUGUCCAUGCCAUGCCUUGCAUUCUACAUGCAAAAAAGGAUAAUUCAAAAUUCAUACAUGGUUGGCUGAAGCAGGAUAGUUACUUGGCCACAUAUUCUGGAUUGAUUUACCCGAUUCCAGAUAAAACAUCAUGGCCAAUAGCUGAUGGUGAUGAUAUAUUGCCACCACUACUCAGAAGGCCUCCUGGAAGACCAAAGAAAAAUAGGAGGAGAGAAACUAAUGAAGUGCCUGUAGAGAGAAGAAGAUAUAGAAUGCAAUGCAAGCACUGCAAAGAGUUCGGACACAACAAGAGAGGAUGCCCUGUUAAUCCUCAAAAUGCGAACAAAAAGACUAGACAUUAUAAGGUAAAAGUAAAUGCUUUUAAGAGAAGCUUCAUUGUUGUAACUUUAUAUGAAAGCUAUCACAUGUGCUCCAUAUUAUAACUAUACUUAUAUGUUGUUUGUUUUUUGUUUUAUUUGUUUUAUCACAGAACAAUCUGAAAAGUUAUGUUUCCAGAACAGGAGCAAAAUUGACAAGUAAGACACUUUACCUCAUGCUCCAAUGACAUUUAGUUUGACUUUCACAGUAAAAGCACAUGUACAUUCAGCAUGAAUAUUGUUUUAUAAUUACUUGAGAGUGUAAAGUUAGAUAAAUAGUAUAUCUUAGGUCCAAAAAGCAGUGUUGUUGCUGUGAUUUUCAUAGUGAAAGCACAUGUAUCUAGCCGUUAUUUUAGAUUAAUUUAUAUUGGAAUAUGACAUAAAUAUUUUAUUUCAGGUUUACAAGGCAGUGACAGUCAUAGCCAGUCACAUGAAAAUAUCCAAGUUUCAAAGAAAAAAGAAAUGGUUAGUGAGGCUGGCAUAUCUGGUGCUAGAGAAGUAGUGAAUAUGCAUAUUACAGAGGGUGAGUCUACUGCUGUUUGGUUAGGGAUGCAAGGGAAAAAGAUAGUAACAGCUACUGGCAUGAUGCUGAAAAGGAAUGAUGGUGUAACAAUAGGUAUUAAAAGGAAGGACAAAGGGAAGGCACCUGCCUUCCCACCAUGGAGGGUAAGAGCCUAUAUCCAUUUUUAAUCUCACAUCUAAUUUAUUUCAGGUAUAAGUAACUAUAACCAUUGUAAUGUCCUAUUUUGGUAUGCAUUGAAUGCUGAACACUGGUGGAUAUAUUGGCAGCAAUAUUUUUUAUUAACAACUACUGAAGGUACACAUCUAAUUUUUAGACACCUUCCACAAUGCCACUUUGAACCAGGUCCGGACAGCUUCAUUUUGACCAAAGCAAAGUUUAUUCUACUGAUGAGUUGCUGUCAUCUUUUGUUUUUUUUUUUGUGUGCUACAAUUACAGCUUCAAUCAAUUAAUUGUUUGCUUCUAAGUUAUUUGGCAAGCAAUAGGACUGGUUUGUGGUAUUUUGUAAGUUGUUGGGCAUGGUAUACAGGCAAUUGAUAGGAUACACCAACAAUAGAUUUUGUUUUUAUUUUUUGGUUACUAUAGCUAAGACUAUGUAUAUUGCUGCCAAUGUGAAUGUAUGGAUCAAAGACAACUGAUAUAUCAAACUUAUGUUUUGCUUUAUUUAGCUUGCAUUACAAUAUAUGAUAAACAAAACAAUGAACAACAUGAAAAUCAUGAUUUGACACUUCUUCAAUUGCUUCAGCACUGCUUCGAUUUUGUUAAGUCUGUUAACAAGAGCACCCUGGUCAUAAAUAUCAGUUUCAUGGACAUUGUGAUGCACUGGUUGAAGUAUGUGUGCUAAUGCUCGAAUUUCUUCUAUCUCUUCCAUGGAUGGUGUCCACCAUUUGAAGAAUCCACACUUUGCAGUUCUAGAACAAUUGUAGUAUAAUCGGUUUGGAUUUGCUUCAGAUUCUGAAAUUUUUAUUUCAGCUCUCAAUCGACAGUAACAAAAUUCAUUAUGAAACCUUAUAAGACCACCAUUGAUGAAAUUCUUCUUUGAGGGGGAAUUUGAUGAACUAGAAGCACUCCUCAAUGCUGACAUUUUUCUGCAAUUUGAACUAUAUGUGUUGAAUCAUGGGAUAGAGAUGAAGUUUUGUAGUUAGCUUUCUGUGUAUGUUUGUAUGGUUAAUAAUAGCAAUGAUGAGCCAUUGAAGUAGAAAAAGGUGCUGCAGUGUUUUAUAUAUGUUCGAAGAUGGUAGAUUGGUAGUAUAGAAUGUGAAAAUGAAAAUGAGAUAGUGCAGCUAAAUUGAUUUAUAGCAAAUUGGAGUCAACUUCACCUUUCUAAAAAAAUGACCGUUGAAAUUUGUAGCCGUUAUGCCUGAAAUUGGCUAAUUCUCUCAUUUUGGUUAAAUAAUGCCACGUGUGCCAACAUCAUUCUCUUUAUUCAAAAGGAUAAUAAGGUAAUUAAACACUUCAUAACAAAUAUGACAUUAUUGUAAUUAUGAAUGGAUGGCUUGGGUUUCCUGACAAUUCACUCGUUUAAAUUCAAAUAAUGGGCAAUAUUGUCCAUUUGCUUGGUUUUGGACGGCACUGUUAAGUUUGACAGGGAAAUUGACGAUUUUGGGUGUGCGGUGGGUAUUGUUUAAACAAAUGGGUGCGCGGCGAAAAUUGUCGAAACAUUUGGGGGCAGGGUGGAAAUAACCCAAAAUGAGGUGGGUAAAAUUGAAAUUAAAUAAUAUGUAAGGAUAAUUUAGUAAUUUAAUACACAACUGAGAAAAAUUUCUGCUGAACUGUUAAAUCCCAGCCAAAAAGUGUUACUACUAAAAAUGAGCGGAUGAUAUAUGGAAAAAAAGAAGCUUCAUUUUAAAUUAAUGAACAAAAACAAUUUAAAGAUUUAAGAGAUCUGAUUUGUCGUUUCAUUUCACUAAAAUGUAUUGAUAGAUAAAAUUAGCUAUUGGGUGUGUCUUAUACUAAAAUUAAUCUUUUACGAAGUCCUUAGAAACAAUAAAAUACUAUUACAUAGCUCGGAAAGCGUUUGUAUUAAGUUAUAGAAUUAGGUGUCUCUUGCGCAUAUGUCUUCCCAUGAAUAAAAGCGUUCGUAUUAAGUUAUGAAAUGAUGGAUUAUUGUACCAAACAAACGGCUCUUUCCCUUUCAAAAUUAUUGUACGUAUUUUGCAAGGAAACCUCCUCUAUCUUUCUUCCAAUUAAUGUCCAGUUAAGACUUUCGUGUGUCCAAUUAAUGCCAAUCGUUUUCGAAUGUGUACAGGAUAACAACUUGAAGACUUGAGAGGGCCAGCGUUAAUUCAAAGUCAAGACUCAAGACUAGGUUAUUACCCUGCAGGAUUCUUGAUAGUGAGGUAAAAAAAAAAAAAAAGGUUGAAGGAGAUUAGGAUUUAAUGCUGAGUUUAGUUUUUAUUCACCAUUGAGUUAAUGAUUAGAAUUUAUUUUGUACUUUUUCUUUUAUUUAUCUUACCUAACAAUUAUUUAUUGAGAUUCUUGUCCAAUUGAAAGAUACUAGAGAAAAGGUUUUUAAAACUUUAGUUAUUUUUAUGUAUAAAACAAAAACUUUAAUUAUUUAGUUUCAAAAGAAAAAAAGGGUAAUUUUUAGGGACCUCCCUUGAGGUUUGACCUAUUAAGAUUUAGAUAGAAAAUAUGCCCCUAAUUACAGAGACCUCCUCUGCCGUCUAUACUCAGUUUCGUAUAUUGUCAGUAUAAGAGGGUAAAUUAGUAAAAGUGCAUUUAAAAUUGAAAUAAGUAAAAAGCUAAUUUGAAGAUUAGCCCACUGAAACACUCAAAAAAUCCCGAUGAAAAUCAGUUACCACUAACUAGAGGAUGGAUGAAUGCUUGCUCUCUUUCAUCAACCUAAUUCAUCACAAAACCAUUUUCUCUUUCAAUCAACCGAGGUCCACAUGCACUCCUCAUCUCUAAAUGCUUUGAAGAUGAAAAAAAUCAGAUUUUUAUUGCCAAGUUCCGCAACUUUAGCUUAGAUUUAUUAACAAGAAAAGCAUCGAUGGUGCCCUAAGGGUGGUGUCAGGUGAAAAUAGCUGACUAUUCGGCGUCGGACAUGACUGUUAUUGACUUGAAUUCAAAGAAGGUUAGUCUUUGAAACAAUUUUGGAUUUAAUUUUUUUGUUUUAAUAUGUUUUAUAUUUUAAAAUAAAAUUGAAAUUUUAUUUCAUUUUAAUCAUAGAUUGUUUUUUUUUUUUUUUUGAAAAUGAAAAUGGGCUGAAGUGUUGGAGAACGGUUGGCAUUGUGUUGUUCAUAAAAAAAAAUGAUAUCAAUUUGUUGAUGUAUUAGAGAAGACGCAUGUUGUUUGUUACUUUCAGACCUUAGCUAUAUGGAUUUGUCAAGUUAAGAACUAAUCAUAACAUGUGUUGGAAAUUAGUGAUUUUUAUGCGACUUCUUUGUCAAAUGAAAAUGGGUUAGCACUGUUAUGAAGAAUAUGGAUGCUAUUUGGAGGAAUUAACUUCUUAACAUGUGCUUGAACUAAAAAUGCCAAUGCAUAUUAGAACUUAGUGAAGUUAUAUGCAUUAAUAAUAUUGGAAAUAAGGGUUUGUUUGUGAUGCUUUAAAGAAGCUGAAAAGGAUAUUGCUUGUGCUCCUUAAUGUGGAGAAUUUUUAGUUGCUUGAUAAAAAAAAAAAAAGCAUUAGUGACAAAUAAAAUGAAGAAAUUUUGGAUGAUGUUUGUGUAAAAGAUUUAAAUUAUUUGUUUUACUGAAGCUGUACUGUGUUUUUAUUUGUGAUUUAACCAUUAAAACGGCUCUGUAACAUUGAUUAGAUGCUGCAUGUGCCCUUUUUAUAAAAAAAGAAGCAGUGGCAUUCCUAAGUGGAGUAAUGAGAUGCUAAGAUGGGAAUGUAUGACUUUUUAAUUUUGUUCUUGCUUUAAACUAUGACUAUAAAUCCUAAGUCUUCUAAAAUGAAACUCAAUUUUGCUUUUAAUAUGUAAAAAGCCAUCAUUGCCAUUUUUAGGUGACCGAUAAUGCUUCAAAUGAAAGUUGGCAUUGGUUUGUCAAAAUCUUUUGUUAAGCAGGGUGAAAUGAUUCAAUUUGAAUUGAAUAUGCGAAAGUUCCUAAGUGAAUAACUUGUGGUCUCAUGUUAUUUUUUUUUAGAUGAUGCUCUUGUGGAGGUCGAAAAGGAAAAGAGAGUCUUUGUUAAAAAAAAAAAAAAGCAGGGAACAAAUAUGCCUUUCUAUAAUUGUCUUCCUUUUAACAUGUAUGUCAGGAUUGGUGUGCAUAAAUGACCUUUAUUGACUAAAUAAUUUAAUCAUGAACAAGUAAAAAUUUAUUUUUUUUAGUAUUUUUCCUACUGAUCAUAUGUGAAUUGAAUCAAUUGUGUUGAAAAUGUUGAUCAAGGCAAAAAAGUUCUCAGCCUUUCCUACAUUCGAAAAUAGCAAGAAGGAAUUUUGUAAGCCCAACUGAAAAAGAUUGAGGUAACCUGUCUCUUCUUAUUCUAGAUUCUUUUUUUUUCUUUGUUUUACUUCCCAUUUCAUCUUCAGCAAAUCUAGUAAUUGGCAGGAAAUAAUUGGAAGGUAAGAAGGCUGAAUAUGCUGAAAAUUUGAAAAAUAAGCUAGCUAUACAUCACAAAGAAAUAGAAGAGAAAAGGGCAACGGUUGAAGUUAGUGGUGGAGAUUGAAUUCUUGAGUCAAAGGAGAUGGUUGAAAAAAUGGGUGUAACUAAGAGUACUUUAAUGAUCAAUGGAAUUAAACAAAUGUUAACAAUAGGUUGUUGUCUAUUGGAUAUACCAAAUUUGACUUUGAAUUAUUGUAUUAUGUUAAAUUUCUAAAUUUUAUUUCACUGUAUAGUAUUGCUAGCCCUAGUUUCCCUACGAUUUUUUUUUCUUUUUACAGUUGAUGAAUAUUUGAUGUCAAAUUUUUAUUUCCCAAGGGUGUUAAAAGUGUAAUGAUUAAUUUGAUAUUUAGCACUAAGGGUACUUAAUUUU